rnacentral:lncRNA from 1 species
AGAAACUCAAGGAACUGGAAAGACCACUCUUCAGCUCCUUCGUCUUCUUCACAAGCUCGAGCUAUGGUUCGGCGGCGAUCGGAAAGGGGCAGGCAGCUGUAACUCCAGAUCUUGUUCACCUCAUGGUCCAAGAGGAAGCUAGCUUGAGUAGAAGACAUUGGAGACACUCAAAAUUCUCACUAGCGCCAUGACUCUAACUCGUUGAAGACUCCUUCAGCAUAGCUUUAUAGGACCAAAAAGCUUUGUAACAGUGAGUACCGCUACCCCUAAUCCCUUAAACACUUGAUAAUUUCAUAUGAUUUGAUUCAACUCACCGCUUAAUAGAUUGAGCUCCCAAAAAAGCUAAUACCACUAUUCAGGGAUGAGGUUUAUCAUAUCUUAUGAAUUUAACUUUCUGUGGAAAUUGGUAUUUUUGCUAUUCAACUAGUUGUUGCUUUAUCUAUACCCUGCUUGUUUUGGAAUUUUCUUAUGCGCAAGUUUGGGAUUCUAAGUUUUUCCAUCUGUAUGAUUGCUCUUCCUGCACUUGGAACUUGCUCGAAACUAGUAUAUGUAAUAUGAUUUGUACCUGGUCUAUCAAUGAUGGUCUUAAGAGCUAAUGAAUCUGUCUCUAGUGUAACAGGGUAAUUUCUGAUUUAUACAAUGCUCAAGCCCCAAUCUCAAUGCAAUUACUUCAGCUUCUAGUACAGCCCCUUCCCAUGUUGUUCUUGUUUCAGCAUAUACAAAUUCUCCACUGUCACUCCUCACACAAAAGGCACUGGACAUAGGACCUGGGUUGCCUUUACAUGCUCCAUCAGAGUUGCAUUUGGAAGUUCCCCUCCCAGGGACAUUCCAAGUAACAACUUUUGUGAUUAGAAGUGGAGUAUACUCCUCUAAGUAUUGCACAAUGCAAGGCUAACUCUUAGGAAUAUCCAUUUGUAACACCCCGUAACUAGAAAUAAGUUAAAAAUUGGAAAUAGUCAUUUUUGGAAACAAUAUAAAAAUCUGGAAAAUUGUUAAGUAUGUUAAGUUGAGUUUUUGGUCAACUUCAAACGACCAUGACUCCUAGCUCAGGAUGAUUUAGGUGUAUUUUCGGAUAUUGUAGGAAAGAUCUUGGAAUAAUCUUUUCAACACCGUCGAGUUUGCGCGAUUCGAGUUCGUAUGAGUGAGAUAUGCUCAUUUGAAGUUAGGUUGUUCAAAUAAGGAAAGUCUAAUCCGGAUUUUAGAAGGGCAUUAUGGUCUUUUCCAUACCCCAUGACGUAAUUUCAUUUUUGGUAAUUAAUUGGGGUCUAAGCUGAUAGGAUUCAGUUUACACUUGUACAAAUAUUGAGUUAGGAUUUUAGAGAAGAGAAAAGAAGAAGAGAAAGGAGGAGAAGAAGCCAAAAUCGUCAAAUUCUCAAAGCUAGGAUCGUGGAUUUCGUCAAGGGGUGAUCCCUAUGAGGUAUGUGAGUUCACACAGCGUUGGGUUCGUUCACCCACGCUCCAAAUAUGUUUAAUUCAGCAUGAAUUCGUCCUAAAAGUUGAAAGUUAGAAUGUUCUUGAUGUGUGUUCUUGAAUUUACUUUCGUUCUUGAAUUUGGGAUGAGAUUGAGGAGUUCUUGAGAGUUUAAGGUCGAUUUUAGAGUUGUGUACGAUUAGAUUCUUGUGUAAAUAUUCUGGGUAUCUGAAUCUAAAGAGAAUUGGAGAAAAAGAAUCGAAUAUAGGCGAUUUGAGGUUAGAAAACGAAGAAUGAACAAGUCGGCAAAAUCUGGGUACCAGGUCCGCGUCGCGGACCUAUUCCUCAGGAUUGAAAAAAAUAUCUUCGCGGAGCAGAGUGGUCACGAACCGUUCUGCCUCAAAAUUUAUUUCGUGACCAAAUAUUUAAAUGUAUCUCUGAGUCGCGGACUAGUUUCCAAACAGUAAUUUCUUGAUCUUUUCUCAUGUUUAACUAUCUAAAAACACUCCUAAACAUCAUGAGAUUUUUCCUAUCAAAAAUCACAAUCCUUGAAUCCAUAAUUCAAUUCAAGAAAACUUAAGAGUCAAGUCAAGAGAAGUUCAUAGAGUCUUUCAAAAGACUUUUACAAAUGUUUUAACUUUGUUUUAAGACUUGUGUUUUGAGUUCAGUAAAUAGUAAAAAGUUUGAAGUUCAGUUCUUCAAAAGAGUAUAUGGGGAUUGUAUUUCCAAAGAGUUUAAAAUAUUUUCACAUUUAAAGAAGAAAGGAAACUUUGAUUUCCAAAAAGAGCAUUUGAGCUAGUUUUCAGUAAAGAGUAAAAUGUUUUCACAUUUUAAACAAGAAAGGAAACUGAGAUUUCCAAAGAGCCUUUGAGCUAGUUUUCAGUUAAAGGGUAAAUGCUUUCACAAUUAAGCAAGAGAGGAAAUUUUUGAUUUCCAAGAGGAGCCUUUGAGCUAAGUUUUUGAGUAAUUAUCUCAAAUCACAGAAAGAAGUAUGUUUUUUUAAACAUAAGAGCUAGUAUCACAUUUUGGGAGUAGUAUUGAGCACCGAUAUGAGGGAGAUUUCAGACAACUCACAACCCCCAUAAACCAUGUAGCCACCAUGGGUAGAAAGGGUUAUACUUUUUAGAUGAUUCCAUAGUGCUUUUUAGCAUAGACUAGUGGAUCCACUUAAUAGUUCAAGUUCUAUACCCCUAGCAAGGUAUAGGACGACCCUUGCAGCGUGAGGCAAAACAUUGUAUCAUCACGAUAGCUCUUAAGUGAUGGUUGUCGGUUAGAAAAACUCCCACAACAGUAUUUUGUAUUUUUAAAUACAUCAAAAAUAUUUGUAUUUUUAUAUACAAAUAGAGUUCAUAUUGUAUCUUUCCAUACAUACAGAGUCAUUGUAUUUCUAAAUACACAUAGUUGAAAACCAUGUUUUAAAGCUUUUCUUUAUACUGCAUUUAUUUACACUACUUUAUAUUGAAAUCAGUUCAGUUCAGUUCAGUUCAGUUGAGCUAGGUAAGUUCUUCAUUUCCUUUCAAGCUUAUGUCUUGUUUUAGAAUUCCCCUCGCAUACUUGUACAUUCAAUGCACUGAUGUCAUUUGGCCUGCAUCUUAUUAUGAUGCAGACACAUGUAACUAAGAUCGGCAUCUAGCGUAUCGUUGAUCAGUUGAACACUUCAGAGUCUUGUGGUGAGCCUCCUUGCUUUCCAGAGGAUCCCUUUUAUUGCUUUCGGUAUUAUUAUCAGUUCAUUAGGAUGUCGUGGGGUUUGUCCCGAUAUUCAUCUCAGUUGUUUUAGAGGCUUCAUAGAUAGAUAGUCAGAUGUUAGUUCUUUAGUGUUUUCAUUGUAUUUAUCUUAUGUUGAGACUUGAGGUUGCCUUAAUGGCCAGUUGAAUGUUCCUUUAUAACAUUCCAGUUUAUUACAUUGAUUUAUCUUUGUUGAGUUAAGUCUUUCGCUGAGUAAGUAAGUCAGGACAAGGGUUCGCUUGGGGCCAACAAUGGUUCACGAGUGCCAGCCACGUCCGGGGUGUAGGCUCUGGGCGUGACAAACUUGGUAUUAGAGCACAAAGUUCAAGAGUCCUAGAGAGUCUAUGAAGCCGUGUCUGUAGAGUCCUAGUUAUCGAUGUGAAGUGCGCCACAUCUAUAAUUAGGAGGCUGCAACACUUAGGAAAAUUUCUCACUUCUUUCACACUCUUUCGUGCGUUAGAGUUUGAUCUCUAAAAAGAUUCCUUCUAAUCGGUGCUUGUGCGUGUUUUCAGAUAAUCAUGCCUCCACGAAGAGCUGUCAGAUGUCAUCCUGCUAGGCGUAAUGUUAAACCACAGGAACUAGGGGUACCUACUGCACCAAACGUGCAACCCCAAGGAGAGGUAACCAAUGCUGAGUUUCGUAAGGCUAAGAUGCUAAGUCAAGCUGUGACUAAUCAGGUUGGGCAACAAAGAGGAGCUCGACAAGUAGAGGCUGACACUUCGAGAAUUCGUGAUUUCUUGAGGAUGAACCCUCCAAGUUUCAUUGGUUCAAGCACCACUGAGGAUCCAGAGAACUUUAUUGAGGAACUGAAAAAGGUAUUUGAUGUUAUGCACGUUGUCAAUAUUGAGCGAGUUGAACUAGCUGCAUAUCAAUUGAAGAAUGUUGCUAGGACUUGGUUUGACCAGUGGAAGAAGGGUAGAGCUGAGGGAGCACCACUUGCGAGUUGGGCAUGUUUUGAAGAGGCCUUCUUCGGGCGUUUCUUUUCUCGAGAACUGAAAGAGGCUAAGGUAUGAGAGUUCCUUACCCUUAAGCAAGAGUCACUAAGUGUUCAUGAGUAUGGGUUGAAGUUCACCCAACUAUCUCGCUAUGCUCCGGAGAUGGUUGCGGAUAUGAGGAGUAGAAUGAGUCUGUUUGUUGCUGGGUUGUCCCGUCUAUCAAGCAAAGAGGGAAGGGCAGCGAUGCUAAUUGAGAACAUGGAUAUAUCGAGGUUAAUGGUAUAUGUGCAACAUGUUGAGGAAGAGAAGCUGAGGGAUAGAGAGGAGUUUAAGAACAAAAGAGCUAAGACAGGGAACAAGUCCGGGUAGCAGAAGAGUAAUGCCAACCGAUCAUCCUUCCAACAGAAACAGAAGGGGCUGCUCCAUCAUCUGCUAGUGCACCAACACCAAAUAAUAAGAGUGAGGACAAUAGUCAGAAUUUCAGAGCCAAGCUUGCCUAUUCUUAGGGUAGUAUCGUGCAAGGGGGUAGUAAGCCACCUGCCUGUACUAAGUGUGGUAGGAACCACUCAGGUACAUGUCGUGAGGGCUCCACUGGUUGUUUCAAGUGUGGCCAGAAUGGGCAUUUCAUGCGAGAGUGUCCAAAAAACAAGAAGGGUAAUGGUAAUGAGGGCAAUAGAGCACAGUCUUCUUCUGUUGCUCCACCAAACAGAGCUGCAUCUAGAGGGGCUACUUCCGGUACUAGCGGAGGAACAAACCGCCUAUAUGCUAUCACCAGUCGCCAGAAACAAGAAGAUUCGCCAGAUGUUGUCACUGGUAUGAUCCAAGUCUUUAACUCUAAUGUUUAUGCUUUGCUAGACCCAGGAGCGAGUUUACCUUUGUAACUCCUUAUGUUGCAAUGAAUUUUGAUGUUAUUCCUGAGCAACUUAGUGAACCAUGCAGUAUUUCUACACCUGUUGGUGAGUCUAUUCUAGUAGAGAGAGUCUAUCGUGAUUGUCAUGUUUCCAUCAAUCACAAGAGUAUCAUGACUGAUUUAAUUGAGUUAGACAUGAUAGAUUUUGAUGUCAUUCUUGGUAUGGACCGACUUUAUGCCUGUUAUACCUCAGUUGAUUGUAGAACUCGAGUUGUCAAGUUUUAGUUUCCAAAUAAGCCAAUCUUAGAGUGGAAAAGCAGUUCAGCAGUGCCUAAGGGUCGUUUUAUUUCGUACCUUAAGGCAAAGAGGUUAGUUUCUAAGGGGUGUGUCUAUCACUUAGUCUGAGUUAAUGACUCUAGUGUUGAGAUACCUCCUAUUCAGUCAGUUUCAGUAGUAAAAGAGUUUCCAGAAAUCUUCCCGGAGUCCCUCCUGAGAGAGAAAUAGACUUCGAUAUAGACAUUCUUCUAGAUACUCGUCCUAUCUCUAUUCUGCCAUAUAGAAUGGCACCAGCAGAGGUGAAAGAGCUUAAGAGCAGUUGAAAGACCUCUUUGAUAAGGGCUUCAUUCGACCAAGUGUCUCACCUUGGGCCGCUCCGGUCUUAUUUGUGAGAAAGAAGGAUGGUUUCCUUAGGAUGUUUAUAUAUUACCGUCAGUUGAACAAGGUUGCCAUCAAGAACAAAUAUCCUCUCCCAAGGAUUGAUGAUCUUUUCGAUCAACUUCAGGGUGCCACCUGUUUCUCUAAGAUAGAUCUUAGAUCAGGCUACCAUCAGUUAAGAGUAAGGAAAUGUUACAUUCCAAAGACAGCUUUCAGAACCUGUUAUGAUCAUUAUGAGUUUUUGGUCAUGUUCUUUGGUUUGACCAAUACACCUGCAUCAUUCAUGGACCUUAUGAAUAGAGUUUUCAAACCUUAUUUAGAUAUGUUUGUUAUCGUCUUCAUUGAUGACAUACUAAUCUAUUCAAGGAAUGAAGAAGAUCAUGCUAGUCAUCUCAGAAUAGUUCUCCAGACUUUAAAAGAUAGGGAGUAUAUGCCAAGUUCUCUAAGUGUGAGUUUUGGCUUGAGUCUGUGGCAUUCUUAGGCCACAUUGUGUCUGGAGAGGGAAUGAAAGUUAAUACUCAAAAAAUAGAGGCAGUGCAGAAUUUACCUAGACCCACAUCUCCAACUGAUAUUAGGAGUUUCUUGGGUUUGGCUAGCUAUUAUAAAAGGUUUGUAGAGGGGUUCUCAACUAUUUCAUUCCCUUUGACCAAGUUAACUCAGAAAAUAGUGAAGUUUCAAUGGUCUGAACCUUGUGAGAAAGACUUUCAGGAAUUGAAAAAGAGGUUGACUACUGCCCAGUAUUGACCUUACCAGAAGGUAUACAAGGCUUUGUUGUAUAUUGUGAUGCGUCUAGAGUUGGUUUGGGUUGUGUAUUAAUGCAGAAUGACAAAGUUAUAGAUUAUGCCUCCAGACAGUUGAAAGUUCAUGAGAGGAACUACCCAACCCAUGAUCUAGAGUUGGCCGUUGUAGUUUUUUCUUUGAAAAUAUGGCGUCAUUAUCUUUAUGGUACUCAUGUGGAUGUGUUCACUGAUCACAAGAGCCUUCAGUAUGAGUUUACUCAGAAAAGAGCUUAAUCUCAAACAAAUGAGGUGGUUGGAAUUACUCAAGGAUUAUGAAAUGUAUAUUCUUUAUCACCCAGGUAAGGCUAAUGUUGUUAAUGAUGCCUUGAGCAGGUUGUCUAUGGGUAGUACCGCCCAUUUUGAGAAAGAUAAGAAAGAGCUAGCAAGAGAUGUGCAUAGACUUGCACGAUUAGGAGUUCGUCUAAUGGAUUCCACAGAAAAAGGAGUAGUGGUGAUGAAUGGGGAUGAAUCAUCAUUAGUGUCAGAAGUAAAAGAGAAGCAAGACCAAGAUCCUAUUUUGCUUGAAUUGAAAGCAAAUGUUCAUAAGCAAAAAAUAUUGUCUUUAGAACAAGGGGGAAAUGGUGUGUUGAGGUAUCAAGGUAGAUUGUGUGAUUGGCUUCAUGCUUGUUUUGCGUCCAUAGAUUGUAGGACCCGAAUUGUGUAAGUUUCAAUUUCCUAAUGAACCCAUGUUAGAAUGGAAGGGAGGAAAUUCCGUUCCUAGGGGAAGGAUCAUUUCAUGUCUAAAAGCUUGUAAGUUGAUUUCUAAGGGUUGUCUCUAUCAUAUUGUGAGGGUCAAGGAUCUUGAGUCCGAGAUUCCUCCUUUGGAGUCGGUCCCUGUAGUGAAGGAUUUUCCGGAAGUCUUUCCCGAUGACUUAUCUGGGGUUUCUCUCGAAUGGGAAAUAGAUUUCGGCAUAGAUUUAUUGUCGGAUACACAACCCAUUUCAAUCCCUCCUUACCGGAUGGCCCCGGCGGAGUUGAAGGAAUUAAAAGCUCAACUCAAAGAUUUGUUGGAUGAGGGUUUCAUCCAACCUAGUAUAUCUCUUUGGGGUGCAUCAGUGUUAUUUGUGAAGAAGAAGGAUGGAUCUCUUUGUAUGUGUAUUGAUUACCGACAGUUAAAUAAGGUGACCAUUAAGAACAAGUAUCCACUUCCUAGGAUUGAUGACUUAGUUGAUCAACUUCAAGGAGUGAGUUACUUUUCAAAAAUUGAUUUGAGGUCGGGUUAUCACCAACUUAGGGUGAGAGGUGUUGAUGUUCCGAAAACAGCCUUCCGAACUAACAACCACUUAUUCCUACACUGUAGGGUUACUGUACAGGUGUGGCGCAUGGUUCUCAGCAUUUCUCAAGAGCCCUGGGUGAUGCCAGAACAUACUGCUGAUCUCUUGAGCUGCUGGAUGCGGAGGGGGGGGGAGCAAGACCCAAAAAAGAUGGUGCUCUAUAGUACCUACUUGUGUCUGGUGGGCUAUUUGGAGAGAAAGAAACCUUAGGUGUCAUGAGAAUAUUACUAACUCUAUUCAGAAAGUUAAAGAAAAUUGCAUUAACAUGUUGUUUUUUUGGUGUAAAGAAGAUGGUAUAGAAGAAGUAGAACAGUUGGUAGAUUUCCUAGGAUCUAUAUAAUUAUGGAAAUAGCUUGUAAUUUUUUGGAGGUUGUAAAUGCCUCGGCGGCUUUCAUGGACCUUAUGAAUCGUGUGUUUAGAAAUUUUCUAGACUCAUUUGUUAUUGUCUUUAUUGAUGACAUCUAGAUAUACUCUAAAAGUGAGGAUGAUCACAUGAAUCAUUUGAUGAUAGUAUUGCAAGCCCUGAAAAAUCAACCAACUCUAUGCUAAGUUUAGCAAGUGCGAGUUUUGGCUAAGAUCAGUUGCUUCCUUGGUCACAUUGUUUCUACUGAGGGUAUAGAAGUUGAUCCAAAAGAAAAUCGAUGCGGUCAAAAGUUGGCCUAGACCUUUGAAUCCUUCGACAUCCGAAGCUUUUUGGGUUUGACCGGUUACUACCGGAGGUUUGUUGAGGGAUUUUCAUCUAUUGCAUCUCCAUUAACGACCUUAACUCAAAAGAAGUCCAAGUUCGAAUGGUCGGAAUCUUGUGAAAAGAGCUUCCAAUUGUUGAUAGAUAAGCUCACCUCCGCUCCGGUUUUGACCUUAUCGGAGGGCACCGAAGGGUUUGUACUAUAUUGUGACGCUUCCUGAGUGGGUUUGGGUUGUGUCCUCAUGUAGCAUGGUAAAGUUAUAGCUUAUGCCUCGAGACAACUCAAGGUGCAUGAGAAGAAUUAUCCAACUCAUGACCUUGAGCUAGCGGCCAUAGUCUUUGCUUUAAAGAUUUGGAGACACUAUCUCUAUGGGGUACAUGUGGAUGUCUUUAUCGACCACAAGAGUCUUCAAUAUGUUUUUAGCCAAAAAGAAUUGAAUAUCCGACAAAGGAGGUGGUUGGAACUCUUAAAAGAUUAUGAUAUGAGUGUCCUUUACCACCGAAGAUUCCCCAAACGGAGGUGUCAUGGUCCGUCAUAAUUCCGAGUCAUCGGNNNNNNNNNNNNNNNNNNNNNNNNNNNNNNNNNNNNNNNNNNNNNNNNNNNNNNNNNNNNNNNNNNNNNNNNNNNNNNNNNNNNNNNNNNNNNNNNNNNNAAUUCAGUUGCGCCAAAUUAAUUUUGUUAGUUAACCAGAAUUAAUUUAUAAGAGAAAGGAAAUGAUUUAACAACAUUGAUUAAAUAAAUUUGUCCAAAAAUAUUAUCAAUCAAUCAAAUCCGAAGCCGAAGCCGAAGCCGAGGCCGCGGUCGAGCGAGCGACGACGACGGCGCGAGGGGGCACCUUCUUCUUAACCCUUUAAGAACUAAAGGAAGUGUUUCCUAAUAUAAGGACAACAAUUUCCUCUCUUCUACCGAUAUGGUAAAAAAUGACUAUUCAUUUGCACUUUUGCAAUGACUUUUCAUUUUCCCUCCAAAAUUGGUUCCCCAUUUUCAUUGGUUCUUCCACUUUCCAUUUUCUCUUUUUAUUUCCCAUUCACUAUUUUCCAUUCACACCUUGCUAAACCCAACAAAUUUAACUUAAUUUAUUUGGAUCUGAUUUUAUACCGUUUGAGGAAAGAGUUAAAAAUCCAGUAGGGUUAUUCACAAAUUUUAACUUGUACAUAAUGUGAAUGAAAACUACUUUAUAAAAGAUAAAUAUAUAUGUAGAGUAUAUAUUUGGUAUUAAACAUAUUUAUUAAUCAUUAAUAAAUUAUUCACAAAGUGUAUAAAUUUGAUAUAUAAAUCGAUAAUAAGUGAUGAACUCUUGGUCCAAAUUAUAAUUAUCCACUAAAAUGAAUAGUUUUUAAGAAACACAACAAUUUUUAUAACUAUUUGAAUAUGAUUUUAUACCGUUUGAGGAAGGGUUAGAAAUCUAGUAGGAUUAUUCACAAAUUAUACUUGUAUAUAAUGUGAAUAAAAACUGUAUAAAAGAUAAAAUUAUAUGUUGUAGAGUAUAUAUUUGGUAUUAAACAUAUUUUGUGAUUAUUAAUGAAUUAUUCAUAAAGUGUAUAAAUUUGAUAUAUAAAUCGAUAAUAAGUGAUGAACUCUUGGUCCAAAUUAUAAUUAUCCACUAAAAUGAAUAGUUUUUAAGAAACACAACAAUUUUUAUAACUAUUUGAAUAUGAUUUUAUACCGUUAAACUCUUGCUCCAAAGUAAAAUUAUCCACUAAAAUAGAUAAUUUUUAAGAAACACGAUAAUUUUUCAUAACUAUUUGUUCACUCUUGGUCUUGCUUUGGGCCGCUGAAACUUCUGCGUAUUCGGAAUAACUUCUCUUCUAAUAUUUGGUCCACUAAGUUUGCUCCAAAUAGUAACUAUUUCUUAAGAUGAUCAAACAGAGACUCCAUAAACAAUUGAAAUUGCUGAUCAUUAAGACAUUUCCUAAAAUGAUCAAAAACAUCGAGAUCGAUAUAAGAACAUCAAUGGGUAUAUUUCUUCUUUUUCUAAAGUAAUAAAAAUGUACUUUAAAGCCAAAAAAUUUAAAAGUACGACAAUCACAUAUAUUUCAAAAAUCACAUAAAAUCAAUAAAGUUAUAAAUAUUACGGAAUGAAUACUAAAUUAUUCAUUGAGCGUAUACUUUUGAUAUGAAAAUUGGUAAUAAUUUUUUUUUUUGGGUAAAAACAUGAUAACCUACUUUAAAGGGGUACUUCAUACUUACACCCAUAAACAAUAAAUUCAAAUUUUUAUGCCUAUUUUGCAUACAAAUGAACAUAACUCGAGUUCAUACAAAAAUGUAUGCAGAAUAUAUAUCAAUCAAUAAAAAUAUGAUGCAAUAUCUAAAAAUGUAAAAAUCAUGAAAAUAAGAAAAAAGAUUGAACUUUUUAUACCUUUUGAACAACUUUCCCUUUUUGAAAAUUUGAUUUCUUCACGCGCACAUUGAAGUCUCACCCUUCAUAAUUUUUUUUGUAAUUUGUUUCUUAUACAAAAUCUAAAUAUGAAUCUUCCGAUUGCGUAGAAUCAAUAUUCUUGCAUUUUUUGAUCGUAUUGCUUCAUUGAACUGAUUUCAAUGAAAACAAUAUCACUUUCGUUGACCUCCUUAUGAUCCAUAUUUGGUGUUUGUGAGAGAAAAUCAAAGGUUGGUGGUUUACUCAAGCUAUUGUUAUUCACUAAUCUAGGACUUUUUCAGGAGUAAGGUGAGAUUUCGAAAAUAUGAAUUGAAUAAGAAAAAUACGGUACAAUAAGAAUGAAGCAUACACAGAUUUGAAAAGGGAGUGAAAUUUUAAUAUCAAAAGUGAUAAAAAUCUGUAAACAUUGAUAUGGUAGAAAAAUAUUUUGAAUAAGAUUAUGAAGAUGGUUGAAAAAAAUGUACAUUAGUUGAGAUUUUUGUCUUUUUAGGAGACGUGUGUAGUAUAAUGAUAUUCACAAUUUUCUCGGCACUAUUCCAAAAAUUGCACGUUUCUUAUAUGCGCCAAAGCUAAAAAAAUAUAUAAUUAUUUUAAUUAUUAAAUAAUUCAGAUAUAAUUAAAUUAAUUAUUAUAUAAUCUAAAUUUGUCAUCACUAGUAAUUAUUCUGUUAUAUUACUAAUUACUAAUUAGUAGGUGUAUGGGGUUCUUAUGUCUCAAAGUUAUGAAAACCUUAAAUGGGGGAGACGUAACAUAUGAACUUCCCCAUCACAAGGUUUUACAAUGUCCUUUGUGAUAGCUCCAUUAUUGCAGCUCCUUUUAAAGGAAAAACUGACAAUGGGACCAUCCAUGGAAGAGAUAUUAAAAAAUUGUUUUGAACAAAAUAACUAUAGAAAUAAAUAUUUACACGGUCUAGGUGAACUUUUGAUGUCAAAACAACACUCUAACCAGUUUACAAUUUAUAAAUAUGCCAGAUGACCUUUAACCAAUGACUAUCAUAUUUCAACUAUCGAACAAACUAUCCCACUGGAAUCUUACCAUGUGGAUAUCAAACUUUUAAAUGCAAAAGCUCUAGAAAAAUAUAGCCGAAAAUAUAAUUAUCUCCAUUCUGGGCUUGUCUAAAUCGCUGCUAAACCUCUCUCUAGGGAAGGUCUAGAUACUUCUCUUCUCCUCUGUCUAAGGGACUCAAAGUUCUUAGACUUCAAUGAUUCCCUCUUAGGAAUAGUAGAAACCAAUCUCUGCAGUGGUCAAAUUUACUUUGAUUGUUUUUCAAUAAUAUUGUUUCUCUCAAAGAUAGAAAUAUUUUGAAUUGGUUGCCUUUCUUUGAUUUGAAAAUUGCUAAAAAAACGUUUUCUUUUAAAAAAAUUUCCUUGUGAAUAAAAUUCUUUUUUAAGAUUUUCUUUAUCAAUUUGAAAAUCUUGUGUCAAAACAUCCAGCUCUCCACCUAGUGGCGAGUAAGUGGGGGAUUGAGGUUGAUCAUCAUUGAUUUCUGUCGGAGGAGGUGUUUCCACAAAAUAUUUGGCUUGCGGGAUCCUAGAGCCAAAGUUAACGGCCUCAACCCUAAAGACAGAAAUCAUCCAUGAAUACAUCCAAAUAUUCCUCCACCAUGUCAUGACGUAUUUCCAUCAUGCCUCUUUGAAAAAUUGAUGGCAAAUUGUAGAGUCCAAAGGGCAUACACUUGAAAGAAAAUUUACCACAAGGGCAAGUGAAGAUGGUCUUUUGCUGAUCCUUUUUGGUGACCAAAAUUUUGUUGUAUCCAUAAUACCCAUCUAAAAAACAAUAAUAUUCUUGACUUUUUGAGGAGUCCUACAUCUUAUAAAAUAACGGGUAAGGGUAUUUGUCCUUUGUGGUGCCUCAACUAGUUUAUGAUAAAUCCAUUAUAUAGUUACUGUUUAUGUAGAGAACAAUUCAUUUUUAAGUAGUCACCACAGUCAUGCCUCUCUUUUUAGGAAAAAAAUUAAUAAAAUUCAUCCACAAUGUCAUGACCCGCCACUUUGCCAUUCAAUUUUGCCAUAAAAUUAAGGGAGAAUAAUCUAGAGUUGUGGAGAGGUUUGUGGAAUACUCUAGAAUUUACUAGAUAUUUCCUUGGAAGGCUUAUUGGAAAGGAAUAUUCUAGAGAAAUGUGGAGAUUUCCCAAGGAAGGUUAUAAAAUAUCACGGGAAGUCCUUGGAAUGUAAUAUAGUUGUAGAGAAUUUUAGAAUAGGGACUAAAAUGUAAAUAUGUAGGGACUUGUGUAGAAAUUAUUAUUUAUACUUUGGCCCCUAUGUAUUAUAAAUAGAGGGGCUCUCAUUUGAAAAUGCAUCCAAGCAAAUCCAACAAGUUAUAAGCAUUCUCCAAGAAAUACAAAGCCUUCUUUUAAAGGUCUCUUAGUCUUUCUUUCAUUCUCUUAGCGAUCUUAAGUUUCAAAGGAAUUACUUGAGCUAACAAGAUUGUGAAAUAUUCGUAAGUAAGUGGUCAAAUGCCACACGGAGGUUUAGUGAGGCUCUAAGUCUGUAACAACAUUGUAACACCUUGGAUUACAAAAGAUGGAUUUUUUUUACAGGUUUCUGGAACUUGUGCCAGUACCAAGGGUCCAUGGAAACCUCCUAAAAUGGUCAAAGUCCCUGUACUUUUAUAUGGUUCACUAAGGCGGUUUGUUAUCCAAUGCACGAGUCAUAGGUUAUUCUAAGACUUAGAGAAAUUUUAGGAUCAAAAGUUCUGUCCCACGAUCGUGGUGCACAGUUCGUAACUGGACCUGUGGACCAUGCAGGGUCCCGUCAUUGGUGUUCCGAAAUGGUUGUCUGUGAACCCACCAACGAUUGACCAGAACUGUUUGUGGCGGAACCUACAUACCGUAGUUUAGGUCAUUGAUGAGGGUGUGACAGUUAUUUUAAAAGGGAUUUUUGGUCUUUUCCUUAUUAUUUUAACCUAAUACUAUGUCAUUUUACCUUUUAGUAUGAACCCUAUAUAAAUGUUUUUACUGCCAAAUUUCCCAACUGAUCUAAUUCUCCUAAAUUCUCAAAGUUGAUCAAAGUUCUUCCAUAAUAAUUAUCUCUCUAAAAGCUUGUAGAAGAAGGCUAUGGUUUCAAUAUCAAGUUUACAAAUUCACCAUUGAUUGUAAGAUUUUUGAAUCAAGGUAUGAUAGUAUUAAACAAUGAAGUCCUUUCCUCCAUAGUGUUCUUAGAUUGUCCAAUUUUGCAGGGUUGAAUCUCCAAUGGAAGUUAGGGUUAAAUUGUCAUAUGAUGAAGCUUUUGAAGCAUGAAAGAUGAAUUCAUGAAUAUAUGUAUGUUCUUUAUGAAAUUUAUCAAAAUGAUUUAAGGUAUGCUUUAAGAGUGAAACAUCAAUGUUGUUGAUUGUGAAAUAAUUUCUCCCAUAAAGUAUUCAUAAGGUUGAAAGGUGUUUUCACCUAAGAUGAAUAAAGUUAAGAAGCUAUUCUAAUGAUGAGGUAAUCGGCGAUUACCGAUUUCCUCUAAUGAUAAGACAAGCAGAGAAUACCCACGUCUCAUGAAUGUUAAGAUAAGUUAAGACUAAUCAAUAUUCUGAGGGAUUUAUACUUAUAACCGAGUGGAAAAGUGGUGAUUUCCAGUGUCCCUUAAACUAUGUACCACCAUAGGUUUGUCUGGAUAAACAUAAUCUAGUGGAUCCAUGUAAGCUAGAAGUUCAUGGUUAUUACCUAGACAAGUAAUAACAUCUCUUUUUGGUGUGGGUUAGAUACCAGAUUCAAUAUUUUGUCUUAUAUGGUCCCUAUGUCGGUUAAGGGUAAAUCUCCCACAAUAAUGAACUAAGGUUGCUUCUAGAAGUAUCGCAUGAAUGUUUUAAAGUGUUUAGCAUGUUGACCAUGUUUAUGAUUUAUGUUUCCUAACACUUUUAUCUUAUGUUUUAACUCGGUUAUUGCAUGACAUGUAAAUUCCUUUUUACCAUGAUUUCAUACUCUUAUGUGAUGUUAUUAUACUUGGUACAUUUCCUGUACUACCACAUACUCUUGCCUACAUUAUUUCACUCAUCUAGGGUCCAAUGCUCCCAUUUUACAUCUCUCUGGCUAGUGAUCACCUUAGUAGAUCGAAGAUUGGUGAGUCCUCAUGUUUUGAGUACCGAACCCUUUAUUUCUUGUUGUCUUUACUUUUUUGUAUUGAAUGUGAUGGAUUGGUUACGUUCCAAUCAUUAUUGAUGUAAUAGAUGGCUUUGAGGCUAUGUUAGACUUUUGCUAAUUUUUGUAAACUCUUAUGAUAUGAAUUACCUUUUAAAAUCUCUAAAUUUUCUAUUAUCUUGUAUGAUGUAUGCUAAAUGGCUUGUGUAAGGCCUCCCGGGGCCCUAUAUUCCAUGUUAUGAAUGGUAUACUUUUGGUCGUGACAAACUUGGUAUUCAAAGCACAAGGCUUAGGAAGGUCCUAGGAAGUCCUAUAAGCUACAUCAGAUAGAGUCUUGUUCAUGAUUGUGAAGCACGUGAUAAUUAUGAAUAAGAGGCUAUAUGAAGUUUAGGGAACUCCACUUCUUUCAUUACUCUAAAAUCCUGUGAUAAAGUCUCUCUAUAAUAUCUCUCUCCUAAUCUUUAUAUGGUACUUUACAGAAUAUGGCUACUCAAAGGGCAUAUAAUAGAAGGAUUGCAGAAGAGAAUGUGAAUGAGAAGCUCCCCAAGUUCCUCAAGCUCCGGCUGAUCCUUUGGCCGAACAAGUGACUAAUGUGUAGUUUAGGGCUUCUUAUCAAAUGUUGUCUCAAGACAUGACGGCUCAAGCCAAUAGGGAGGCUAUAGUCCUUGUGAACCAAAAUGUGGGUACAAUGACAACUAGUGUGAGAGACUUCACUAGAAUGAAUUAUUUGGAGUGUCAUGGUUCUAAGUUUGAAGAAGAUCCUAAGGAGUUCAAUGAUGAAGUGUAUAAGGUUUUGAUGAUCAUGGGUGUGACACUGGUGGAAUAUGUGGAAUUGGCUGCUUAUCAACUCAAGGGUGUUGCUCAACUAGGGUUCAACCAAUAGAAGGAAGAGAGAGUGGAUGAUGUGGGUCGUCCAAAAUGGGAAAAGUUUAAGGUUGCUUUCCUUGAUGGAUUCUUUCCCGUUGAAAUGAGGGAGGCUAAGGUAAUUGAUUUCAUUAAACUUUGUCAAGGAAAUAUGAAUGUGAAGGAAUAUGCUUUGAAGUUCACACAAUAGUCUCGAUAUUCUCCUACUAUAGUUGCAGAUCAUAGGAAAAGGAUGAGUAAUUCGUGUGUGUCCAAAAUUGUUGUUAAGGAAUGUCAUACCGUCAUGCUUAUCAAUGAUAUGGACAUUUCUCGUCUCAUGGUUCAUGCUCAACAAAGUGAAGAUGAGAAACUUAAAGAAAGGUCUACAUUGGUAAAGAGAGCCAAGACAGGUGAUGGUGACUUUUCACAUUCAAGGUCCGAGAGACAUUGUCGUUGUUAGUUACAAAAAAGUUUUCCGCUCAAGGAUCCCCUAAUGCUCUUCCGAAGUUCAACAAAUGUUGAGUGCCUAACCGUAAGCCUCAAGGAGGGAAUGGCGGUGGAUCUUCAUUUCUACUUGUCUGAAAUGUGGGAGAAAGCACGAGGGAAAAUGUCUAGUCGUUUCUAAUGCAUGUUUUGGUUGUGGCAAGACGGAUCAUAAGAUAAGAGGCUACCCCUCAGUUGCUAAGAAUGAAAGAGAAAAUCGUUGGCGGGCUCAACCUUAUCCUUCGUCAUGUUCUAGUUGUAAUUAGAAGUAAAACAGAAUCUAUGCACUUUAAGGUCUUCAUGAGCAAGAGGGUUCUCCGGAUGUUGUUACUAGUAUGUUGGAACUCUUCCAACUUGAAGUUUAUGAUUUACUUGACCCCAGUUCUACCUUGUAUUUUGUGAUGCUAUAUGUGGCCAUGAGGUUUGAUAUUCUUCCAGAUGUGUUGUUAGAUCCUUUUUGUCUCUCUACUCCAAUUGGUGAAUCGAUUGUAGCUAAGCGAGUCUUUAGAAAGUGUCCCAUCUCCUUAUCCCUUAUAGGCACUCAUAUUGAUCUUAUAAAGCAUGAUAUGUUAUAUUUCGAUAAUAUCCUUGGUGUGGAUUGAUUGCAUUAAUGUUAUACAUCUAUUGAUUGUAGAUCUUGAGUAGUGAAAUUGUAGUUUCAAAAUUAACCUAUCCUAGAGUUGGAAAGGGGGAAGUUCUAUGCUUAAGCGUCAGUUUGUUUCUUGUCUUAUAGCUAGAAAGAUGAUCUCUAAGGGUUGCAUAUACCAUCUUGUUUGAUUCAGGAUGUGGAUUCCGAAACCCCUACUCAUGAGUCAUUCCCCGUUUUUAAUGAGUUUUCGGAAGUGUUUAUUGAAUAUCUACCAACUGUUCCUCUCGAAAGGGAAAUAGAUUUUCAUAUCGACCUUUUCCUAGAUUGACAACUUAUCUCUAUUCCUCCUUACCAUAUGCCUCAAGCAGAACUUAAUGAAUUAGAGGAGCAAUUGAAAGAUUUGUUGAAUAAGGGUUUCAUCUGAUCGAGUAUCUCUCCAUGGGAUGCUACAUUUUUGUUUGAUCGAAAGAACGAUGGUUCACCCCGUAUGUGAAUUGACUACCGACAAUUAAACAAAAGUACAUUAAGAACAAAUAUCCUCUUCCAAGGAUAGAUGGUUUGCUUGAUCAACUUCAAGGAGCAAGUUACUUCUGUAUGAUUAACCUUAGGUUGGGUUAUCACCAAUUGAGGGUGAAAUAAGAUGACAUUAGAAAGAUGGCUUUUCGAAAUAAGUAUGUUGAUUAUGAGUUUUUGAUAAUGUAGCUAGGUUUGACUAAUGCUCCGACCGCAUAUAUAGAAUUAAUGAAUAGGUUGUUUAGACAAUACCUUGAUAUGUUUGUGAUUGUGUUCAUUGAUGAUAAAUUGAUGUCUUCCAGAAGUGAAGACGAGUAUACCGAUCAUUUGAGGAUUGUGUUGCAUGUCCUCAAGGACCAAAAACUCUUUGCAAAGUUUAGUAAAUGAGAGUUCAGGUUAAGGUCUAUAGCUAUUCUUGGUCAUAUUAUUUCUGGUAAGGGUAUUGAAGGACCCUAAGAAGAUGGAUGCGGUAAGGAGUUGGUCUAGACCUCUAUCCCCUUCAGAUAUUAUAAAAUUCUUGGGAUUGGUUGGUUACUAUAUAGAUUUGUGGAAGGGUUUUCUUUAAUUGUCUAUCCAUUCACAGCACUGACCAAAAGAAAGGUUAAGGUCUGAAGCGUGUAAAAGAUUUUCCAAGAAUUGAAAGAUAAAGUUACUUCCGCUCUGGUGUUAACUCCAUCGGAAGGAACUUAUUGAUUUGUGGUGUAUUGUGAUGCUUCAAGAAUUGGGUUGGAAUUUGUCCUUGUACAAAAUGGGAAAGUCAUUGCCUAUUCUUUAGGGUAAUUUAAGAUUCAUGAAAAGAAUUAUCCUACCCAUUACCCUGAACUAGAGGCGGUUGUGUUUUCUCUAAAGAAUUGGAGGCAUUACUUUUAUAGUGUGCACGUAGAUGUUUUUACCGACCACAAGAUUUUUCAAUAUGUGUUUAACAGAAAGAUUGGAAUCUUCACCAACGGAGGUGGCUUUAAUUAUUAAAGGAUUAUGAAAUGAGUGUUCUCUAUUACACUAAGAAGGCGAAUGUGGUGGUGGAUGCUCUUUGUUGGUUUUUUUGAUGGGUAGUAUUGCGCAUAUUGACGAUGAUAAAAAGGAGUUGGUUCGAGACAUUCAUAGAUUGGACUGAUUGUGUGUUUGAUUCGUUGACUCUACAAAAGGUGUUGUUAUGUUUGACAAUGGUUCUGAAUAGUCUUUUGUGGCAUAUGUAAAAACGAAACGAAGCAAGGUAUUUAUCCAAUUUUUAUCCAAAUGAAGGAAGCGAUGCUUAAAUAGUCCGUCGAGGCAUUCUCCUAAGGGGAGAUUGUGUGCUUCAAUAUCAAGGUCGUUUGUGUGUUCCUAAUGUUUAUUAAUAGAGAGAGAAAAUCUUGACAGAAGCCCAUAGUUCUCGGAAUUCAAUUAACUGGGGAGCCACCUAGAUGUACCGCGACUUUCGAGAGGUCUAUUGGUGGAAUUGGAUGAACAAGUAUAAUUCGAAAUUUGCGGCUUAGUUUCCUAAUUAUCAUCAAGAGGUGAGCAUCAAAAACUUGGAGGUUUAUCCCAAGAUAUUAGAAUUCUGACUUAAAAGUCGAAAGAUUUUAAUAUGGAAUUCAGUGUUGGUUUACCUCACUCCCGACAGAAGCAUGACUCUAUUUAAGUUAUUGUAGAUCGAAUUCUGAAAUCCGCCCAAUUAAUUCCAGUCAAUGUUUCUUAUUCGAUGAAGGACUAUGCUAAGUUGUAUUUGAGUAUCUCCGAUCGUGGUAUCCAAUUCACUUCUCCAUUUUGGAAAUCUUCCCAAAAGGGCCAUGGUAGUAUGUUAACCUUAGUAUAACAUUUCAUCCACAAACCAAUGGGCAAGAUAUUUUGUGAGCAUGUGUAAUUGACUUCAAGGGUAACUGGGAUGAUCACUUGCAUUUUAUUGAAUUUGCAUAAAAUAAUACCUAUCACUCAAGCAUCUGUAUGGCUCCAUUUGAGGCUCUAUUUGGUAGGAGGUGUAGAAUCCUAUAGGUUUGUUUGAAAUGGGUGAAGUUGCAUUGAUAGGUCUUGAGUUGGUGCAUGAGGCUAUGGAGAAAGUUCGGCUUAUUAGAGAAAGGUUGAAAACGGCUCAAAGUCGACAAAAAGUCCUAUGCUGAUGUUAGAAGGAGACACCUUGAGUUUGAGGUUGAUGAUGGGGUCUACUUGAAAAUCUCAUCAAUGAAGAGCGUGAUGAGCUUCGGGAGGAAAGGGAAUCUUAGUCCCCGUGAUGUAGGCCCAUUUCAUAUUUUGAGGCGUAUUGGUAAUGUUGCUUAUUGUCACGACCCAAGAUACCCCUAGGCGAAAUAUGGCUUAAAGGACCACGAGAGGCCCCAUACAAGCCACUUAGAAUUCAUAACAUAACCAAUAGAACAAAAGGGAUAAACAAGAACAUUUCAAGUCCCAAAAUUUUUAUAAAAGUAAAACGGAAGUCUAAACACUUGUCUCAUUAGCCAUCUAGUACAUAAGAAUGAAAUUGGGCCUAGCCCAUACAUCAUGUCCAAAACUGAAGGUAAGAAAUGAAACUCAAAACAAUGAUAAUCCAUCCUGGAAUCACCAGGACUACCAAAGCUCGAAAUCUCUCAAAUCAACCUCUAGCCACAAAAUUGAGAACCCUCACUGUCAGACCCUACAUUUUGGGGAAAUGUAGGCAAGAGUAUGCAUUUGUACAAACAUGUACCAAGUAUGAUAGCCAUAGAUAUAAACAUUUAAUUCAUGUUAAAAUAGGACAUUUUCACAAACAUGCAAUGAUCAAGCUAUAGCACGAAAUUUGAGAGUUAGGAAGAAUAAGUCAUAAGACAUGAUCAAUGCAAGUGAAUAUCAUCUUGAAACAUACUUACGAUACUUCUUGAAGUAACCUUGGUUCAUCAUAACUUUACUUGUUUGUUGGAAGUAGCCUUAACCGACAUAUAAUACCAUUAGAGCUAUCAUAAUGGAAUCCAGUGUCUACCCCACACUGAAAAUGAGUUAUCCUACUUGCCACAGUAAGGACCCUAAGAACCUUUAUUAUGUGAGAAAUCCUUUCACAAAUCAUACUUUCAUGUGUGUAAAAGAAAUUCUUUCAACAAGACAACGACAACAACCUCAUUAUUGAUAAUUCACUCUUAAAGCAUCCUUACAACAUUUACAUCAAUUUCAUAAGAACAUGCAUAAUUUCAUAAUUCACCUUUCAAGGUUCAAAACCUACUUUCAAUCCACAAUGUCUAUAAAGCAUGAGUUAGACAUGGGUUUAUAGAAAUUCAUCAUAAUUUCAUAUAAUUCCAUCAAAUCUUAAUUUCAUAAAACUCUUCUUUCACCACAUUAUAUGUUCAUAGCUUUAAAAACAUGGGAAUUACAUGGGUUCAUAGGGGAUCAUUAUAAAAACAUAAUAUUAACUCAAUUCAUGCAUAAACUAUCUUAAAUCCAUCAACUAAAUCAAUAGUCAAGAGAACCCAGAAAAUAGAAGAAAACCCGAACUCAAUUGGGGAAUUCGAACUUUAAAAAAUAGGAGAAUUCGGGAACUCCAUAUAUGGAAUGAAUCCAUGGAUUAAAAGUACCAUACCUUAAUGCCAAAACCUUUCCUUCAAUGGUGGAAUUAGAGACUUGCCUUGAAACCCUAGGUUGAACCCUUCUUCUUCAAGUUUCUAGACAGAGAAAUAUUUUGGGAGAGAAGACUUGUUCUUCUUUUGUAAAUUUAAGAAAAUGACUUGAAUGGUUGUGUUUUUUUUGUUAAAAUCACUUAUAUAGGGGUUCUAGGUAAGGGGAAAACGAUAUAGUAUCAAGGUAAAAUAAUUAAGAAAAGACCCAACUGCCCUUAACUUACAGUUGAUGCGAACCUCUGGAGAGAGGCCCACACGAGCCGUUAAGGACAUCACGGGCCGUAGUGAAAACCAUGGUCCUUGACUAGUGGCUUGGGAAGGCUCUAAGUUGCCUUAGACAACCUCAAAACCACCAUCAUGACCCGUUUGGCUCUUCACGAGCCGUCCAGGUCAUCGUGAGAGGAGGCUGCCUUGGGGAGCAUACUGCCUACUCCUUCGCUGGAACCACCACGAGUCGUGGUGACCCUUUACGAGGUGUCUAAGAGAUCACGGGAGAAGAGCAAAUCUUGGCCAACCUCUGGAAGGCUCCACUAGCACCAACCAAUGGAAGGCUCCAUGAAGGGUUCCUUGUCUUAGUGGAGGGCUUGUAACCUCCCACUUGACCCCCUUUCUGGAGUUCUUGAUUGUGGGGUAUUACAUUAUCUCCCUCUUGGGAAUAUUCAUCCUAAAAUGGGAUCCUAGAUAUAACAUGAAUAAAAGAACUCUAAACUAGAAACCCUUCAUGUAUGCAAUCACAUAAAUGCACAUAUCCUAGGAGGAACACAUUAACUCCAAGCUAAAGAAUGUUCAAAACAUCAUAUCAUUGUAACACCCCGGAUUCAAAUGAGGAAAGCUUGGAAUUUUUUUAGAAAGUGCAGGUGUCACCCACAAGGUCCAACCACGCCCCUAAGUGGGCUUCGCGGGUGGGGCAUAUUGGGAAACUGCUUAAGGCAGAACCACGACCAGGACCCACACCCCGUGAAAGGGUCCACGUCUUGUGAUUAGGGGGUCCAUCGAUUAGCCAAAAUCUCUGUCCAAACCACGCUUGACCAAGAUGGACAGUAGGUCUCUCCACGUUCCAUCGGUGGGGUCUCUUGGUUGGACAUUUUGGGACAGUUGAGGUUGUUAGGUUUAGGGGGAUCAACGUCAUUUCCAGUUUUAAUAAAAUCAAUAUGGUGUCAUUUUUCCUAAGUAUAAAACACCUAUAUAAGUAUUUUUAACACCAAAAUCCCCCAAUUAAGUCAUUCUCUUAAAAUCCCAAAAGAAUUCCCAAAACUCUUCUCAAAUAUUCUGCUUCUAGAAGUUGGAAGAAGAAGAAGGAGAUUCAAGCUAGGUCAAGGUCAAGUCUCCAAAACCUUAAGAUUGUGAAGUAUUUGUAAUCAAGGUAUGAUGGCUUUUCAUCCAUGGGAACCUUCCUCCCAUGGAGUCCCUUAGAAUUCAAUAAUUUGAAGAAGAAUUCCCCAAUUCUAGUUAGGGUUUUUUCCAUUGUUGUUGGUUAUGAUGAAUGUUGAUCCAAUUGAGUGGAGUAUGAUUUUUUUAUGAUUGAAAUGAUAGAAUUGGAUGUAUUUAGGAUGAAAUUACAUGUGCGCAUGCCUAUCCUAUGAUUUUAAGGUUGAAUUGACAUAGUGGGUUUGAUGCCAUGUGAGGGAAACUCUAUGGGUUAGAUAUAUCCUUAUAGGAUUGAUGAAUUAUGACUAUAAUUGCUUCGAUUGAAGCAUAUAUGAUUAAUAUGAUAUUUUUUUCUUGAAAGUAAAGAAUAGAUGAUGAUCAUGGGAUGUAGUACUUUGAGAGUAAAUCCUAGACUAUGAAUUGUUGAUUGUUAAUGUUAUGAUGUGGAAGAUAUAGUUCUUAUAGUGAAUUGACAAGCAUGAUUGAAUGAAUGUGAAAAGUUAUUCACAUGGACUAUUCUAGGUUGAAAGGAUUGCUCACCUAAAAUGAAUCUAGACUAAAAUGCUAAGUGAAUGAUGAGGUUAGAGGCGAUUACCCUUGACCUCCAUAUGCAAGGAUAUGAGGUUAUUCCCAUACUCCUUAGAAUUGAACAAGAGGUUAGUCCCCACGUUCCUACUAUGACGAAUGGACAUGGAGGCGAGUAGCCAUGCUCCAUAUGAAAUGAUGUGGAGGCAAGUACCCGUGUCAUAUGAUGAGGUUUUGGAGGCGAGUACCCACAAUCUAAAAGUAAGUAACGCAAGAGGCGAAUACCCAUUAGCCUUUAUAAGCUAGUCAUUGAGGCGAAUCCACAUGUCUUUAAUAGUAAGUAUAAUUAAUGUAAUAAUGUUAUGAAGUUGACUUGUUUAGAGAGUUGCUAGAUAUGCCUUCCAUGAUGUAAGCUUGACUAGAGGUAGAUGACUUAAGUCUUGGCUAUGCUUAAGUGAGGUUACUUAAGGGAGUAUUCCUCUUUCACUAUGAUGCUUACUAUCUAUUGAUUAUGCUCAUGCCUUAUGUCUUAUAAUGACUAAUGCUUAUGAUUAUGCUGUUUAUGCUAUCUAUCAUAUUUAGUACUUGAUUGUACUAACACAUACUCUUGCCUGCAUUCUUAUCAAAUGUAGGGUCCACUAUUCCCCAUUUACACACUUGAGGCGAGGUUCCUAGAGAUUUGUGAAAUGAAGGUUUGGUGAGUCCUCACUAUAUUUGAGGAUUGGAUCACCCUAUCUCUUUUAUGUCUUUCUUUUAUGCUGAGACUAUUGUAUGGGCUGUGUCCUAAGAUUUAUAUUCUCUUAUGUUUAGAUGGUCUGAGACAACGUCAUGUUAGACUUCCGUUUGCUUUUAUAAAAAGACUUUGAUUUUAGUGAAUUUUUUUUAGUUCCCGCUCAUUUCUACUACAUUAUUAUAUGAUAUGCUAUGUGGCUUGUAUGAGGCCUCUCGGGGCCUUGUAUGCCUUGUUACAUCUAGGGGGUACCCCUGGGUUGUGACAAACUUGGUAAUCAGAGCACAAGGUUUAGAACAAUUCUAGGAUGUCUGAAACCACGUCUAGUAGAGUCUUGUUUGUAAGUCUGAAGCACACCACAUUUAUGAAUAUUAGGCAAAUAAAUGUUUAGGAAAUUUCACUUCUUCACUUCUCUAAGUCGUGCCAUAGAAUUUAACUCUAUAAGUCUUUCUCCUAAUCCAUGCUCGAUGGUUUUAAGGAUGACAACUAGAAGGGGUAAUACUAGAAGGUUGGAGGUAGGCAAUAUUGAGUAAGAGGUUCCUCCAAAAGCUUCUCCUCAAUCUCCGAAUGACCCAUUAAAUGAGAAUGUGACUAAUCCAGAGCUUAGGUCAGCAUUCCAAGUGUUGGCUCAAGCCGUGACGGCACAAUCUGACAGAGGGGUGGUAGCCGCCGUGAAUCCAAGUGUUGUUACGACGACGACAAGAGUGAGGGAUUUCACCAAAAUGAACCCUCCCAAAUUUUAUGGCUCCAAACUUGAGGAAGACCCUCAAGAGUUUAUCGACUAGGUCUAUAAGGUGCUUGCUAUCAUGGGUGUGACUUCGGUACAGAAGGCGGAACUAAAUGCUUACCAACUCAAGGGGGUUGCUCAGAUUUUGUUUAAAAAGUAGAAAUAGGCAAGGCCGGUGGAAGCGGGUCCCAUAGAAUGGGAGAGGUUCAAAAGUGCAUUUAUUGACAGAUUCUUCCCUCUAUAGAUGAUAGAGGCCAAGGUACUUGAUUUUAUCAACCUUAGGCAAGGAAAUAUGAGUGUAAGGGAGUACGGUUUGAGGUUCACUCAACUAUCCAAGUACUCCUUCCAUUGUGGUGGAUAUUAGGGCCAAGAUGAGUAAAAUUGUGUAGGGAGUAUCCGACAUGGAAGUCAAAGAGUUCCGCACUUCUAUGCUUGUUCAUGACAUGGAAAUUUCUCGCCUUAUGGGGCAUGCCUAAAAAAUUGAGGAAGAAAAGCUCAAGGAAAGAUAUAGAGAGGCAAAGAGAGCAAAAGUGGAUGAUGGCAAAUAUUCCAUGCUAGGUCCAUUGGACGGGGUCGUUUAAGGUUCCGACAAAAGUUCUUGAGGGAAGGUUCCUCAAGUGCUCCUUUCCUUGAAGGCCUAAUAAUGAGAGGUUGUCUAACCCAAAAUCUCAAGGAGAUGUUAAUAGGCCUCCUAUGCCUACUUGUUCUAAAUGUUGGAGAAAUCAUGCAGGGAAGUGUCUAGCGGGCUCUAAUGCUUGUUUUGGGUGUGGCAAAACGGAUAAUAAAACAAGGAAUUAUCCUUUGGUUUGUAAGAAUGAUGGAGAUGGUCGUUGUAGGGCUCAAACCUACCCUUCAUCCGGUCCGAGUGGUUCGGGUGGAAAUGCUCGUAAGCAAAACUAUUUUUAUGCUCUCCAAACUAGUAGUGAUUAAGAGAGUUGCUUGGAUGUUGUGAUUGGUAUGUUAAGAGUAUGCCAUAUAGAUGUGUAUGCUUUACUUGAUAUGGGUGCGACUUUGUAAUUUGUGACUAUUUUUGUAGCUAAUAGAUUUGAUAUCCUUCCUGAUAUAUUGUUAGAACCUUUUUCUGUCUCUACCCCUGUUGGUGAUUCUGUGGUGGCAAAGAGGGUUUAUAGAAAAUGUCCCAUUUCCUUGUCGCAUAGUGUUACUUUGGUUGAUUUUAUAGAACUUGACAUGAUAGAUUUUGAUGUCAUCUUGGGUAUGGAUUGGUUGCAUUCUUGUUAUGCCUCUGUUGAUUGAAGGACUAGAGUGGUCAAUUUUAGUUUCCAAAUGAGCAUAUACUUGCGUGGAAGGGGCGAAAUUCUAUGCCUAGAGGUCAAUUUGUUUCUUACCUAAAAGCUAGGAAAAUGAUCUCGAAAGGUUGUGUCUACCAUAUACUGAGGGUGAGGGAUAUGGAGUUUGAUGCUCCUACUCUUGAGUCGGUCCCUAUUGUAAUACGGUUUCUGGAAGUUUUCCCCGAUGAUUGACCUAGUGUUCCUCCCAAAUGGGAAAUAGACUUUGGGAUUGACCUUCUCCCCGAUACCUAACCAAUCUGUAUUCCUCCUUAUAGAAUGGCUCCGAUGGAACUAAAGGAGUUAUAGGAAUUGUUAAAGAUCUUAUUAGAUAAGGGUUUCAUACGACCAAGUAUGUCUCCAUGGGGUGCAUCGGUGUUAUUUAUUAAGAAGAAAGAUGGUUCACUCCGUAUGUGUAUUGAUUACCGCCAAUUGAACAAAGUGACCAUCAAGAAUAAGUAUCCUCUUCCAAGAAUAUAUGACUUAUUUGAUCAACUCCAUGGGGUAAUUUAUUUCCCAAAAAUUGAUCUCCAGUCGGGUUAUCACCAAUUAAGGGUGAAAGAGGAAGAUAUUCCAAAAAUAACUUUUAGAACCCGAUAUGGUCAUUAUGAGUUCCGGGUUAUGUCUUUUGGUUUGACAAAUGCCCAAACGAUGUUUAUGGACUUGAUAAUAGGAUGUUUAGACAAUACCUUGAUAUGUUCGUAAUUAUGUUCAUUGAUGAUAUUUUGAUCUUUUUGAGGAGUGAGAAUGAACAUAUUGAUCAUUUGAGGAUUGUAUUGAAAUUUUUAAGGACCAACAAAUCUAUGCAAAGUUUAGUAAAUGUGAGUUUUGGUUAAGGUCUGUAACUUUCCUUGGCCAUAUAGUUUUACGCAAGGGUAUUGAGGUAGAUCCAAAGAAGACGAAUGCGGUCAAGAGUUGGCCUAGAUCUCUAUCAUCGACAAAUAUUAGAAGCUUUUUGGGUUUGGCCAGUUAUUAUAGAAGGUUUGUUGAGGGGUUUUCUUCCAUUUCUUAUCCUUUGACGACCUUGACUCAAAGAAGGCCAAGUUUAUAUGGUUCGAAGCUUGUGAGAAAAAUUUUCAAGAGUUGAAAGAUACACUUACAUCUGCUCCGGUGUUGACCUUACUAGAUGUACAAAUGGGUUUGUAGUAUAUUGUCACACCUCUAGAGUGAGUUUGGGAUUUGUGCUUAUGAAAAAUGAUAAGGUGAUUGCCUAAACAUCGGGGAAACUAAAUCUUCAUGAGAAGAACUAUCAUACCCACGAUCUUGAAUUAGCAGCGGUUGUAUUUUCCUUAAAGAUUUGGAGGCACUAUUUGUAUAGGGUCCAUUUUGAUGUGUUUACCUAUCACAAGAGCUUGUAAUAUGUGUUUACCCAAAGAGAUCUAAAUCUUUGCCAAAGAAGGUGGCUUGAGUUAUUGAAAGAUUAUGAUAUGAGUGUUAUCUAUCACCCCGGUAAAGCAAAUGUAAUGGUGGAUGCCUUAGUUGGUUGUUCAUGGGUAGUGUUGCACAUGUUGAUGAUGAGAGAGAAGAGUUGGUUCUAGAUUUUCAUAGGUUGGCCCGAUAGGGAGUUCAACUAGUGGAUUCCACCUAGGUGGUAUUAUGGUCCAUAAUGGUUAUGAAUCGUCUUUCAUGGCCGAUGUUAAAGAAAAGCAAUGUCUUGAUCCGACCUUAGUCGAAUUGAAAGAGGUGGUUCUAAAGAAGUCUGUAGUCGCUUUCUCCCAAGGGGGAGAUGGAGUCUUAAGGUACCAAGGUCGUUUAUGUGUUCUGGAUGUCGAUGAUUUAAGGGAACAAAUUUUAUUUGAAGCCCAUAGUUCUCGGUAUUCUAUUUACCCAGGAGCCACCAAGAUGUACUGUGAUUUGCGGGAGAUCUAUUGGUGGAAUGGGAUGAAGAAGGAUACUACGAGAUUUGUGGCUAAGUGUCCUAAUUGCCAAAAAGUGAAGGUUGAGCAACAGGGACCGGGAGGUUUAUACCAAGAUAUUGUCAUUCCUACUUGGAAGUGGGAAGAUUUGAAUAUGUACUGCAUAGUAGGGUUUCCAUGAACUUGGCACCAAUAUGAUUCGAUAUGGGUUAUAGUAGACCGAAUGAACAUGUCGGCCCAAUUCAUUCCUGUCAAAGUUUCUUAUACGGUGGAAGAUUAUGCUAAGUUGUACUUGAGGGAGAUGGUAAGGUUGUAUGGAGUGCCCUUGUCCAUUAUUUCCGAUAGAUGUAUUCAGUUUACUUCACAAUUUUGGAAGUCAUUCCAAAAGGGUCUUGGCACUAAAGUUAAGCUUAGCACAACUUUUCACCCCCAAACCGAUGGCAAGAGGAAAGAACAAUCCAAACAUUGAAAGUCAUGUUGAGGGCUUGUGUGAUAGAUUUCAAGGGAAAUUAGGGUAACCAUUUUCCCUUGAUUGAAUUUGCCUAUAGUAAUAGCUAACAUUCGAGUAUUGGUAUGGCUCAUUUUGAGGCUCUUUGUGGUAGGAGGUGUAGAUCCCCUAUUGCAUGGUUUGAGGUGGGUGAGGUUGCCUUGAUAGGGCCCGAGUUAGUUCAUGAGGAUAUUGAGAAGGUUUGACUCAUUAGAGAGUGGUUGAGUACGACCCAAAGUUGACAAAAGUCUUAUGUGGAUUUUAGAAGGAGAGACAUUGAAUUUGAUAUGCAUCAUUGGGUUUACUUUAAAAUGUCACCCAUGAAGGGUAUAAUGAGGUUUUGGCAAGAAAGGGAAACUUAGUCCCCGUUUUGUAGGCCCAUAUCAAAUUUUGAGAAGUGUUGGUAAGGUUGCCUAUGAGAUUGAUUUUCCAAAUGAGUUGGCCACAGUGCAUCCGAUUUUCCAUGUCUCAAUGUUGAAAAAGUGUGUUGGAGAUCUGACAUCCAUAAUUCCCCUUGAAGGGUUAGAAGUGAAAGAGAACCUUUCUUAUGCAGAAGUUCCGGUUGAGAUCCAAGACUGGCAAGUAAAGAGGUUGAGGAACAAAGAGGUUGCUUCGGUUAAGGUGUUAUGGAGAAAUUGUAAACACCCCUAAAAUACUAGAUCAACUCUUGCAUGUCGAUGCAUCAUUUCUUAAUUACUACAAUAUGCUUUACUCUUAUUUUGGGAACUUGAAAUUUUAUGAUAUAUGCAACCUUGCUUAAAAUAAAUUAUGCUCGUAAUUUAAGGUAUUGUAUGGGGGUAUUUACGUAAUUUUUCUAAUUAAAAUUACAUAUGAAUGAAAGUGUUGGUAACAAUUAUAUACAUAUAGGUGUAUAUGUAUACAUUUAGGGCAGCUCACAAUAAAAUGGGGCAGCACCCUUUAGGGACAGUUGUAUAUGUGACUAAGCAUCACUCAUUAGACUAUAUUAUCACACCUCCUCUUGUGAUUUUCGUUAGGAACUGAAGUCCAAGAACCUAUGAACAUUUUCUAACCAAUUUUUCAUCCAAAUCACAAGAGAAAACCUUGGUCCUUCUAGCUGAAAGUCGAGACAUCCUGCCUUUUGGUUGUAUAUCCUCGUGUACGAGUUGAAGACUUUGAUACGCUGGUUGGUCUACGAUUUUAACUCGUGAAGUUGUGUUGGACUGUUUUUGUGCUAAAGAACUGAGGUUUGUGUAUAAACCUAUACUUGUAUUUUCUUUACCUGCUGGUUAUCUGAAAUUUAUCUUGGUACCUUGGUUAAAUCUUGUCACUUUGCAUUGUCAUAUUGGUAUUCUUUAAUACAUUAAAGACGCUUGUGUAAUUCGCCCACUUGUACAGAUUGUCUAAUCACUUGGCACUCUUGUUGGGACCUUGUCCUUCUUGUGGCUGUGACUUCAUCACUCUUGGCAUGCCUCUUGGUUCGGAUCAUUUCCAUCUUGACUCUGGAUUUUUAGUUCGUCUAAAGAAUGGAAGUUGUCCAUUUUAAGUACGAACUAGGAAGCCAUUUUUAAUAUGGUUCUUGGUUCUCUUGAUUAUUGGGUUUUGACCCUUCUUGAUGUAGGGCGUUGAUCCUUCUUGAUACCUUCUCGUGCUUAGUGUGACAACAUGAUAUAUAUAUUGGGUGAGCCUUGUUGUUGAAUCUCUUGAAAAGUUGUGCUAUGAACAUUCUUGUCAUUUGGUCCUUUCAAUAUUGAACUUCAUACUCCUUGUAUAUUAUUUACUUGAUUUAUUGAUUUUGUUUUGAUCGUGCUGCCCUUGACUUGAGAAUGAUAACUUGUCGAAUUUGAGAGCUCCAAACCUAUAGUUUUUACACCACUAAGCUAUAUUCUUAGCGAUAGUUUUUUCUAUCGUAGGGGCUGUCCGCGAUGAUGCUUGAAGCUGGCCAUUGGAGAUGCAUAUUUUGAAAGCCUUAAGGAAGAUCACAUUUGCAUAUAGGCAUCUAUAUUUUGUAUAAACCUUGGGACUUGUACAUGAUCUUUGUGCUGUAUAUUUACAUGAGAUUUUGAGGGCUAAUUUGGUCAUGUCACCAUGGGUUGUAAUAUAAGUAUGGUUAUACAUUUUAUCUUUUUGGGGUGUGUAAACCCAAGUUUUGUAAUAUACUUAUUUUUCUAUAUGUCUUGAAAAGUUGUGUGAAGCAUGAGUUGGCUGAUUUCGGUACUCGAAAGUGUAAUAUUCUUGUUAUUUCACCCUCGAGUGUGAGGUUAAUAUAUGCAUGAAGAUCUGGUCGGUUAAUUGCCAAAUUUGUUUUUCUUUUAAGUUCGUUAUGAAUCUAAUCCCUAUACUAGAUUAAAAUCAGUAUGCCUCUAUUAAUUGGUUUUGGUUGUUGCGAGUAUUUAAUUAGAUUUCUUGUUUAAGUAGUGGUACCAUUUUGAAAGGGUCGCUACAAGUGUUGGUAUCAGAGCCAGGUUUGUGGUUCUAGGACUUUUGUUGUGAAUUACUAAUAUAGUUGUUUGCUUUCAAAAAGGUUCUAUUUAGAUUAUUUGUUCGCUUAUAUGGUAUAUGAUAAUUGCAUCGCAUGUAGAGUGCAUAUGCAUUUAGUACACAUCCCUAAUGCAAUGUGAUCUUCCCUUUUGAAGGAAUUAAGUUAUGGCCACUUCUUUUGACCGACCUAUGGAAGCUGCUCGUGGAGGUUCGGGUGCCUCUGUUUCCCAACCUCAUGCAUUGGAAGGGGUUGGAGAACAUAUCUCUAAUCAGUAUGUUCCCCACACUAGUGGUUCUGAAGUGGAAAACCAUCAGGGUGUAAGAGAUGAUCCACAUCCUCACAUGAAUCAUGGUCCUCAAUUCAUGAAUCCUCAUUUUCAACAAAUGGCUGAAUUCUUCCACCAUAUGGCUGAAUAGAUGCAUGAUCCCCACAGGAUUAACUUUAAGAAAAUGAGGAAAAUGGGUGGAGUGGAGUUUGAAGGCACUGUUGAUCCCACAGAUGCUGAACAAUGGCUUGAUCGCAUGGAGAGGGUAUUUGAGCAGUUGGAGUGUUCAGAUGUUNNNNNNNNNNNNNNNNNNNNNNNNNNNNNNNNNNNNNNNNNNNNNNNNNNNNNNNNNNNNNNNNNNNNNNNNNNNNNNNNNNNNNNNNNNNNNNNNNNNNNNNNNNNNNNNNNNNNNNNNNNNNNNNNNNNNNNNNNNNNNNNNNNNNNNNNNNNNNNNNNNNNNNNNNNNNNNNNNNNNNNNNNNNNNNNNNNNNNNNNNNNNNNNNNNNNNNNNNNNNNNNNNNNNNNNNNNNNNNNNNNNNNNNNNNNNNNNNNNNNNNNNNNNNNNNNNNNNNNNNNNNNNNNNNNNNNNNNNNNNNNNNNNNNNNNNNNNNNNNNNNNNNNNNNNNNNNNNNNNNNNNNNNNNNNNNNNNNNNNNNNNNNNNNNNNNNNNNNNNNNNNNNNNNNNNNNNNNNNNNNNNNNNNNNNNNNNNNNNNNNNNNNNNNNNNNNNNNNNNNNNNNNNNNNNNNNNNNNNNNNNNNNNNNNNNNNNNAAGCCUAGACCAGAUUUUGGGGGUCCAUCCAAAAGGGGAAGGUUUGAUAAUUCUAAGGCCAGUAGUGAUAACAGGCCACCUAAACAAAGGCAAAACAGAUCAGAAUUUUUUACAGCUAGCACUCCAAAUUAUGGCCAAGGCAAGCCUNNNNNNNNNNNNNNNNNNNNNNNNNNNNNNNNNNNNNNNNNNNNNNNNNNNNNNNNNNNNNNNNNNNNNNNNNNNNNNNNNNNNNNNNNNNNNNNNNNNNNNNNNNNNNNNNNNNNNNNNNNNNNNNNNNNNNNNNNNNNNNNNNNNNNNNNNNNNNNNNNNNNNNNNNNNNNNNNNNNNNNNNNNNNNNNNNNNNNNNNNNNNNNNNNNNNNNNNNNNNNNNNNNNNNNNNNNNNNNNNNNNNNNNNNNNNNNNNNNNNNNNNNNNNNNNNNNNNNNNNNNNNNNNNNNNNNNNNNNNNNNNNNNNNNNNNNNNNNNNNNNNNNNNNNNNNNNNNNNNNNNNNNNNNNNNNNNNNNNNNNNNNNNNNNNNNNNNNNNNNNNNNNNNNNNNNNNNNNNNNNNNNNNNNNNNNNNNNNNNNNNNNNNNNNNNNNNNNNNNNNNNNNNNNNNNNNNNNNNNNNNNNNNNNNNNNNNNNNNNNNNNNNNNNNNNNNNNNNNNNNNNNNNNNNNNNNNNNNNNNNNNNNNNNNNNNNNNNNNNNNNNNNNNNNNNNNNNNNNNNNNNNNNNNNNNNNNNNNNNNNNNNNNNNNNNNNNNNNNNNNNNNNNNNNNNNNNNNNNNNNNNNNNNNNNNNNNNNNNNNNNNNNNNNNNNNNNNNNNNNNNNNNNNNNNNNNNNNNNNNNNNNNNNNNNNNNNNNNNNNNNNNNNNNNNNNNNNNNNNNNNNNNNNNNNNNNNNNNNNNNNNNNNNNNNNNNNNNNNNNNNNNNNNNNNNNNNNNNNNNNNNNNNNNNNNNNNNNNNNNNNNNNNNNNNNNNNNNNNNNNNNNNNNNNNNNNNNNNNNNNNNNNNNNNNNNNNNNNNNNNNNNNNNNNNNNNNNNNNNNNNNNNNNNNNNNNNNNNNNNNNNNNNNNNNNNNNNNNNNNNNNNNNNNNNNNNNNNNNNNNNNNNNNNNNNNNNNNNNNNNNNNNNNNNNNNNNNNNNNNNNNNNNNNNNNNNNNNNNNNNNNNNNNNNNNNNNNNNNNNNNNNNNNNNNNNNNNNNNNNNNNNNNNNNNNNNNNNNNNNNNNNNNNNNNNNNNNNNNNNNNNNNNNNNNNNNNNNNNNNNNNNNNNNNNNNNNNNNNNNNNNNNNNNNNNNNNNNNNNNNNNNNNNNNNNNNNNNNNNNNNNNNNNNNNNNNNNNNNNNNNNNNNNNNNNNNNNNNNNNNNNNNNNNNNNNNNNNNNNNNNNNNNNNNNNNNNNNNNNNNNNNNNNNNNNNNNNNNNNNNNNNNNNNNNNNNNNNNNNNNNNNNNNNNNNNNNNNNNNNNNNNNNNNNNNNNNNNNNNNNNNNNNNNNNNNNNNNNNNNNNNNNNNNNNNNNNNNNNNNNNNNNNNNNNNNNNNNNNNNNNNNNNNNNNNNNNNNNNNNNNNNNNNNNNNNNNNNNNNNNNNNNNNNNNNNNNNNNNNNNNNNNNNNNNNNNNNNNNNNNNNNNNNNNNNNNNNNNNNNNNNNNNNNNNNNNNNNNNNNNNNNNNNNNNNNNNNNNNNNNNNNNNNNNNNNNNNNNNNNNNNNNNNNNNNNNNNNNNNNNNNNNNNNNNNNNNNNNNNNNNNNNNNNNNNNNNNNNNNNNNNNNNNNNNNNNNNNNNNNNNNNNNNNNNNNNNNNNNNNNNNNNNNNNNNNNNNNNNNNNNNNNNNNNNNNNNNNNNNNNNNNNNNNNNNNNNNNNNNNNNNNNNNNNNNNNNNNNNNNNNNNNNNNNNNNNNNNNNNNNNNNNNNNNNNNNNNNNNNNNNNNNNNNNNNNNNNNNNNNNNNNNNNNNNNNNNNNNNNNNNNNNNNNNNNNNNNNNNNNNNNNNNNNNNNNNNNNNNNNNNNNNNNNNNNNNNNNNNNNNNNNNNNNNNNNNNNNNNNNNNNNNNNNNNNNNNNNNNNNNNNNNNNNNNNNNNNNNNNNNNNNNNNNNNNNNNNNNNNNNNNNNNNNNNNNNNNNNNNNNNNNNNNNNNNNNNNNNNNNNNNNNNNNNNNNNNNNNNNNNNNNNNNNNNNNNNNNNNNNNNNNNNNNNNNNNNNNNNNNNNNNNNNNNNNNNNNNNNNNNNNNNNNNNNNNNNNNNNNNNNNNNNNNNNNNNNNNNNNNNNNNNNNNNNNNNNNNNNNNNNNNNNNNNNNNNNNNNNNNNNNNNNNNNNNNNNNNNNNNNNNNNNNNNNNNNNNNNNNNNNNNNNNNNNNNNNNNNNNNNNNNNNNNNNNNNNNNNNNNNNNNNNNNNNNNNNNNNNNNNNNNNNNNNNNNNNNNNNNNNNNNNNNNNNNNNNNNNNNNNNNNNNNNNNNNNNNNNNNNNNNNNNNNNNNNNNNNNNNNNNNNNNNNNNNNNNNNNNNNNNNNNNNNNNNNNNNNNNNNNNNNNNNNNNNNNNNNNNNNNNNNNNNNNNNNNNNNNNNNNNNNNNNNNNNNNNNNNNNNNNNNNNNNNNNNNNNNNNNNNNNNNNNNNNNNNNNNNNNNNNNNNNNNNNNNNNNNNNNNNNNNNNNNNNNNNNNNNNNNNNNNNNNNNNNNNNNNNNNNNNNNNNNNNNNNUUGGUCCUGAAAUUGUGCAACAAACAGAAGACAAGGUAAAAAUUAUCAAAGAUCGUCUAAAGAUUUCUUCGGAUAGACAAAAGUCGUAUGCUGAUCUUAAAAGGCGUGAUAUUGAAUAUCAAGUUGGGGAUAAAGUAUUCUUAAGGGUGUCUCCAUGGAAAAAUAUUAUGAGAUUUGGCCAGAAAGGAAAACUUAGUCCCCGAUUUAUUGGACCUUAUGAGAUACUUGAAAGGGUUGGACCAGUUGCAUAUAAAUUGGCGUUGCCACCUGAGUUAGACAAGAUCCACAAUGUCUUCCAUGUUUCUAUGCUCAGAAGAUAUCGGUCUGAUCCAUCUCAUGUUCUUCCAGUUGAAUCUAUUGAGGUUAAUCCUGACUUGACGUAUAAUGAAGAACCUAUUCUAAUUCAAGCUCGAGAAUUAAAGCAACUUAGGAACAAGAGAAUCCCCUUAGUAAAGGUACUUUGGAGGAACCAUUCUGGAAAAGAAGCUACCUGGGAAAGAGAAGAAGAUGUGAGGACCCUAUAUCCGCACUUGUUACGGGACUAGCGUAAGGUAAAUUUCGAGAUGAAAUUUCUUUAAGGGGGAGAGAGUUGUAACACACCUAAAAUACUAGAUCAACUCUUGCAUAUCGAUGCAUCAUUUCUUAAUUACUACAAUAUGUUUCACUCUUAUUUUGGGAACUUGAAAUUUUGUGAUAUAUGCAACCUUGCUUAAAAUAAAUUGUGCUCGUAAUUUAAGGUAUUGUAUGGGGGUAUUUACGUAAUUUUUCUAAUUAAAAUUACAUAUGAAUUGAAAGUGUUGGUAACAAUUAUAUACAUAUAGGUGUAUAUGUAUACAUUUAGGGCAGCACACAAUAAAAUGGGGCAACACCCUUUAGGGACAGUUGUAUAUGUGACUAAGCAUCACUCAUUAGACUAUAUUAUCACACCUCCUCUUGUGAUUUUCGUUUGGAACUGAAGUCCAAGAACCUAGGAACAUUUUCUAACUAGUUUUUCAUCAAAAUCACAAGAGAAAACCUUGGUCCUUCUAGCUGGAAGUCGAGACAUCCUGCCUUUUAGUUGUAUAUCCUUAUGUACGAGUUGAAGACUUUGAUACGCUGGUUGGUCUACGAUUUGAACUGGUGAAGUUGUGUUGGACUGUUUUGUGCUAAAGAACUGAGGUUUGUGUAUAAACCUAUACUUGUAUUUUUCUUUACCAGCUGGUUAUCUGAAAGUUAUCUUGGUACCUUGGUUACAUCUUGUUACUUUGCAUUGUCGUAUUGGUAUUCUUUAAUACAUUAAAGACGCUUGAGUAAUUCGCCCACUUGUACGGAUUGUCUGAUCACUUGGCACUCUUGUUGGGACCUUGUCCUUCUUGUGGCGGUGAAUUCGUCACUUGGCAUGCCUUUUGGUUCGGAUCAUUUGCCAUCUUGACUCUGGAUUUUUAGUUCGUACUUACUCUGGAUUUAAGUGACAAAUGAUGGAGAGUAAGUACGAACUAAAAAUCCAGAGUCAAGAUGGCAAAUGAUCCGAACCAAGAGGCAUGCCAAGAGUGACGAAGUCACAGCCACAAGAAGGACAAGGUCCCAACAAGAGUGCCAAGUGAUCAGACAAUCCGUACAAGUGGGCGAAUUACACAAGCGUCUUUAAUGUAUUAAAGAAUACCAAUACGACAAUGCAAAGUGACAAGAUGUAACCAAGGUACCAAGAUAACUUUCAGAUAACCAGCAGGUAAAGAAAAAUACAAGUAUAGGUUUAUACACAAACCUCAGUUCUUUAGCACAAAAACAGUCCAACACAACUUCACGAGUUCAAAUCGUAGACCAACCAGCGUAUCAAAGUCUUCAUUGAGAUUUUUAGGGCUGAUUUGGUCAUGUCACCAUGGGUUGUAAUAUAAGUAUGGUUAUACAUUUUUAUCUUUUUGGGGUGUGUAAACCCAAGUUUUCUAAUAUACUGAUUUUGCUAUAUGUCUUGAAAGUUGUGUGAAGCAUGAGUUGGCUGAUUUCGGUACUCGAAAGUGUAAUAUUCUUGUUAUUUCACCCUCGAGUGUGAGGUUAAUAUAUGCAUGAAGAUCUGGUCGGUUAAUUGCCAAAUUUUGUUUUUCUUUAAGUUCGUUAUGAAUCUAUUCCCUCUACUAGAUUAAAAUCAGUAUGCCUCAUUAAUUGGGUUUGGAUGUCGCGAGUAUUUAACUAGAUUUCUUGUUUAAGUAGUGGUACCAUUUUGAAAGGGUCGCUACAGAAACCCUCUAGUUGUGGGUGCUACUUGGGAAGCAGAACCAGAUAUGAUGUCCCGGUAUCCCCAUCUUUUUCCUCAUAUUCUAGCUUGAAGUAAUUAGUUAUUCUUGGUUUUAUUAUGUUUGAACUCAUAUGUGUUCAAUGUGUUUCCAUGAUUUCCUUAAAUUUGCAUGUUCAUGAAAAAGCUCAAGUUUUGAAAGAAAUUGCUUUUAUAUUGUAUUUGCCUCAUGUUGUUGAGUAUUGAGUUUGAAUUGCAUAUGAGCUCCAUGAGAUUGUGUUGAACAUUGCUUUUGAGAUUGGAGAUGAUAGUUCCUCCUUGAACAUGAGAAAUGUUAAGAUUUCAUGCAUAUUGGGUUGCUAGAUGUAGUUCCUACUUCUUUAAAGUGCAUUGAGUAUGUUGAGAUUGGAGUUGAUGUUUCCUCCUUAGUUAUGUGCAUUUAGAUGAGUUGCAUGCAUGAUGGGCUGCUAGUCUUGAGUCUUUUCGUUUAGAAAUGUACCUAGAAUCUCAUUUGAGGACGAAUGAUCCCAAGGGGGAGCUAAUGUAACACCCCGGAUUCGAAAGAGGAAGGCAUGGAAUUUUUUUAGAAAGUGCAGGUGUCAUCCACGCCCCGUAUGUCACGAUCCAGGGGUACCCCCUAGAUGUAACAAGGUGUAUAAGACCUCGAGAGGCCUCAUACAAGCCACUUAGUAUAUCAUAACAUAAAGUAAUAGAAAAGGUCCGGGAAUUAAAACUUUUCAAUUACAAUCAAAGUCUUUUCUAAAAGCAAGCGGAAGUCGAACAUGACAUUUUCUCAAACCAUCUAAACAUAUGAAAAAUAAAAAUCUUGGGACACAGCCCAUACAAUAGUUUCAAAAGUAAAAGAAAGAUAUAAAAUAAAUAGGGUGAUCCAAUCCUCGAAUACAAUGAGAACUCACCAAAGCUUCACUUCACGAUCAACUAGAGCCUAGCCACAAUUAUGCGAAUUGGCAAUGCCGGACCCUAUAUUUUAUAAGAAUGUAGGCAAGAGUAUGCUUUAGUACAAUCAAGUACUAAAUAUGAUGGCUAGCAUAAAAAACAUAAACAUAAGAGUUAGUAAAUACAAGACAUAAGGCAUAGUCAUUUCAAUACAUGAUAAGCAUCAUAAUGAAAGAGGAAUACUUCCUUAAGUAGCCUCACCUAUCCUUAUCCAAGAGUUAGGUCAUACGCCUCUAGUCAAGCUUACUUACAUCAUGGAAGGCAUAUCUAGCAACACUCCAAGCAGUCAUCAUCAUACAUAAUCACAUUAGUCAUACUAACUUUUAAAGAUAUGGGGAUUCACCUCUAUGCCUAGUUCAUAAAGGCUAAUGGGUAUUCACCUCUUGCCUUACUUACUUUUAGAUUGCGAGUACUCGCCUCCACAAUUUCAUCACAUGACGUGGGUACUCACCUCCACAUCAUUUCAUAAGGAGCAUGGGUACUCGCCUACAUGUCCAUUUAUCAUAGUAAGAAUGUGGGGAUUCACCUCUUGUUCAAGUCUAAGGAGUAGGGGAAUCGCCUCAUAUCCUUUCAUAUGGAGUUCAAGGGUAAUCACCUCUAGCCUUAUCAUUCAUUAAGAAUUUUAGUCUAAAUUCAUUUUAGGUGAGCGAUACUCUCACCUUAGAAUUAUUCAUCUGAGUAAACCUUUCACAUUCAUACAAUCAUGCUUAUCAAUUCAUUAUAGGAAGUAUCUCUUCCACAUCAUAGCAUUAAUCAAUAUACAAUGCAUACUCUAGCCUGUACUCUAAAAGCUUUACAUCUCAUGAUAAUCAUCCAUGCUUUACUCUCAAGCAAUUAACAUCUUGUUCAUCAUUUAUGCUUCAAUCUAAAGCAAUUCUAAUCAUAAUUCAUCAAUCCUAUGAGGAGAUAUCUAACCCAUGGGGUUUCCCUCACAUCGGAUCAAACCCACUAUAUCAAUUCAACCUUAAAAUCGUAGGAUAUUCUUGGGUACAUGUAAUUUCAUCCUAAAUACAUGCAAUUCUAUCAAUUCAACCAUAAACAAUCAUAAUCCACGCAAUUGGAUCAACAUUCAUCAUAACCCACAAUAAUGGAAGAAACCCUAACUAGAAUUGGGGAAAUGUUUCAUCAAAUUGUUGAAUUCUAGGGGACUCCACGGGAGGAAGGAUUCCAUGGAUGAAAAGCCAUCAUACCUUAGUCAAAUAGCCCACAAAAGCUUCAAAAUUUGAGACUUGAUCUUGACCUAGCUUCAAUCUCUUUUUUCUUCUUCCAACUUCUAUAGAGAGAAUAUUUGAGAGGAGUUUUCAGAAUUCUUUUGGGAAUUUUAGAGAAUGACUAAAUUGGGGGAUUUUGGGGGUUAAAAUCACUUAUAUAAGUGUCUUAGACAAAGGCAAAACUACGCCACAUUAAUUUAAUUAAAACCGUAAAAGACCCUUAUACCCAUAAACUUAACUACCAGGUGAUGACCUACGGACCACGAUCGACAAACCGUGGAUGGACCUACAGUCCGUCCUGGUCAUCAUCAUUUGUGGUCAAGAUAUUUCUGCUAAUCAACGACACCCUCCAUCCAUAGACCUUCGACCCAUCCACGGGCCAUGGGUCCUAGCGUGGGUCACUGCCUAAAGCAAUGUCCACCUACAUGGCUCACCCACGUGGCAUGGGUCCAACCACGAUCCAUGGUUUGACCACGUAGGUGACACCUGAAAGUCCUAAAAUUUGCUAAGCCUUCCUAUUUCGGGUACGGGGUGUUACAUUAUCUUCCCUUUGGGAUCAUUCGUCCUCGAAUGAGAUCCUAAGCACGUUUCUUGCUGAAAAGACUUAAGACUAGCAGCUCAUCAUUCAUGCAACUCGUCUUAACACAUACAACUAAUGAGGAAUAUCAAUAUCAAUUCCUAUCUAAACAUACUCAAUGCACCAUAAGGAGGUAGGAACUACAUCUAACAACCCAAUAUGCAUGAAAGCUUAACAUUUCUAAUGUUUAAGGAGGAACUAUCAUCUCCAAACUCAAAACAAUGUUCAACACAAUCUUAUGGAACUCAUAUUGAAAUUCGAUGUCAAGAAAAGCACAAAUUCAAGGAGGGGAUCUCCACUCCAACUCAAGGCAUGUUCUACAACUCAUCUCAUGAAGUCUUUAAGCAACUCAUAUUAAAUACUAAAUAACACGAGGAACAAACAUGAUAAAAAUCAUUUCUUUCAAAACAUAAGCUUUUUCAUAGACAUGCAAUUUCAAGGAAAUCAUGGAAACACAUAAAUUACACAUGAAUUUAAACAUAAAAAAAAUAAGAGGAACUCAUUAGCUCAAGCUAGAAUAGGAGGAAAAAGAUGAGGAUACCGGGACAUCAUAUCGGCUUCCGCCUUCCAAGUAGCAGUCUCAACUAGAUGAUUUCUCACUAACACCUUAACAAAAGCUACCUCUUUAUUCCUCAACCUCUCGAAUUUCUGGUCUAAGAAACCGGAACUUCUUCAUAAGAAAGGUUCUCUUUCACUUCCAACCCUUCAAGGGGAACUAUGGAUGUCGAGUCUCCAACACACUUUUUCAUCAUAGAGACAUGGAACACCGGAUACACCGAUGCAAACUCAUUUGCCAAAUCAAGCUCAUAUGCAACCUUACGAACACGUCUCAGAAUUUGAAAUGGGCCUACAAAGCGGGGACUAAGCUUCCCUUUCUUGCCAAAAUUCAUUAGACCUGUCAUGAAUGAGAUUUUUUCAGUAAACCCAAUCAUGCAGAUCAAAUUCAAGGUCUAUCCUUUGAAGAUCGGCAUAGGAGUUUUAUCGACUUUGGGCCGUUCUCAAUCUCUCUCUAAUGAGUCGAAUCUUCUCAAUAGCCUCAUGAACUAACUCGGGCCCUAUCAAGGCAACCUCACCUACCUAAAACAAUCUGAUAGGGGAUCUAAACCUUCUACCAUAAAGAGCCUCAAUCAGAGCCAUACCAAUACUAGAAUGGUAGCUAUUAUUAUUGGCAAGUUCAAUCAAGGGAAAAUGGUCAUCCCAACUUUCCUUGAAAUCUAUCACAUAAGCCCUUAACAUAUCUUCCAAUGCUUGGAUUGUUCUUUUCGCUUGCCUAUCAGAUUUGGGGGUGAAAACCUGUGCUAAACUUAACUUUAGUGCCAAGACCCUUUUGGAACGACUUCCAAAACUACGAAGUAAACUAAGUACCUCUAUCGGAGAAAAUGGACAAGGGCACUCCAUGAAGACUUACCAUCUCCCUCAAGUACAACUUAGUAUAAUAUUCUACCAUAUAAGAAACUUUGACGGGAAUGAAAUGGGCUGACUUUUUCAUUCGGUCAACUAUAACCCAAAUCGAAUCAUAUUGGUGCCGAAUCCGUGGCAACCUUACUAUGAAGUCCAUAUUUAGAUCUUCCCAUUUCCAAGUAGGAAUGCUAAUAUCUUGGGAUAAACCUCCCGGUAUCGUAUGCUCAACCUUCACUUGUUGGAAAUUAGGACAUUUAGUCGCAAAUCCUGCAAUAUCCUUUUUCAUACCAUUCAACCUAUAGAUCUCCCGCAAAUCAUGGUACAUCUUGGUGGCUCCCAAGUGAAUAGAAUACCGAUAACUAUGGGCUUUAUAUACAUUUUGUUACCUUAAGUCAUCAACAUUCGAAACACAUAAUCGACCUUGGUACCUAAUGCAUAUCGUGACCAACGAUACUAACCUACGGUUCUAGUGUUUACGACCGUCAAUAGUAUAGUAACCCAACUAAAGGUUGGGGUCGUGUCCCAAGGGAGAGGUUUUGAGAAUUAAUAAAAAAUAAAAUUUAGCUCAAAUUAGUUGUAGCUAAAGACAUUAAUGAACAAAACCAUUGUAAAUUAAAGGGGGCAACACAAAAGUGUCAAAUAUCGAUUGGGGUUUUGUCACAAGUAGUAAAAACAGCAAAAAUUAACAAGAAAAUCAAGUAUGGGGAAAUGUUCUUGGGGUGUGACCGCAAUACAAGUUGAGAUAAAUCGUUGUGUACAUGCUUUCAAUAGGAAAUUUGCAAGAUAAUAGUGACUAGGCUACGCUUUAAAUGGAAAUAAGUUCACUCUCGGGUAACUUACCCCUUUUCAAAUGGGUACCUCUCGGACACCCAUUCGCCGCAUGAAGACCAGCCUACGCCUUACCCCACUCCAACUUGGGGAAGAUGAAAUCCUUGAUUUAAGCAAAGGAAUAAGAAUAGAGAAAACCCACUUCCAACUUGGGGAAGAUGAAAUCCUUCUCUCUUCAAGUCUCCCACAAAACCCUCUCCAAACAUGAGAGAAAAUAUCUAAAAAGUACUAUUCUAUUUUAAAAAUAAUAAUAAUAAUGGUUCGGAACUUGUAAAAUUAAGAAAGAGUUUAGUAUUUAUAGCCAUCAGAAAUUAGUGCAGGCGGAUAGUUCAGCGAUGUUAGUCGAGUCCACCGAGUGACUCGGCGACUCACCUUUAUUAUGUCUCAUUGCAGUUGAAUGAUUGCCUAUAACAUAUUUACGUUCUGGACCAUUGGGCGGUAUAGUACUGCUUCGCAGAACUAUUUGGAAAAGCGCCGACAGCUCCUUUCAUCGCCUUUUUUAACCUCUUCCUUCAGGGCUUCGCAUACCGGAACAAAAGUUCUUAGCGAUGCUCAUUCUUCAUGUUCUUCGUUCCUUUCAGCCUUUUUGUUCCUUUUUGCUCCUAAGCGUCCAUGCUUCCACUAAAACUUCAAAUACCUGAAACUUAAGAGUUUUCAUUAGAUAUUGAGACAAAAUAAGCAUUCAAGUACACUAUUUCUAUCAAAAUAAAGCCCUAAAUGAGUCUAAUUUGUGGAAUCAUUAGUACCUUAGUACACCAUCGCCUCCUUGGGAGAAAGCCUCUAUAGACUUCUUUAGUACCGCUUCUUUCAAUUCUACUAAGAUCAGAUCAACACAUUGUUUUGCCUUAAAAUCGGCCACGCAAGACGAUUUUGAACCAUUAUGGAUCAUAAUACCACCCUUGGUGGAAUCCACUAUUUGAACUCUUAAUCGGGCCAACCUAUGAACAUCUUGAACGACCGCUUUUCUCUUAUUAUCAAAAUGUGAAACACUACCCAUGGACAAUCGACUAAGGGAAUCCACCACCACAUUCGUUUUGCUGGGGUGAUAGAGAACACUAAUAUCAUAAUCUUUCAAUAACUCAAGACAACUUCUUUGGCAAAGAUUUAGAUCUUUUGGGUAAACACAUAUUGCAAGCUCUUGUGAUCGGUAAACACAUCAACAUGGACCCCAUACAACUAAUGCCUCCAAAUCUUUAAGGCAAAUACAAUCGCCGCUAAUUCAAGAUGGUGGGUAGGAUAGUUUUUCUCAUCAACCUUUAAAUCCAUUGAAGCUUAGGCAAUCACCUUACAAUUUUGCAUAAUCACACAUCCCAAACCUACUCUAGAGGCGUCACUGUAAUGGCCCAAAAAAUGAAUUAGUGAAACUAGAGUCUAACAUGUGUGCGUUUGUGUUUGGUGUGAGGUUUGAUGGUGUUUGAUGUUGUCCCGAGUCAUGGUUAAGGGGUUUGUGGCUCAAACGUCAAGGUGCGACUCCCCAUGGACCACCCUAGGAGUCCUUGAGGAGGACCCUAAGUCUAACCCCAAGACCCCAAUGAACUAUAAAGGAUGCCCAAAAUGGGGUGACCUACGAAAGGGGUCCACGCCCCAUGGAUGGACUCCGUAGGUCAAGGGGACCCUAACCACGACACAACCCCAAUUGACGAAGGGACAGUACGGUCCAUGAUCCCAUCCACAGACAGUGGAUGGGGUCUCAUGAACCAUGUCUGCAAUCUAUCGAGAGGCACGACCAAGUGAAGGGUGAAGUGGUAAAUUCACACUUUUCUUAAGUGUUUGGACGGUUAUUUUGUGUUUAUUAACAUAUUUUAAGAGUAUUAAAACAUUAAAAUUCUAUUUUAAAUUUCAUUUUUUCAAAACCCCAAAUCAAAAUCCUUCCCUCCCAUAAAGUCCUCUCUAGAAACUCCAUUGGAAAUCAAGGUCAAGAUCAAGCUAGGGUUGGGGAUUUCAAGGUGUUUCUUCUUCAAUUUUCGUGAGAAAUCAAUAGCAUGGUAUGGUGGUCUUGAUCCUUGUCUAAUUUUCCAUACAAGGAGCUAAUUCAAAUGUGAUUUCAAAUCAUGAAAAUCUAUGUUUUUACUCAAACUCAUGGGUUCUUUCAUCAAACAUUUUCAAAUGGUUUCUAAUGACAAAUUACGAUUCUAUUGAUGUUUAAUUUAUGAUUUAUGAUGAAAAUAAUCUAUGAACCCAUGCUUCCACUAAAACUUCAAAUGCCUGAAACUUAAGUGUUUUCAUCAGAUAUUGAGACAAAAUAAGCAUUCAAGGACACUAUUUCUAUCAAAAUAAAGCCCUAAAUGAGUCCAAUUUGUGGCCUCAUCAACACCCCCAACUUAAAAUUUUGCUUUUCCUCCAGCAAACUUGAUUCAUCUAUUCAAAAAGGGUGUCUCAAAUAGUGCUACACAAGACUCAAUCAUGAGUGCACACAACAAGACUCAAUUUACUUAUGCAAGGAUCAAUUGUGUACUCAAAGAUUCAAGUUGUGACACACUAUUACCAAAGAUUCUCAUGCUCGCAAUACUUGCUACUUAUGCAAGUUCAAGAUCAACAAAAAGUAUCUAAAUACCGUUACAUGAAGAAUGAUUCCAUAUUCACACACAGAGGUUAAGCAAUUAAAGAUUAGGAAUCUGAUGCAACGCUCACACUCAAAAAGAAGAACACAAUGCAUGUUUUCCCCCAUCGGUUUGCACUUAUUUUCCAAUCGACUUUUGAUUCGGUUUACUCAAGAUCAAAAAGGUCUUUCUAAGGCUUUUAAUGGGGAUGAGUGCAAAGGUAUGGUCAUUUACGCUCAGUGGCUCCUUCUUCCUGGGAUGUGGUAUUCUCAAGGCAUUCCCUUCCUUUCCUUUCUAGAUUCUUUUUCUAGUGCUUCUAAAUCACCUUUUUAUUCACCCUCACGGAUUGCUUGGAACCCCAGUUUCUUUCAUACUUUUUAUUUUAAUUGAAUUGAAUUGAAGGGGUUUCCACUUAUGCAAUGCCAUGGGUUAGGGGGACUUUUUCUUGCACUUCUGGACUUCUCCUUUUCCUCUUUACCACACCCCCAACAUAGGCUUUUGGCCUAAGUGGGCUAUUCGCUAAACCACAACUCAAGAGGAUCUUAGGUAGUGGUUCAAGUAGGUCUAGGGUUCAUCAAGGUUUUUCCAAAGUAAGGUAAGUCUCAAAGGAUGUUCAAAAGAGUUGCACACACUCUCGGGUAGGCCGCUAAAGAGGAAUAUGUCAAAUUUGGCUCACAUUCUUUAAAAUUGCCUAAGAUCAUAUCAACAGGACACCUUUCUAAAUCAAUCAGACUAACAGGGAAAAAUCUAGGUUUAUUCAUGCAAGUUUCGAAGUAAGCUAAUCACACAAGGCAUCGACACUUAAGUCAAACAAGACUACACACUUUCGCUAGUGUGCAACAGUCAUUACAAGAGAACUAAUUUGAUAAAUGGCUAAUCACAACGAGAUGCAACAAGUUCACAUAUUGUCUAUGCAACUUCAUUUGGCCUCAUCGUAGCAGUACAUUCAUGUUCAUUCAAUUGAGAGCACUAUUCAAGUCAUCGGUAUUGAUCAAAACUGAGACUCAAUUUUUUGUGAAAGAACAGCCACAAUCAACUCACAAAGGGUGGCCAAAAUGUGCGAAAAAUUCAAAAAAUUUCGGAAGGGUCAAAAUCGUUUGCAAUUUAAAACUAAAGAGAGCCAUGAGCUCAAAUAUCCACGAAAAGCAGUCUAAACACAAUUUUAAAAAUGGAAAUGUACACCAAAACACAAGUAUCUGAAACAAGCAAAACAAAAGGUGAGCCUCACCCCACCACAAAUAAAAAAUAAUUUGUCCUCAAAUGCAAAUAAUACAUAAUCCAAAAGUAGAUGUAAGAAAGGUCGAGAGGAGGGUAGAGAAAGGUCCUGGCUACGCACUCUCUCUAUCUAUUGGAGAAUUAGUCCCUAGAGUAGUCUCAGAUGGAAGGACAGUGCCAAAUCCACUAGGGGCUGCUGUGGACGUAACUGUCUCUACUAGAUCUGGCAGAUCUCUGAAUAUGCUCGCAUCUUGGCUCACUCUUAUCUCCUCAACCUAUGCUGCUAUCAACUCCUCGUCGGUUUCUGCAUCUCACUCUACCUGUGCUGCACCAUCCCUUUGCACAUCUCCGAUAGUCACAAGAACAUACUUAUCAUCUACUCUCUCUAUGAGUGAAGUGAAGUCGGUAGACUUAGGGUAAUCUACGUCCUUUCUCAAACUUGCAAUCUCUGUUUCUAGGGUUGUCACCUCAGAAGUUUCCUGCUGUCUACUCUCACAACCCAUAACUCUCAAUGUCAAGGCAUCAAUAGAAGUCUAAAUGGGAGUAAGUGUUGCUAGUAUGGCCCUAUUAAUCAUCUCUGGAAUAGACGUUUCCAGUCUGAUAACUCUCACAUCAGAUGAAUAGGCCAACUGCCCCAUUUUUAGGAUCAUGGCCUGAGUGAUUCUGGCUGGCUGAGAGGAUGAGGAAGUACCUGGAGCUUAUGUGGAAGAAGAAGAAGGAGCUGGUAUACCUGAGGGCUCAAUGGUCGGGGUGGACGAAGGUGUCUCUGCUGAUAAUAAGUCAACAUUGACUUCUGGAGAAGUAUCUGUUGGGGCUGCUCUUCUCCUAUCAUCCUUCUCUCAUGUAAAUUCUGCCUCUAUAUGUCAGAUAUUGGUGGAGGAAGAUGGAGUGACUUCUAUAUCGCUAGCAGGCUCUUGAGGUACUCCCGCAUGCCGGCAUAACUCAGUAAUCAGAAUAGGAAAUGGCAGGGAUGUCUGUGUCUGUUUGGCUCUCAAAGCCAUCUCCUGUAAAACCAGUAGUCCUAGGUCGAUCCGCCUCCUAUCCAUGAUAGAACCAAGGCAAGUUGCCUUAGGAUGACGCAGGAUAGACUCAUUCUAGAUGGCAUGAUAAUGCUGCUAAUGAAGCCAAACUAGUAUCGGGAGGCGAUGUUCAUAUCUUUCUUCUCAAUAGGAGCCCAAGAAUCCAACCAACUCGGGGUGAUGUCAGAAAUCAUCGGAACUAACCAUCCCUACAGAUCAUCUAGGAACAAUAGACAAGCCCUGGCAGGGUAGUACCGAGUGCAGCGGUCGACCUAAUACAAAAUAAUAUACUCGGUGUGACACUCCACCUCCUUGCCUCUAACCAGAACCGACUUCACUGGUCAGAACUCACUAGCCUUUUUGUUGUUUUUUGGGACCAACUCCCCAUAGGCUAAGUAGAAUUCCCGGACCUAGGAAGGAAUCUAAGAUCCCCGUGGCCUGGUGAACUGUUCGAACUCAUUAUAUCUGAGCGUGUCAAGCACCUCAGCAUGCUUACCUUCCAAACCCUUUACAAAUAGUAACUUUUCUUAUAGAAUGGUUCGUAAACCAUCACCUUUUAGUCUUUUCAGGAACCUGGGUAGAGGUGGAGCUACAAGGAGUGCAGGAGCCGUUGGAGGUGGUGUUGGUGUUGGCACUGAUUCGGUAGUCGGGGGAGUGAUAGCUGAAGGGGUUCCGGUAGCUAUGGGCCGAUAUCUAGCCUUAUGUUCCUCCCUUCGAUUUAUCAAAGGUUGCAUAUCCUCCAGCUUAGAAACAGCUGGUUCAACAUUUGUACCCUUCCUAGCGAUGUGCUCUUUUCGUUUUCCUUUAUCUCCCAGUGGGAGAUCUUGCUUUCUUUUCUGUGAAGAUCGUGAUCCUCCUUCAUUGAUUGUAAUUCCCGUUCCCUUUUUCUAAGGUGGUGCAUUUAGAUUUGUGCGUACCAUAUCUGCAAAAGUUUUUGAUUAGUCAGAAGAGCAAUCACACUAAAACACCGCAAAUCUGAAACAGAAGGGUUCGCCAAUCAGUCGGCGAAUCGCCAAACCUCUUUAGAGAGUUAGGUCGAACUCGCCAAAGGGAGUAAUUUGAAAUCUACGUAAAUAAGUGAUGAAAAAGUCUAUAUGGCGAUACGCCGACUACCUGCGGAGACCACAGAUGUGUCUGCCGAAAGUUACAGAUCUCUCAGCACUAUGGACAUGAAAGAAGGGUGAUCUAAGGUCAGUAGGCGAACCACUGAAUUAUUUGGCGAGCAUGACCCAGCUCGCCGAAUGAUUCACCGUGCCUACUUUUCAACCCACUUCUUAGAAUCGACCUUACAUGCACUGAAAACGGAAUUAAAGCAUGCAGACACGAAAUUAAGACAAGACCCAUACUUCCCAUCAUUUCGGAAUACUCAGACUUCUUCCGGUCCUACCAAAUUUUAGCCAUUUAACUAUUAUCACCCUUAAGAAUGUCAUCAUUCAUUCCUUCAUUGAGAAACUUUUGUUAUUUAGCACAAAUGUGGGCUCUGUAGGUGUUACCUAACUAAUACAAUGACAAUCAAGCAGGAACCAUUUACAUCGUAAUCAAAUUAAAGCACAAACAACAAGGCAUUUGACUAUUAAAAUAUUUCAGGCAACUAACUAUAGAAUACACAUAGCAUAUAAACUUAUUUCUAUCAGAGAGGCCCAACACACGUCAUCAUAAUACUACAAUUGCAAAAGAGUGCAAAAACUUUUAAGAUAAAUUUGGGGUUUUAUGGGCUAACCUUUAAUGCUGAUCAAAUUACUUUUUGAAAUGUUAGGAAGCAAAGAGAUCCAACCCCAAGCACUAUUUACCAAUUGAAAUACUAAUGGAAAGGUAAAAAUCUAAGAAAAAGCACCUUUGGUGUGAUUUUGAGGAGUUUGAGACUAGGGAAAGUGAGAGAUUCAAACAUUUUGACUUUCUGCCUUUAUAUAACCAAUCAGUUCUCUGUCAUUCAGCGAUGCACUGAACACUUACUUAGCUCGCCGAGUUUUAUAGGACAUCCCUUAUUUUGGGGUCCCAACAGCGGACUAAGUCGGAGUUGCCGAUAGAUUCGGCUACUCGCCCACUGGGUCCUUGGCUCGUCAACCAGUACUUCUCAACACCUUCUCAUUUUACCCUACAAAAUCAGCACACCAUUAUUCGAAUAGAAUAAUUAAAAGCAGUAAACUUUUGGGUUGCCUUCCAAGAAGUGCCUUAUUUUACAUCGUAAGUUCUGUUUCACUCUCCGUUAUUAGGGUUAGCCCAGUCCACUAGCAAUAUGUCAUUUGGGUGGAGAUGAGGUACUGCAAAACUCAGGAAUGGCCUGAUCAGCUGAAUUGAUCUAGAGUGAGAUCCAAUCAUUUGAUUCAACACUUCAACAUUCUCCUUCAUUUCUUCCAACACUCGAUCUUGAUCGGUGAUCUUUUGGAGAAUGAUUUGAAGUUUGUCCUCGACACAAUUUUUCUCCCUAUUUCUAGACUUCCUCCGCUCAUGAGGGGGUGUGUACCUGCCCCUGCCAUUGCAUUGGACUUCCACCUCUGAGAUUUUGGUGGCCAAGUCGUUUAGCUGAGAUGCCAGUUCGGUCAGCAUGAGGUCCUUUUGGACUCCUUGGUUUAUUUCGACCAAUUUUCCACUACUCUGCCAUGCUCACUUAAAUGGACAAUUCAACGAAAAGAAAAACUAAACUUAAAGUUAGUAAAAUACAACUAAGAAGAACAAAGAAAAUUCUACCAAUCUAAAAAUUCUCAAAUAACACCAGUCCCCGACAGCGGCGCCAUUUUGAUGCUUAUCUUGACCAACGACAAUAACCUACGGUUCGAGUGUCUACGAUCGUCGAUAGUAUAGUAACCAAGCUAAAGGUUAGGGUCGUGUCCCAAGGGGGUGGGUUUUGAGAAUUAAUAGAAAAAUAAAAUUUAGCUCAAUUAGUUGUAGCUAAAGAUAUUAACGAACAAAAACAUUGUAAAUUAAAGGGGGCGACACAAAAGUGUCAAAUAUUGAUAGGGAUUUUGUCACAAUUAGUAAAAACACCAAAAAAUAACAAUAAAAUCAAGUAUGGGGAAAUGUUCUUGGGGUGUGACCGCAAUAUAAGUUGAGAUAAAUCGUUGGGUACAUGGUUUCUAUUGGAAAUUUGCAAGAUAAUAGUGACUAGGCUAAGCUUUAGAUGGAAAUAAGUUCCCUCUCAGGCAACUUACCCCGUUUCAAAUGGGUUCCUCUCGGACACCCAUUUGCCGCAUGAAGACCAGCCUACGCCUUACCCCACUCACUCUCUCGAGCUGAGUAUUAAGAUAUGGGGCUAGGGCUCACCCUCUCGGGCUGAAUCUCAUGUCGACCCACUCCUUAGGCCAUCAGUCUAGUGGUCUUAGUUUCGCGACCUCCCUCUCGGGCAAGCCGAAUGUCACGUCCCGAACCUACACCCUGGACGUGGCCGACACUCGAAAACCAUUGUUGGCCCUAAGCGAACCCUUGGCCUGGCUUUCUUAACUCAGCGGAAACCUAACUCAAUAGAAUAACUCCAUGCAAUGUAAGGACAUAAAACAACUUAAUUGAUAAAAUCUUGCCUAAAAGGAAACUCGAGUCCCAAAAUAGAAUAUUUACAUAUAUACAUAGAUGAGAGACUCAAAACUAACUGACUGACUAACUGUCUAUGAAGCCUCUAUAAUACUGAGAUGGAUGUUGGGACAAACCCCGCAACAUCCCAAUUGAACAAAACUAAGAGAACAAAAUAACCGAGUCCUCCGGAAUGCAAAGAGGCUCACCACUGACACUCGAGUGCUCAGCUGGAUCAACAGCGUGCUGGAUUCUGGUUCUGGGUACCUGUGUCUGCAUCGUCAUAAGAUGCAGGCCAACUGACAUCAGUACAUUGAAUGUACGAGUAUGCGAGCUGGAAAACUAAGCAACAUAGGCUAGAAGGACAUCUGAAAUAAACUGAAUACCUUACCUGGCUCAACUCAACUCAACCUGACUGACUUCUUUCAAUAUAAGACAAUUUAAAACAAAUGCGAUAUAAAGAAAGGCUGUGUAAAACCUGCUAUAAACUCUGUGUGUAUACAAAGAUACAAUAAGCCUAAGAUGUAUAUAGAAAUACAAAAGAACUGAUGUAUAUAAAAAUACAAUAAUUUUUGUGUAUGAAAAUACAAUAACUGCUGUGGGAGUUUCUCUAUUUGACAGCCAUCACAUAGAGCUAUAGUGAUGAUACAACGAUCGACCGCACGCUGCCAGAGCAUCCUAUACCCGGCCAAACGUAUAAGACCUGAACUGCCUAAUGGAUCCACUAGUCUAUCUGGAAAAGGAUUCAUCUAAAAAGUAUGAUCCUUUUCUACCCAUGGUGGGUAACAUGGUUCUAUCGGGGCUGUGGGUUCCAUGAACGCUCCCCCACUCGGUGCUCGAUACUACCCCCAAAAUAUACUAGCUCUUAUGUUUAAUAAAAACAUACCUCUUCCUGCUGAUUUGAGAUAAUUACUCAAAAGCUUAGCUUAAAGGCUAUCUUAGAAAUCUCAGUUUCCUCUCUUGCUUCAUUUAGAAAGCGAUAACUCUUUUUCUGGAAAACUAGCCCGUAGGCUCUUUGGAAAUCUCAGUUUCCAAUCUUGUUUAAAUGUGAAAACAUUUCUUUAAAACUUCUUUGGGAAUACUUAGCUCCCUAAUAACUUUUGAGAAAUGAACUCAACUUUAUACUCUUGACUUAACUUGAAACUCUAUACUCUUUACUUAACUUGAAACUCGAGCCUUAAAAUGAAGUUAGAACGUUCAAAAAGACUCUUGAAAAACUUUAAGGACUUGCUUCUUAACUUCUAAACUUGACAUCUAACUUCACUUGACUUGAUCCUAACUGUCCUCGAAUUGGAGUAUGGACUCGAGGGUAAUGAUCUCAUGUUUACGAAUGAGUUCUUGACGUUUAAAUGUACUUUAGAGUGUUGAAAACAACUAUAAAACAUUGGUACAUUACCAAGGAACAUGUAUGAAAAAGUGGGGAAAGAAUGGGAAAACUUGGCAUUCUUGGCGCUCUGAGAGGCGCGUAGCGCCAGACCAAAAACGUCAGAAGGGCCUGGUUGGGGCUAUGCUAGGGGUACCGCCCCAAGGGCUGGACUUCAGAGUCCCUUUUGGGGCGUGCUGGCUAGCACGACACCCCAGCUCUUUUUCCCAAAAAAUUUGACUUUUUCCCCUCAUUUUUUCCAACUAUAAACUACCUUAACUUCAAUGGAUCCAGCCCCAAACACUUAGAAUCAUAAACCCCUCAACAUACAAUAGAUUUCAACUCACAAACAAAACUGGAAAUAUGCCCAAAAUCAACAAGAACUUCAACACAAUCACAACCAACAAAUUCAACAAAUACAACCAACAACUUCAACAAACAUAGUCAAUCUUUUCUCAAAAUUAAAAGGAGUUUGGCGUGUGGGGGAAAUAACCAACCCAAUGCUAUGAUCUCACAUACCUAGUAGGGAUCAGCCCCGACGAUAUCCACGACGAUCUUUGACGAAACCUUGCUUGAUCAUCUCCUUCUCGUCUUCUUAUCCUCUUCACUCACAAACCCUUACUCUCACUCUUUUAAAAAGGGAAAAACUGAUCCAAAAAUCAGUCUAAACCCUUAAUUUAAUCAAAACAAUUGAUUAGAGAAAAGACCAAAAUACCCUUACAAAUUUCCGGACGGACUUCCCUGCAAACUGCCCAACUUCCAAAGGGCAUGCAUCACUCAUACGAACUCGGAAUCGAGCAAACUCGGUGGCAUUGGAAAGAUCAUUCCAAGCGCUUUCCAAAAAUAACUGGAAAUAUAUCUAACUCAUCCCGAGCUAGGAGUUAUGACUAUUCAAAGUUGACCAAAACUCACCUUUUUUUUCCCAUACUUAACCAAAUUUUCCAGAUUUUUAAUUCUUCCCAAAAAUGACUAUUUUCAAUUCUAAGCCUCUUCAUAGUUAUUUCCAAUUGCCUGAUGUUACACCGAAAACACAUGGGUGGUUUUGUAUUUGCAACUACAAACCCAUUAAAUUAAACCACAACCACUAGCUGAAAUCACCAUUAAAAUACAUCUACCCUAUCAGGAAGCAAAACCCAACAACAAUAUCAACCCAUAUUUGCGAAAUCAUAACCCAAGAAUGCGGUUUUAGCCACACAUCAAGAAAUAACAAAAUACACCUAAAAUGAUACUAAAAUCAAAUGGGUAUAAGAAAUUAAACCCUGAUUUAAGCAAAGGAAUAAGAAUGGAGAAGAACCACUUCCAACUUGGGGAAGAUGAAAUCCUUCUCUCUUCAAGUCUCCCACAAAACCCUCUCUAAACUUGAGAGAAAAUAUCUAAAAAGUACUAUUCUAUUUUGAAAAUAAUAAUAAUGGUUCAGAACUUGUAAAAUUAAUAAAGAGUUUAGUACUUAUAGCCAUCAUAAAUUAGUGCAGGCGGAUAAUUCGGCGAAGUUAGUCGAGUCCGCCGAGUGACUCGGUGACUCACCCUUCUUCUGUAUCAUCGCCGUUGAAUGGUUGCCUAUAGCAUCUUCACGUUCUGGACCAUUGGGUGGUAUAGUACUGCUUCACGGAACUAUUCGACGAAGCGCCGACUACUCCUUUCAUCGCCUUUUUGAUCCUCUUCCUUCAUGGCUUCGUAUACUGGAACAAAGGUUCUUGGCGAUGCUCAUGCUUCAAGUUCUUCGUUCUUUUCAGCCUUUUUGCGCCUAAGUGUCCAUGCUUCAACUAAAACUUCAAAUACCUGAAACUUAAGAGUUUUCAUCAAAUAUUGAGACAAAAUAAGCAUUCAAGGACACCAUUUCUAUCAAAAUAAAGCCCUAAAUGAGUCCAAUUUUGGACUCAUCAGUACCUUAGGACACCAUCUCCCCCUUGGGAGAAAGACUCUAUAGACUAAUUUAGUACCGCUUCUUUCAAUUCUACUAAGAUCGGAUCAAGACAUUGCUUUGCCUUAACAUCGGCCACGAAAGACGAUUCUGAACUAUUAUGGACCAUAAUACCAUGCUUGGUGGAAUCCACUAUUUGAACUCUUAAUCGGGCCAACCUAUGAACAUCUGGAACGACCUCUUUUCUAUCAAUAUCAACAUGUGCAACACUACCCAUGGACAAUCGACUAAGGGAAUCCACCACCACAUUCGCUUUGCCAGGGUGAUAGAGAAGACUAAUAUCAUAAUAUUUCAAUAACUCAAGGCACCUUCUUUGGCAAAGAUUUAGAUCUUUUUGGGUAAACACAUAUUGCAAGCUCUUGUGAUCGGUAAACACAUCAACAUGGACCCCAUACAAAUAAUGCCUCCAAAUCUGGAAGGCAAAAACAAUCGCCACUAAUUCAAGAUGGUGGGUAGGAUAGUUUUUUUUUAUCAACCUUUAAAUCCCUUGAAGCUUAGGCAAUCACCUUACUAUUUUGCAUAAGAACACAUCCCAAACCAACUCUGAAGGCAUCACUGUAACGGCCCUAACAACGAACUAGUGAAGCUAGAGUCUAACAUGUGUGCGUUUGUGUUUGGUGUGAAGUUUUGAUGGCGUUUGAUAUUGUCUUGAGUCAUAGUUAAGGGGUUUAGGGGUCAAACGUCAAGGUGCGACUCCCCAUGGACCACCCUUGGGGUCCUUGAGGAGGACCCUAGGUCUAACCCCAAGACCCCAAUGAACCAUAAAGGCUGCCCAAAAUGGGGUGACCUACGAAAGGGGUCCACGCCCCGUAAGUCCAUCCACGCCCCGUGGAUGGACUAUGUAGGUCAAGUGGACCGUAACCAAGACAUAGCCCCUAUUGACGAAGGGACAGUACGGUCCAUGACCCCAUCCACUGUUAGUGGAUGGGGGUCUCAUGAACCAUGUCUGCAAUCUAUCAAGAGGCACGACCAGGUGAAGGGUCAAGUGGUAAAUUCACCCUUUGCUUAGUUAAGUGUUUGGACGGUUAUUUUGUGUUUAUUAACAUAUUUUAAGAGUAUUAAAAUGUUAAAAUGUUAUUUUAGAUUUCAUUAUUUCGAAACCCCAAAUCAAAAUCCUUCCCUCCCAUAGAGUCUUCUCUCUAGAAACUCCAUUGGAAAUCUAGGUCAAGAUCAAGCUAGGGUUGGGGAUUUCAAGGUGUUUCUUCUUCAGUUUUCGUGAGGAAUCAAUAUCAAGGUAUGGUGGUUGUUAUCCUUGUCUAAUUUUCCAUUCGAGGAGCUAAUUCAAAUGUGAUUACAAAUCAUGAAAAUCUAGGUUUUUACUCCUAACUCAUGGGUUCUUUCAUCAAACAUUUUCAAAUGGUUUCUAAUGACAAAUUAUGAUUUUAUUGAUGUUUAAUUUAUGAUUUAUGAUUAAAUUACUCUAUGAACCCAAGAUUUCUCUCAAUUCCUUAAUUGCGACUUAUGAAGUGGGUUUGUUGAUUAUGAAUAAAUGUUGAUGGACUUAUGCCUAGAUUGACUUAGAUUAUUGAAUUGUAUCAUCAUCUAUGCCUAAUUAUGGUGAAUGGUUGGUGAAUUGAGGAUUUAUGAUCAUAGCCUUGAUAGGGGAAGUUUGACCUAAUUUCAUGUUAAAGUAGAAUUGUCUUGAAUUGUUGAUCCACUUGAAAGGUGGAGGUGUUUAUUUACUAUGUACAUUGUGAUCAUGGCCUUGAAGGCAUAGUGUGAGGAAUUGAAGUAGUAUCAUGGUUGAUAUACCGUGAGUUUACGGUAUUUCUAAUACAUUUCACUUACCAGUUGUUUGUGUCUAGGGCCUUUUUAUAUUGGUUUUUAUGUGUUUUUAUCAUGUUUUGCAGGAAAGAUGUUCAGGCGCGGAAGUAUUGAGACAGCUGAAAGAAAUGCAGAAACAGGGCAUUCACGGAGGUGAACUACGGACCGUUGGUCCAUUCAUGGUCCGUAAGUGAUGACCGUAGAUCAGUAGGCAUGGUAUUGAGGACAAAUCAGGGAAAUCUGACCAAGUGUGGAACCACGGUAUCCAUUGACGGUCCGUAGAUGGAUCUACGGACCGUACUAUGUAUUCGUAGAUUGAUACUGCGAGGUUUCCAGUACCUGAUUUAUGAAGAUUCUAANNNNNNNNNNNNNNNNNNNNNNNNNNNNNNNNNNNNNNNNNNNNNNNNNNNNNNNNNNNNNNNNNNNNNNNNNNNNNNNNNNNNNNNNNNNNNNNNNNNNNNNNNNNNNNNNNNNNNNNNNNNNNNNNNNNNNNNNNNNNNNNNNNNNNNNNNNNNNNNNNNNNNNNNNNNNNNNNNNNNNNNNNNNNNNNNNNNNNNNNNNNNNNNNNNNNNNNNNNNNNNNNNNNNNNNNNNNNNNNNNNNNNNNNNNNNNNNNNNNNNNNNNNNNNNNNNNNNNNNNNNNNNNNNNNNNNNNNNNNNNNNNNNNNNNNNNNNNNNNNNNNNNNNNNNNNNNNNNNNNNNNNNNNNNNNNNNNNNNNNNNNNNNNNNNNNNNNNNNNNNNNNNNNNNNNNNNNNNNNNNNNNNNNNNNNNNNNNNNNNNNNNNNNNNNNNNNNNNNNNNNNNNNNNNNNNNNNNNNNNNNNNNNNNNNNNNNNNNNNNNNNNNNNNNNNNNNNNNNNNNNNNNNNNNNNNNNNNNNNNNNNNNNNNNNNNNNNNNNNNNNNNNNNNNNNNNNNNNNNNNNNNNNNNNNNNNNNNNNNNNNNNNNNNNNNNNNNNNNNNNNNNNNNNNNNNNNNNNNNNNNNNNNNNNNNNNNNNNNNNNNNNNNNNNNNNNNNNNNNNNNNNNNNNNNNNNNNNNNNNNNNNNNNNNNNNNNNNNNNNNNNNNNNNNNNNNNNNNNNNNNNNNNNNNNNNNNNNNNNNNNNNNNNNNNNNNNNNNNNNNNNNNNNNNNNNNNNNNNNNNNNNNNNNNNNNNNNNNNNNNNNNNNNNNNNNNNNNNNNNNNNNNNNNNNNNNNNNNNNNNNNNNNNNNNNNNNNNNNNNNNNNNNNNNNNNNNNNNNNNNNNNNNNNNNNNNNNNNNNNNNNNNNNNNNNNNNNNNNNNNNNNNNNNNNNNNNNNNNNNNNNNNNNNNNNNNNNNNNNNNNNNNNNNNNNNNNNNNNNNNNNNNNNNNNNNNNNNNNNNNNNNNNNNNNNNNNNNNNNNNNNNNNNNNNNNNNNNNNNNNNNNNNNNNNNNNNNNNNNNNNNNNNNNNNNNNNNNNNNNNNNNNNNNNNNNNNNNNNNNNNNNNNNNNNNNNNNNNNNNNNNNNNNNNNNNNNNNNNNNNNNNNNNNNNNNNNNNNNNNNNNNNNNNNNNNNNNNNNNNNNNNNAACUACAUUAUUGAACGUUAGUCAAAUAUUUCCUAAUUUUACCUUUUCUCUUUGUUUUUGUCUCUCUCAGCUUCCAACUCUAGUGUAUGCCAAGUACAUAGAGCCAGGGUGAACCAAUUACUCCCUACGACCCAGAGCUGAACCGCACUUUGCGAAGAAUGAACAAUCCAAGAGAUCCAAUUGAUCCUACCGGAGAAAAUCUAGAUGAAGCAGUUGAGGUACAACAACAGAGGGUAAUUGGUGGGGACAACNNNNNNNNNNNNNNNNNNNNNNNNNNNNNNNNNNNNNNNNNNNNNNNNNNNNNNNNNNNNNNNNNNNNNNNNNNNNNNNNNNNNNNNNNNNNNNNNNNNNNNNNNNNNNNNNNNNNNNNNNNNNNNNNNNNNNNNNNNNNNNNNNNNNNNNNNNNNNNNNNNNNNNNNNNNNNNNNNNNNNNNNNNNNNNNNNNNNNNNNNNNNNNNNNNNNNNNNNNNNNNNNNNNNNNNNNNNNNNNNNNNNNNNNNNNNNNNNNNNNNNNNNNNNNNNNNNNNNNNNNNNNNNNNNNNNNNNNNNNNNNNNNNNNNNNNNNNNNNNNNNNNNNNNNNNNNNNNNNNNNNNNNNNNNNNNNNNNNNNNNNNNNNNNNNNNNNNNNNNNNNNNNNNNNNNNNNNNNNNNNNNNNNNNNNNNNNNNNNNNNNNNNNNNNNNNNNNNNNNNNNNNNNNNNNNNNNNNNNNNNNNNNNNNNNNNNNNNNNNNNNNNNNNNNNNNNNNNNNNNNNNNNNNNNNNNNNNNNNNNNNNNNNNNNNNNNNNNNNNNNNNNNNNNNNNNNNNNNNNNNNNNNNNNNNNNNNNNNNNNNNNNNNNNNNNNNNNNNNNNNNNNNNNNNNNNNNNNNNNNNNNNNNNNNNNNNNNNNNNNNNNNNNNNNNNNNNNNNNNNNNNNNNNNNNNNNNNNNNNNNNNNNNNNNNNNNNNNNNNNNNNNNNNNNNNNNNNNNNNNNNNNNNNNNNNNNNNNNNNNNNNNNNNNNNNNNNNNNNNNNNNNNNNNNNNNNNNNNNNNNNNNNNNNNNNNNNNNNNNNNNNNNNNNNNNNNNNNNNNNNNNNNNNNNNNNNNNNNNNNNNNNNNNNNNNNNNNNNNNNNNNNNNNNNNNNNNNNNNNNNNNNNNNNNNNNNNNNNNNNNNNNNNNNNNNNNNNNNNNNNNNNNNNNNNNNNNNNNNNNNNNNNNNNNNNNNNNNNNNNNNNNNNNNNNNNNNNNNNNNNNNNNNNNNNNNNNNNNNNNNNNNNNNNNNNNNNNNNNNNNNNNNNNNNNNNNNNNNNNNNNNNNNNNNNNNNNNNNNNNNNNNNNNNNNNNNNNNNNNNNNNNNNNNNNNNNNNNNNNNNNNNNNNNNNNNNNNNNNNNNNNNNNNNNNNNNNNNNNNNNNNNNNNNNNNNNNNNNNNNNNNNNNNNNNNNNNNNNNNNNNNNNNNNNNNNNNNNNNNNNNNNNNNNNNNNNNNNNNNNNNNNNNNNNNNNNNNNNNNNNNNNNNNNNNNNNNNNNNNNNNNNNNNNNNNNNNNNNNNNNNNNNNNNNNNNNNNNNNNNNNNNNNNNNNNNNNNNNNNNNNNNNNNNNNNNNNNNNNNNNNNNNNNNNNNNNNNNNNNNNNNNNNNNNNNNNNNNNNNNNNNNNNNNNNNNNNNNNNNNNNNNNNNNNNNNNNNNNNNNNNNNNNNNNNNNNNNNNNNNNNNNNNNNNNNNNNNNNNNNNNNNNNNNNNNNNNNNNNNNNNNNNNNNNNNNNNNNNNNNNNNNNNNNNNNNNNNNNNNNNNNNNNNNNNNNNNNNNNNNNNNNNNNNNNNNNNNNNNNNNNNNNNNNNNNNNNNNNNNNNNNNNNNNNNNNNNNNNNNNNNNNNNNNNNNNNNNNNNNNNNNNNNNNNNNNNNNNNNNNNNNNNNNNNNNNNNNNNNNNNNNNNNNNNNNNNNNNNNNNNNNNNNNNNNNNNNNNNNNNNNNNNNNNNNNNNNNNNNNNNNNNNNNNNNNNNNNNNNNNNNNNNNNNNNNNNNNNNNNNNNNNNNNNNNNNNNNNNNNNNNNNNNNNNNNNNNNNNNNNNNNNNNNNNNNNNNNNNNNNNNNNNNNNNNNNNNNNNNNNNNNNNNNNNNNNNNNNNNNNNNNNNNNNNNNNNNNNNNNNNNNNNNNNNNNNNNNNNNNNNNNNNNNNNNNNNNNNNNNNNNNNNNNNNNNNNNNNNNNNNNNNNNNNNNNNNNNNNNNNNNNNNNNNNNNNNNNNNNNNUAACUAUGAAAAGGCCCAUAGGUGUACUCCAUGAUAUGCUAGUGAAAGUGGAGUCUUUCAUUUUUCCGGCAGAUUUUGUGAUUCUUGACUGUGAGGUUGAUUUUGAGGUGCCCAUCAUCCUUGGGAGACCAUUUCUUUCCAGAGGGCAUGCGUUGGUUGAUAUGGAAAACGGGCAGAUGAAGUUCAGACUUAAUAAUGAAGAAGUAACUUUCAAUAUUUGUAGGUCCAUGAAGCAGAGUGGUGAGCUCCAAACAGUAUCUGCUAUAACUUACAGAGUGGAGACGGGGACAGAAGUGCAAAUUGAAGAGCGACUAGGUGUUGAGGCACUAGCAGCAGUUAUUAUGAAUUUCGAUAGUGAUGACAUUGAUGAGUAUGAUGAGUAGGUAGCCGUACUCGAUAGGUGUGAAUACCGGCCUAAACCAAAGAAGUAUGAAUUAGACAUGAAGAAUCGCGAGUCCCCACCCGCAAGACCAUCUAUUGUGGAGCCACCGAAAUUGGAGCUUAAGGCUCUACCACCGCAUUUGAGGUAUGUAUAGUUGGGCAAAGAGAAUACUUUGCCAGUCAUCAUUGUGGCAGAUCUGAAUGCGGGACAAGUAGAGUGCUUGGUGACUGUGUUAAAAAGGUUCAAGCGAGCUAUUGGGUGGACUAUUGCGGAUAUCAUUGGGAUUCCUCCCGGUAUUUGCUCUCAAAAAAUCCAACUCAUGCCAGAUCACAAGCCCAAUAUCUAGCACCAAAGAAGAUUAAAUCCACCUAUGCAAGAGGUAGUCAAAAAGGAGAUCAUCAAGUGGUUGGUUGCGGGAGUUAUUUAUCCCAUUUCAGAUAGUAGUUGGGUAUGCCCUGUGUAGUGUGUGCCUAAAAAGGGUGGUAUGACUGUGGUCCCAAAUGAAAGAAAUGAGCUUGUUCCAAUGGGGCCUGUUACUGGAUGGAGAGUUUGUAUGGAUUACCGGAAGCUGAAUGCGUGGACAAAAAAGGACCACUUUCCUAUGCCGUUCAUGCACCAGAUGCUGGAUAGACUUGCUGGAAAUGGUUGGUAUUGUUUCCUUGAUUGGUAUUCGGGCUACAAUCAAAUUUCUAUAGCUCCAGAAGACCAAGAGAAGACCACCUUCACUUGCCCAUAUGGGACUUUUGCUUUCAAACGGAUGCCAUUUAGGUUAUGCAAUGCUCCAGCUAGGUUCCACCGCUGUAUGAUGUCGAUAUUUUCUGAUAUGGUGGAGGACACUAUCGAAGUGUUCAUGGAUGAUUUUUCAGUUGUAGGUGAGUCUUUUGAUCGUUGUCUAGAUCAUCUGGCCGAGGUGCUUAAAAGGUGUGAAAAUUGCAACUUGGUACUCAAUUGGGAGAAGUGUCAUUUCAUGGUGAAAGAAGGUAUAGUGUUGGGUCAUCGAAUUUCAGAAAANNNNNNNNNNNNNNNNNNNNNNNNNNNNNNNNNNNNNNNNNNNNNNNNNNNNNNNNNNNNNNNNNNNNNNNNNNNNNNNNNNNNNNNNNNNNNNNNNNNNNNNNNNNNNNNNNNNNNNNNNNNNNNNNNNNNNNNNNNNNNNNNNNNNNNNNNNNNNNNNNNNNNNNNNNNNNNNNNNNNNNNNNNNNNNNNNNNNNNNNNNNNNNNNNNNNNNNNNNNNNNNNNNNNNNNNNNNNNNNNNNNNNNNNNNNNNNNNNNNNNNNNNNNNNNNNNNNUUGAUUAGAUGGGUAUUAUUGUUGCAAGAGUUUGAUUUUGUGGUAAAAGAUAGAAAGGGGACCGAAAAUCAAGUUGCCGAUCACUUGUCCAGAUUAGAGGAAGAGGCUAUGCUAUAGCUUGGAGAUAGGGCUGAAAUUAAUGAUGUUUUUCCAGAUGAACAGGUAUUGGCCGCUUCUAAUGAUUUGAUUCCUUGGUUUGCAGACUUUGCUAAUUAUUUGGCAAGCGAUAUUGUGCCCCUAGAUUUAUGUUUUCACCAAAGGAAAAAGUUUAUGCAUGAUGUGAAGAAAUUCUUUUGGGAUGAACCUUAUUUGUAUCGUAGUUGUGCUGAUGGGAUUAUUCGUCGCUGUGUGCCUGAGGUUGAGAUGUUGAGUGUACUUGAAGCAUGCCAUUCAUCGCCUGUUGGUGGGCAUCAUAGUGGUAUUCGGACUGCGCAUAAGAUUUUAAAGUGUGGAUACUAUUGACCUACCAUCCACCAAGAUGCUCAUGAUUUCGCCAAGUCUUGUGAUCGUUGCCAAAGAGAAUGAGGGAUUUCAAAGAGGCAAGAGUUCCCUAUGAAUCCUAUACUGGUGAUAGAAUUGUUUGAUGUAUGGGGUAUUGAUUUUAUGGGUCAUUUGUGAGUUCAUAUGGGAUGAAGUAUAUUCUUGUUGCGGUUGAUUAUGUAUCGAAGUGGGUGGAAGCAGUUGCGCUCUCCAACAAUGAAGGUAAAAGUGUCACCGCAGGGCGGUUCUCAGUUUUGUAAUAAGUUGUUCAAGGUACUACUUGAGAAAUAUGGUGUCCGUCACAAGGUACUACUUGAUGAUGCUCUAUGGGCAUAUCGCACUGCAUACAAGACCCCCAUAGGUAUGUCUCCUUACCAACUUGUAUAUGGGAAAUCUUGUCAUUUACAGUAGAGUUAGAGCAUAAGGCGAUGUGGGCAAUGAAGAAGUUAAAUUUGGAUUGGGGCGCCGCAUCUAAUAAAAAAAUGGAUGACCUGAAUACAAUUGAUGAGUUUCGCCUAAAAUCUUAUGAAAGUUCAGCCUUGUACAAAGAGAAGAUGAAGAGGUAUCAUGAUCAAAGAAUUGAAAAGCGAGAAUUUGUGGUUGGUGAUCUUGUGGUUCUAUUCAACUCUAGGUUGCUACUUGUUUCCAGGCAAACUCAAAUCCAAAUGGACCGGGCCAUUUUUGCUCACAAAAGUGCUCCCUCAUGGAGCGGUUGAGCUUGAAAAAAGGAUGGAACAAGGUUCAUGGUAAACGGGCCAAGGAUCAAGAUCUAUCUGGAUAUGCUGAAACUGUGCAGGAAGUGAUUGAGGCCUACAAUCUUGAUGAAGUCUGAGUUGGGUGGGUCUAGGGCGAAUGAAAGAGAUGUGUAGCAGAGGGCAGGUGAGGCACAUGCGUCAUGCCGCGACUUUAAAUCAAGCGCUGCUUGGGAGGCAACCCAAGAUGUACAAUCUAGCCAACGAUAGAUUUUCGUUUUCCAUCUAGCAUUUUUUGUGUUUAGUUUAUUAUCUGUAUUAAUUUAGAUAGGCAUUUUAGUUUUUUUUGUGUUGGCUAAAAUUAGCAUAGGGACUCUGUGUCUAAAAAGUGUCCAAAAAAUGUAANNNNNNNNNNNNNCAUUGACUGUUCAAACGGUUUUUGUGCAAAACUAGAACUUGCCCGGUUAGUCCUGCUAACACAAUUCAAUCUAGAGGUUAGGAAAUUAUCAUAGGCCAUUGUUCUGAAACGUCCACAAAUUCGCUAAAAGAAGGAUCCAACCAAAUGAAAUAAAUGCUCCCUUUGAUCCAAAUAAUUUGAGCCUAAAUUAAACCAUUUCUUCUUAAACCCUGAACUCACUCUCCCAUAAUCUACUAUGUUGGCCCCGGUCCCUCCUUGGACAUAUGCACCUCGACUUAGGCCAAAAUCCUAAGUUGAGGGUGGCUAAUGUAAAAAGUAACUUCAAUCUUGGCCCUGACCUGACAUCGGGUAUUUUGUACCUCAACUAAUGGAAAAUCCAUAAGUUGAGGGUGGCUAUGAAAGAGGGAAAUGAAAGAAAAAUGGGUAUGAAAAGAGUGAUGAUAAAAAAAAAUGGGAUGUGACUUGUUGAAAGCGAAAAGAAAAAAAAGAAAAAAAAAGAAAAAAAGUAAAAAGAGCUACAAAGUCUGUAGUCACAUUCGUGGUUGAAGAAAAUUAAGGGAAAGAAAGUAAAACGAUAGGAUGACAAAAAUAGAGAAAGAAGAAGUUGAAAGCCGAGUGUAAUGUCAAGGAGGGCAGAAAGUCACUAGGCAGUACCCAAAUGUACCACACCUGACCCUGAGCCUACGUUACAAGCCAAGAAAGUCCUGUAGUGAUCCUAAAGUCUAUUUUGGAGAGUGUAAGCAGUGAAAAUAAGGGCAAACUUAUGGCAUUGAGCACUAAUUUUAUUUGAAAUUACUUCUGAGCGUGAGUGUUGAAUAAAUCCUUGUACCAUGAAUGAAAUCAANNNNNNNNNNNNNNNNNNNNNNNNNNNNNNNNNNNNNNNNNNNNNNNNNNNNNNNNNNNNNNNNNNNNNNNNNNNNNNNNNNNNNNNNNNNNNNNNNNNNNNNNNNNNNNNNNNNNNNNNNNNNNNNNNNNNNNNNNNNNNNNNNNNNNNNNNNNNNNNNNNNNNNNNNNNNNNNNNNNNNNNNNNNNNNNNNNNNNNNNNNNNNNNNNNNNNNNNNNNNNNNNNNNNNNNNNNNNNNNNNNNNNNNNNNNNNNNNNNNNNNNNNNNNNNNNNNNNNNNNNNNNNNNNNNNNNNNNNNNNNNNNNNNNNNNNNNNNNNNNNNNNNNNNNNNNNNNNNNAGACAGCUGAAAGAAAUGCAGAAACAUGGCAUUCACAGAGGUGAUCUACGAACUGUAGGUCCAUUCACGGUCCGUAGGUGAUGACCGCAGAUCAGCAGGCAAGACAUGAAGGAUAAAUCAGGGAAAUCUGACCAAGUGUGGAACCACGGUGUCCAUUGACGGUCCGUAGAUCCAUCUACGGACCGUAUUGUGUAUUCGUAGAUUGAUAUUGCGAGGGUUCCAGUACCUGAUUUAUGAAGAUUCUAAGUAUGGAGCUACGGAGGGGAUUGACAGACCGUAGAUCGAUCUACGGUCCGUACUGCUGGUCCGUCGUUAGCUUCAGAGAAGCUGGUUUUUUUGAAAGCUGAAAUAUAUUUAGUGUGAUACUAUCUAAUAGUCUAGUGUCGAUUGGUGCGAAGUAAUAACUAAGCCAAACAUCGAUUAUGAUGUCUAAUAUGAGGUAAAGGUAAGGGUUAGUAAAUUAUACACACGUAGCCUGAUCAAGGUGUGGGGUGAAAUUCUCUGGAUGCCGGAGCAAGGCUUUAGAGAUACAAAACUUAUUACUUUGCAUAUAAUACACUAGGAAAGGAUUGCGGUUACUAGAAUUACUGCAUUAUGAGUUUGUGGUGAACACGUAUACCCUAGGUAAUUUUCUCAUCUUGAUAACAACCGAAAUUCACUUUUGUUUAUUGAUUACGUACUGAAUUCUUACAAUUUGUUUCACAAAUUCCCCCCUUUUUAUUUCUUGUUUCUGGAAGUACUUUGGCUAAUUGAAUAUAAUUGUCGGUUAAAGUAAAGUCUAAACCAUUUUCCUCGUUGGAUCGACCCCAACCUACAAGUUGGGUUCUUUACUUGAUAACGAUCGUUUAUGCUUCUUUAGGAUGGUGUAAUUUGAGCGUAUCAAUGUUGUAUGUAUGAAUGUGAUGUGAAGCAUGUGUGUGAUCUUACUGAAUGAAUUAUGAUCUUAUUUAGAAGCUAAUUAUCUUAGGAUUGAAUGUUAUCACUUUAUUAACAAUCUUAGGAUUGAAUGUUAUCACUUUAUUAACAAUCAUGAAUGUUGGUGAUGGUAAUGUUAAGGGUUCUAUAAUAUAAUUUUGAAUAUCUUGAAUUGGUAGUCUAUGGCUUCCUUUUCUUGUAUUGAUGAAUGAAUGAAUGAAGUUUAAUGAUAAUGUUAAUGAAUGUUGAGUUUAUUGAAAGGCUAUUCUCAAUUGUACUUUAAUGAAUAUUAAUGACUUGUUGUGAAAGUACUUGCUCACAAUAAGGGAGGUUCUUAGGUGAAAGGGUAUUCUCAUCUUUGAAUGUAUGAGCUUUCCAAUAAAUGAAUGUUGGGAUAGGAUGGAUACUCAUCCAGGAGCUGAGGCGGAGUAUCUAGUAACAAUCCAUAUAUCCCGUUUUAGUGAAUGUUGGGUUUGGGAUGGUUACUCAUCCGGGAGUUGAGGCGGGGUAUCUAGUAGCAAUCUCUUAUCCCAUAAUGAACUAAUGUAAUGAAUGUAAUUUACUCCGUGGGGAAUAUGCUAAGCACCGAGUGGAUAUGGCUUGAGUUAGGUGCUUAUCCGGGAGUUCAGGCGGGGUACUUAGUAGCAAUCUCUUGAGAUGGAUGCUCAUCCAUGAGUUGAGGUGGGGUAUCUAGUAGCAAUCUCCCUAUCCUUUAAACUAUGUGCCCACAUAGGUCUAGCUAGUGGAUCCACUAAAGGCUAAAAAAACGAUGGUCCUACCUUAGGCAAGUCGGAAUCCCUUUAUACGGUAAGGAUGACACCGGGAUUCCAUGUCAAGCUCACAUGGUCUAUGUCGGUUAAGGCUUACCCCCACAAUAAUGUUAAUGAACUAUGGCUUCUUCUACUUAGUGUGGGUGGUGGUAUGGCACACCAUCUAUGCCUUGCAUAAGUAGUCAUUUGAGGGAGGUCAUGGUGUGUUCCUUAUAAUGUUAAUGAAAUGAAUGGGCUCUUAUAAUAAUAUUUAUGAGAAUGGUGAUCUAAUGUUUAAUUAAUGAAGGUGCUCUUAAUGUAAUGAAGCUAAUGAAAAAUGUUGACUCUUAUAUGUUUAAAUUUAAAAAUGCAUGCUAUACUUGGUUUGUAACAUGAGUUACUUCCUUUUUAUGACUUGUUGUGUAUGAAUGGGCCUUGUCUAGGUUGACUUCAAAUGAGUACGUAGUGUGAGUAGUAGUAUGGGAUGCUACUUGCACAUUGCACAAGUAUGACUUAGAGUUGUCUUAGAAGUUGGUCUUAAUGUGAUAAUCUAAUUUAUGUGAUGUUUAUGUUUCUUAUAUGCUUUAUUGUGUAAAGGUGGAAAAAAGGAAUGGUAAGUUCACCUUUGGUGAUCUUAAUGUGGUACCUUGGUGUGGAUGGUGGUAUGGGAUGCUAUCCAUACAUUGCACAAGGUAUAGCAUGAUGGUUACUUGAGGUGAAGGCUUAAAGUAAAGGUAAUUGGUUAUAUGGUUGAUCAUGUUCUAAUAUGGUUAGAUUAUUUGUAUGUUGAUUAUGUCUAAAUGAGAAAAUGUGACUUGCAUGUUGGUUGUGACUUAUAUUAUGCUUUUUUUAGUAAUGUUCAUGAACUUUUACGAAAAUGGCAUAUAUCAUGACUUUCAAACAAAGAUGUCCUUUUUAAGCAUGUUUUUGCAUGGCUUCCAUACUUAGUACAUCUAAUGUGCUAACCCAUAUUGGUUCUCCCUUUUUACCAAAGUGUAGGGUUUGGAGAUAUUGGUGUUCUAUACUUGAAAAAUAGGUUUCUAAGGUGCUUGAAGAUGAAGACUUGGUAAGUACUCAUAGUUUCGAGGACAAAAUCCAUUGUGUUCCUUUUAUGUCUUUUAGUUUUGUUAAAUCUUUUCUAUGGGCUAAAUCCCAAUAUUGUAUUCAAAGUAUUAGAUGGUUUGAGACAUAGUGUACAAAGUCUAGAAAGUCUUCCGCUUGCUUUUUAAUGAAAAUGUCUUCGAUUGUAAGGAAAGUUUUAAUUCUUCUCUAUUUUUCCUAUGCUCUUAUGUUCAAGAAUGCUAUGAGGCUUGUAUUAGCCCAUUUCGGGGUCGAGUACCCCGUGUUACGACUAGGGGUGCUCUAGGGUCGUGACAAACAAGGUAUCAGAGCACAAGAUUUUGGAAUGGUCUUUGGAUGUUCUAAACCACAUCUAGUAGAGUCUUGUUCAUAAUGUGAAGCGCACCACAUUAUGAAUAGAAGGCUAUUGGGUGCUAAGAAACUUUCACUUUUUCAUUCUUCAAGUCGUGCCAUAGAGUUUAGCUCUAUAAUAUCUCUCUCUUGUUCCUUAUGUAAUGGUCUUUAGAGUAUGACCACUUGGAACGAGUACGUUACAAGGGUUCAGGGAGAGAAAAGGUUGGUUGUGAUGCCAACUAGGGAUAUGUGACUUGAUAGAUGUGAAAUGGAAGAUUGUGAUGUUGACUUUAGUAUGAAUAGGUUGCUUUAUGGAUAUGUGUGUUGUUGGUAGAAGGUUAUGAGGAGUUUUGAGGUAUGUGGAAAGAGUUGAUGAAUGGUGGUGUUUAAGAGAUUCCUUGAAGUGUUGAGUGAGUAGACUCCUCUAAGAGGGGUACAAAGUAAUUCACCUUGGGUGAUGAGUGUGAAGGUUUAGUGUUGUUUUGUUCCGACCUUAGGAUUUAAAGAGGAGAAGUUUAAAAGAGCUAGUGUAAGCUUUCUCCCAAGUGGGGGAUAAUGUGCCUAGAUGGUAAGGUCUUUGAGUGUCAUUAAUGUUCAUGAGUUACGCUUGAUUGAUGUUCUCACCUUAAGAGGUGUAGUGAGUGUGAGGAGUUUAGACCCAGUGUGGUAGACUCAUAUGAGACAUUGAGUGAUGUGGUAAGGUUGAUUGUGAGCAAGAUUUGCUUAAUGACAACCUUCCUAGUUUAAAAGUACCGGUAUGUUAAUGGUUUCUUGUAAGUUGUGGAUGUCUUGAUUAUGGUUCCCUUAUGGUGUUCAUGUUGACCUUAGUUCGGUUUACUCCUAAGUGGGGGGGUAUUAUGUUAUAGUAAGGUUGUUGAGAUUUCCGAUAUCCUUACCUCUUUAUUUAUAUGCCUACUCAAACCUAAGACAAAGAGUUCCUUUUUGGCUUGUUUCAUGUUUUGUAAUCAUGUGUGAAAUUGAGUUUCCAUGAUCUCCUUAUGUAAUGCAUGUUCUAGUUGAAUUCUUGUUUAGUUGAGAAAAUGAGUUUUCAUGAUUUAUUGUUCCUUAUGUUGAUGUGCAUUUAGUUUGAGUUGUUUAUAUGCUUCAUGAGGAUAAAUGUUGAACAUGCCUAAAUGUGCUUUAUUGAAAAUAUGCAUAAUCUGCUUUUAUGGGAAAAUUGCUCAAAUGUGCGUAAUGAUGUUGUAAUGAGCGUGAUGCGAUUUGGAGAAGAAAGUCCCUCCAUUGAAAUUAGAAAUGUUGAAGGUUUGGUGCAAAAUGAGUUUGUAGAUGUAGUUCGUACCUUCUUGUUUGCAUUGAGCCUUUUGAUGUGGAGUUGAUGUUUCAUCCUAUGUUUAUGCAUUUAUAUUGAUGUUGCAUGCAUGAUUGUGGGCUGCUAGUCUUGAGUCGUUACCCCUUAAUGUGUUUAAAGUGUCAUUAGAGGACAAAUGUUCCUUAGUGGGGGAUAAUGUAACGACCCUAAAAACAAACCAAUGAAACUAGAUCCUAACGUGUGUGCCUGUGAGUUUGGUGUGAGGUUUGAUGGUGUUUGAUGUUGUCCCAAGUCAUGGUUGAGGGGUUUGGGGGUCAAACGUCAAGGUGUGACUCCCUAUGGACCACCCUAGGGGUCCUUGAGGAGCACCCUAGGGGUCCUUGAGGAGGACCCUAAGUCUAACUUCAAGACCCCAAUGAACCAUGAAGGCUGCCCAAAAUGGGGUGACCUACGGAAUGGGUCCACGCCCCGUACGUCCAUCCACGCCCCGUGGAUGGUCUCCGUAGGUCAAGAGGCCCCUAACCAAGCCACAACCCCAAUUGACGGAGGGACAAUAUGGUCCGUGACCCCAUCCACGGACCGUGGAUGGGGUCUCCUGAACCAUGUCUGUAAUCUGUCAAGAGGCACAACCAAGUGAAGGGUGAAGUGGUAAAUUCACCCUUUGCUUAGUUAAGUGUUUAGAUGGUUAUUUUGUGUUUAUUAACAUAUUAGUAUUAAAACAUUAAAAUGCUAUUUUAGAUUUAUAAUUGCAAAACCCCAAAUCAAAACCCUUCCCUCCCAUAAAGUGUUAUCUCUGGAAACUCCAUUGGAGAUCAAGGUCUAGAUCAAGCUAGGGUUGGGGAUUUCAUGGUGUUUCUUCUUCAAUUUUCGUGAGGAAUGAAUAGCAGGGUAUGGUGGUCUUGAUUCUUGCCUAAUUUUCCAUUCAAGGAGCCAAUUCAAAUGUGAUUACAAAUCAAGAAAAUCUAGGUUUUUACUCAAUCUCAUAGGUUCUUUCAUCAAAUGUUUUCAAAUUGUUUCUAAUCACAAAUUAUGAUUUUAUUGAUGUUUAAUUGAUGAUUUAUGAUGAAAAUACUCGAUGAACCCAUGAUUUCUCUCAAUUCCUAAAAUGUGACUUAUGAAGUGGGUUUGUUGAUUAUUAAUGAAUGUUGAUGGACUUAUGCCUAGAUUGACUUAGAUUAUUGAAUUGUAUCAUCAUCUAUGCCUAAUUAUGGUGAAUUGAGGAUUUUUUUUAUCAUAGACUUGAAAGGGAAUGUUUGACUUAAUUUCAAAUUAAAGUAGAAUUGUCUUCAAUUGUUGAUCCACUUGAAAGGUGGAGGUGUUUAUUUACUAUGGACAUUGUGAUCAUGGCCUUGAAGGCAUAGUGUGAGGAAUUAAAGUAUUAUCAUGAUGUUGUAUAUAUGAACGUGAUGUGAAACAUUGGUGUGAUUGCAAUGAAUGAAUUAUGAUCUUGUUUAGAAGCUAAUUGUGUUAGGAUUGAAUGUUAUCUCUCUAUUAACACUCAUGAAUGUUGAUGAUGGAAAUGUGAAGGGUUCUAUAAUGUAAUGUUGAAUAUCUUGAAUUGGUAGUAUAAGGCAUCAUUUUCUUGUAUUGAUGAAUGAAUGAAUAAAGUUUAAUGAUAAUGUUAAUGAAUGUUGAGUUUAUUUCUCAAUUGUACUUAAAUGAAUGUUAAUGACUUGUUGUUAAAGUACUUCCUUAUAAUAAAGGGGUUCUUAGGUGAAAUGCUAUUCUCAUCUUUGAAUCUAUGAGCUUACCAAUGAAUGAAUGUUGGGAUUGGAUGGAUACUCAUCCAGGAGUUGAGGCAGAGUAUCUAGUAAUAAUCCAUAUAUCCCAUUUUAGUAAAUGUUGGGUUUGGGAUGGAUACUCAUUCGGGAGUUGAGGCGGGGUAUCUUGUACCAAUCUCUUAUCACAUAAUGAAAUAAUGUAAUGUACUCCGUGGGGAAUAUGCUGAGCACCGAGUGGAUAUGGCUUGAGAUGGAUGCUAAUCCUUGAGUUGAGGCGGGGUAUCUAGUAGCAAUCUCCCUUUCCCAUAAACUAUUUUCCCACAUAUGUCUAGCUAGUGGAUCCACUUAAGGCUAAACAAAUGAUGGUCCUACAAUAGGAAAGUAGGAAUACCUUUUUCCGGUGAGGGUAACACCGGAAUUCCAUGUCAAGCUCACAUGGUCUAUGUCGGUUAAGGCUUACCCCCACAAUAAUGUUAAUGAACUAUGGCUUCUUCUACUUAGUGUGGGAUGGGACGCCAUCUAUGCCUUGCACAAGUAUGCAUUUGAGGGAGGUCAUGGUGUGUUCCUUAUAAUGUUAAUUAAAUGAAUGGGCUCUUAUAAAGAUAUUGACGAGAAAGGUGAUCUAAUGUUUAAUUAAUGAAGGUGCACUUAAUGUAAUGAAGCUAAUGAAAAAUGUUGACUCUUAUAUGUUUAAAUGUAAAAAUGCAUGCUAUAGUUGAUUUGUAUCAUAAGUUACUUCCUUGUUAUGACUUGUUGUGUAUGAAUGGGCCUUGUGUAUGGUGACUUUAAAGGAGUACUUAGUGUGAGUAGUAGUAUGGGAUGCUACUUGCACAUUGCACAAUUAUGACCUAGAAUUGUCUUCGAUGUUGGUCUUAAUAUGAUAAUGUGAUUUAUGUGAUGUUUAUGUUUCUUAUAUGCUUUAUUGUGUAAAGGUAGAAAAGAGGAAUCUUAAGUUCACUUUUGGUGAUCUUAAUGUUGUACCUUGGUGUAGAUGGUGGCAUGGGACGCUAUCCAUACAUUGCAGAAGGUAUAACAUGAGGGUUACUUGAGGUGAAGGUUUAAGGUAAAGGUAAUGGGUUAUAUGGUUGAUCAUGUUCUAAUGUUGUUAGAUGAUUUGUAUGUUGAUUAUGUCUUAAUGACAAAAUGUGACUUGCAUGUUGGUUGUGACUUAUAUUAUGCCUUUUUUUAAUAAUGUUCAUGAACUUUUACUAAAAUGGCAUAUAUCAUGACUUUCAAACGAAGAUGUCCUUUUUAAGCAUGUUUUUGCAUGGGUUCCAUAGUUAGUACAUCUAAAGUGCUAACCUAUAUUUCUUCUCCCUUUUUACCAAAGUGUAAGGUUUGGAGAUAUUGGUGUUCUAUGCUUGAAGGAUAGGUUUCUAAGGUGCUUGAAGAUGAAGACUUGGUGAGUCCUCAUAGUUUCGAGGACAAAAUCCAUUGUAUUCCUUUUAUGUCUUUUAGUUUUGUUAAGGCUUUUGUAUGGGAUAGGUCCCAAUGUUGUAUUGAAAGUAUUAGAUGGUUUGAGACAUAGUGUACAAAGUCUAGGAAGUCCUCCGCUUAUUUUUUAAUGAAAAUGUCUUUGAUUGUAAGGAAAGUUUUAAUUCCUCUCUAUUUUUCCUAUGUUUAAGAAUGCUAUGAGGCUUGUAUUAGAACCCUUCGCGGUCGAGUACGCCGUGUUACAACUAGGGGGUGCUCUCGGGUCGUGACAACAAGAAUAUACCACAAAGCCAUCCGUACCCUCUGGUAGGGUCAACACCGGAGCAUAAGUGAGUCUAUCUUUCAACUCUUGGAAACUUUUCUCACAAGCUUUCGAACAAAGGAACUUGGCCUUCUUUUGAGUCAAAGUCGUCAAAGGAGAAGCAAUAGAGGAAAACCCCUCAACAAACCUUCUAUAUUAACUGGCAAAACCCAAGAAGCUUCUUAUAUCUGUUGGUGAUAGAGUUCUAGGCGAACUCUUGACCGCAUCCGUCUUCUUUGGAUCUACCUCAAUACCCUUAUGCGAAACAAUAUGACCAAGGAAAGCUACAGACCUUAACCAAAACUGACAUUUACUAAACCUUGCAUAAAGUUUUUGGUCCUUGAGAUUUUGCAAUACAAUCCUUAAAUGAUCAAUAUGCUCAUUCUCACUUCUUGAAUAUAUCAAAAUAUCAUCAAUAAAAACAAUCACGAACGUAUCAAGGUAUUGUCUAAACACCCUAUUCAUCAAGUCCAUAAAUGUUGUCGGGGCAUUAGUCAAACCAAAAGACAUAACCAAGAACUCAUAAUGACCAUAUCGGGUUCUAAAAGAUGUUUUCGAAAUAUCUUCCUCUUUCACCCUCAAUUGGUGAUAACCUGACCGGAGAUCAAUUUUAGAGUAAUAACUUGCACUUUGGAGUUGAUCAAAUAAAUCAUAUAUUCUCGGAAGUGGAUACUUGUUCUUAAUGGUCACUUUGUUCAAUUGGCGGUAAUCAAUACACAUUUGGAGUGAACCAUCUUUCUUCUUAACAAAUAAUACUGGAGCACCCCAUUGAGAGAUACUCGGUCGAAUAAAACCCUUAUCUAAUAUGUCCGUUAACUGUUCCUUCAACUCCUUAAGUUCCAUUGGAGAAAUUCUAUAAGGAGGAAUAGAGAUAGGUCGGGUAUCGGGGAGAAGGUCAAUCACAAAGUCUAUUUCCCUUUCGGGAGGAUCACCGGGUAAAUCAUCUGGAAAGGCUUCCGGAAACUCUUUUACAAUAGGAACCGACUCAAGAGAAGGAGUUUCGGACUCCACAUCCCUCACCCUCACUAUAUGGUAGACACACCCCUUUGUGAUCAUUUUCCUAGCUUUUAGGUAAUAAAUAAAUUGACCUCUAGGCAUAGAAUUUCUCGCCUCUACUCAAGGAUAGGCUCAUUUGGGAACUGAAAUUUGAACACUCUAGUCCUACAAUCAAUAGAUAACAAGAAUGCAACCAAUCCAUACCCAAGAAGACAUCAAAGUAAAUCAUAUCAAGUUUCACCAAAUCUAUUAGAGUGACUCUAUGGGAUGAGGAAACGUGACAUCUCCUAUAGACUAUUUUAGCCACCACAUAAUCACCAACGGGGUAGAAACAAAAAAAGGUUCUAACAACACUUCAGGGAGUACAUCAAAUAUCAUAGCUAAAAAAGGAGUCACAAAUUACAAUGUAGCACCCGCAUCAACCAAAGAAUACAUAACUAUAUGAAAAACAUUUAACAUACCAGUCACAACAUCCAGGGAGCUCUUUUGGUCACCUCUAGUUUGGAGAGCAUAAAAGCAGUUUGCUUAGGAGCAUUUCCACAUGAGUCACUCAGACUGAAUGAAGUGUAGGGUUGAGUCCUGCGACGACCAUCCCCAUCAUUCUUGGCAACAUAAGGACAAUCCAUUAUUUUAUGAUCCGUUUUACCACACCCGAAGCAAGCAUUUGAUCCCGCUAGAACUUCCCCUCGUGGUUUCUCCCACAUUUAUCCAAGUAGGCAUCAAAGAUUUACCACCAUCUCCUUGGGGUUUAAGGGUAGACACCCUUUCAUUUCUUGACUACGGAGGAGCGUUUGUAGAACCUUGCCCGGAGUACUUUUGCUGGAAUCUAGAAUAACCCCGCCCACCGGACCUAGCAUGUGCAAAGUUCCCAUCAUCCACUCUAGCCCUUUUUGCCUCCCUAGAUCUAUCCUUGAGCUUUUCUUCCUCAAUUUGUUGGGCAUGCACGAUAAGGCGAGAGAUAUACAUGUCAUGAGCAAGCAUAGCUGUGAGGCACUCUAUGACUACCAUGCGUGACAUUCCCGACACAAACUUACUUAUCUUGGCCCUACGAUCCGCCACAAUGGAAGGAGCAUAUUUGGAUAGUUGAGUAAACCUCAAAGUGUACUACCUUACACUCAUAUUUCCUUGCCUAAGUUUGAUGAACUCAAGUACUUUGGCCUCUCUCAUCUCUAUAGGGAAGAAUCAAUCACGAAACAUACUUUUGAACAUUUCCCAUUCUAUGGGACUCGCUUCCACUGGCCUAGGCACUUACCACUGAUUAAACAAAAUCUAAGCAACCCCUUUGAGUUGGUAAGCAGCUAGUUCUGCCUUCUCUACCGAAGUCACACCCAUGAUAGCAAGCACAUUAUAAACCUCGUCGAUAAACUCUAUAGGAUCUUUCUCAUGUUUGGAGCCAUAAAAUUCGGGCGGGUUUAUUCUUGUGAAAUCUCUCACUCUUGCCGCUGUCGUACCCACAUUUGGGAUCACAGGGGCUACCACCUCUCGGUUAGCUUGCGCUGUCACGGGUUGAGACAACACUUGUAAUGCAGACCUAAACUACACAUUAGUCAGAAUCUCAUUCAAUGGGUCAAUCAGAGCUUGAAGAGGUGCUUGAGCAGGAACCUCUUGCUCAAUAUUGCCUUCCUCCAACGUUCUAGCAUUAGCCCUUCUAGUAGUCAUUUCCUAAUAAACAUUGGGCACAUAUUAUGAGAAAGACUUAAAGAGUUGAACUCCAUGGAACGACUUAAAAAAGUGAAGAAGUGGAACUUUUGAAACAUCUAAUUGCCUCCUAUUCAUAAAUGUGGCGCGCUUCACAUUUAUGAACAAGACUCUACUAGACGUGGUUUAAAACAUCCUAGAACCAUUCUAGACCUUCUACUCGGAUUACCAAGUUUGUCACGACCCAAGGGUACCCGCUAGAUGUAAUAAUGCGUAUAAGACCCUGAGAGGCCUCAUACAAACCAUGUAGUAUAUCAUAACAUAAAGUAAUAGAAAAGGUGCGGGAAUUAAAACUUUUCAAAUACAAUCAAAGUCUUUUAAAGAAGCAAGCGCAAGCCUAACAUGACAUUGUCUCAAACCAUCUAAACAUAUGAUUUUUUUUUUUUUUUGGGAUGCAGCCCAUACAAUAGUUUCAAAAGUAAAAUAAAAACAUAAGAGAAAUAGGGUGAUCCAAUCCUCGAAUACAAUGAGGACUCACCAAAGCUUCACGUCACGAUCAACUAGAGCCUAGCCACAAUUAUUUGAAUCGGGAACGCCGAACCCUAUAUUUUAAAAGAAUGUAGGCAAGAGUAUGCGUUAGUACAAUCAAGUACUAAAUAUGAUGAAUAGCAUAAAAAACAUUAACAUAAGAGUUAGUCAAUACAAGACAUAAGGCAUAAUCAUUUCAAUAUAUGAAAAACGUCAUAAUGAAAGAGGAAUACUUCCUUAAGUAGCCUCACCUAUCCUUAUCCAAGAGUUAGGUCAUCCGCCUCUAGUCAAGCUUACAUCAUGGAAGGCAUAUCUAGCAACAAUCCAAGCAAUCAUCAUCAUACCUAAUCACAUUAGUCAUACUUAAUUUUAAAGACACGGGGAUUCACCUCUAUGCCUAGUUCAUAAAGGCUAACGGGUAUUCAGCUCUUGCCUUACUUACUUUUAGAUUGCGGUUACUCGCCUCCACGUCAUUUCAAAAGGAGUAUGGGUACUGAUGUUUGCGUAAUCAAGACACAACUUCCGAUGCAAGUGUCUAUGAUCGUACAAUAGUUUAGUAACCCAACCAAGGGUUGGGAUCGUUCCCAAGAGAGUGGUUUUGAGAAUUAAUAGAAAAAUAAAAUUUAGUUCUAACUAGUCGUUGCUAAAGACAUUAACGAUUAAAAACAUUGAAGAUUAAAGAAGGACACAAGAGUGUCAAUUAACAAUGGGGCGGGGGUUGUCACAAGUAAGUAAACACAGUAAAAUAAACAAGGAUUUCUAUGUAAUGAUAGGGGAUCCUUGGGAUGUGAUAGGAAUACGGGUUAAGUUAGAAUAUUGGGUACAUGCUUUCGAUAGAAGAUUCAUAGAGUAAUUGUCACUAGGCUAAACUUUAAGGGGGAUAAGCUCUCUCUCGGGCAACUUACCCCAUUUCAAAUGUGUGUCUCUCGGACACCCACUUGCCGGAUGAAGACCAGCCUCUGCCUUAACCCACUCACUCUCUCAAGUUGAGUGUGUGGGAAUGUGACUAGGAUUCACUCUCUCGAGCUUAACCUCAUUUCGACCCACUUCCACCAGCCUUCAAUUUAGUAGUUUUAGUUUUACGACCUCUCUCUCUCGCAAGCCGAAAACAUAUAAUAAACUUUUAUUUGAAACUACAAAUUCAUUAAAUUCAUCCAUAACUACUAAACGAAAUCACAAUUAAACAAAGAUUAAACUAUCAGCAAUCAAGACCCAACAAUUAUCUUAACCCAUAUUCGCUAAAUCACACCCCAAGAAUUGGGGUUUUAGCCACACAUGUAUAAGAGAUAUAAAUUUAUACAAAAUUGAGCUCGCAUUCAACUGGGUAUGAAGAUUUAAGUCUUGAUAUAGGCCAAAAUUGAAGAAUCCAAGAGACCCAAAUCUAAAUCUUGAAGAUGAAUGCCUUGGAAUCUUUAAGUCAUCACAACACUCUCAAACUUAGAGCAAAAAAAUCAAAAAGUACUAUUCAAAAUAAAUAUUAUAAUAAUUGUUCCACUAUUUAAACAACAACUCUAACUAGUAUUUAUAGUUUUCACAGAUUUUUGCUGCAGCGGAUCAUUUGGCAUCGUUAGUCGAAAUCGCUGAUCAACUUAGCGAUCCGCCUUUUGGUGUAGUUCACCGCCAUCUUGCAGCAGCCUUUUGGUGUAGUGCUCUGGGUCAUUACGCGACAUGGUACUACUUCGCGGAACUUCUCGGUGAUGCGCCGACUGCUCCCUUUUUCUGCCGACUUGAUCCUUUCCUUCAGGGCUCAACACACUUGAACAAAAGGUGAAGUAAGACCCUUCGGCGAUCCUCAGGCCUUCAUUUCUUCGUUAUUUUCGGCAUUUUCGCUCCUUUUUGCGACGUAGUGUCCACGCUUUCCUUCAAACUUCAAAUACCUGAAACUUAAGGGUUUUCAUCAGAUAUUAGGAUAAAAUAAGCAUUUGAGGACACAAUUUCUAUUAAAAUAUACCCCUAAAUGAGUCCAAUUUGUGGAUUCAUCAACACCCCCAGCUUAAACUCUUGCUUGUCCUCAAGUAAAACUCAUGUUCAGCAGUUCAACAAGGAUAUCUCAAACAGUGCUACACAAGACUCAGUUAUGAAUGUACACAACAAGACUCAAUUUACUUGUGCAAGGAUCAAUUGUGUACUCAAAUAUUCAAGUUGUGAUACACCAUUAACAAAGAUUCUCAAGCUCACAAUAUUUGCUUCAAAUGCAAGUUCAAGCUCAACAAAAGACUUCAAAUGCCCUCACACAAAUGAUGAUUCCAUUUUCACACGCAAAGGUAUAAUCAAUUUAAAUUUCAGGAAUCAGAUACAACAUUCACUCAAAAAGAUUAACACAAUGCAUGCUUUCACCCAUAGGUUUGCCCGUAUUUUCCAAUCAACAUUUGUUUCGACUUUCUCAAGAUCACAAAUGUCUUAACAAGGUUUGUAAUGGGGCUGAGUGCAAAGGUAUGAUCAUUUAGGCUCAAUGACUUUUAUCCUCAUGAAAUGUGGUGCUCUCAACACUUCCUUUCCUUUUCCCUUCAUCAUUUUCAUUAGUGCAUCAUAGGUCAUCCUAUUAUUCGCUUCCCAUGGGUUGUUCGGAACCCUAUUUCUUUGGUACUUUAUUCUACAACUUUCCCUUCUCUUUUUUUUAUGGAAAGGUUCCAUUUUUCUCAACACCAUGUGUUAAAGGAGACUUUUCUUGCACUUCUUGACUUUCCUUUCUUUUUCACCACACCCCAACUUAGGCUUUUGGCCUAAGUUGGCUAUUCAAUUAACCACAAUUCAAGAGGACUAUAGGUAAUGGAUUAUGAAAGGUUUAGUUUUCAUCAAGUUUCUUCCAAAGAAAGGUAAGGCUCAAAGGGUGUUCAAGAGAGAAUCACACACGCACAAGGUAGGUCACAAAAGAGGUAUAUGUAAAAUUGGUUCAUACUCUUCGAAGUUGCCUAAGAUCAUAUCAAGAGAAAAUCUUACUUAGUCAACCGGACCAACAACGCAAAUUCUAGGUGUUGUCAUGCAUUGUUCCGGGUAAUCUUAUCACACAAGGCAUCGACACUUAAGUCAAAUAAGACUCCACACUUUUACUAGUGUGCAACGGUCAUCACAAGAGAAUCGAUUUGAUAAAUGGCUAAUCACAACGAGAUGCAAAGAGUUCACAUAUUGUGUAUGCAACAUCAUUUGGCCUAAUCGUAGCCGUACAUUCAUGUUCGUUUGAUUGUAGGCACUAUUCAAGUUAUUGGUAUUGAUCAAAACCGAGACUCAAAUUUGCCAAGGAACAACCACAUUCACGAGCAUAUAAAGGGUGGCGCAACUGUGCGAAAAAUUAAAUUUUUUUUGGAAGGGUCAAUGUCAUUGUGCAAUUUAAAAUAAAAGAAGCCACAAGCUCAAACAUCCACAGAAAAGCAGUAUUAACACAAUUUUAAACAAAACAACCCAAAUAUAAACACAAAACACGAACAAAAGUAGCACACAAAAAGGUGUGGGCCUCACCCCACCACAAACAAAAACAUUUGUCCUCAAAUGCAUAUAACAAAAUAUCCAGAAUGUAAAUUAAAGGAAGACAGAGAGGGAGGUAAAGAAGGGGUCCUGUUUAAGCAGUCGCUCCAUCUGCCGGGGCAUCAGGGCCCGAUGUUUCACUUUGGAUCUGGGCAUCAGUGCUCGAAGUUGCCUCAGGGGGAACAACGGGACCUGAUUCACUAAGGUCUGUUGAGUGUGUUUCUGCCAGAAAGAUAUGCACUGCUCUGAAAAAUCCCCUGGCCCAUGAUGGAAUAUUAGGGUCCAUGGUAAUGGCCUUCCUGGAAGAAGUGGGCCUUUUGUCCUUGCCUUUCCCAAUAGUUGUGGUCAAUUUAGUAGCUUUGUCUUUCGACGUAGCUGUCUCCUCAUUUAUCACACUCCCUACUGACUUCUCUUGGGCUGGUUUUAUUCUUUCCAUAACUUUUGAUUUAUUCAUGUCUGCAAAGUCUUGAAGAGAAAUUUGAAAAACUUAAACAAAAGCAAAGAGGAACUUAUGCAAACAAAAUCGCCAAACAAGAUGGCGAAUCACCGAAUUUCUUAGGCGAGCUAGAUUAGGAUCACCAAAGGAAUUAUCUCUAAAACUGUAGCAAGAAGGCGAAAGGUGAACUUCUUUCGCGGGUCACCGAAUGAUUUCGAUGGGUCGUCGAUAGUUUUCGGCGAACCAGGACAAUUCCGUAGAAAGUUUCAGUGCAUAAAGGUUGAAGGGAGCGGAUAAAGGGCGAAAGAGAAGACUUUCGGCGAGUCGCCAAAUUCUUUCUGCGACAUCAAGCUUCUCACCGAAAGUUUCAAAAUUAAUUAUCAGAUAUAACAUGAAAUCAAAAGCGAGAUGGGGACAUUAGGCGAACCGCCGAGUGGUUUGGCUUGCUUGACCUAGCUCGCCAAAUGGCCCAACGUGCUUGUUUUCAACCUAACUUCUCGAAUUUAACCCUACAACUCCCAAAAACAAAUCAAAGCAUGCACUAGCACAGUUAAGGUAGGACCCAUAAUACCAAAACACAAUCCCCUAAAAUUUUAAAUCCAAUUCAAGGCAUGCAAUUACGAGAAUUCAAUAGUCACAACUAUACAAGCAAGGAUAUCAAGUUAAAUCAUGGAUGUAAACAAUCUAAUCCUCUUAGAGAGGAGUAGAACACUUCAACCAAAUCAUGCUAUUGCAAUUGAGUAUAUUUUAUGAUAAAUUAAACUUGGGGCAUAGAAAACUAACCUUUUGUCUCCCUGAGGAGAGGAUUGAAAUGUUAAGCAGCAGUGUAAUCCAAGUCCGAGCACAAUUCAAUAACUAAAAUGCUCUAAGAGUGCAAGAAAUAUAGAAACUAGAGUGUAGGUAUGAGUUUGGACAGAUAAAAAGUGAGGGAAAGUGAAUGAAGUUGAAACUUUUAAACCUUUGGCUUGCAAAAAUAGUCCAGUUUUCACCCACUCAGCGACAUUAGUCAAGCUCGCCUACUCACUCGGCGGAACGCCCACUGUUUAGUUUCUUCACUGAAAUUUACAGGACCUCUGGUUUACGGGGUGUGGGUGGUCCAAAUGGUGGUUUCCAUCGUAAUCGCCGACAUGGUCGACGAUUCGCCAAUAAUUUCCAAAGCUCACCGAGUUUUACAGACUCCAAUGUUAACGAUGUCUUGAGUCAAACAGCGGAUAAGGUCGGCUCUAAAAGCUUGCCAUCCUUCAGUUUUUUGAACACUUUUUCUACUUUAAUUUGUACAAACAACACACCAUUAUUUUACAAAGAAAAAAAAAACAAUUAAAGGGGUUUAGGGUUGCCUCCGAAAUAGCGCCUUAGUUAAAGUCGUGGCACGAUGAAAUUCCACCUUCAAACCUCACUCUCGAGGUUAGCCAUAGUAUCACUAGGCAAACCCCCCUACUGUCUCAGAUUGAGGUGAGACGAGAUAUGACCCAUUUGGGUCUCCAACUGCUUGAUUGAAACAGAAUAGGAGGUGACAGUCUGUCUAAGGGUAGAAACAUCUUCUUUCAUGCCUCUCAGCAUUUUUUCUGACUUUUCAACUUUGUUGAGGAUACGCCUGAGCAUAUACUCAGACCUACCACCUUCCGAAUAUUUGGGCUUCUGGCGCUUAUGGGGAGGCACAUAUCUAUCCUUCUCACCAUCUUUCUAGUUUGGAUUUCGGUCUGUCCUUUCACGAUCUCUAUCCUUCCAGCCUUCGUCUCUAGCCUAACCUUGGUUACCACCCUGCCUUGGGUAGUUUGAACGAUACCCCCACCUUGAUUUGCUAGAAAAUUUACCUUCUCCUUAUGUAGGGCUUCAAAUUUCAUCUCUUCAGGAUUUUCACCCCUGACCCCCACAACGUUGACACUACGGGCACCAGCCCCGAUGACAUUUUUGGAUAGAAUGUCAAGUUGUGUCGUGAUUUUGGCCAUUUUUUGGUCUAUCUUAUUGUCUUUUUCAAUCUGCUCCUUAGAUAGCUUGAAUGUGACAGGGGAUACUUGGUCCUCACGAGUGUAUCAUGCUCUGUUGAUGGUUGUUGUGCCAUCUAAAAGUUGGGUUGCUACUCCAUAUGGCUACAACAUUAAGCCUCCAGGCGAAAGUUGGUCAGGGACACCUUUGUUUACAGAAUCCAAACACCGGUAAAAGUAUUGAAGUAGCACGUUGUCCGACAAACCGUGGGUUGGGCAUUGCAGCACCAAUUUUUGAACUUUAGCCAACUUUCGUGCAGAGGCUCUCAUUCUAGACAUUUAAAGCUCGGGAUGCUAUUCCGCAGUGACAUCAUCUUCGACGGAGGGAAAAAAUACACUUGAAAUGUGGUUACCAAAUUUUCCUAAAAAGUGAUGGAUUCAUGUGGUAGCUAGUCUAGCCACUUGCACGCUUAUCCCAUCAACAAGAAAGGGAAUAACCUUAACCGGACAGACUCCUGAGAGAUGUUUUUGAAUGACAAUGGUCCGCACACAUCUAAAAAGUUCCAAUAAUGUUCGUGAGGAUCCUCAUGAGAUAGUCUGCUGAAAUGUCUGCUCUUGGAAAUCGUUGAGAUUUUCGAUGCCGACUUGGUGGCCUACCUAACUACCGUUGCUACCAUUAACACUCAUGCUUUCUGAAAUAUUCACACAACAAAUAAAACAAAACUAAAAAUUAGGUAAGUAGACUACAACUAUGAAAAACAGAAAUUCUACUUAACUAAGAAUUCCCAAAUAACAACACUCCCUGGCUGCGGCGCCAUUUUGAUAUUUCCGUAAUCAAGAAUAAACUUUUGAUGCAAGUGUCUACGAUCGUACAAUAGUUUACAACCCAACCAAGGGUUAGGAUCGUUCCCAAGAGAGUGGAUUUGAGAAUUAAUAGAAAAAUAAAAUUUAGUUUUAACUAGUCAUAGCUAAAGACAUUAACGAUUAAAAACAUUGUAAAUGGGGUUUUUUUUUACGAGUAAGUAAAAACAGAAAAAUAAACAAGGAUUUCUAAGUAGUGAGAGCGGAUCCUUGGGAUGUGACGGGAAUACGGGCUAAGCUAGAUUACUGGGUACAUUCUUUCGAUAGAAGAUUCAUAGAGUAAUUGUGACUAGGCUAAACGUUUAGGGGGGUAAGCUCUCUCUCGAGCAACUUAUCCUGUUUCAAAUUUGUUCCUUAACCCACUCACUCUCUCGAGUUGAGUGUCUGGGAAUGAGACUAGGAUUCACUCUCUCAAGCUGAACCUCAUGUCGACCCACUCCCACCGACCAUCAAUUUAGUAAUUUUUGUAGGCUGGUCUUCAUGCGGCAAGUGGGUGUUCGAGAGAAAUGCAUUUGAAAUGGGGAAAGUUGCUCGAGAGAGUGCUUAUCCUCCUUAAAGUUUAGCCUACUCACAAUUACUCUAUGAAUCUUCUAUCGAAAGCAUGUACCCAAUAAUCUAGCUUAACCCAUAUUCUCGUCACAUCCUAAGGAUCCUCUCUCAUUACUUAGAAAUCUGUGUUUAUUUUGAUGUGUUUACUUACUUGUGACAACCCCCCCCCCCCUUCUUAAUUGACACUCUUGUGCCCUUCUUUAGUUUUCAAUGUUUUUAAUCGUUAAUGUCUUUAGCAACGAUUAGUUAGAACUAAAUUUUAUUUUUCUGUUAAUUCUCAAAACCACUCUCUUGGGAACGAUCCCAACCCUUGGUUGGGUUAAUAAACUAUUGUACGAUCGUAAACACUUGCAUCGAAAGUUGUGUCUUGAUUACGCAAACAUCAGUACCCAUGCUCCUUUUGAAAUGAUAUGGAGGCGAGUACCCACAUCAUGUGAUCAGAUUGUGGAGGCGAGUGCCCGCAAUCUAAAAGUAAGUAAGGCAAGAGGUGAAUACCCUUUAGCCUUUAUGAACUAGGCAUAGAUGUGAAUCCCCAUGUCUUUAAAAUUUAGUAUGACUAAUGUGAUUAUGUAUGGUGAUGAUUGCUUGGAGUGUUGCUAGAUAUACCUUCCAUGAUGUAAGCUUGACUAGAGGUGGAUGACCUAACUCUUGGAUAAGGAUAGGUGAGGCUACUUAAGGAAGUAUUCCUCUUUCAUUAUGAUGUUUUUCAUGUAUUGAAAUGAUUAUGCCUUAUGUCUUGUAUUGACUAACUCUUAUGUUUAUGUUUUUAUGCUAGCCAUCAUAUUUAGUACUUGAUUAUACUAAAGCAUAUUCUUGCCAACAUUCUUAUAAAAUAUAGGGUCCGGCAUUCCCGAUUCAAAUAAUUGUGGCUAGGCUCUAGUUGAUCGUGAAGUGAAGCUUUGGUGAGUCCUCAUUGUAUUCGAGGAUUGGAUCACCCUAUUUCUUUUAUGUCUUUCUUUUACUUUUGAAACUAUUGUAUGAGAUGCGUCCCAAGAUUUUUAUUUUUCAUAUGUUUAGAUGGUUUGAGACAAUGUCAUGUUAGACUUGCGCUUUCUUCUAGAAAAGACUUUGAUGGUAUUUGAAAAGUUUUAAUUCCCGCACCUUUUCUAUUACUUUAUGUUAUGAUAUACUAAGUGGUUUGUAUGAGGCCUCUCAGAGUCUUAUACGCCUUAUUAUAUCUAAGGGGUACCCUUGGGUCGUGACAAACUUGGUAAUCCGAGCACAACGUCUAGAAUGGUUCUAGGAUGUCUUAAACCACGUCUAGUAUAAUAUUGUUCAUAAAUGUGAAGCGCGCCACAUUUAUGAAUAGGAGGCUAUUAGAUGUUUCAAAAGUUUCACUUCUUCACUUCUUUAAAUCGUUCCAUGGAGUUUAACUCUAUAAGUCUUUAUCCUAAUAUGUGGCCAAUGUUUAUCAGGAAAUGACUACUAAAAGGGCUAAUGCUAGAACGUUGGAGCAAGGCAAUAUUGAGCAAGAAAAUUCCUGCUCAAGCUCCGAUCGACCCAUUGAAUGAGAUUCUGACUAAUGUGGAGUUUAGGUCUACAUUACAAGUGUUGUCUCAACCCGUGACGGCGCAAGCUAACCGAGAGGUGGUAGCCCCUGUGAUCCCAAAUGUGGGUACGACAACGGCAAGAGUGAGAGAUUUCACAAGAAUAAACCCGCCCGAAUUUUAUGGCUCCAAACUUGAGAAAGAUCCUACAGAGUUUAUCGAUGAGGUUUAUAAUGUGCUUGCUAUCAUGGGUGUGACUUCGGUAGAGAAGGCAGAACUAGCUGCUUACCAACUCAAAGGGGUUGCUUAGAUUUUGUUUAAUUAGUGGUAAGUGACUAAGCCAGUGGAAGCGGGUCCCAUAGAAUGGGAAAUGUUCAAAAGUCUAUUUCUUGAUUGAUUCUUCCCUAUAGAGAUGAGAGAGGCCAAAGUACUUGAGUUCAUCAACCUUAGGCAAGGAAAUAUGAGUGUAAGGUAGUACGCUUUGAGGUUCACUCAACUGUCAAAAUAUGCUCCUUCCAUUGUAGCGGAUCUUAGUGCCAAGAUAAGUAAGUUUGUGUCGGGAGUGUCCAACAUGGUAUUCAUAGAGUGCCGCACAGAUAUGCUUGCUCAUGACAUGUAUAUCUCUCGCCUUAUGGUUCAUGCCUAACAAAUUGAGGAAGAAAAGCUCAAGGAUAGAUCUAGGGAAGCAAAAAGGGUUAGAGUGGAUGUUGGCAACUUUGCACAUGCUAGGUCCGGUGGGCGGGGUUGUUCUAAAUUCCCGCAAAAGUACUCCAGGAAAGGUUCUACAAACUCUCCUCAAAAGCCAAGAAAUGAAAGGGUGUCUACUCUUAAACCCCAAGGAUAGGGUGGUAAAUCUUUGAUGCCUACUUGGAUAAAUGUGGGAGAAACCAUGAGGGGAAGUUCUAGCGGGAUCUAAUGCUUGCUUUGGGUGUGGUAAAACGGAUCAUAAAAUAAUGGAUUGUCCUUAUGUUGCAAAGAAUGAUGGGGAUGGUCGUCGCAGGGCUCAACCCCACAGUUCAUUCGGCCCGAGUGGCUCAUGUGGAAUUGCUCCUAAGCAAAACUGCUUUUAUGCUUUCCAAUUUUAAUCGUUCGUUAAUGUCAACUAAUUUUGUUUUAUUUUUAGUAUUGUUUCCCAUUUUGUUGCUGUUUUUAGUAGGAAUGUCACACCCCAACCUAGGCGAGGCAGACAAGUACCAUAUGAACACAUGCUUUAUAAGUGACCUAUGAUGAGAAAGUAAACUACUAUGCGGAUAGAUUUACUAAUGAGAAGCUUCAUAUACAACACAUGUUGACUAGCUGAACUGAUACAUGUGACAAGUGAAACUAUGAAUAUAAAUGAUAGCUUUACAAUGUCCACAAAGCCUCUACUGGAAUUCAUGACUAUACCACUAUGAAACUACGCAUAGUAAAGACUCAGCAAAGCCCCGAAUCAACCUGGAGCUCACCAAUAACCGCUGAGUAUCAUGUGCUUCUAUUGGGGAGAUCUACUAGUUGACUGCCUGUCUGUACUUGCAGCAUGAAAUGGAGCAUUCCCAAUAAGGGACGUCAGUACGAAAGAAUGUAUUGAAUAUGUAAAGCAUAAUGCAACCAUAUGUAAAAUGAGAGCUCAAGUGAAACGCAAUCCCAAUAGAUAAAGAUUAGAGACCACCUCUGCUUUACUUGUGGAAUCAUGUAUGUUACAUUCUUUUCUUUAUCGGCCCAUGCUAGGCUUUCGCCCAUGAGCUCCCACCCUCUAAUACCAAUUGGGAUCGGCCCAUGCUAGGCUUUCGCCCAUGAGCUCCCACCCUCUAAUACCAAUUGGGAUCGGCCCAUGCUAGGCUUUCGCCCAUGAGCUCCCACCCUCUAAUACCAAUUGGGAUCGGCCCAUGCUAGACUUUCGUCCCUGAGCUUCCACCCUUCUAUACCAAUUGGGAUCGACCCAUGCUAGGCAUUUGCCCCUAGGCUGCCACCCAUAAUUAUACAGAUUGCUUUACUUAGAUUCUUUAAUCUUUGAGAUUGCUUUUUUGAUGUUCAUAAUUCUUUUGAGAUUGUUCUUUUGAUGAUCAUAACUCUUUUGAGAUUGUUCUUUUGAUGAUCAUUAUCUUGUUUGAGAUUGUUGUUUUGGUGGUCAUAAUCAUUGUUGAGAUUUGGAAAUAUGGACAAGUAAUAGAAGACAUAUGAAUAUGGACUAAGGAUAAUAACAAUGAUAUGGGAAGAAAAUGUGACAUGAACGUGUAAUACUUAGGAGCUUAUAUGACUCAGUAAGCAUUUUGACAACUCAAAUUGAAGCACAUAUCAAGUGAAGACAUUUAGCAUUCAGCCAAGAGAUUUGAACCCUAUAUGAAUCGCCAAAUACUAACUAACUAAUAUCAAAUACAAGGUCUAAAUGAACGUGGAACCAAGGGAGAACAUGGGCAGAUUCAACUUAAGGACGGAUACAUAUUCCGAAUAAGCACAUAUAAAAUGUACAAUAGAGCAAGUAGGGAUCUUGUGAGGUAACAUUAUAGUCUAACACAAUGGGAGUAAUAAAUAAUUAAGGGAACAUAUGAACAUGAAUAAAUAAUUGAAGCAAGUUGGAAAGAUAUGGGUAAAUCGUAUAUCCAACAUAUAAAUAUAUGUACCAUGUGUAAUCUAGGAUCAUUUUGAUUUGUAUAAAGGGAAUACGUGCCAAGGGUACUUUGAUGAAGAAACAAGUUUAAUCCCUGCGUGCUAAUAUACUUGGCAGAGUAAGCACGCACAUUUAGUAAUGAACUCAUAUUAGAGUACUCACUUUGAUGCUCUAGGGAGUAGGAACUGCAACUAUGGAUCAGUCACUAUUAAGGCACUUAGAAAGCUUACUUUGUAAUACAAGUGUUGGAUUCAUGCCAAAGAAAUAUGAAAUUGAAUUGCCUUACAUACCUCAAUUCCCAAUUCGUAUAGCUUACGAAGUGUCAACCUAUCAUUUAACGUCAUAGUCUUCAUCUACAACAACCAAUCAUUAAGGCUAAUAUUAGCAGCUUACCAACCAACUCGAGAUAUUUCAACUUAUCAAAACAGUAGCCAAGCAGCCAACCCAUAAUCCUUCUAAUUGAUUGUUAUCUUUCACAAAUUUUGUCUGUUAUAGUUAUUUACACGAAACAACCUACCCAUGGAACGGGCAGUGAACUUACCAAAUUUUUUAUUUAAUAGUGCAUCACGAUAGCUUAUAAAUCUACCCCCUACAACUUUCCGCAAUCAUUCUCUAAGUACAUCCAUGACCUCCCAUAAAAAAAUCAAUACGAUAGCAGUCCUCAACACUCAAAAAUAAUUAAAAGACUUGAAUUUAUGGUUUUCAAUCACCAUCCCACGAGUUCCAAUUAACAAGCUAGUCUAGAAUUCUCAAAUAAACUAAUAAUUAGAGGUUGUGGCAGUGCCCUUACCUUGGUUAUCUAAAUCUGUUAUUCUCCUUCAAUUACUAUUUUUGUAACCUUCUCUUAAUCUUUGGAAGAGAGUGGCAGAACCUUGGCUGCCAACACAUAUAGUUAUCUCUAGUUCACUCCCCUUGAAAAAUUGUUCAAUAAAAUUGAAACAAUAGAGGAGAGAAGGUGAUCUUGUGGUUGCUUUGGAAGAAAUAGGAUGAAAAAUGGUUAGAACCCUAGUGGGAACAUUGGGUGGCUGUUUCAUCUUGAGAGAGAGAAAUAUAUGAACUUGAGAGCUUAAAAUUUGGAUAAGAGGAUAAUGAGAUAUUUGUAUCAGAUUUUUGGCCUUAAUAGGUUCUCUUUUGCCACCUUUCUUGUACUUCAUUUGCAGCUAACAUGUGUCUUUCAUUUAGGCCACACAUAUAAGUAGGUGAUGCACCUACUUUUCCAUUCAAAUUAUUUCUUGUGGGAUUAGAAAUAUUGGGCCUUGGCUGUCCAUUCUCCUCUUAUUCUUCAAUUCAACUUGGGCCAGAUUAAUGCAAGUAGGUGUAGUGUACUUAGCCCAAUAACAUGGUCAAAAGAGUCUUAGUAGGUGAUGCACCUACUUGGUCCUUUGGACUGGUCAAUAAGUCAAAGUAGGUGAUGCACCUACUUGUUACCUACUAGCUUAGUUAAGUCAAGCAAGCACCUCAAUAUUUUAUUCCAUUUCUAGACUUUAAUACCUUUAACUUUACUUAAAACUUAUAUACACUAUGUCACUUUAAAAUUUAGACUCAAAUACCACCUUAUGAUCUCAAGUUUAAAUACUUCCAUCGACGUCAACUUAAUCGGGUCACAUCAAAAUCUACAGACAGUUCACUUUAAACUUAUUCUAUUGUGACUAGUCGCAUAGGAAACCGAGUCCAUAACUAUACCACUAGGCAAUUUAUAAGCAUCAUAUAAAUAGAACUAGUACACGUAGGAUACGGGGUGUAACAAGGAAUCCAGAUUAUGUCUGGUAGCAAUGGUGAACAGCUAGAUCUCUCUCUUUUAAGGAUGGUAUCUCUCAGGGAUAAAAUCUCAAGUUUUAGACAAGUCGAGGGAGAAUCCAUCCAUAAAUUGUGGUUGAUAUUCAGGGAACUCUUCCUGAAAUGCCCAACUUAUGGAAUCUCAGAAAGUGUGCUGAUGGAUUGCUUUUACAAAAGUCUUGGCCCGGAGAAUAAAAGAAUGGCAGACCAAAUAGUACCUGAGGGGCACUCACGACUAGUCUUUACAGUAGCCACCCAUCUCCUUGAUCACAUGGAAACGACUAAUAAGAAGGCUGAAAAAGACCAUACUCUAGCCACAUUGUUGACUCAAUUAGAUUUAGUGACCAAGAAAAUUAUGGAAUUGGAAAAACCGGCUAAAAGAAAGGAUCGGUAUGUUCCACCUAACGAGCGUAUGAAACCCAAUGGAAGUGAGGAUGGACAAACAGAGGAGAUAAUCUCACUCAUGCUCAGUAAAGUCGAAGGUCACAAAAAAAUGUUAAAUGAGAUCAAGGAGAAUGUUAUACUGCUAAAUGAGAUAUCUGCCUCCCAAUUCAUAUCUAUCCAUCGAUUGGAGACUCAAUUGGGUCAUGUGAUGUCUCAUCUCUUUCUCACAAAUCAAAACUGAGCCGAGAAGUCGUGCCACGACUAUAACUAAGGCGCUUCUUGGCAGGCAACCCAAGGUUUUAGUUGCUUUCAAUUAUUGUGUAGAAUAAUGGUGUGUUGAUUUCGUAGGUUAAAAUGAGGGAAGUGUUGAAAAGUGCAUAUUGGUGAGCUACAGGUCCAAUAAGUGAAUCUCGAAAAGGUUCGGUGAUCGCGAACCAGACCGCCGUUACACUCAAGACCAAUUUAUAUUGGAGUCUGCAAAACUCGGAGAGCACAUAAAAUUAUUGGCGAAUCACCAACCAUGUCGGCGAUCCCGACAGAGACCGCCGGUUGGAUUUUCAAAAUAACUGGAGUCUUUGAAAAAUUUGGUGAAGCAAGUGGCUCCUUGGCGAAACGCCAAGUGGUUCGGCGAUCCUGAUUAAUGUCACCAAAUGGGCAAAAACUGGACGGCUUUGCAGGCAAAAUGUUUAAAAAUUGAAGAUUCAUUCACUCUCCCCUCACUUUUUAUCUGCUCAGACUCACACUUGCACUCUAGUUUGUAUAUUUCUUGCGUUUUUAGAAUAUUAUUAGUGUUGAUUUGUGCUCGGGAUUGGAUUACAUUGCCGCCUAGUGUUUCAAUCUUCUCUUUGUCGACAUCAAUGGUUGGUUUUCUAUGCCCCGAGUUUAAUUUAUCAAAAUCUAUACUCAUUUGCAAUAGCAUGAUAUGGUUGAAGUGUUCUACUCCUCCCUGAGAGGAUUAGAUUGUAUACAUGCAUGAUUUAAUUUGAUAACUUUGCUUGGGUAGUUGUGACUGUUGAAUUCCUGUAAUUACAUGCCUUAAACUGGAUUAAAAUUUGAGGGGUUGUGUUUGGGUGUUAUGGGUCCUACCUUAUUUGUACUGGUGCAUGUUUUGAUUCUGUUUUCGGGAGUUGCAGGGUAGAAUUCGAGAAGUACUAUUGAAAAUAGGAACGUUGGGUUGUUUGGCGAGCUAGGUUGAGCUCGCCAAACCACUCAGCGGUUCGCCUAAUGUCCCCAUCUGCCUUUUGAUUGUGCUAUAUUUGAUGAUUAAUUAUGUAACUUUUGGCGAGAAGCUUGUUGUCGCAGAAAGCAUUUGGCGACUCACCGAAAGUCUUCUCUUUAUGCACUGAAACUUUCGGUGGACCUGUCCUAGUUCGCUGAAAACUAUCGGUGACCCGCCGAAGAAGUUCCCCUUUCGCCUUCUUGCUACAAUUUUAGAGCUAAUUCCUUUGGCGAGCCUGAUCUAGCUCGCCUAAGAAAUUCGGCGAUUCACCAUCUGGUUUGGCGAGUUUGUCCACAUAAGUUCUGCUUUGCUUUUGUUUUAGUUUUUCUAACUUCUCUUCAAGACUUUGCAGACAUGUCCAGAUAAAAAGAUGUGGAAAUAAUAAAACCAGCCCAAGAAAAGUCAAAAGGGAGUGCGAUAAAUGAGAAGGCAGCUACGUCGAAAGGCAAAGUUACGAAACUGACCACAACUACUGGGAAAGGCAAGGGCAAAAGGCCCACUUCGGCUAGGAAGACCAUUACCAUGGACCCUAAUAUUCCAUCAUGGGCCAGGAGAUUUUGCAGAGCGGUGCAUGUCUUUCUGGAAGACACACACUCAACAGACCUUGGCGAAUCUGGUACCGCUGUUGUCCCUGAGGGAACUUCGAGCACUGAUGCCCAUACUCAGAGUACUACAUCGGGCACUAAGACCCAGAUAGAUGGAGCGACUGUUUAGACACUAUGCCUUCUUUACCUCCAUCUUUGUCUUUCUUUAUUUUACAUUUCAGAUUCUGUGUUAUUUGCAUUUGAGGGAAAAUUAGUUUUAUUUGUGGUGGGGUGAGGCCCACACCUUUUGUUUGCUAUUUGUUACUCGUGCUUUUAAGUAUAUAUUUGGGCUGUUCUGUUUAAAAUUGUGUUAAUACUGCUUUUCUGUGGAUGUUUCAGCUUGUGGCUCCUUUUAUUUUAAAAUGCAAAAUGAUUUUGACCCUUUCAAAAAAAUUGAAUUUUUCGCACAUUUUUGCCACCCUUUAUAUGCUAAUGUGUUGAAUGUGGUUGUUCCUUGGCAAAUUUGAGUCUCGGUUUCGAUCAAUACCGAUGACUUGAAUAGUUCUUACAAUCGAACGAACAUGAUUGUAAGACUACAAUGAGGCCAAAUGAAGUUGCAUAGACAAUAAGUGAACUCUUUGUAUCUCGUUGUGAUUAGCCAUUUAUCAAAUCAAUUCUCUUGUUAUGACUGUUGUACACUAGAAAAAGUGUGGAGUCUUGUUUGACUUAAGUAUUGAUGCCUUGUGUGAUAAGCUUACCUGGAACCAUUCAUGACAACACCUAUAAUUUGCCCUGUUGCUCCGGUUGACUAAGUAAGACCUUCGCUUGAUAUGAUUUUUUACAACUUCGAAGAGUGUGAACCAAUUUGACUUAUACCUCUUUUAUGACCUAUCUUGUGAGCGUGUCAUUCUCUCUUGAACACCCUUUGAGCCUUACCCUUCUUUGAAAGAAACUUGAUGAAAACUAGACCUUUCUUAAUCCAUUACCUAUAAUCCUCUUGAAUUGUGGUUAAUUGAAUAGCCAACUUAGGCCAAAAGCCUAAGUUGGUAGUAUAGUGAAAAAGAAAAGGGAAAGUCAAGAAGUGCAAGGAAAGUCUCCUUUAAACCAUGGUGUUGAGGAAAAUGGAACCCUUCCUUAUAUAUUAAAAAAAAAGUUGUAGAAUAAAGUACCAAAGAAAUAGGGUUCCGAACAAUCUAUGGGAAGCGAAUAAUAGGAUGACCUAUGAUGCACUAAUGAAAAUGAUGAAGGAAAAAGAAAGGAAGUGUUGAGAGCACCACAUUUCAUGAGGAUAAAAGUCACUGAGCCUAAAUGAUCAUACAUUUUCACUCAACCCCGUUACAAGCCUUGUUAAGACCUUUGUGAUCUUGAGAAAGUCGAAACAAAUGUUGAUUGGAAAAUAUGGGCAAACCUAUGGAUGAAAGCAUGCAUUGUGUUCAUAUUUGUGAGUGUGAGCGUUGUUUCUGAUUCCUGAACUUUAAAUUAAUUAUACCAUUGCAUGUGAAAAUGGAAUCAUCAUUUGUGUGAGGGCAUUCAAAGGCAUUUGUUGAGGUUGAACUUGCAUUUGAAGCAAGUAUUGCGAACUUGAGAAUCUUUGGUAAUGGUGUGUCACAACUUGAAUCUUUGAGUACACAAUUGACCCUUGCAUAAGUAAAUUGAGUCUUGUGUAGCACUUUUUGAGACAUCCUUGUUGAACUACUGAACGUGAGUUUUACUUAAGGACAAACAGAAGUUUAAAUUGGGGGUGUUGAUGAGUCCACAAAUUGGGCUCAUUUAGGGCUAUAUUUUAAUAGAAAUUGUAUCCUCAAAUGCUUAUUUUAUAUCAAUAUCUAAUGAAAAUCGUUAAGUUUCGGGUAUUUGAAGUGUGAAGGAAAGUAUGGACACUACGUCACGAAAAGGUUGAAAAGAACGAAGAAAUGAAGGCCUGAGGAUCGCCGAGUCCACUAGGCAUGUCGCCCAAUGACCUAGAGCACGACAAUGUUGAAGGCUGGUGCAAGACGACGAUGAACUACACCAAAGGGGGAAUCGCCGAGUUGAUCAGCGAUUCUGACUAAAGAUGCCGAAUGAUCCGCUACAGCACAAAUAUGUGAAAACUAUUAAUACUAGUUAGAUGUGUAGUUUGAAGUGUGGAACAAUUCUUAUAAUUUUCAUAUAGAAUAGUACUUUUUGAUAUUUUUGCUCUAAGUUUGGAAGGAUUUCGAAGACUUGGAGAUCCAAAGGGUUCCAUCUUCAAGAUUUGGAUUUGGUUCUCUUGGAUUCUUAAAUUUUGGCCUGUAUCAAGACUUAAAUAUUCAUACCCAGUUAAAUGUGAACUAAAUUUGGUAUAAAUUUCUAUCUCUUAUACAUGUGUGGCUAAAAACCCCAAUUCUUGGGGUGUGAUUUAGUAAAUAUGGGUUAAGAAAUUGUUGGGUCUUGCUUGGUGAUAGUUUAAUCGUAGUUUAAUUUUGAUUUCUUUUAGUAGUAGUGGAUGAAUUUAAUGAAUUUGUAGUAGCAAAUACAAGUUUAUUUAUGCGUUUUCGGCUUGCUCGAGAGAGAGGUCAUAAAUCUAAAACUACUAAAUUGAUGGCCGGUGGGAGUGGGUCGACAUGAGGUUCAGCUCGAUAGAGUGAAUCCUAGUCUCAUUCCCACAUACUCAGCUCCAGAGAGUGAGUUAAGGCGUAGGCUGGUCUUAAUGCGGCAAGUGGGUGUCCGAGAGGAACGCAUUUGAAAUGGGGUAAGUUGCUCGAGAGAGAGCUUAUCCCCCUUAAAGCAUAGCAUAGUCACAAUUAUUCUAUGAACCUUCUAUCGAAAGCAUGUACCCAAUAAGCUAGCUUAACCCGUAUUCCCGUCACAUCCCAAGGAGCCCCUUUCAUUACUUCGAAAUCCUUGUUUAUUUGGCUGUUUUUACUUGCUUGUGACAAAACCCCUCAUUGUUAAUUGACACUCUUGUGUCUCCCUUUGAUUUUCAUUGUUUUUAAUCGUUAAUGUCUUUAGCUAUGACUAGUUAGAGCUAAAUUUUUUAUUUUUCUAUUAAUUCUCAAAAACCACUUCCUUUGGGGAACCGAUCCCCAACCCUUGUUUGGGUUACUAAACUAUUGUACGAUCGUAGACACUUACAUCGGAAGUUGUCUCUUGAUUACGCAAAUAUCAAAGACCUAUGUGGGCACAUAGUUAUGGGAAAAGGAGAUUGCUACUAGAAACUCAGACUUGCUAAACGUAAAAGGUUUCCAUCUCAUGAGAUAUUGUACAAUGGGAGGCCGGAUUUGCUAAAAGUAAAAGCCCCCAUCUCACUUUCAUGUCCUCUCGGUGCUACGCAUUAUUCCCUUUAAUAAUCAUAAUUAGCCUUUACUUAAGUUCAUAUAAACAUUCAUUGGGCACUCAUGCUAACAUCUCAUCAUAAUAGCUCAUAGGUUCCUUAAGUGAGAAUGCUCCUUUCACUUUAGAAACACUAGCAUGUGAGUAAACCUUUCACAUUAUAAUCAUACUGUGAACAUGAGAAUGUCCUUUCAAUCAACACAACAAGAUUCUCAUAAACAUACAUACAUCAUGCACAACCAAGUGUAUAAGGUAUAGGGAUGAAAGUUCUUAUCAUCCACACCCUAACAACACAAUAGAUAGAGAAUCAUUAUUAUCUAAGCAAUUCACAAUCUCUUGCACGAUUCCCAUAAAGACGCAUAACCUUCAUACCUUUGCCUUUCAAGGGUCUUGGAAUCACAAUUAACCCAACUAUACACAAUUACUACAUAAUAUAGACGAAAUUUAUAAUUCAAUAGCUUAAUCAUCAUAAACAUAUUCAAUUGACAUACUCACAAUAUUCUCCAACCCACAAUAUCAAUUCAAUAUCUAACAGCAUGGGGAACACAUGGGUGUAUGGGAAAUUCUCAUUAUAAACCUCCAUUCUCCAUCAAUAUAUCCAUAAUUUGUCACAAACCACCAUAAACAACCGUAAUUAAGAAAUGAAAACGUUUUGGAAAGAAGACCCAUGUUAUAGAAUGAAAACCCUAGAAAUUGGGGGAUUUUGAUAUCUCGAAAACAUAUUUGAAGGGGAUCUUUGGGUGAUAGCUACCCAAGGAUGAAAAACAACCAUACCUUGUCUAAGGAACUCCAAGAGUUUUGGGGAAGAACCUUGAAACCCUAGCUCCAAUGUCUUCUUCUUCUUCUUGAGUCUAGAGAGAGGAUUUGUGAGAGAACAAUGAUGUUCUUGGGUUUCUUUUUAUAAUAAUUUGGAGUAACUAAAUUGAAGGAAAUUUGAUCUUAAAAGGUAUAUAUAUUUGUUAGGAAAGGAGUGGGAAAGUAUUGGUUCAAGUUUAGGAAAGAUUACUUAAAAGCCUUUACUUAAACUUCAAUUUUUCUGCUUGGCUCGCUUGAGCUCACCCUUUGGCACCCUUGGCUCGGCAAGUCACUUAGGCGACUCGCCUAAUGACCAUUAAGCUCGCCCAUAUUUCCAGUAAGUUCCCAAAGUGGGCAGCUCACUUAGGCUAUAUGGGGGGGGGGGGCUCUGUUGGGCGAAUCGCCAACCCAUUGGGCGACCCUCAACCUAUCUCGCCCAUUUGUCCAGUAGCAUAGGCUAAGAGGGACAACACACUAGGUGACCAAGUGCACUUGGGCGCAUCACCAAGUGACUUGGGCGACCAUGCUGCCAAUCGCCAACCUGUCCAAAGAGCAAACAAGAUUCUCCUUCACCUUUGCUUGAUAGUUUAGGUCCUUACCUUCAUCCAAGAUGUUUACCUUCCUCGUUUUAGCUUUAGUUAGGUCGCUAAACAUCUCCGGAAGGUACAUAAACACUCCCAUUAAACCUAACUCAACCUAGACACCAACUUAAAGUUAUACCAACCCACACGAUGAGUCUCUAGUUGAGCCUAUUGAUUUUUCUGGGUUGUUACAUUAUCCCCCCCUUAGGAACAUUCUUCCCCAAAUGACACUUUAAACGUAUUAAGGGGAUAAAGAAUUAAAACUAGCAGCCCAUAAUUCUAGACAUCACAAAAGGUACAAAUCAUAGGAGGAAACAUCAUAAGUUGAAUGCAACAACAAGAUUCAAGAACUACAUCCACCAUUUCAUGAUGCACCAAAAUUUCCAUUUUAUACAGGCAUGGGAGGAACUACCUUCUCCAACACAAGCAAGCUCAAUCACAACAAUAUUAAGCCAACAAGUCAUUUCAUCACAACAUAUCUAAAGAUGUUCAUCAACUCAUCUCAUGAAGUCACAUAUGUCAACAUCAUACAUAACACAAUUCAUCAUGGAAAACAUAUAAUUCAUGAAAGCUCAAUUUAUACUAAACAUGAAUUUUAUCUAGAACAUGCCUAUACAAGGAUAUCAUGCAAAACUAAAUCAUUACACAAGAUUCCCAAAAUACUAAGAACUUAAAUGGAAUUUCUUACUUCAAGUUUGGAUAGGAGUAGAAACAAAUAGAUGAGAGUAACGGGACUUCAUAUCGUCCUCGUCCUCCCAUGUAGCACCCUUAACUAGGUGGUUCCUUCAUAGAACCUUAACGGAAGCUACUUCUUUGUUCCUUAACUUCUUCACUUGCCGGUCCAAAAUCUCAACUGGGACCUCUUCAUAAGAAAGGUUCUCAUCAACUCCUAAAACCUCUAAAGAAAUGAUGGACACCGGAUCACCAAUGCAUUUCUUAAGCAUGGAAAUAUGAAACAUUGGGUGAACCGAGGCCAAUUCGUUUGGCAACUAUAAUUCAUAUGCCACUUUCCCGACACCUUUCCAGAUUUGGUACGGGCCCACAUAUCGGGGACUUAACUUCCCCUUUUGGCCAAACCUCAUAACACCUUUCAUAGGUAAAAUCUUCAAUAAGACCCAAUAACCAAUUUCAAACUCGAAUUCCCUCUUUCUAUUAUUGGCAUAAGAUUUUUGCCGACUAUGAGCCGUUUCCAACCUUUCCCUAAUAAGCUCAACUUUUUCAAUGGCAUCAUUUAUUAGUUCAGGGCCUAUUAGAGCAAACUCACCUACUUCAAACCAGCCCACCGGUGAUCUACACCUUCUACCAUAAAGUGCUUCAAAUGGAGCCAUGGUAAUGCUUGAGUGGUAACUAUUGUUGUAGGCAAAUUCUAUCAAAGGAAGAUGAUCGUCCCAACUACCCUUGAAAUCUAUCACACAUGCCCUCAACAUGUCCUCUAAGGUUUGAAUGGUGCAUUCCGCUUGACCAUCCAUUUGAUGGUGGAAUGCGGUAGUAAGCUUAACAUUGGUACCAAGCCCCUUUUGGAAUGCCUUCCAAAAAUGUGAAGUAAAUUGGGCACCCCGAUCUGAUAUGAUAGAUAAGGGAACCUCAUGCAACUUCACAAUUUCAUUGAUGUACAACUUGGCACAGUCUUCCGACGAAAACGAAGUCUUAACCGGAAUAAAGUGGGAUGAUUUUGACAACCUAUCAGCAAUGACCCAAAUAGAAUCAUAUUGCCUUCGAGUACGAGGCAACCCCACCACAAAGUCCAUACUAACAUCCUCCCACUUCCAAGUAGGAAUUUCUAUAUAUUGGGACAAACCUCUGGGUUUUUGGUGUUCAGCCUUGACUUGUUAACAAUUCGGACAUUUGGCUACAAAACCCACUAUAUCCUCUUUUAAGCCAUUCCACCAAUACACUUUCCAUAGAUCACAGUACAUCUUGGUGGCUCCCGAAUGAAUAGAAUACCGCGAACCAUGAGCCUCUUCUAAAACUUGCUCCCUUAGGACAUCAACAUCCGGAACACAUAACCUACCUUAGUACCUAAGUACCCCAUCUGCCCCUUGGGAGAAAUCCUCAACGGAUUUGCUGAGAACCGACUCUUUCAACUCCAUUAAUAUAGGAUCAAGGUGUUGCUUAGACUUCACAUCAACAAUCAAGGACAAUUCGUAGCCAUGAUGAACCAUGAAUCCACCCUUGGUGGAAUCCACUAGUUGGACACCCAACUGGGCCAACCUAUGCAUAUCAUGAACCAAUUCCUUCUUCUCAUAUUCUACAUGAGCCACACUACCCAUGGACAAACAACUUAGGGUAUCCACAAUCACAUUAGCCUUGCCGGGGUGGUAAAGGACACUCAUAUCAUAAUCCUUCAAAAGUUCUAACCACCUUCUUUGUCAGAGAUUCAAGUCUUUUUGGCUAAACACAUAUUGAAGACUCUUGUGGUCGGUAAACACCUCUACAUACACCCCAUAGAGAUAGCAUCUCCAUAUUUUCAAGGCAAAAACCACUACCGCUAGUUCGAGAUCAUGUGUCGGGUAAUUCUUUUCACGCGUCUUAAGUUGCCUUGAAGCAUAGGCAAUUACUUUACCGUGUUGCAUGAGAACACACCCCAACCGUAUCCUCGAAGCAUCACAAUAUACAUUGAAUUCGUCGGUACUUUUUGGUAAGGUCAAUACCGGAGCGAAGGUGAGUCUAUCCUUCAACUCUUGGAAACUCUAUUCACAGGCCUCCGUCCACUCAAAUUUGGACUUCUUUUGGGUCAAGGCUGUUAAUUGAGAAGCAAUAGAUGAGAAGCCCUCUACAAAUCUUCUAUAAUACCCGACCAAUCCCAAUAAAUAUCGAAUAUCGGUGGGACUUAGGGGUCUAGGCCAACUUUUCACCGCAUCCAUUUUCUUCGGAUCAACCUCUAUACCCAGAGUUCACACAAUGUGACCCAAGAGAGCAACCGACUUUAGCCAAAACUUGCACUUGCUAAAUUUAGCAUAAGGUUGCUAGUCCUUGAGGACUUGCAACACUAACCUCAAAUGCUUCAUACGAUCACCCUCACUCCUUGAAUGGAUCAAAAUAUCGUCAAUAAAGACAAUUAAAAAGAAAUCAAGAUAUUGCCUAAAUACCGUACUAAUAAGAUCCAUGAACGCCUCCGGGGCAUUUGUUAGACCAAAAGACAUAACUAAGAAUUCAUAGUGACCAUAUCUUGUACGGAAGGCCGUUUUAGGAAUGUCAACCCGACUCACCUUAAGUUAGUGAUAACCCAACCUUAAGUCAAUCUUCGAAAAGUAACUCGCCCCAUAGAGUUGGUCAAAAAAAUCUUCAAUUCUAGGGAGUGGGUACUUAUUCUUUAUAGUGACUUUGUUCAAUUGGCGAUAAUUUAUACACAUCCGAAGUGAACCAUCUUUCUUUUUCACAAACAAUACUGGGGCACCCCAUGGAGAUAUGCUUGGUUGUAUAAAACCCUUAUCUAGCGAAUCCUUGAGUUGUUCCUUCAAUUCCUUCAAUUCGGCUGGAGUCAUCCGGUAAGGAGGAAUUGAUAUGGGUUGUGUAAUGCCGAAGUCUAUUUCCCGUUCGGGAGGGAUUUCGGGUAAGUCAUCGAGAAAUAUUUCUGGAAGUUCCCUUACUACGGGGACCGACUAUAAAGGAGGAGUCUCAGACUCAAUGUCUUUGACCCUCAUAAUGUGAUAGAUACACCCCUUAUAAAUCAUUCUUUUUGCUUUCAAAUAUGAGGCAAAACGACCUCUAGGAAUAGAGUUUCCCCCCUUCCAUUCUAACACGGGUUCAUUUGGAAAUUGAAACUUUACUACCCGAGUUCUACAAUCAAUGGAAGCAAAAAAGGCAUGCAACCAAUCCAUCCCCAAUAUGACAUCAAAGUCCAAUAUAUCUAAUUCUACUAAAUCAUCCAAAGUGACUAUAUUAGACAAGAAAAUAGGACAAUCCUUAUAAACCUUUCUACCAACAACCGAGUAUCCUAUGGGAGUAGAAACCGAAAAAGGUUCCUCUAAAUUUAUGGGGAGUACAUCAAAUUUCAUAGCCACUAAAGGGGUAACAAAAGAUAAAGUGGCACCGGGGUCUAACAAUGCAUAAACAUUAAUGGAAAAUACUUGUAACAUACCGGUGACAACAUCCGGAGAAUCCUCUAGAUCACUUCUAGAUUGGAGAGAAUAGAAGCAAUUUUUCUUGGGAGCAUCGGAGUUGGAGCCACUAGGAGGGACUUGCUUGCCCUCUCUCCCUUGAACUUUAGCAUAGGACAAUCCCUCUUCAUGUGCCCACUUUUUCCACAAUUAAAACACUCAUUCGUGCCCACAAGACAAUUGCUCCUAUGCUUUUUGCCACACUUUGCACAAUUAGGUUUAUCAACGUAAGAACCACCUCCACUACCACCUUGUGGCUUUGGAGUAGGCACCCUCUCAUUGUUGAACUUCGGAGUGCUAGAAGUGCCUUGGUUAGAAAACCUCUUCUUAAAUCUUGGUGUGCCUUGAACCUCAAAUCUACCCUUAGACGAAUUACCAUCAUCAACUCUUGCCCUUUUCACUUCUCUACCCACUUCCUUGAGCUUUUGUUUCUUAAUUUUCUUGGCAUGAACCAUAAGACGUGAGAUGUUCAUGGUUGGAAUAAGCAUCGCCGACCUACAUUCAUUCACCACAAGAUCAGAUAUCUCAAUAACAAAUUUGUUCAUUUUAGCCCUAGAGUCGGCCACCAAGGUUGGGGCAUAUUUAGACAAUUGUGUGAACUUGAGGCUAUAUUCCUUCACAGUCAUACCUCCUUGGCGGACGUUGAUGGAUUAUUGCAUCUUCCUCUCCCUUAGCUCUAAGGGGAAAAACCUAUCAAGGAAGGCCGACUUGAACACUCCCCAAUCAAUCGGGCCUGCUCUACUGAAUCUCUUUUCCUUCUAUUGCUCAUGCCACACUUGAGUUAGUAGGCGACUAGUUCCGCCUUCUCUCUUGGAGACACUCCCAUUGCUUCAAGAACCUUAAACACCUCCUAAAUAAACCUUUGAGCAUCUUCAUCCAUUUUGGAGCCAUAGAAUGUAGGGGUAUUCAUUCUUGUGAAAUCCUUUAUCCUAGAAGCGGUAAUACUUGCAUUGGGGUUCACUUGACCCAUAGCAUCUCUAGUGACUUGAGCCGUAAGAGAAUAAUUAAGGUUUAGAGAGCCGCCCUUAUCUCCACAUUGGUAAUGGCCCCCUCCUUAUUAGGAGCUUGAGGAACUUGAGCCCCUUGAGGACCUUGGGGAGGAACUCCCUCAUCAUUAGCAACCUUCUCUCCCACUCUUCUUGCGGCCACUUUUCUUGUAUUCAUAUUCCUAUAUGAACAAGAAAAGGGUUAGGAAAAGGACUUCAUAGAGUAAAAACUCCAAGGCAAGACUAAUGACUAAUCAAAGAAGUGAAAAGUUCCUAAGCAUCUUAUAGCCUCUCAUUCUUAAGUAUGGCUCACUUCACACUUAUGAAUAAGAUUCUACUAGACGUGGUUCAUGAGACAUCAGCCUAGAAUCAUUCUAUAACCUUAUGCUCUAAUACCAACUUUGUCAACAACCGAGCUACCCCUUAGAAGUAACACGGUGUAAUUGACCCCGAAGGGGGUCGCAUACAAGCCCUUAGCAUUCAUCAUCACAUAACAACAUAGAAAUAUACAGAAAAAUUAAAACUUUUACAAUAAAAGUCAACUUCUUUCAUAUAAGGAAAAUAGGAAACUAAACUUUUCUCAAUAACCAUCUAGACAUAAGAGUACAAAUAGGGUCUAAGCCCUUACAUCAAUAAAGUUCCCAACAAUGGGAAAUACAAUAGUCUAGAAUAUAGAAGGUAACCUAGAAACUACAAUCAAUAGCAACUUGUCCUCGAACUUGAGGACUCACCAAGCCGGGGGGAAUAGUCGACCCAAGCUUCACCUUGAAGAAAGUGGUAAGUAUCAACGACCGGAACCUACACUUAUAGUAAAGUAGAAAAUAUGGCUUAGCAUAAUUAAUUGUACUAAGUAUGGAUGCCAUGCAUAAAAUCCUUAAAACAUGCAUAAAAGGGACAUUUAGUUGAAAUCAUGCUUUUAUCAAGUUUUAAAACCAAUAUGCACAUUCAUGAAGAAACAUAACCCAACCCAAGCAUAUAAUCAACUCAAAGCAGCACUAGUGCAAUGCAAAGGUAAGAUCCCAUAACCCUACCAAAUGCCAAGUAUCACCUUUAGGCCACCAACAACAUACAUAUUUCAUCUUACCAUAGUCAUAACCAACAAACAUAAAAGUGAAGACAUUCAUAUUUAUUACAUUCAUGCAUACCAUUUCAUACAUAGUUCAUAAGUCAUCAUAAUCAUAAGAGAACCUUACCAAAAUCCCUCUUAGAGUCUAAUUGUGCAAUGUACAAGUGAAAUUCCGUACCCCUAACUCACACUUAGCAGUACCCCUUAAGAAGUCCUAGUUAAAUUUGAUGUCCUUACCAUAGUUCAAUCAUUAACCUUUAAGGAAAGAUUGCAUUAACUGACAUAGACCAUGUGAGCUACAUGGAAUCCGGUGUUCUACCCCCACACUGAACAGAGGUGUUCUACUUGCCUAAGGUAUAACGUACAUUCUAGCUAUUUAGAUGGAUCCACUAGCUAAAACCUAUGUGGGCACAUAGUUAUAGGACAAGGAGAUUGCUACUAGAAACCCAGACUUGCUAAAAGUAAAAGGUUUCCAUCUCAUAAGAUAUCGUACAAUGGGAAGCCAGACUUGCUAAACGUAAAAGCCCCCAUCUCAGUUUCAUGUCCUCUCGGUGCUACGCAUUAUUCCCUUUAAUAGUCAUAAUUAGCCUUUAAUUAAGUUAAUAUCAACAUUCAUUAGGCACUCAUGCCAACAUCUCAUCAUGAUAGCUCAUAGGUUUCUUAAGUGAGAAUUCUCCUUUCACUUUAGAAACACUAGCAUGUGAGAAAACCUUUCACAUUAAAAUCGUACUGUGAUCAUGAGAAUGUCAUUUCCAUCAACACAACAAGCUUCUCAUAAACAUACAUCAUGCACAACCAACUGCAUAGGGUAUAGGGAUGAAAGAUCUUAUCAUCAACACCCCAACAACACAAUAGAUAUAGAAUCAUUACAAUCUAAGCAAUUCACAAUCUCAUGCACUAUUCCCAUAAAGAGGCAUAAACUUCAUACCUUUUCCUUCCAAGGGUCUUGGAAUCACAAUUAACCCAACUAUACACAAUUACUACAUAAUAUAGAAGGAAUACAUGAUUAAAUAGCUUAGUCAUCAUAAACAUAUUCAAUUGACAUAUUCACAAUAUUCUCCAACCCACAAUAUCAAUUUAAGAUCUAACAACAUGGGGAACACAUGGGUCUAUGGGGAAUUCUCAUUAUAAACCUCAAUUCUCCAUCAAUAUAUCCAUAAUUCAUCACAAACAACCGUAAUUAAGCAAUGAAAACGUUUUGGAAAGAAGACCCAUGUUAUAGAAUGAAAACCCUAGAAAUUGAGGGAAUUUGAUAUCUUGAAAACAUAUUUGAAGGGGCUCCUUGGGUGAUAAUUACCCAAGGAUGAAAAGUAACCUUACCUUGUCUAAGGAACUCCAAGAGUUUUGGGGAAUAACCUCGAAACCGUAUCUCCAAUGUCUUCUUCUUCUUGAGUCUAGUAAGAGGAUUUUUGAGAGAAGGAUGAUGUUCUUGGGUUUCUUUUUUUAUUAAUUGGGAGUAACUAAAUUGAAGGAUAUUUGACCUUAAAAAGUAUAUAUAUAUUUGUUAGGAAAGGAGUGGGAAAGUAUUGAUUCAAGUUUAGGAAAGUUUACUUAAAAGCCCUUUACUUAAACUUCAUUUUUUAUGCUUGGCUCGCCAACUCACUUAAGCGACUUGCCUAAUGACCCGUAAGCUUGCCCAUAUUUCCAGUAAGUUCCCAAAGUGGGCAGCUCACUUAGGUUAGGGGGGGGGGGGGUCUGUAGGGUGAAUCACCAACCCAUUGGGUGACCCUUAAUCCUUCUCGCCCAUUUGUCCAGUAGCAUAGGCUAGGAAGGACAGCACACUAGGCGACCAAGUGCACUUUGGCGCAUCGCCAAGUUACUUGGGCGACCAUGCUGCCAAUCACCAACCUGUCCAAUGAGUAAAGAAGUUCUUCUUCACCCUUCCUUGAUAGUUUAGGUCCUUACCUUUUUCCUAGAUGGUUACCUUCCUCAUUUUAGCUUUAGUUAGGUCUUUAAACAUCUUCGGGAGUUUCAUAAAUAGGCCCGUUAAUCCUAACUCAACCUAGACACCAACUUAAAGUUAUACCAACCCACAUAAUGAGGCUCUAGUUUAGCCUAUUGAUUUUUCCGGGUUAUUACAUAGGUUCCUAGAUGAUUGUGAAGUGAAGCUUUGGUGAGUCCUCAUUGUAUUCGAGGAAUGCACACCCUUUCUCUUUUAUGUCUAUCUUUUAUUUUGAGAAUAUUGUAUUGGCUACAUCCAAAGAUUUAUAUUCUCUUAUGUGUAGAUGGUCUGAGACAAUGUCAUGUUAGACUUCCGCUUGCUUUUUUAAAAGACUUUGAUUAUAUUGAAAAGUUUUAAUUCCCGCUUAUUUCUACUACUUUAUGUGAUGAUAUGAUAAGUGACUUGUAUGAGGCCUCUCACGGUCUUGUACGCCUUCUUUCAUCUAGGGGUACCCCUUGGUCGUUACAAUCACGAAAUCUAUAUGCAAGUCAUACUCAAAUGAACAUAAACAUGUAGAAAUCAAUCAAGUUGACUCAUUUUCUCAAAAAUUAAGCUUUUUCAUGAACAUGCAUAAAUGAGGAAAUAAUAGGAAUAUCCAAGACACAUGACACCAAAAGUGUACGCCAUGAGAAAUGCUUUACCUCAAGCUAUAGUUGGGGUAGAAGGAAAGAGAUGAGGAUAUCGGGACAUCAUAUCGGCCUUGGCCUCCCAAGUAGCACCCUAAACUAAAUGAUUCCUCCAAAGAACCUUUAGGUAAGUAAAUACUUUUUUCUUAACUUCUUAAGUUUCUGGUCUAAAAUCUCAACCGGAACUUCCUAAUAAGAAAGAUUUUCCCGUACUCCCAAACCAUUUAUAGGGGUUGUUGUUGCCGUAUCACUAACACAUUUCUUCAACAUAGAGACAUGGAAAAUUGGGUGCACCGAUGCCUAUUCAUUAAGCAACUCAAGAUCAUAAGAAACCUUACCAAUACUCCUCGAAAUCUGAUAUGGGCCUACAUAACGGGACAAAGCCUCCGUUUUUUACCAAACCUCAUUACACCUUUCAUGGGUGAAAUUUUCAAAUUGACCCAAGCCUCCGUUUCUUCUAACAUUGGCAUAUGACUUUUGUCGACUUUGAGUCAUUUUCAACCUUUCUCUAAUAAGUCAAACAUUAUCCAUAGCCUCAUGUACCAACUCGGGACCUUUUAGGGAAACUUCACCAACCUCAAAAAAACCUAUAGGAGAUCUACACCUCCUACCAUACAAUGCCUAAAAUGGAGCCAUGCUAAUACUUGAGUGAUAACUAUUGUUAUAUGCAAACAUAUUCAAAGGCAACUGAUCAUCCUAAUUACCCUUGAAAUCAUUCACACAAGGUCUCAACAUAUCCUCCAAGGUUUGGAUAGUACACUCCGCUUGCGCAUCGGUUUGUUGAUGAAAGGUUGUACAAAUCUUGACACGAGUACCAAGACCCUUUUGAAAAGAUCUCCAAAACGGAGAAGUUAAUUGGGUACCAUGAUCAGAAAUGAUGGACAAAGGCACUCCAUGCAACCUUACCAUUUCUCUCAAGUAUAAUCCAGCAUAGUCCUUCACCGAAUAAGAUACCUUGAUGGGAAUAAAAUGAGUUAAUUUCGUCAUUCAGUCUACUAUAACUCAAAUUAAGUCGUGUUGUUGUUGUAGCGAGGCAAACCAACAAUAGAGUCCAUAUCUAUAUCUUCCCACUUCCUAGUAGGAAUGCUAAUGUCUUGGAAUAAACCUCCCAAUUUCUGAUGCUCAACUUUCACUUGUUGACAUUUUGGACAUUUAGCCACAAACUCCGUAAUAUCCUUCUUCAUCCCAUUCCAUCAAUAGAUCUCCCGUAAAUCAUGGUACAUCUUAGUGUCUCCACGGUCAAUUUAAUAGCGAGAACUAUCGGCUUCUGACAAGAUAUGUACCCUCAUGUCAUCUAUAUUAGGAAUACACAAAUGACCUUGAUAUAUAAGCACACCAUCUCCCCGUUGGGAGAAAGCCUCUACAGACUUUUUACGUACCGGUACCUUCAAUUCAACCUAUGUUGGAUCAAGAUAUUGCUUCAUUUUCACAUUCUCCACAGAAGAAGAUCUUGAGCAUUUGUAAACCAUAACACCACCGUUAGUAGAGUCCACUAACUGAACUCCCAACCGGGCUAAUCUAUUAACAUCUCAAACCAACUCCUUCUUAUCUUCUUGAUAUGAGUAACACUACCCAUAGAUAACCGACUUAGAUCAUCCACCACCACAUUUGCUUUACUGGGGUGAUAGAGAACACUCAUAUCAUAAUCCUUCAAUAACUCAAGCCACCUUCUUUGGCAAAGAUUUAAAUCUUUUUGAUUAAAAACAUAUUGUAAACUGUUAUUGUCGGUAAAAACAUCCACAUGAACACCAUACAAAUAAAGUCUCCAAAUAUUUAAGGAAAAACCAACCACCACUAGUUCACGGUCGUGGGUAGGAUAAAUAUUUUCAUGAACCUUAAGUUGCAUAGGAAAUAGCUAUCCCAUUUUGCAUAAGUACACAUCCUAUCCCAAUUCUCGAGGCAUCACAAUUAACAACAAAACCAUCAGUCCCUUAAGGUAAGGUCAACAGUGGAGUGGAAGUAAGUCUAUCCUUCAACUCUUGGAAGCUCUUUUCACAUGUUUCAUACCAUAUGAACUUAACCUUUUUUUAAGUCAAUGUUGUCAAUGGAGAGGGAAUCGAAGAAAACCCCUCAAUAAACCUUCUCUAGUAACUAGAAAAACCCAAGGAACUAAUAUCCGAAGGGGAUAGAGGUUAAGAUCAACUCUUGACCACAUCCGUCUUCUUAGGAUCUACCUCAAUACCCUUAUUUGAAAAAAUGUGACCAAGAAACGCUAUUGACCUUAGCCAAACCUCACAUUUGCUAAACUUUGCAAAGAGUUGUUGGUCCUUGAGAAUUCGCAACACAGUCCUCAAAUGAUUGAUCUGAUCAUCCACACUUCUAGAAUAAAUCAAUAUAUCAUCAAUGAACACAAUCACAAACAUGUCAAGGUAUUGCCUAAACACCAUAUUAAUCAAAUUCAUAAAUGCCGCAAGAGUAUUAGUCAAGCCAAACGACAUUACCAAAAACUUAUAACGACCAUACCGAGUUUGAAAAGCCGUUUUGGAAUGUCAUCUUAUUUUACCCUGAAUUGGUGUUAACCCGCUGAAGGUCAAUCUUACAGAAGUAACUCGCUCGUCGAAGUUGGUCAUACAAAUCUUCUAUCCUUUCAAGAGGAUACUCAUUCUUAACGGUAACAUUAUUCAACCGACAAUAGUCUAUACACAUACGAAGAGAACCAUCCUUAUUUCUAACAAACAAAACUGGAGCACCUCAUGGAGAGAUACUUAGUUAGAUGAAACCCUAAUCCAACAAAUCUUUCAGUUAUUCUUUCAACUCCCUUAAAUCUGCCGGAGCCAUUCGAUGAGGAGUAAUAGAAAUAGGUUGCGUAUUCGGGAGCAAUUCAGUACCGAAGUCUAUUUCCCUUUAGAGAGGAAUACUUGGUAGAUCAUCUGACAAAAUUUCUGGAAACUCGUUAACUACAAGGAUUGACUCAAGGGUAGGUGCUCCCGAAUCCAUAUCCUCACCCUAACUAGAUGGUAAAAGCAACCCUUAGAAAUCAUUUGUCUAGCUUUAAGACGAGAGAUAAACUGACCCUUAAGCAUAGAAUUUCCCCCUUUCCAAUCUAGGACAGGCUCAUUCGGGAAUUGAAACUUAACUACACGAGUUCUAUAGUCUAUAAAAGCAUAAAAAGAAUGUAACAUAUUCAUAUCAAGAAUAACAUUAAAAUAUAACAUAUCAAGCUCUACCAAGUCCACAAAAUUAACUCUAUAAGACACGGAGAUGGGACACUUUUUAUAGACACUCUUACCCAUAAUAGAAUCACAAAUAGGAGUAGAGACAUAAAAGGGAUCUAACAGCACAUCCGAAAGAAUAUCUAACCUCUUAGCCAUAUAUGGCAUCACAAAAAAACAAGGUGGCACCAGGAUCAAGUAAAGCGUAAACAUGUAGUUGGAAAAUAUUCAACAUAUCGGUAUACUUGCAUCGGGAGAACCCUGUUGGCCACCACAAGUCUUAAGUGCAUAGAUUAUUUUAUGCUUGGGAGCAUUGUAACCCCAACCACUUGGACUGGAUGAAUGAUUAGGUUGAGCCUUUCAGUGAUUAUUUCCUUCAUUCUUAGCCACAAAAGGAAAAUCUCUUAUCUUGUGGUCCAUCUUACCACAACCAAAACAAGCAUUGGAACUUGCUAGACAUUUACCCUCAUGCUUCCUUCCAUACGUAACAAAAGUAGGCAAUAAGCAAACACUUCCAUUUCUCCUUCAGGCUAUUCAAUAGACACCUUAUCUUUGUUGAACCUAGAAGGAGCAUUGGAGGAAGCUUGACCAGAAAACCUUUGUGGAAAUAUAGUUCAACCAUAUCCAUCGGACCUUGUAUAAGAGAAAUUAGCAUUAACGAUUUUAGCCCUCUUUAUCUCCCUAGACUUUUCUUUAAGUUUCUUCUUUUUGAUCUAUUGAGCAUAAACCAUGAGACGUGAAAUUUCCAUGUCAUUAACAAGCUUGGCAAUAUGACAUUCUUUAACCACUAUUUUUGACACACCCAAAACGAACUUACUAAUGUUUACCCUAGGAUCCUCAACCAUUGUGGGAGUAUAUCGAGACAGUUGUGUGAAAUUCAAAGCAUAAUCUUUCACACUAAUGUUUCCUUGAUGAAUGUUGUUGAAUUGAAGAAUCUUUGCCUCUCUCAUCUCAAGGGGAAAGAACCUACCAAGGAAAGCAACUUGGAAAUUUUCCCAAUCAAGAGGACCUGCAUAUUUCGGUUUCCAUUCUUUCCAUUGGUUAAACUAAAUAUUAGCAACACCCUUAAGUUGGUAAGCGGCUAACUCUACCUUUUGCACUGGCAUCACUCUCAUGAUUAGCAACACCUUGUAAGCUUCAUCAAUGAACUCUUGAGGAUCUUCCUCAACCCUAGAACCAUGAAACUGAUCUAGAGGAUUCAUUCUAGUGAAGUCCCUUACUAUAGAUGCCGUCAUGCUCACAUUUGGGUUCAUAGGAACCAAAACCUCUCUAUUUUCUUGAGCAGUCACAACUUCGGCCAACACUUGAAAAGUAACCCUAAACUCUACAUUAGAUAUUUUCUUGGCCAAAGGAUCAACUGGAACAUGAGGAGAUUGAGGAGGAGCUUCUUGUUCCGCAUUCUCCCUCACAUUCCUUCUAGCAUAAGCUCUUCGAGUAGCCAUAUCAUAUAGAGCAUCAGAUACGGAUUAGGAGAGAGUCCUUAUCGAUUUAAUCUCUAUCGCACGACUUUUGAGUAAUGAAGAAGUGGAGUUUCUUAAACAUCUUGUAGCUUCCCAUUCAUAAAUGUAGAAUGCUUCAAACUCAUGAACAACACUUUACUCAACGUGGCUUAUGAGACAUCCUAGGACUUUUCUAAACCUUAUGCUCUGAUUACCAAGUUUGUCACGACCCAAGGUACUCCCUAGGCAUAACCUGGCAUAUAGGACCCCGAGAGGCCCCUUACAACCCACUUAGUAUUCAUAACAUAACAAAUAUAACAAAAAUGAUAAAGAAGAAUAGAUCAAGUCCCAAAAGUUUUAUAAAUUCAAAGAGGAAGUCUAAACACUUUUCACAUUAGCCAUUCAGUACAUAAGAAUGAAAUUGGGGCUAGGCAAUACAUCAUGUCAAAAACAGAUGGUACAAAAGAAAACCUAAAAUAAUGAAUAUCCGUCCUCAAAACUUGAGGACUCACCAAAGCUUGAAAUCUCUCAAAUCAACCGCUAUCCAUGAAUCUGAGAACCCUGACUAUCUGACCCUACAUUUUGGGGAAAUGCAGGCAAGAGUAUGCGUUAGUACAAACAUGUACCAAGUACGAUAGCCAUUCAUAUAAACAUUUAAAUCAUGCUAAAAGAGGACAUUUUCAUAAACAUGCAAUGAUCAAGAUAAAAUAUUAAAUUUGAGAGUUAGGAAGCAUAAGCCACAAGACAUGAUCAAUGCAAGUGAAUAUCAACUUAAAACAUACUUAAGAUACUUCUUGAAGUAACCUUGGUUCAUCAUAAAUUUACUUGUUUGUGGUAAGUGGCCUUAACCGACAUAUAAGACCAUGAGAGCUAUCAUCAUGAAAUCCAGUGUCUGUGCCACACCGAAAAGGAGUUUUCCUACUUGCCAUAGUAAGUACUGUGAACUUUUAGCUUACGUGGAUCCACUAGAUAAUGUCUAUCUAGACAAUACUUUGUUGGCACAUACUUAUGGGACAUGGGUAAUCGCCACUUAUCCACUCAGUACUAAGCUUAACUUCCACGAAAUAGUUCUUAAUGCUAUCCAUCUUAGGUCAUGAAGGAACAUGGGUAAACGCGUCUUGUCCUUACAUCAUAUGAGAUGGGUAAUAGCCUCUUGUCUUUUACUUAGAGAACAUGGGUAAUCGCCUCUUGCUUCAACAUUAGCAUAACUUCUUGCUUAUUGGUUCAUUUUAGGUGAGAAGACCUUUCAACCCUCUGAACUCUUAUUAUGUGAGAAAUCCUUUCACAAAUCAUUCUUUCAUGUGUGUAUGAGAAAUCAUUUCAACAACACAACAACAACAUUAUUGAUACUUCACUCUCAAAGCAUCCUUAAAAUAUUUACUUCAAUUUCAUAAGAACAUGCAUAAUUCCAUAAUUCACCUUUCAAGGUUCAAAACUUUCUUGUAAUCCUCAAUGUCUAGAAAACAUUAGUUAGACAUGGGUUCAUAUAAAUUCAUCAUAAAUUCAUAUAAUUAUGUAAUUUCAUGCUUGAUUUCAUAAAACUCUUCUUUCAUAAUAUAAGACACACAUUAUAUGUUCAUAGCUUGGAAAACAUGAAAAUUACAUGGGUUCAUGGGGGAUCAUUAUAAAAACAUGUGAUUACUCAAUUCAUGCAAAAAGAUCAUAAAUCCAUCAACUAAAUCAAUAAUCAAGAGAACCCAUCACAUAGAAGAAAAUCCUAACUCAAUUGGGGAAUUCUACGUUUGAAAAAUAGGAGAAUUUGGGAACUCCAUGAAUGGAAAGAAUCAAUUAACUAAAACUACCAUACCCGAAUGCCAAACGCUUGCCUUCAAUUGUGGAAUUGGAAACUUGCCUUGAAACCCUAUGUUGAACUCUUCUACUUCUAGAAAGAUAGGAAAAUAUUUUGGGAGACAAAACUUUUUCUUCUUUUGUAAAUUUAAGAGAAUGACUUGAAUGGGUAAGAUUUGGGGUAAAAAUAACUUAUAUAAAGGUUUUAGGUAAUGGCAAAACAAUAUAGUAUCAAGAUAAAAUAAUUAGGAAAAGACCCAACUGCCGUUGUUUUACCGCUUACGUGAACCUCUAUAUGGAGGCCCACAUGAGCCGUCAAGCACAUCACAGGCCGUAGUGGCAGUCGUUGUCCUUGAAAAGUGGCUUGGGAAGGCUCUAAGGUGCCUUACCCCAAAAUACGACCACCAUCAUGAAUUGUUUAGCUCUUCAACAACCAUUCGGGUCAUCGUGAGAGGAUCUUGCGUUGGUGAGCAUCCUUCCUACUCCUUCACGGGCACCACCACGAGCCGUGGUGCUUAUUCACGAGGCGUGUAUGGGCUCAUGGGAGGACAACCCAUCUUGGACAACACCUUGAAGGCUCUAUGAGCACCACCACUCGUGGUGGUGCCCUUCACGGCCUAUGACGGGCUCCAUGAAGGGUGCGUUAGCUUAGUGAAGGACUGGUGACCUCCAACUUGACUCCAUUCCUAGACUCCUUGAUUUUGGGGUAUUACACUUAUAAACUUAUUUAUCCUAAUGAUUUGGCAUUAGUGUAUCUAGUUUUCCAUGUCUCCUUGUUGAAGAAAUGUGUUGGAGAUUCUACAUUUAUAGUUCCCUUAGAAUGUUUGGGAGUCAAGAAGGAUCUUUCCUAUGAUGAAGUUUCGGUGGAGAUCUUGGACGGGCAAGUUAAAAGAUUGAGAAACAAAGAAGUUGUGUCCUUGAAGGUUCUAUGGAGGAAUCAGUUAGUUAUGGGUGCUACUAAUGAAGCGAGGUUGAUAUGACAUCCUAUUAUCCUCAUCUCUUUCCUUUUGUUUUUAGUCUAGGUUGAGGUAUUUACCUCCUCAUUGUUUACUCCUUUGGUAUCAUGUGUCUUAGAUAUUCCCAUGAUUUCCUCAAUUAUGCAUGUUCAUGAAAAGCUUCAAUUUUCAGAAAAUGAGUUAACUUAAUUGAUUUCUUGAUGUUUAUGUGCAUUGGAGUACGAGUUGCAUAUAGAACUCAUGGAAUGAUGUUUUGGACAUGCUUUAGCUUUGAGUUCGUGGUUCCUCCUCGGAUAUGUGCAUUAUAUGAUUGCAUUGAUGUUGUGUUGUUAUAUCUAGUUCCUACACUCAUUAUGAUGUCUUGAAUCUAUUCAAGGACGAUUGUUCCCAAUGGGGAGAUAAUAUGACAUCUUGAAUUUGAAAUGAUGUUAAAAAAAUUGCAGGUGUCCUGGAAUUAGUGUGUUACGGCCCAGGAGUACCCCCUAGACGUAACAUGUCGUACAAGACUACGAAAAGCCUCAUACAAGCCCUUAGCAUAUCAUGAACACAAGAUAAUAGAAAAGUACGGAAAAAUUUAAAACUUUUUACAAUCAAAGUAAAUUUCAUAAAAGCUAUAGGAAGUGUUUCUAUACUUUGUCUCAAACCACCUAAUACAAAUUUAGAAUAAACUCUUGGGACACAACCCAUACAAUAGUCUAAAAAAAACAUGAAAUAAAGACAUAAAGGAAAUUCUGGGUUUUGUCCCCAAAGCUAUGAGGACUCACCAAAUCUUCAGCUCCUUUGCUCCUUAAAAACCUAUCCCCGAGUAUAGAACUCAAGUCUCCAAACCCUACAUUUUAUUAGAAUGUAGGCAAAGUAUGCAUUAGUACAAAAUGUGCUAAAUAUGUUAGCUAGCAUAAUCAUAAGAGUAUAAGACAAGGGUUAGUCAAUAUAAGACAUAAUCCAAAAUCAUAUGAAAUACUUCAUGAAACAUAAACUAUAAGCAUAAGACACAAUAUCAUAAUAAUAAGCAAAGUCUCAAACAUACCAGCAUAUACGCAUUAUUCAACUCUUUAGUUAUCUAUACCAUAAUAGAACCAUUCUCAAGUAACCUCCAAAGCAAACUUGUGCAAUGCCUAAAUAGCAUCCCAUAAUACCAUCCAAGCUAAUUAUACAUUUUUGGUCAUCUUAAUCAUGGUCUACAUACAUGGUCAAGUCUUUAAGCUUUUCUACCAUAACGGCACCAUACUCCUAAGUAACCUCAAAACACACUUAUGCAAUGCAUGAAAGGCAUCCCAUACUACCCUUCACACUAAGCAUAACCUUGAAGUCAACAUAGUCAUACUUACCGUCCCUUUGCCUCAUUAGUUGUUUACUUCUCAUAACUAAGGGAAUCUCUCACCUUUAUUCACUACUAACAAGGAAGACAACUAUAGCACAAUCCUAUCUCAAGAUACAUCACUCACAAGAACUUUUUGUUGAAUACCCUGAAGUUAUACUCGUGCAAUGCAUGAGUAGCAUCCCAUAAUACUAUUCAUGCUACGUAUCACUUUUAGGUCCUCAUACUAAUACUUCUUGGUUUAGAACCUAGUUCCACUCUUUAUACCUUAGAACAAUAUGAGGUACUUCCUUAAGCACAUCAUAGUUCAUCACUCUUGAAACCUUGGAACACUAUGAGGUACUUCCUUAAGCACAUUUUAGUUCAUUAUAAGGUUUAACCGUAUGAGAUACUUACUUAAGCAUGUCUAAAUCCAUUUAUACUAUUAACAAUAUGAGAUACUCCUUUAAGUAUGUCUUAGUUCAUUAUUAUGAUGGACCCUAUGAGAUACUACCUUAAUAAUGUCUAAGUCCAUUAUGCUCUUGAACACUAUAAGAUACUUCUUCAAGAAUGUCUUAGUUCAUUAAUGCUUUUGAACACUAUGAGAUGCUUCUUCAAGCAUGUCUUAGCUCAUUGGAUAUGGAGAUUGCUAAUACAAACCGUAACUCAACUAUGUGAUGGCUUCCAUCUCAUGAGACCUAACUUUGGGAAAACCCACACUCUAGUACGUAAGAGUUCCCCCUUUAACUUGGAUAGUCCUCACAUCAACUAGGUGUGGUUCUCCUUUCAAAUUGGAGCCCGGACCUUCUCUUGUGUGAUACUCCAUCUCAUUGUCAAUAUCCACUUGGAGCCUAGCAAACACCCCAAGAUUUACUUGUUAAGUGUUGCUUAACACUCAUGUCUAAUGGAAGGAUAUCCUUUACGAUCAAUCCAUAUUCAAGUGAUUCUAUCACUUAUACUUUCAAGCAUUCAUAAGGUAGGUUCGGUGAGUGUAGGCCUUUCCCCACAAUUCUACCUAUUUGACUUCUAUUCUCAUUUAGACUUUACUCUCAAAGCCUUAACAUCGAUAAUUAAUCAUAUUAGCUUCACUCUACAGCCCUAGUGAUCAACAUUCACAACUAUGAGUCUUCAUUAUUAAUAACUCUACACCAUGAAAGCAUCUUUUGAACUUGGAUUACACGACAUUCAAUCACAUUCUUCAUUACUUGGUGAUUCUAGCCACAAUCCAUUCUAAAGGUUCAAUUUCAAAUUUACAAGUCAAGAACAAUCAUAUUCAAUAAGAUCUAGUUCAAUUCAUGAUUAUAUGUUCCUAACCUUAAACAAUUACUACAUAUGACAUUGAUUUAAGAAGAUGAUCUAUGUACCUUCAAUUUCACCUCUAAUGGCAUAAACCCAUAAAAUAUCAAAUUCUUCAAAUAGACUAGGGUUAACCAUAGAAAUCACAUGAAUUCAUCAUAAUAUCACAGUUCAAUGCUACUAUAAUCAUAAUUAGGUAUUAUCUACUAGAUUGGAAUCAUACCUAAACCCUACCUACAAUGUAAGAAGAACCCUAGCUAGAAUUGGGUUUUUGACUUCACAAUUGGGGGAAAACUAAGGGGCUUUAUGGGUGGAAGAACCCAUAGAUGAAUAAGGUAACAUACCUUGAUUGAAAGCCCUAACCAAGGUUGCAUCAAUGGGGGAAAAUCUUCCCUAACUUCCUUUCUUCUUCUUCUUCUUCUUCACUUCUAGAGGGAUAAUUCUUUCGAGAGAAUUCGGGUUCUUUGAAUAAUGAGUUAAUCGAUUUAGUUUAGGGAUCUAUUAGGCUUAAAAUGGUGGUUAAAUAACUAACUAACCGAAUUUCCUUAACCCCUAACUAAUUAAUGACUUAACUGGUAAGCCCCUAACUUAAAAAAUUAAACCUUGAAAACUUCUCUUACUCAAGAAACCACCACCCACGGUCCGUGGGUGGGUUCACGGAGCAUGCUGCACCUCUGUAGGUGCUGGUCAGAGGCUGACAUUGCAGACCAAUACAGGCCUUGACCCACGACCCCAACCCACAGGGCGUAGGUCCAUCUACGGCCAGUAGGUGGCAAGCAUAGGUGGCUGAAAUUUGACAGCUUUUUGGGCUGUUUUGAGGUCCUCCUCAAGGACCCCUUGGGUGUUCCUUGGGGGAUCGUACCUUGAUGCCCUAACCCUAAAACCUUCAUACUAAGUACGGGAAUCAUUUUUGUGACUUUUAAUCCUCAUAUGACGCUCUAAAACUGGUACGAAAAGCUCUAGAACUCUCUAGGUCAAAUUACUAGUUUCUUGGGUGCAAUAAUAUAUCCUCCUUGGGAUCAUUUGUCCUCGAAUGACGAUUCUAAACACUUCUUAAAGCCAAAACUCUAAACUAGCAACCCAUCAUGCAUGCCCUACAUCUAAAUGCAUACAACCAAGGAAGAAAACUUCAAUUCCAAACUAAACAUAUUUAAUGCAACACAAGGGAGUAGGAACUACAUCUACCAACCCAAAAUGCAUGAAUUUCUUUAUUUACUCAUUCUCAAGGAGGAACUAACAUCUCCUAACUAAAACAUGCUCAAUAUACACUCUUGGAGCCUAAAUGCAAUUUACUCUCACAUAGCAUUUAUUCAAGGAGAAAUCUUUCAACUCCAAACUAAGGCAUGCUCAUUAACUCAUCUCAUGAAGUCUAUAUAUAACUCUACUCAAAUGCACUACAACAUGAGGCCAAACAAUGCAUAUAAGUCAUUUCUAACAAGACCUAAUCAUUUUCAUGAACAUGCAUAUAAGGAAAUGAUGGCAACACAUAAUCAUACAUGACUUCAUAUAAGAGCAAAUCAUGAGGAACUUAUCAUCUCAAUCUAGAAUAGGAAUAGAAGGAAAAGGAUGAGGACACCGGGACAUGUCAGUGGCCCUUGGCCCCUCCCCCCGACCAAGUGGCACCCUCACCUAAAACCCUCACCAAACUACACUCCAUACCACUUCAUGGAACAACUUCCUUGUUCUUUUGUUUCUUAACUUGCCGGUCUAAGGUCUCUACUGGUACUUCUAAAUUAGAGAGGUCCUAAUUAAGCAACUCUAGCUCACAAGCAACCCUACUAACACCACUCAAGAUCUCCUAUGAACCUACCCAACCGGGACUAAACUUCUCAUACUCACUACAUCUCUCAAGGUGAGAAUUUCAAGCAAACCUAGCUCAUGAACAUCAACAACGCUCAACGACUUCGCUAUCUAAGCACAUUAUCUCCCCCUUAGGAGCAUGCCUAUUCAAACUCUUUUAAGCAUCACUUCCUUCAAUUCUAAGGUCGGAGCAAGCCAACACUAUGAUUUCACAUCAUCACACCAAGUGAUUCUAAACCAUGGUGAAUUACACUUCUACCCUUCUUAGAGAAGUCUAUUCAUUCCACCAUCUAGGCAUUAUUUAAACACCCUAUUCAACAAAUCUAUCAACAAACCUCAAAACUCAUCAUCACUAAGUUGGGUUCUACCAUCAACUAACCAUAGCCACACAAUAACCUUGCUUGGUAGGCACACUAUCUCCCCCUUGGGAGUUAGCCUACACAAAUUCUUCUAAACAUCUUUCAUAACAUAAAGGAACCAAUGAAACAUCAUUCAUACUAAAGAUAACAUCAAAGUCCAUCAUCUCAAAUCUAUCAAGUCACAUAGCCAUAAUUGGCAUCUCAACCAACCUUUUCUCCCUCGCUCCUUGUAGCAUUAGUCCUUGGAGUAGUCAUAUCCUAAAGACCAUCGGAUAAGGAAUAGGAGAGAUACCUUAUAGAAUUAAACUAUAUGGCACGACUUAGAGAAUAAAGAAGUGAGAUUUCCUAAGCAUCCAAUAGCCUCUUAUUCAUAAAUGUUGUGCGGUUCAAGUUUAUGCACAAGACUCUACUAGACGUGGUUUGAGACAUCCCAAAACCACCCCAAAACCUUGUGCUCUAUACCAUGUUUCUUACGACCCAGGAGUACCCCCCAGACGUGACACGAUGUACAAGACUCAAAAAAACCUCAUACAAGCCCUUAGCAUUUCAUGAACACAAGAUAAUAGAAAAGUACGGAAAAAUUUAAAACUUUUUACAAUCGAAGUCAUUUUCAUAAAAGCAAGCGAAAGUCUUUCUAUAAUUUGUCUCAAACCAUCUAAUACAACUUUAGAAUAAACUCUUGCUACACAACCCGUACAAUAAUCUCAAUAAAACAUGAAAUAAAGACAUAAAGGAAAUGGUGGGUUUUGUCUUCGAAGCUAUGAGGACUCACCAAAUCUUCAACUCCUUUUCACUUUAGAAACCCAUCUUCGAGAAUUGAACUCAAGUCUCCAAACCCUACAUUUGAUUAGAAUGUAGGCAAAGUAUGCAUUAGUAAAAAAUGUACUAAACAUGUUAGCUAGCAUAAUCAUAAGAGCAUAAGACAAGGGUUAGUCAAUAAAAGAUAUAAUCCAAAAUCAUAUGAAAUACUUCAUGAAACAUAAACUAUAAGGAUAAGAGACAAUAUCAUAAUAUUAAGCAAAGUCUCAAACAUAGCAUCAUAUAAGCAUUAUUCAACUCUUUAGUCAUCUAUACCAUAAUAGAACCAUUCUCAAGUAACCUCCAAAUCAUACUUGUGCAAUACCUAAAUAGCAUCCCAUAUUACCAUCCAAGCUAAUUAUCCAUUUUUUCUCAUAUUAAUCAUGGUCUAUAUACAUGGUCAAGUCUUUAAGCUUUUCUACUAUAAGGGCACCAUACUCCUAAGUAACCUCAAAACACAUUUGUGCAAUGCAUGAUAGGCAUCCCAUACUACCCUUCACACUAAGCAUAACCUUGAAGUCAACAUAGUCAUAUUUACCCUCAGUUGGCCUCAUUAUUAGCUUACUUGUGAUAACUAAGAGAAUGUCUCACCUUUAGUCGCUACUAACAAGAAAGGGAACAAUAGCACAAUCCUAUCUCAAGAUAUAUCACUCACAAGAACUCAUUCUUAAAUAACCUUAAGUCAUGCUCGUGCAAUGCAUGAAUAGCAUCCCAUAAUAAUAUUCAUUCUAAAUACCACUUUUAGGUCCUCAUACUAAUACUUCUUGGUUAGAAACCUUGUUACUCUUUUUUGACCUUAGAACACUAUGAGGUACUUCCUUAAGCACAUCUUACUUCAUCUCUAUUUAAAGCUUGGAACACUAUGAGGUACUUCCUUAAGCACAUCUUAGUUCAUUAUUAGGUUGAACCCUAUGAGAUACUUCAUUAAGCAUGUCUAAGCUCAUUAAUAACAUGGAUCCUAUGAGAUACAUACUUAAGCAUGUCUAAAUCCAUUUAUACUUUGAACACUACGAGAUACUCAUUUAUGUAUGUUUUAGUUCAUUAUUAAGAUGUAUCUUAUGAGAUACUACCUUAAGCAUGUCUAAGUCCAUUAUGAUCUUGAACACUAUGACAUACUUCUUCAAGCAUGUCUUAGUUCAUUAAUUAUUUUGAACACUAUGAGAUGCUUCUUCAAGCAUGUCUUAGUUCAUUGGAUAUGGAGAUGGCUACUAGAAACCUUAACUCCACUAUGUGAAGGCUUCCAUCUCAAGAGACCUAACUUUGGGAAAACCCACACUCUACUACGUAACAGUUCCCCCUUUAACUUAGAUAUUCCUCACAUCAACAAGGUGUGGUUCUCCUUUCAACUUGGAGCCUGAACCCUCUCUUCUAUGACACUCCAUCUCAUUGUCAAUAUCCACUUGGAGCCAAGCAUACACCCCAAGAUUUACUUGUUAAGCCUUGCUUAACAGUCAUGUCUCAUGGAAGGAUGUCCUAGACAAUCAAUCCAUGUUCAAGUGAUUCUAUCGCUUAUACUUUUAAGCAUUCAUAAGGUAGGUUAGGUGAGUGUAGACCUUUCAUCACAAUUCUACCUAUUAAACUUCUAUUCUCAUUUAGACUUUACUGUCUAAGCCUUAAUAUCUAUAGUUAAUCAUAUUAGCUUCACUUUAAAGCCCUAGUGAUCAACAUUCACAACUAUGAGUCUUCAUUCUUAAUAAAUCUACACCAUGAAAGCAUCUUAUGAAUCUAUAUUCCAAGACAUUCAAUCACAUUAUUCAUUAGUAGGUGAUUCUAGCCACAAUUCAUUCUAAAGGAUCAAUUUACACUUUACAAUUCAAGAUCAAUCAUAUUUAAUAAGGUCUAGUUCAAUUCAUGAUUAUAUUUUCCUAACCUUUAACAAUUACUACACAUGACAUUUAUUUAAGAAGAUCACCUAUGAACCUUCAAUUUCACCUCUAAUGGCAUAAACCCACAAAAUAUCAAAUUCAUCAAAUAGAAUAUGGUUAACCAUAGAAAGCACAUGAAUUCAUCAUAAUAUCAUAAUUCAAUGCUAAUAAAAUCAUAAUUAGGUAUUAUCCACUAGAUUUGAAUCAUACCUAAACCCUACCCACAAUGUAAGAAGAACCCUAACUAGAAUUGGGUUUUUGACUUCACAAUUGGGGGAAAACUCAGAGGCUCUAUGCGUGGAAGAACCCAUAGAUGAAUAAGGUAACAUACCUUGAUUCAAAGCCCUACCCAAGCUCAAAUAAAUGGGGAAAAUCUUCCCUAACUUCCUUUCUUCUUCUUCUUCCCCCUCUUCUUCUUCCUCUUCUUCGUCUACUUCUUCCUCCUCUUCCUCAUCUUCUUCCUCUUCUUCUUCUUCUUCUUCUUCUUCUUCUUCUUCUUCUUCUUCUUCUUCUUCUUCUUCUUCUUCUUCUUCUUCUUCUUCUUCUUCUUCUUCUUCUUCUUCUUCUUCUUCUUCUUCUUCUUCUUCUUCUUCUUGUCUUCCUCUUCCUCCUCGUAUUCCUCUUCCUCUUCCUCUUCCUCCUCUUCUUCCACCUCUUCUUCCUCCUCUUCUUCUUCAUCUUCUUCUUCUUGCUAUUCUUCUUCCUCUUCUUCUUCUUCCCCUUCUUCCUCUUCUUCUUCCUCUUCUUCUUCUUCUUCUUCUUCUUCUUCUUCCUCUUCUUCUUCCUCUUCUUCUUCCUCUUCUUCUUAUUACUCUUCUUCCUCUUCUUCUUCCUCUUCGUCUUAUUCUUCUUCUUGUUCUUGUUCUUAUUCCUCUUCUUCUUCUUCUUCCUAUUCUUCUUCCUCUUCUUCUUCAUUUUCUUCUUCUUCUUCCUCUUCCUCUUCUUCUUCCUCUUCUUCCUCUUCCUCUUCCUCUUCCUCUUCCUCUUCCUCUUCCUCUUCCUCUUCCUCUUCCUUUCUUCCUCUUCUUCUUCUUCCUCUUCCUUUUCUUCUUCCUCUUCUUCUUCUUCUUCUUCUUCUACUUCUUUUUUUUUCUUCUUCUUCUUCUGCUUCUUAUUCUUCUUCUCCUUCUUCCUCUUCUUCUUCCUCUUCUUCUUCCUCUUCCUCCUCCUCUUCUUCCUCCUAUUUCUCUUCCUCUUCCUCCUCUUCUUCCACCUCUUCUUCCUCCUCUUCUUCUUCCUCUUCUUCUUCCUCUUCUUCUUUCUCUUCUUCUUCUUCUUCCUCUUCUUCUUCUUCCUCUGUUUCCUCUUCUUCUUCUUCUUCUUCCUCUUCUUCUUCUUCCUCUUCUUCCUCCUCUUCUUUCUCUUCGUCUUCUUCUUCUUCUUCUUGUUUUUCUUCUUCUUCUUCAUUUUCUUCUUCUUCCUCUUCCUCUUCCUCUUCUUCUUCCUCUUCUUCUUCUUUUUGUUCUUCUUCUUCUUCUUCUUCUUCUUAUUUUUCUUCAUCUUCUUCUUCUUCAUCAUCUUUUUCUUCUUCUUCUUUUUGUUCUUCUUCUUCUUCUUCUUCUUCUUAUUUUUCUUCAUCUUCUUCUUCUUCAUCAUCUUUUUCUUCUUCUUCUUUUUGUUCUUCUUCUUCUUCUUCUUCUACUUCCUCUUCCGCUUUCUUUUCUUCUUCUUCUUCCUCUUCUUCUUCCUCUUCUUUUUCCUCUUGUUCUUCUUCUUCUUCUUCUUCUUCUUCUUUCUCCUCUUCUUCUUCUUCUUCUUCUUCCUCCUCUUCUUCUUCCUCCUCUUCGUCUUCUUCUUAUUCUUCUUCCUCUUCUUUCUCUUCCUCCUCUUCUUCCUCUUUCUCUUCCUCCUCUUCCUCCUCUUCCUCUUCUUCUUCUUCUUCUUCUUCUUAUUUUUCUUCAUCUUCUUCUUCUUCAUCAUCUUUUUCUUCUUCUUCUUUUUGUUCUUCUUCUUCUUCUUCUUCUACUUCCUCUUCCUUUCUCUUCUUCCUCUUCUUCCUGCUCUUCCUCCUCAUCUUCCUCUUCCUCCUCUUCUUCCUCUUCCUCUUCUUUUUUUUUCUUCCUCUUCUUCUUCUUCUUCCUGUUCUUCUUCUCGUUCUCGUUCUCCUUCUCCCUCUCCUUCUCCGUCUCCCUCUCCUUCUCUUUCUCCAUCUCCUUCUCAUUAUCCUUGUCCUUCUCCUCCUCCUCAUUCUUCUUCUUCUUCUACAGAGAGAAUUAUUUUGAGAGAAUUUGGUUCUUUGAAGAAUGAGUUAAUUGAUUUAGUUUAGGGGUCUAUUAGGCUUAAAUAGGUAGUUAAAUAACUAACUGACCGACUCCCGUAACCCCUAAUUAAUUAAUGUCUUAACCCCUAAGCCCCUAACUAAAACUAAACCUUGAAAGCUGCUCUCACUCACUCAACCACCACCCACAGACCGUGGGUGGGUUGACGGAGCAUGGUGCACCUCCGUGGGUGCUGGUCUGAGGCUCAACAUUGCAGGCCAAUACAUGCCUUGAACCAAGACCCCAACCCAUGGGGCAUGGGUCAAACUACGACUAGUAGGUGGCAAGCGUAGGUGGCUGAAUUUUGACAGCUUUUUUGAAGUCCUCCUCAAGGUCUCCUUGGGUGGUCCUUGGAGGGUCUUACCUUGACACCCUAACCCUAAGAACUUCGUACUACGUACUAGAAUCAUUUUUGUGACUUUUAAUCGUCAUACGACACUAAAAUUCUUACGAAAAGCUCUAGAACUCUCUAGUUCAACUAACUAGUUUCAAGGGCGCAAUAUAGUGUCAGUAUGAAAGGAGCCACUAGCAUACCGGCCGUAGGUGGUGCCGUGGGUGGCCAUACGAAACUUCCUUAAAAUGUCAACGUCCCACUACUUUGAUACGGUUCACCACAACAGUCUGGUAUCCAAUGCACGAGUUGUAGGUAGGUGUCGUAGGUGAAUCAUAGACUUAAAGAAACUUUAGUAUAAUAAUUUUGUUCCCAUGACCAUGGUGCAAGGUCUGUAUGUGGACCCACAGACCGGGCAUGGGGUCUUGUCAUUCAAGGUCCAAAAUGGUGGUCUCUCAAACAACCAACAAUCGAUUAGAAUGGUCUGUGGCGGGACCUACAGACCGUUGGUGAGGUUGUUGGUGAGGGUUCCACAGUUAUUUUAAAGGGGCUUUUGGGUCAUUUCCCAAUUAUUUUAACGUAAGACUAUUUCGUUUAACCUUCUAUUAUGGAGCCUAUAUAAACGUUUUUACACCCAAAUCUGCUAAUUGAACUCAUUCUCAUAAAUUCUCAAAGAUUAUCAAAUUUUUUCCCUAAUACUUAUCUAUAAGAGCUUGAAGAAGGCUAUGGUUUCAAGGUGAAGUCUCCAAAUUCACCAUUGAUUGUAAGCUUUUGGCAUCAAGGUAUGAUAGUAUUAACCCAUAGAGUCAUUUCCUUCAUAGGGUUCCUAAAUUCUGCAAUUUUACAAUGUAGAAACUCUGAUGGAAGUUAGGGAUUUUACUCAAUCUCAUUGGUUCUUUUCAAGUAUGAUCUAAUUGAUUGUUUUUAUAUAUUUUUGUGCAUGAAUAGAAAUAAUUGCAUGUUUCCAAGUUGAAUUCUGAUGAAACCGUGUGAAAUCCAUGAUUUCUAGACUAUGAUCAUAUGAUGAAACUUUUGAAUCAUGAAAAAUGAAUUCAAGGAUAUAAGCAUGUUUUUUUAACAAACUGAUGAAUAUGCUUUAAAAUUUAUUGUGAUAGUGAAGCAUCAAUGUUUUUUAUUGUGAAAGGAUUUUCUCACAUAAAGUAUUCAUAAGGUUGAAAGGAUUUAUCACAUAAAGUAUUCAUAAGGUUGAAGGAAUUUCUCACCUAAGAUUAAUCAAAUUGAGGAUCUAUAGUAAUAAUGAGAUACGUUGCGAUUGCCCAUGUCCUCUAAUGAUAAGACAAACGGCGAAUACCUAUGUCUCAUGAAUGAUAAAAUAAGUUAAGACUAAUGAAUAUUCUUACGUAUUUAUGCUUAUCACUGAGUGGACAAGUGGCAAUUAAGGAUGUCCCAUAAACUAUGUUCCAUCAUAGGUUUAUCUAGAUAAACAUUAGCUAGUGGAUCCACAUAAGCUAGAAGUUCAUUACUCUUACCUGGGAAAGUAUGAACACCUCUUUUCGGUGUGGGAUAGACAUUGAUUUCCAUAUUAUAGCUCGCAUGGUGUCAUUGUUUGUUAAAGGUAAAUCUCCCACAAUAAUGAACUAAGGUUACUUUUACAAGUAUCACAUGAAUGUUUUAAAUAUUUUUAGCUUACAUUGACCAUGUUUAUUAUUUAUGCUUCCUAGCCCUUUUAUAUUAUGUUUUAACUUUGUUCAUUAAAUGUCAUGUAAAGUCCUUUUUGGUAUGAUUUCAUACUCUUAUUCAUUGCUAACAUACUUGGUACAUUCCAUGUAAUAACGCAUACUCCUGCCUACAUUGUCUCACUAAUCAAGGUCUGACACUCUCAUUUUGCUUCUCCGUUCCUACUAAUUAAUUUAAUAUAUUGAAGAAUUGUGAAUCCUCAUGUUUCGAGGACCUAAACCUUAUUGCUUAUUGUCUUUAUUUUUCAGUAUUGUAUGUGAUGCAUGGGUUAUGUCCCAAUCACUCUUGAUAGACUAUGUUAGACUUCCACUACUUUCUGUCAACUCUUAUGAUAUGAUCUUUCUUUUAAAAUAUCACAAUUUUAUAUUAUAUUUUAUGAUGUUUGCUAAGUGCCUUGUGUAGGGCCUCUCGGGUUCCUAUACGCUAUGUUAUGCCUAGGGUAUACUUUGGGUCAUGAAAAACAUGGUAUUAGAGCAAAGAUUUGAUACUAAGAGAUAUCUAACGAAGGAGAUGUAAAUGCUGCUUGCACCACCAAUGUUAAGCUGGAUGGUGGAACAAAAAACUGCAAGGAAAGAAAGCACCAUAACAGUAGUGAGAAAAUGCUACUCGACCCUACACCAAGUGAGGAUCUAACAUCUCACCCAUUUUUGACCACUAAAGUAACUAACGAUGAACAUGGUGAGGAGGCCAUGGACUUCACACACGGAGUAGAGUGGGUUAGAGGAGUUAACAUGGCUAGGCAUGCCGUGGAGAUUUAGGUAGUUUGUUGAACGAGGUCGAUGGUAAGUUACAGACAUAGGAAUACUUCUCCUUUGAAGAGAAUGACAACCUCUGCAAAGAGUUGAAGAUGCGUAAGCAUUGAAAUAUGAGAUGAAUGAGGUGAUCACUUCUGUUGAGUGUCGGCUCAUGGAGACGUUAAGCACAAUUUAAACCAUGCAGGCUGAAACAGAAGUGCUCAAGAGAGGGAUGGAAGUAGGAGGAUCUACGACAUCUAAUAGAGAUUGAGAGGCCAAAUUUGAAGCUCCCAAGCCACCUAUAAUCAAAGGCGUAUGUGAUGCGCAAGAGGUGGACAAUUUCUUAUGGCACUUAGAAAAUUACUUCAAGUGUAGCGGAGAAUAGAGCGACAAAAACAAGACCAACAUUGUCAUGUUGUAUCUCUUGGGUAUGACAAUGCUAUAGUGGAGGUGCAAGGAGUCCGAGAAAGUGAAGGAGCUUUGCACCAUAAACACUUGGAAGCAAUUCUCAGAAGAGUUUAAAAAUGCCUUCUUCCCUAACAAUGACAUCUACGAAGCUAUGCACAAGCUUAGGGAAUUGAAGGAAAUAGGAAGCAUUCGAGCGUACGUAAAAGAUAUCACUACUCUCAUGCUUCAUAUUCCAAACCUCACUAAUGAAGAUAUCUUGUUCAACUUCAUGGAUGGGAUGCAAAAUUGGUCCAAGAUAGAGUUGGAGCAUGAAUAGGUCAGGUCUAUUGAUGAAGAAAUCAUGCAAGCCAAAGCCUUGACAUACUUUAGGAAGGAGAAGCCCGACAGAGCUAGAAGAGAAGAGAUACGAGGUAGUCAUGACAAAGGUUGGGGAUAUUGUGAAAAUAUCGAGGAGUAGCAGCGACAUCCCAAGAAUCAUGAUACAUGUAUGUCCGUUGGAAAGAAGUCUCGAUAUUAUGGCGAUAUAGAGAGAGGAAGGAAUAGAUUACCAAAAGAAAAUGUUGCUACAUAUGCAGUGUGUCGCAUAUCUAUGCAAGGUACCGUGAACUAAAAAGCCUUAAUCCUAUCCUAUGAGAGUGGAAGGAGAAGGAUUCACAAGAACAAGGACAAGGUUCAAAGAUGACGCAGUUGGGCUUAAUAGGACUAUGUAGAGCCACCAUGAAACACUAAGGGAAUCCUAGAUAAUACGACACGCUUUAUGUCGACAUCACAAUUAAUGGAAGACCUAUACGUGCUAUGGUCGACAUGGGUGUAGAGAUAAAAAUCAUGACCAAGAUGUAAGCAACAAAGUUGGUGUUGAGAUACAGUCCGAAUAACUCUCAUCUCAAUACGAUCAAUGUAGCACUGACUCCUAUGUGCAAAGUCGCACAUGGAGUAAGCACGACAUCAGAUGAGUGGCAUGGUAAAUUGAACUUCAAUGUUUCUCCUUUAGACCUCUUUGAAAAAAUUCUUGGGCAAUAGUUCCUCUAAAAAUUUCAAACGGUAAUCAAUCCUUACCUCCGAAAUGUAUUGGUCAAGGAGAAAGAAGGAUCAUGUAUGGUUCCCCUAGUUACGGUACCAAACAUGGAGGGAAAAGAUUGAUUAACGACGAUUCAUCUCGUGAGAGGACUUAAGAAGAACGAGUCGACAUUCGUUGUCACCAAUGCAAGUGUGACGAAAGAAGAUAGUGCAAAAGGGACUUCGCCAUCAUGUAUAGGGAAUUUUCUAAAAAAGGAUAAGGACGUGAUAUCCGAGGAUCUGUACAAAGGAAUUGAUCGAGUUAAUGUACUAAUGGUCGCCUAUACAAGAAAAAAGACUCGGUUGUUCAUGUAGUAGUAAUGCAAUGCGAUCGUCGCAAUAUUAUGUGGAUGAGAGUUUCAUGACCCCCCACUUUGCAAUUCCACUUUAGCAUAAAAUUAAGGGGGAAGAAUCUAGAGUUAUGGAGAGGUUUGCGAAAGAUUCUACAAUUCCCUAUAUAUUAUCUUGGAUGGUUUACUUUGGUAGAGAAGUUGUCCUUAGUUGAAUAUUCUAGAGAAAUAUUAAGAUUUCCCAAGGAAGGUUAUAGAAUCACAUGGAAAUUCGUCAGAAUGUUCUAGAGUUGUAGAGAAUUAAAGAAUACCCACUAAAAUAUAAAUAUGUGGGGCCUUGUGUAGUAUUUAUUAUUUACACUAUGGGCCCAAGGAAAUAUUAAAAGGCAACCAAGCAAGAUCCAUCAAGUCGUAAGUAUUGUCCAAGUAAUACAAAGCCUUCUUUAAAAGCUAUCUUUGUCUUUCAUUCAUUAUCUUGGAAAUCUUAAGUUUCAAAGGGCAUACUUGAGUUUACAAUACUGUGAAUGAUUCAGUAGUAAGUGGUCAAGUGCCGCACAAAGCUUUAGGGAAACUCUAAGUCCAUGACACACUAGCUGUCUUUGAUUGGGUACACUAUCCCAUCAUCUAGCAACUUGAUCACCUACAUUCUAAGUACAUCUUUCAUUAGAGAAUUUAAUUGGUACUAGUGUUGUGCACUUGGAUUGUGGCCUUCAUCAAUGUAAAUAUGAAGAAUGCACAAUGUCGGAAUAAUUCAAUGUAUAUAGUACAUCUUCAAUCGAAAAAGUUCUUUUUUGUUUUUCAGUAUAGCCAGAGAAGCAUUAACUUAUAAUUCAGAAAACUCUAAAGAAAGAAUCACUGGUAAUGUUAAAUCCUUGUCCAACAACGCAUACUUGUGAUUACAAGGACUGCCUUCGGUUCAAUCUUAGGAUCUUCUUCGAUGGACACCUUAGGUAGAGGGCCCAACAUUAUAAUUAAAAGUUCCCAACUACUUCUCUAUACACCCAAAGUAGCCAUAUUUAAUAAUUACACUAUUUGUUGUGUUUCAGCAUCACAAAAAAUGUCAUGUACUAUUAAUACUCUCUCAAGUGGGUCUCUAGAUUCAAUGUGAUGAACUUCUACAACGUGAUCAAUGAUAGUUAUGGCCGACGAUUCGUCAUAUCUUGCAGGGAACUUCAAUGAUGGUAUACAUCAACCACCUCUACUUUAUCAUGGGCCAUCAUUGUUAACUAACCAUGUGCUACAUCUAUCCAAGCAUGCACAAUGUACAAGAAAAUGCAUCCAGUAUGGAUUGUAUCUCAGAGUGUUACUCAAAAUUUAGCACCACAGAGUCAAUAGAAAAGAUUAACGACUAUACUUGGACUAACAUAGCUUUUCAAACAGCUUUUAGUAGACCAAGCGGUCGGUCUACAAGCUGUAAUAUGAUGGUGGUCGGUUUAGACUACCCAUACCAAACAUUUUGUACAAAAAUACAUGUAUGAGAUUAAUGUUAGGACCAAGAUCACUCAAUCCCCGAGCGUGAAUGUUUUGCCUUAUAGAUAUCUGACUGUAAAACUACGUGGAUCUUUCAAUUUGGUGGGCAGUCUGCUCUAAAUUGUAGAACUACAUUCCAAAGUAACUGCAGUUUUCUAAUACUUUGCCGGCCUUCUUUUGUUUUCCACUAUAUCCUUCACAUAUUUAGUAUACUUUAAGAUUCACAUCAAAAUGACAAGAAACGGUAAAUUAAUGUGAACUUGUUUAAGUAAAGAGAGAAACAUACCAAAGCAUUAACCUCGAUGUGUUUUUGAAAUUUUGUGGAAAGGGAUGAGGUGGUAUCAAUUUAUUAGCUCCACUAUCUUCAUGGGAACUUUUCCCAACCUCACCACUCUUCUUGUCCCCAUUCACGACUUUUGUUACUUUAUUCUUUGAGGUAAACUCUUCUACCUACAAACCACUUCUAGUACCUAUGACAUUUACGUGCCGUGGGUUUGGAUUAGUGUUAUCUGUGAUGUCUUUGUACGAACGUGAAUUUUUAGCACUAGCGAAUUAAUGAAAUUUCUUUUUCAUUUUUCAGAGUGGCAAGAUGAUUAUUUAAUAAGUCUAUCACAAUAUGGUCCACAUUCACACUUACUUUGGAUUAUUGUGCCAUGUGUUUCGUGAAUAUUUCUUCAGUACUCAUAUAACAGUGUUGCACAUUCUGGUUAUUUCGUUGGCCCUAAUUGGUCUAAGAAUGGUACUGAUUUUGAUUUUGUUUUUAAUCCCCCACAUGCGAAAUUUUGAGUGUCACACCUUGUGUAAUAUGAAUUUCCAUAUUUUUGCACUUUUCCACCUCUUUGAGUGUUUCACACGAAGAUAAUGGAAUCAAAAUCUGACCAUUAGUACAUAGUUGGAUGAUCACUUCUAUCAUGCUAUACCACAGUUACUUGUGCUUUGUGUUGCCCUAAUACUGGAUUGAUGAUGCGAGUAUUUACCAUGUUUACCAUAGCGGUAAUUUAUUCAGUCAAUAUCAUCACUGCAACCACCUCUAACAACUUAAUAAUCUUUUGGACAAUCGUUCUAGCACAACUUACAUUCCAUUCCGGGGUCCUUUUUGAAAUUUUGUUCAACAAUGCGAUAAACUCAUCAUAUGUCUUUUCCAAAACGAGACUACCUACUGUAGAAUCUAGAACAAUAUUCUUAUUUAGUUGAAGUCGAUCAUUAAAGGUACAUACAUACCGCUCAAUAGUUUGGUGGUGAUGUGGGUAUCUUAUCAAUAAGGAUUUGAAUCUAUCACAUGCUUGGUACAUAUUAUCUCCCUCUUUUUGUUAAAAUCUCAGGAUCUCACUUUUUCACUUAACUUUUUUUCCAAGCAGUGAGAAUCUAAUCAUGAUUUUUUGAGAAAGAUCAUCCCAUAAUCUUAUGGAAUGUGUUGUCUCUAACGUGAACAACAACUUUUCCUAUCCCAAUAGUUCAGAUGGAAAAAAGAUUAGCCUCACGUAGUCAGAAGAUACACUAGAUGGGUGUAAUUGUCACGAAUUUCAAAAUAAUUUGAAAAUACACUUGGGAUUUGCUUGAGGGAGACCAAUAAGUUGUCUAGUAGUGUGUUUCAAUUGCACCAUUCUCUAUUUUUUCUAAAUCUACAUCCAUCUUCUACGUUGUGAUGUGGUAUUUACACAUCAAGAACUGUCUUUGCUGCCAUUUCUACUGUGUCACGACCCAGACUACACCUUAGAGAUAACAUGGAAAGUAGUAUCUCGAGGGAUCCUAAAAAGCAACUUCACAUAAGCAUGACACUAAGAUAAUGGCAUAAAAUAAAUACUUAGAUGUAGUAAAAUAUAAGUAUUAGACCUUCAACUCAACAUGAUAGCAAAACACAUUACAAUGACUUCAUAGGCAGAAACAUACUAUGUUUGACAAUAGGUCUAUACUAAUAGGUGUGUGACUAAGAAAUACUCUAGCUCACAAAGUAAGAUGGAAAACAGAAAGUGUAUUAAUAAUAUAAAGACUCAUAACACGUGGCCAUGCCCUCUAACCAUGAAGACUUACAAGGAAUGCUAUGCAAUGCUCAUCAAUACACUAGCCAUAGUUGGAUAAAGGAACAUCAAAUCCUAUUUUAUGAGAUAAUAUAAGGACAAGAUAAUUUAUGCCUCAGUACCCAAAACAUACUUAAUCUAGGGGUAAAUGCAUAAAUAUAAACAUGAUGCAUGCUAAGUCUGGAAACAAAAUAAUGAAUGGCCAAGUAUAACAUAUAAAAUUUGAUAAGUUGAAUUUAUAAGACGUGAAACAAGGGCAAUACAAUACUUGAAAAUCAUAACAUAAGCUUAAAUCAUAAUCAUUCAGGAAAUUGUGAGCUAAUUAGAAAACAAAAUUAUAUUUUGGGUUGUUUACCAUUAACCGAUAGAAACCAUAUGAGCUAUAACAUGAAAUAUGGUGUACUACUCCCACACGAAAAUGGGAAUAUCCUACUUUCCAUGUUUAGGACCAUGUUGUUAUCUUAGGUAUAUCCACUAGCUAUGUCAAAUCGGAAUAAAGUCAUACAAGGAUAGGCAUUUAUAGGAUAACGGGAUUGCUAAUAUGAACUCUACCUCUACGAAUGGGUGAGCAUCAAUACCGAAGUCCACUCGGUGCUAAGUAAACUCCUAGUGGAAAUAAGCAUAAUCAUUUCAUUCUCCUGAUACUUGAAAUGGUAAGAAUCUAUUAAUACCAAUUCAAUUAUAAAUUUCACCUCAUAGAAUAGUUCCUUUUAAAAUCAUAAUUUCAUAUAACACUCCUAAAUACACUUAUCUAUAGUAUCAAAAUGAUGAUCAUCCUUUCAUAAUGUGAAUAAUUCAUUGGGAAGCCUAGCUUUGAAAUUGGAGAAGGAAGGUUGUCCCUUGAAGAACCCGAAUAAACCUUGAGAGAAUCCUUGGAGAAGAAAACUUGAGAGCAUAUGGGAUUUUGAGAGAAUGAGAGUGAACAGGAGAAAUUUUAAGUAAAAUCGGUUAUAGGGCUUAGGAAUAUACUAGAAACCAUAUACUUUAGGAAUUAAAAGUGUAGGAAAAAAACCUAGAAUAAAACCUACAAAAUUGACCCUACGGACCCCUUACAGUCCGUAGAAGCUUCUACGGACCGAAUCAGUAAAUCAUAGGCUAAUUUUAACAUUAAACCAUGUACAUGAGCCACAAUCUGCCAACCCUUCCACGAGCCAUCUGUAACGACUCAUAAAAUGAUAGGUUGAACAAGAGCCUCAUCUUGUGGAUUAGUGUAACCUUAAUUUGAUGUCUAGGCUGUUUUAGAACUAAUUUUGAGCAAGGAAGAAGUCUAGGGUGCAAGCAAGGGGCUAAGCAAGAAAGAUUGAGUGGAAUAAAUCUUGUUCUUUGAGGGACCAUUUGGCGAUGGGACUACUUGAUCGCCCAAGUGACUUGGCGAUACACCAAUGUGCACUUGGGGUCGCCUAGUGGGCUGUCCCUUAAGACUAGGUUCUGGAACAAAGGGCGAGCUAAGUCGUAGCUCGCCAACCAGGUUGGUGAUUCGCCCAUUAGACCCCUUCAUCACUUAUUGAACUGCCCAUUUUGUGAGCCUACUGGUGAAAUGGGCGAGCCAAUUGUUCAUUUGGCGAGUCGCCUAGUACCCUUGGCGAGCCAUGAGGUUCAAAGGGCGAGCUUAGUUGAGUAAGGUGUAGAAUUUUAUGUUUAAACUUUGUGGGUCCUUGGUUCUGUUCCAAAGUUGAGUCCUCAUUAUUCUAUUCCUUUCCUAGCAACUAUAUAACCUUUUUGGAAUUGAAUCCUUUCAAAUAAGUCACUUCUAAUAGAAUUAAAAGAAGACCCAACUAAUCUCAAAUAUUUCUCUCUCUAAACUCAAGGAAGAAGAAAGGAGUCACUAAAGCUAGGGUUUGUGGAUUCAAGGUGUUUCUUCCUCAAAUUUCCUGGGGAAUCACAAGCAAGGUAUGGUGAUCCUUCAUCUAGAGGUAGCUUUAAACCGUAGAGUCAAUUCAAAAGUAAUUUUCAAAGUUUUCAAGUUCAUGAAAAACCUAGGGUCUUACUCAAUCUCAUGGGUUCCUUCUUCAGACAAUUUCAAAUGAUUAUUAAUGACAUUUUAUGAUUGUAUUAGUGAUUAAUUGAUGACUUAUUAUGAAAAUACUCUAUGAACAUAUGAAUUCUCUCAAUUCCUAAAUUGUGCCUUUAUGAAGUGGGUUUGUUAAUUAUGAAAGCUUAUGAAUGGAAUAUGUCUAAAUUGCUUUGGGUUAUUGAAUUAUCUCAUUAUACAUGCCUUAAUUGUAAUUAAUUGUUGGUGUGUUGAUUAUUUGAGAUUCAUGGCCUUGAAGGUAUAGUAUGAGGAAUUGAGGUAGUAUCAUGAUAUUUUGUAUAAGAAUCUGAAUCAAUUGAAGUUAAGCUGAUCAUGUCUUGAAAGUAUUUGCGUUGUUAUUGAAAGGAUAUUUCUCAAUUUGAAACUCAUGAAUGUUGAUGAUAGAAUUUGAAGGGUUUCUAUGAUGAGAUGUUCUAGCUUGAAUUGGUAGUCUUAGCCAUCCUAUUCUUUUAUAAAUGAAAUUAAUAGGGAUCGAUGAAUCUUAAAUUGGUAGGCUAAGGCAUCCUUUUCUUGUAUUUAUGAAUGUGACCUUGAAUGUAAUAUCAUGUCUUGAAUUGGUAGGCUCAUGCAUCCUCUUCUUGUAUAAUGGAUGUGUCUUAACUUGAUGAAUAUGAAUCAAUCGGUCAAUGGCAUUCCUUUCAUAAAUGAAUGAUGAAGUAUUUUAGGCUACGUCUUGAACCGGUAGAUAUAGUAUUAGUAGUUGUUCAUGAUGAGUCUAGAAACUAAUGUGAUGAUAAACCUUGAAUCGGUAUACCCAAUGUUAGUGGCCCCUUUCUUGAGUGAAAUGAUGAACCUUGCAUCGGUAGACCCAAAUGUUGGUGGCCCUUCUUGAGGAUUCAAUGAGCUAUCUAUAUAAUGUACCAUGAAUCGAUCGACUUAUGGAAUUCCUUUCAUGUGUAAUGAUGUGUCUUGGGUCAAUAGGCCAAUGGCAUUCCUCUCAAGUACAUUAAUGUAAUGUCAAUGAAAUACUCUAUGAGAAUGGAGGCUAAGCACCAAGUUGAUAUAGUAAGAUGGAAACUCUCCCAAUGUUAGGCUAGGGUUCCAAUGAACAUCUUCCUAUCCAAUAACUAUGUGCCCACAUAGGAAUUAGCCAGUGAAUUCCAUCCAAGCUAAAUAUACCUAGUUCUACCUUAGGAAAGUAGGACACCUCUUUAUGGUGUGGGGCCAUAUGACAUCGGAUUCCAUGGUUAGAUCUCAUGGUCUAUGUCAGUUAAUGUCUAUUCCUAUCAUGUGAGAUGUGCAUUAUGGUUUUUUGAGAAAUUUUAUGAAGUGUGGGUGGUAGUAUGGGAUGCCAUCCACGCAUUGGACGAGUAGGCUUUGAGAGGGUCAUAGUGAGUUCUCUAAGUCUUAAUGACUAAUGUUUGAAAGUGUCCUCUGUGAAUUUAAUGAAGAAUGUUGACUUAUAUGCUUAAAUGUGAUUAUGCAUGAUAUACUUAGGUUGUAUUAUGAUUUAUUUUCCCUUGUCAUGACUUAUGAAAUGUUGAUGUCUCUUAUGUAUGAGUAUUGUGUAAAGAUGGAAAGGACUAAUGGUAAGUUCACUUUUGGUGACCUUAAUGCGCCACUUUAGUGUGGAUGGUGGUAUGGGACGCUAUCCAUACAUUGCACAAGGUAUAGCAUGAGGGUUACUUGAAGUGAAGAUCUAAUGUGAAGCUAAUGGUUUACAUGUUGAUUAUGUUCAAAUGUGAUAUUAUGACUUGUAUGAUGAUUAUACUUUUAUUUGAUGUCUCUUAAACUAUUUUACAUGAUAUUUCUAAAAAGUUGAAUAAUGCAUGAUUUCCAACUAAAAUGUCCCUUUUAAAGCUUGUUUUUGCAUGGUUAUCAUACUUAGUACGUUUUUGUGUACUAACCCAUAUUUCUCUUAUUUUACUACAAGUGUAGGUUUCGGCAAGUGAGUUGCUUCUCUCUAGUUCAAGUGCUUGGAUUAAGAUUCCUCCAAGGCUGUGUGGUAUGUCCUCAUAGAUCGAGUACAAGUGUUUAGAUGUUUCUUUCCUUUCAUGUAAUAGGCAACAGUUAGUCUUUCGAUUGUAAAGGGCUGUGACCCUACUUUAGUUUUCAAGAUAUUGUUUAGAUGGCCAUGUGAGACUUAGACUUCUGCUCCGUUUUUAAAUAGACUUUGAAUUUUUUGAUCUAAAUAAGUUUUUAAUUCUUCACUAUUUCUAUAUUAAAUUCAAUGAAAUGCUAUGAGGCUUGUACGAGGUUCUUUAGAGUCUUGUACAAUGUCUCGCAUCUAGGGGCUAGCCUUGGGUCGUGAAAAACAUGGUAUCAGAGCAAAAUAUUUUGGAAAUGGUUUUUAGGACUAAUGUCUCACAAACCACAUCUAGUAGAGUCUUGUUCAUCGGUGUGAGUCGCGACACAUCUAUGAGUAAGAGGCUAUAGGAAGUUAGGAACUUACACUUCUUUCAUUAUUCUUCAAGUCGUGCCAUAGAGUUUAACUCUAGAAUGUCUUUCUCUUAUUCCUCAUCCGAUGGUCUUUAGGGUAUGACCAUUUAAAAGUCUUAUAAUAGAAGGAGUGAGGGACGAAGGUUGGUUGUGAUGCAAAUUAUGGCUAUGUGACUUGUUAGAUUUGAGGUGAUAGAUUGUAAUGUUGUCCUUAGUAUGAAUGGGUUGCUUUAUGGUUAUGCUUAGAUGAUGGUAGAACCCGACUUAUUAUGAUGAAUUUUGAGGUAGGUUGAAAGAUUUGAUGAAUGAGGUGUUUUAGAAAUGUCUUGAUGGGAUGAGUGGGUAGACUCCUUUAAGAAGGGUAGAGGUGUACUUCACCUUUGGUUAGAAUCAUCUUGUGUGAUGAGUGUGAAGGUUUGGAGAUGACAUGAUCCGACCAUAAAAUGGAAAUAAGUGAAGUUUAAAGGAGCUUGUAUAGUCUUACUCCCAAGUGCGAGAUAAUAUGCUUAGAUGGUAAGGUCAUUGAGUGUCCUUGAUGAUUCAUUAGUUAGGCUUGCUUGAUUAUCUCACCUUAAGAGGUGUAGUGAGUUUGAGGGGUUUACACCCGGUGUGGUAGACUGAUAUGAGACCUUGAGUGGUGUUGGUAAUGUUGUUAGUGAGCAAGAGUUGCUUAAUGAGGAUAGUAUGUUUAAUAGUAAGGUUGUUGAGAGUUCCGAUAUCGUUAUCUCUUUCCUUCCAUUCCUAUUCAAACUUGAGACCAAGAGUUCCUUGUAACUUGUUUCAUGUUUUGGAGUCAUGUGUGAAAAUGAGUUUCCAUGGUCUCCUUAUGUUAUGCAUGUUUUGAUGAAAUUUAUGUUGUAUGAGAAAAUGAGUUUUCAUGAUUACAUUCCUCAUGUUGAUGUGCAUCUAUAAUGAGUUGCCUAAAUGCUUCAUGAGUUGACUUGUUGAGCAUGCUUAAACGUGUUUUUGAGAAAAAUUGCAUGAUUUGCCUUAUGAUAUUGUAAUGAGCAUGAUGUGGGUUGGAGAAGGAAGUUCCUCCAAUGAAAUGAUAAAUAUGAUGUUUUGGUGCAUAAUGAGUUCGUAGAUGUAGUUCCUAUUUCUUGGUAAUCCAUUGAGCUUAUUGAUGUGGAGUUGAUGUUUCCUCCUAUGAUUUGUGCAUUUUUUAUGAUGUUGCAUGCAUGAUGGGCUUCUAGUCUUGAGUCGUUAUCUCCUUAAUGUGUUUAAAGUGUCAUUCGAGGACGAAUGUUCCUAAGGGGAGGAUAAUGUAACGGCUCGCAAUAUGAUAGGUUGAAAUAGAGCCUCAUCGUGUGGAUUAGUGUAACCUUAAUUUGAUGUCUAGGCUGUUUUAGAACUAAUUUUGAGCAAGGAAGAAGUCUAGGGUGCAAGAAAGGGCCUAAGAUAGCAAGAUUGAGUGGAAUAAACGUUGUUCUUUGAUGGACUUUUGGCAAUGGGACUACUUGAUCGCCCAAGUUACUUGGCGAUAUUCAAAAAGUGCACUUGGUGUCGCCUAGUGGGCUGUCCCUUAGGCCUAGGUUCUGGAAAAAAGGCGAGCUAAGUCAUAGCUCGCCAACCAGGUUGGCAAAUCGCCCAUUAGCCCCCUUCAUCGCCUAGUGAACUGCCCAUUUUGUAAGCCUACUGGAAAAAUAGGCGAGCCAAGGGUGCACUUGGCGAGUCGCCUAGUACACUUGGCGAUCCGUUAGGUUCAAAGGGCGAGCAUAGUCGGGUAAGGUGAACUUUGUGGGUCCUUAAUUCUUUUCCAAAGUUGAGUCCUCAUUAUUUUAUUCCUUUCCUAGAAACUAUAUAACCCUUUUUGACUUGAAUCCCUUCAAUUAAGUCACUUCUAAUAGAAUUAAAAGAAGACCCAUCUACUCUCAAAUAUUUCUCUCUCUAAACUCAAAGAAGAAGAAGGGAUUCAUUGAAGCUAGGGUUUGUGGAUUCAAGGUGUUUCUUCCUCAAAUUUCUUGGGAAAUCACAAGCAAGGUAUGGUGAUCCUUCUUCUAGAGGGAGCUUUCACCCCUAGAGUGAAUUCAAAAGUAAUUUUCAAAGUUUUCAAGCUCAUGAAAAACCUAGGGUUUUACUCCAUCUCAUGGGUUCCUUCUUCGAACGAUUUCAAAUGAUUAUUAGAGACAUUUUAUGAUUGUAUUAGUGUUUAAUUGAUGAUUUAUGAUGAAAAUAAUCUAUGAACCCAUGAAUUCUAUCAAUUCCUAAAUUGUGCCUUUACGAAGUGGGUUUGUUGAUUAUGAAAGCUUAUGAAUGUAAUAUGUCUAAAUUUCUUUGGGUUAUUGAAUUGUAUCAUUAUCCAUGCCUUAAUUAUAGUGAAUUGUUUCUAUGUUGAUGAUUUGAGAUUCAUGGCGUUGAAGGCAUAGUAUGAGGAAUUGAGGUAUUAUCAUGAUAUUUUGUAUAUGAAUGUGAAUGAAAUGAAGUUAAGGUGAUCAUGUAUUGAAAGUAUUUGUGUUGUUAUUGAAAGGCUAUUUCUCAAUUUGACAGUCAUGAAUGUUUAUAAUAGAAUGUGAAGGGUUUCUAUGAUGAGAUGUUCUAACUUGAAUUGGUAGGCUUAGCCAUCCUAUUCUUGUAUAAAUGAAAGUAAUGGAAAUUGAUGUAUCUUGAAUUGGUAGGCUAAGGCAUCCUUUUCUUGUAUUGAUGAAUGUGACCUUGAAUGUAAUAUCAUGUCUUGAAUUGGUAGGCUCAUGCAUCCUCUUCUUGUAUAAUGAAUAUGUCUUGACUUGAUGAAUAUGAAUCGAUAGGCUAAUGGCAUUCCUUUCAUAAAUGAAUGAUGAAGUAUUUGAGGAUAUGUCUUGAACCGGUAGACCUAAUGUGAUGAUAAACUUGAAUUGGUAGACCCAAUGUUUGUGGCCCCUUUGAUGACUGAAAUGAUGAACCUUGUAUCGGUAGACCCAAAGGUUGGUGGCCCUUCUUGAGGAUUGAAAGAGCUAUCUAUAUAAUGUACCUUGAAUCGAUAGGCUUAUGGCAUUCCUUUCAUGUGUAAUGAUGUGUCUUAGGUGGAUAGGCCAAUGGCAUUCCUCUCAAGUACAUUAAUGUAUUGUCAAUGAAAUAGUCUUUGGGAAUGGAGGCUAAGCACCGAGUGGAUAUGGUAAGAUGGAAACUCUCCCAACGUUAGGCUAGGGUUCCAAUGAACAUCUUCCUAUCCCAUAAUUAUGUGCCCACCUAGGAUUUAGCCAGUGGAUUCCAUCCAAGCUAAAUACACCUAGUUCUACCUUAGGCAAAUAGGACACCUCUUUAUGGUAUGGGGCCAUAUGUAACUGGAUUCCAUGGUUAGCUGUCAUGGUCUAUGUCGGUUAAUGUCUAUUCCCAUAAUGUGAGAUGUGCUUUAUGGUUUCUUGAGAAGUUCUAUGAAGUGUGGGUGGUAGUAUGGGAUGACAUCCAUGCAUUGCACGAGUAGGCUUUGAGAAGGUGAUAAUGAGUCAUCUAAUUCUAAAUGACUAAUGUAUGAAAGUGUCCUUUAUGAAGUUAGUGAAGAAUGUUGACUUUUAUGCUUAAAUGUGAUUAUGCAUGCUAUACUUGGGUUGUAUUAUGAGUUAUUUUCCCUUGUCAUGACUUAUGAAAUGUUGAUGUCUCUUAUAUAUGAGUAUUGUGUAAAGAUGGAAAGGACGAAUGGUAAGUUCACUUUUGGUGACCUUAAUGUGGCACUUUAGUGUGGAUGGUGGUAUGGAACACUAUCCAUACAUUGCAGAAGGUAUAACAUGAGGGUUACUUGAGAUGAAGGACUAAUGUGAAGGUAAUGGUUUGCAUGUUGAUUAUGUUCAAAUGUGAUAAUAUGACUUGUAUGAUGAUUAUACUUAUAUUAGAUGUCUCUUACACUAUUGUACAUGAUAUUUCUAAAAAGUGGCAUAAUGCAUGGUUUCCAACCAAAAUGUCCCUUUUAAAGCAUGGUUUUGCAUGGUCAUCAUACUUGGUACAUUUUUAUGUACUAACACAUAUUUCUCUUAUUUUACUACAAGUGUAGGUUCCGGCAAGUGAGUUACUUCUCUCUAGUUCAAGUGUUGGGAUUGAGAUUCCUCCAAGGCUAAGUGGUAUGUCCUCAUAGAUCAAGGACAAGUGUUUAGAUGUUUCUUUCCUUUCAUGUAAUAGACAAUUGUUAGUCUUUCGAUUGUAAAGGGUCGUGACCCUACUUUAGUUUUCAAGGUAUUGUUUAGAUGGCCAUGUGAAACUUAGAUUUCUGCUGUGCUUUUCAAUAAAGUUUGAAUGUUUGGAUUUAAAUAAGUUUUUAAUUCCGCACUAUUUCUAUAUCAAAUGCAAUGUAAUGCUUGAGCCUUGUACGAGGGUCUUCGUAGUCUUGUACGCCAUGUCACAUACAAGGGCUAGCCUUGGGUCGUGACACCAUCGACCCUUCACAAACAUCCCAAUUGCUUAUAACUCUCAAAUAUCACUGGACGAGCAAUGACUACGCCCAAUACAACCAUCCACAAGUUCCUUUGUUCCUCUUGGAAACCUUUUAGACACUUGACAAAUUAAAACUCACAGGACCACACCAAAAACUGUGUAUGCUAUGUUUCAUUCAAACCUGCACCAACACACUUUCUAUACUUUACCUUCAAACUCCACAUUUCUAUUUAAGAGAUGUUAUAAUAUCUCCCCUUUGGGAACAUUCCUUGUCAAAUGGGACUCAAGCUAGAAUAAAUGGAGGAAGAAAAAAUAUAUACAACAUGAAUGCAAAUCUCAUAAAAAUGCAUAGAACCAAGAAGUAAUUGACCACAUUCUAGAUCAUGAACUUUAAAAUUGAUUUCAUGAAUGCAUUCAUAUGGAAAAUUGGUAAUACAUAAAAUACAAGAAUUUGGAAGAUUAAACAUGAGGAACUAAUACCUCAAUCUAAAACUAUAGUAAAGGGAAGAGAUGGGGGUAUUGUACGAAGAAGUAACUUCAUUAUUUCUAUACUUCCGGAAUUUACAAUCCAUAAUCUCAAUUCGAAUCUCUUCAUAAGAAACACUUUCCUUAACACCAAUACUCUGCAAUGGCACACCUAAAGUAGGAUCAUUAUUACACUUCUUCGAAAAUGAAACAUGGAACAUUGGAUGCAUCGAUGCUAAAUCAAAAGGCAAACCUAAUUCAUAAUUUACCUUCUUGAAAUAUCUCAAAAUUUGAUAUGAUUGAACAUAACUGGAAUAAGUUUGCACUUCUUCCCAAAUCUCAUCACACCCACCAUGUGUGAGAUUUUGAAAUAAACCUAAUCAUCAACAUUGAAUUUAAAAUCUCCUUCUAACAUCUACAUAGUAGUUUUGUCAACUUUGAAUUCGUUUCAACCUUUCUCUUAUAAGUGAAACCUUCUCCACAGCCUCAUGUGCCCAUUCGAGUCCUCCAAAAGAGACCUCACAAACAAUACAACAAAUAAUAGGAGACUUACAUCUACUACCAUAGAGAGUAUCAAAUGAAACCAUUUGAAUACUCGAGGGAUAACUAUUAUUAUAAGGAAACUCAAUUAAAGGCAAAUGAUCAUCACAAUUAUCCUUGAAGUAAAUCAAAAAAGUUGUUAACAUAACAUGCAAACCGUAAACGGUAUGCUCGGCAUGACCAUCGAUCUAAGGAUGAAAAGUUAUACUAAGCUUCACUUGAGUACAACGACUUUUCAGAAAUGAAUUCCAAAGUUGAAAAGUAAUUGAGUACCUCGUUCUAAAAGAUGGAUAAUGGCACUCCAUGAAACUUUAUCAUUUCCCGAAUAUAAAGCCUACCAUAGUCUUCAAGUAAAAAUAAGCUCGUGAUGGAAACAAAAUGUGUCGACUUAGUCAUGCGAUAAACGAUAACCCAAAUAGAAUCAUAUAGUCAAUGAGUAUGAGGUAAACGAGUAAUGAAGUCCAUAUUAAAAUAUUCUCACUUCCAAGUAGUAAUGCUAAUGUCUUGAAUCAAACCUCCUAGUUUUUUAAUCUCAACAUUACUUGUUGAUAAUUAGUAAACUUAGUGACAAACUCUACAUUGUCCUUCUUCAUCCUAUUAAACAUAUAUACCUCUCUCAAAUCACCAUACAUAUUGGUGGCUCCCGGUUAAAUAAAACAAUGAGAAUUCUAGGCAUAUGAUAAAAUUUGAUGCUUUUACUCAUCAACAUUUAGAACACAUAAUUGACCUUGGUUAAGGAACACAUUACCUCCCCCUUAGGAGAAAGCCUCAAUGGAUUUUCUAGAAACUACUUUCUUUAGUUCAACUAUGUUGGAUCAAGAUCUUGAUUGGCCUUCACAUUAAAUACAAGAGACAAUUCUAAGCCAUCUUAAACAAUGUUACCACCAUCCUAAGAACCAACUAAGAAAACAACCAAUCGAGCUAGUCUAUGCAAAUCAUGAACCCAAUCUUUUUUACCAUCUUCAAUGUGAGUGACACAACUAAUGUACAAUCGACUAAGAUCAUCGAAAACCAUAUCUGCCUUUCCUUGAUAAUAACCAAUGCUCAUAUCAUAAUCAUUCAACAAACCAAGCCACCUUAUUUAGUGAAGAUUCAAAUCUAUUUUCUUAAAUAUAUAUUGCAAAUACUUAUGAAUGGUGAACACAUCCACAUGAACACCAUAGAGAUAAUGCCACAAAAUAUUCUAAGUAAAUAUUAACGCCACCUAGUCCAAAUCGUGAGUCAGGUCGUUCUUUAUAUAAACGAUCAAUUGCCUUGAAAUAUGAGAAAUUACAUUCUUAUUUUUUUUUCAAAAAACCACAAAGGCAAAUUUAGAGCGUAGUUUGCCUCUUGAACUGGAUGAUGAGAGGUGGUCACCUGAGGGGUUCUGAUCCUAGAUGGAUCAUUCAACUUUUUAGAGCGUAGUUCUGCCAUGUGUUCUACUACCAGUUCAUCAUCAUCUCACUCCAUAGUAUGGGGUUCCUGCUGCUCACCCUCACUCUCCAAGGUGGUAAGGUAAGUACCAUGGAUGCCCUCACUGUCAGAGCUUGCCUCUGGUGACGCAAGUGCUUUUCCUUUACCUUUACCUUUUUCACCAAUCAUGGAAAGUUUCUUAGUUUUGCCUUCAGAUGUAGCUGUAUUCUCUUUUAAUUUAACUCAUUUUGCUUUCCCUUGCCGUGGCAGGUUUCUUCUAGCAACUUUUGAUCGAGCCAUUUCCGCAAAAUAUCAGGAACGAGUUAGAAAACUUUCAGCUAUAAUCACAGAAAAAGAAUUUCAAGAAAACUUGCCAACACUAUCGGCGAGUCGCCUAAUUGCUUAGGUGAACUCGAUCGAGCUCGCAAACAGGAUUAGCUAGAGAAGUUCAUACAAGUUGGUGAUGGGAAGAUUAUUCGGCAGGUUGCUGACGGCAUUCGGCGAGCAAGUGUUAGUUCGCCAAAAGUUACACUGCAAAUUAAGUUCAGGGAUACAGACUAAAGUUGAUCAAGAAAAACAUUUCGAUGAGUCGCCAAACACCUUUUGCCACUUUAGGCUUCUCGCUGAAAGUUACAGAGCCAAACAACAAGUAUAGCUUGAACUUAAAGGUGAGAUGGAAACAUUAGGCCAACUGCCGAGUAAUUCGGCGAGCUCGAUCCAGCUCGCCAAAUGACUCACCGUGCCUAAUCUCAAUCCAUAUUCUUGAAGUCAACCCCGCAACCCCAAAAAUAAAAUUGAAGUGUGCACAACUCAAAUUGCAGCAGAACCCAUAACACACAGUGCCUCGAGGUACUUAGACUUCUACCGAUUCAAAAUAAACAACAAGCAAGCAUAACCCUACGAACUGUUCUUCAUUUUACGCACAAAUUAGCAAGAUUUCAACAGUAGUACACUACGGGCAAGAUACUUAAAUUAUAACAGGUAAACAAACAUCUUGAUACUACCAGAGAGGCCCAACACACUUCAACAGGAUAAAAUCACUUGCAUAAGAGCAUAAAUACCAAAAGUAAAUGUAGGGUUUUGAAAACCAUCCUUUUCAUCCAUUAAAUAAAAACUGUGAGGUUAGGUGGCAAAUUAAUCCAAAUCCAGACACUGAUUAAUCAACUAAAAUACUUGCAAGAUGAGAAAAUUUUGGAAAUAUUAACUAGGUGAGAAUUUGCAAAGGUCGAGAGUGAGGGGAAAUGAAAAGGUUGAAAGUUUAAACCUUUGGCUUUAUAAAAACUAUCCAGAUCUCGCCCAUUCGGUGUUAUUAGUCGAAUUUGCCAAACUACUUAGUGGCACGCCUAACGGUCACUUACCUCGCCGAAAUGCAUGAACUUCCAGUUAAACUAGGAUUCAAAUCGGUGGACUAAUACAUGAUUUCCUACCAGAUCGGCGAUCCGCUAAUAAUUUCAUGAGUCCGCCGAGUUUUACAGAGUCCAAGUUGAAUUUUCCUUGAAUCCAACAGCGGGUUAGGUUAAGGUCAUGGACACCUUUGUCGAUUCGCUGACUAGGCCUUAAUCUUGCCAAUUCGUGCAUUUUUUAAAAUAGUUUCCUCACUUUGUCCUGCACAUUUAACACACCAUUAUUCUAAAAUAACGCAAAAUUCUAAAACUUUUGGUUGCCUCCCAAGAAGCGCCUUAUUUAUAGUCGUGGCACAACUUCCCCACUUAAUCUUGAUUUGUGGAGUGGAGACGAGACAACACAUGACCCAUUUGGGUUUCUAGUAGCUGAAUGGAUAUGAAAUGGGAAGCAUUUAUCUCAUUCAGCAUUGAAACAUUCUCUUUUAUCUCAUUCAACACCUUGUCAUGACUUUCGACCUUGUGAAGAAUAAGUGAGAGAAUCUCUUCUAUUUGUCCACCCUCAUUUAAAUUAGGCUUCAUAUGCUCUUUAGGGGGAGUGUACCAGCCUUUAUUUUUGCCCGGCGCUUCCAAUUCCAUGAUUUUUUUGGUAACUAGAUCUAGCUGGGUCAACAGUGUGGCCAAAUAUGGUCUUUCUCAGUCUCUUUGUUGGUCAUUACCAAGUUAUCAAGAUGAUGGGCUGCUAUUACAUAGGGUAAUCGUGAGAGACCCCCCAGAAAUAUUUGAUCAACCAUUCUUCUAUCUUUUGGGCCAAGACCUUUGUAGAAGCAGUCCAAUGGCACGUUUUAUGAAAUUCCAUGAGUUGGGUGGUGCAGGAAGAUUGACUUAAAUUUCAGCCACAACUCAUGGAUUGACUCCCUCUCCAAUUGUCUGAAACAUAGGAUGUGAUCCCUAAGAGACAUCAUUCUCAGAAGAGACAAAUCCAUUUGAUCACCGCCUCUAUCAGACAUGAUCCACUUUCCUAUUCAAAACAAACGAGCAAAACAAAGCUAAAAAUUAAGUAAGUAAAACUACAACUAACAAGAACGAAAAUCCUACUUAACUACAAAUUCUCAAAUAACACCACUCCCUGGUAGUGGCGCCAUUUUGAUGUUUGACAUAAUCAAUUGAAACUAUUUAUGUUCAAGUGCCAACAAUCGUGUGUAGUAACCCAACCAAGGGUUGGGAUCGUUCCCACAUGGAUUGGUUUUGAGAAUUAAUAGAAAAAUAAAAUCAAGUUCUAAUUAGUCAUAGCUAUAAAUAUUAACGAAUAAAAACAUACUAAAUCUAAGGGGUGACACAAGCGUUAAUUAUCAAUGGGGCUUUGUAUUAAUUAAAAACUAAAAAGAGCAAAAAUAUAAGGAAACGAGAUAUGGAGACGGGAUUCUUGGGAUGUGAUAGGAAUACGGGUUAAACUAAAUUGUCAGGUACAUGCUUUUGAUAGUAAAUUGUUGAGUAUUAGUGAGUAGGCUAGACUAUAGUGCGGGUAAAUUCUCUCUCGAGCAACUUACACCGAAUCAACUCAGUUUCUCUCAAACACCGAGUUGCCGCAUUAAGCACAGCCUCCGCCUUAGCCCAUUCACUCUCUCGAGCUAAAUGUGUGGGAGAAGGACUAGGAUUCACUCUCUCAAGCUGAACCCAUGUCGACCCAAUACCACCGGCUAUCAAUUUAGUAGUCUUGGUUGUACGACCUCUUUUUCGAGCAAGCCAAAACCACUAAGAUGAAAUCAUAUUUGCAACUACAAUCUCAUUAAGUUCAUACACAACUACUAAACGAAAUCACAUUUAAACAACAAAUAAACCAUCAACAAGAAAGACCUAACAGAUAAUUUAGCCCAUAUUCACAAAAUCACACCCCAAGAAUUGGGGUUUUAGCUAGACAUGUAAAAGAGAUAAAAAUUUAUACCAAUAUCAGUUUCUCGAAACUGGGUAUGACGAAUUAAGUCUUAAAACACGUUAAGAGUGAAGAAUCUUCGAGACCAACAUCCAAUUUCAUGGAGUUGAAACCCUUUGAAUGUUCAAAGUCUUAGAAAAAAGUCUCCAAAACCCUCUAAAACUUAAACUCUCCCAAAAACUAAAAAAAGUUCUAAUAAUAGAAGUGAUACUCAACUAGAAAUUUAUAACCAGUGUUUAUAGUGUUUGAAAAUUUGUGUUGUGGAGGACUAUUCGGCGUAGGUAGUCUGGAUCGCGCUCGGCGAUCUACCUUUUGGUCGAUUUCAUCACCUUUCAACUUUAUCCUUCAGCCUCUUUGCGUUUUGAGUAGUUGCGCGAUAUGGUACUUCUUUGCGAAACUGCUCGGCAACACACUGACUGGUCCAUUUCAUCGCCAACUUGAUCUUUCCCUUCAGGGAUCAAAACACUGGAACAAAAAGGUGAUCUCCAGGCCGAUCGACGACUCGCCAACUGGGCUCGGCGAUCUUUAGGCCUUCAUUUCUUCGUUCUCUUCAUCCACAUUGUUCCUUCUUGCCAAGUAGUGUCCAUGCUUUGCCUGAAACUCUAAAUACCUGAAUCUUAUGGAUUUACAUCAGAUAUUGAGAAAAAAUAUGCAUUUGAGGACAUUAAUUCUAUCAAAAUAUAGUCUUACAUGUGUACAAUUUGUGGACUCAUCAGGACUCGACAUGAAACCCUAGGUUGAAUACUUCUUCUUCAACUUUUCUGGAGAGAAAAAUAUUUUGAGAGGAAGAUUUGUUCUUCUUUUGUAAAAUUUGAGAGAAUAAUUUUCAAUUGGGAAAUUUUGGGGAUAAAGCACUUAUAUAGGGGUUUUUGUUAAGGGUAAAACGACAUAGUACUAGGCUAGACUAAUUAGGAAAAGACCCAACUACCCGUCGAAUAAGUGGCAACCUUUGACCUACUGACCUUGACCAAAGGACCGUGGUUUGAUCGACAGUUUGUCAUGCAAGCCCUUCAUCUUCAUCAGAGACUGGACUUUGAGGCCAUGAUACACGGACAAUAAACCCAUAGAUGGUCUGAUGGUCCAAGAUGUGGUUCAUGGUCCUCAGGCCUAUUUGGGCGGCCAAUCCAUGGACCAAACCUACUAUCCAUGGCUCAGUCCAUGAGUCGUGGUUGUACUAUGUUUGUUGGAACCAAUUUUUUCUUGGAAACUCAAACGUUGCCAUUUCUCGAAUUUGAGGUGUUACAAAUUUCAGUCAAAUAGAUUCUUGUGAGAUGUUUUUGAAGACGAGCAGUUGACAAAUAUCCACAAAGUUUUGAAGGUGUUCAUGAGGAAACCCAUGAGCUAAACCACCCCCGAGCAUUCGUCUCAUUUGGAGAAGUUGAAGCAUUAUUCCGAUUACAUGGAACAAUGCUCUCCAUAUUGUUGAAUGUAACAAAAGAGCUCCAUUGGUCUUAAUGAAAUUCAUGUGCAUGUCAUUCAACUCAUCCAUCUGAUAGUUUUGCUUGUAUUGACUAGCGUCAUCACUACCAUUGUCACUAAUGUUUAUGCUUGUAAAUAAGAAAUACUACAAACUCAAGCAACAAUCUACUACAACUCAAAAAGUUUGCAAACUAACUUCACUAAUUUAAUUCUUAGCUACCAUUCCCCGAUGACGGUGCCAUUUUUAAUAAUUCUCAAAUUAACCUCGAAAACAAUUAGAAGGGUAAGAGGUCAUUGUCAAUAAAAAAACCCAACAAAGAGUCGAGGUCGUAUCCCACAAAGAAUGGUUUAGGGAUAAAAUUUAACUUGGAAUAGUAAUAAUUUAUAGCAAGAGAGUGGAUGAUCCCACAAAUUUACUAAAAUGGUUUGAAGUAUCAAGUAUCACAGUUAAAUUAAAAUUAGAAAUUCAAGCAAGUAAGAAGUAAUCUAGAGGUGUGGCAAUCGGUAUCAAUGUCACGUAGGGGUUAUUGUGUCACUCAAUAGUUCUAAACAAUCAUGGAUAGGUUGGGUCAUCUUCAAUGACACUAAUCUUCUUCCAAUCUCAUAGUACCAAAUCAUAGAAUCUCAUUACAAUCUCAUCUAUCUGAAUCACAAAUCAAACAUUACCUUAGGGGAAUAUCUCUUUCGAUCAUAUUUGAGCAACUAGAUCUGAACCAUAAUAUCUCUUUUGAGCAAACCAGAGAAAUCAAAUCUUUAUUGCAUGAAUUAAACUAAUUACCCAGUCCAAUUGAUCUCUUUGGAGCAUCAAUCAAAGAUCGAGAAUAGGAUUAAGUUUGCAACCUUAAAUCAUUAAUUAGCCCCAUGAUAAUUAUCUUAAAUCCAUGAAUGCACAAUAGUAAAAAGAGCAAAUACAAAACCCAUUACAUUAAAUAAGAACCCAGUCCCAUAGUUACGCCCCUAGUUUGGGGUUUUAGCCAUGCAUCCAAAAAGUAAGGAAAUUAUACCUAUAAUGAUAGCAGCAAUGAAUGUGUUGAAAUACAUCAAUUAUAAUCAACACUCAAUUUGAUUUCAAUUGUUAAUUAUCAAUUUCAAGAGUGCAAUCUAAAACUCGAAUACUAAAUAUGUUUCUCACAAUGUAAAAAGUUGCAAAACUUCUCCAAAAGUAAUAUGCACAAAUCUCUUAAAAAAUCUGAUACAAAAUUUGAUACCUUUUCUCUCCCUUUUUGGCUAUUUAUAAUUUUUCAAAAUUUGGCUUAAAAUUCAAUACGGAACCAACUCAACAACAUUAUUUGUAACACCUAAUAUUUUGAAAAGGGAAUAGAUGCAUAAAUAUUUGGCUACAGUCUUAGGUUUACAAGACCAUUUUAUGGUUUCUAGAACAUUCUACGGGUCAUAGACCAGUCUCGUAAAAAGGGGGAAAUAUAUAUAUUUAUAAUCAAUUUCCACUACCUUCUCCUAUGGUUGCCUAGGAUAGAAUAUCGUAUCGUUUAUUAAUUAUAGAUGUCUUCCAUAGAAGCUAUCAAGAUGUAGUGAAAUUUUAUGGUUAAAGUUGUGUUUUACUAUUAGGCUCUACGUAACGUAGAAGGGUUUCAUCAAAAUUGGGUAAAUUUUAAGGUCCCAGUACUUCGUCUGUGGUUGACUAGUAUGGACCACUUUUUAUGGUCUGUUGAUCGGACUUGUAGACCAGUCUGGCAGUUAAUUCGCAGGGGCUUCUAGGUAUUUUCUUAAAUGUUUUAAGCCUAUUCUAUGUCAUUUUGUCCUUUAUCCCAAACCCUAUAUAAAGACUUUAAGUCCUAUAUUUACCUACUUUAAACCCAUUCUCCUAUUUCUCCAAGACCAAACAAAAUUCAUACUCACAAAUUACCUCUCAACCUAAGGAAGACGAAGAAGCUAAGGUUCACUCGAAAGUCUUCAAUUUACCAUUCAUCUUGGGCUUUGAGUAGCAAGGUGUGUCGGUAUUUACCCAUGGAGUCCAUUUCUCCAUGGGUCCCAAGGUUUUCAAUUUCUCAAAUCAUUUCAACUGAUCAAAUUAGGGUUCUUUUAGUCCUAUAUGGGUCUCAUAUAAUUGUGAUUUUUAUUGUUGUUUGAAUCUCCUAGUUCAAGAUUUAAGGUAAAUUACAUGAUAUCUAGUUGUAUUAGUAUGAAUCUAAUCAUAUCCAUGACUUUUAAUUAUGAACUUAUAAUGAACCCAUGAAUAGUGAAUUUUCAAGGAUUAUGCAUGUCUUAUGAAAAUGAUAUUUAUGAUGACAGGGUGUUUUUAAAUAAAAGUGUCAAUGUUGUUGUGAAAGUUUUUCUUACAUGCAAAUAUGAUCAUGAUUGUGAACGGUAUUUCUCACGUUUGGAUUCACAUUGGUGAAAGGUUUUCUCACCUAUGCUUGUCAUAUCAUUUAAGGAGCUAUUCUACAUUUUGAUGUUUAUGAUAUGGAUUAGGUAUUAUCAUUACCUUUUCUAUGUUAUAAUGAUAUAUGAUUUUUAUCUAUUUUGUUGGGAUUUAAACUUAGCGCCGAAAUGGCUUAUAGGUGGAGGCUCAAAUAGGGUAGUCUCUAGUAGCAAUCUCUAGUCCCUAACUACAUGCCCCCGUAGGAUUGUCUUAAAUGACCUAGCUAGUGAAUCCACUUUAGCAAAAGAUGAUGUGUACAGAUGUUAUCCUGGCAAGUAGAAUCCCUAUCCUUUGGUAUGAGGGAUAUAUCGGAUUCCAUGGAGUAACUCUCAUGGUCUUAUUGUCAGCUAAAGCUAGUAUCAAACAAAAACAAUUAUGUUUCUUCAAAGAUUUCUUAUGUCUCGUAUUUUAAAUUUAUUGACCAUAUCAUGAGUUAUAUGUUGUAUCUUAUUUAAAGUUUCUGAAUGUUCAAAUGUUGGUCAUGCAUUACAUGUUUUAAGCUAUCUAUGGCAUCAUGUCUAUUUAUGCAUACUUCUCCAUACUUAGUACAUUCCACGUACUAAUGCAUGGUUGUGCCUACAUUGUUGAAUUAAUGUUGGGUCUGACCUCCUACCUCUCACACUCAUGGUUAGUUGAUCAUUCUAUGGAUUCUAAAAUUGGUGAGUCUGCAUGUUUUGAGGAUCAUGACACUUCUACUUGCUUUAUGUCUUUCUUGUUAUUGGAUGAUGAAUGUGAUGUAUGGAUUACGUCCCGACCACUCCUUUUGAUGUCUAAAUGCCUUUUCUAGACUAUUUUCGUAUCACAACCCAAGGCAAGCCCAUAGAUGCGACACGGCGUACUUGACCUCGAAGGGGUCUCAUACAUGCCUCAUAGCAUUUCAUUGCAUUCGAUAAUAGGAAUAGUAUGGAAUUAAAACUUAUUUAAAAUCCAUACAAUCAAAAUACUUAUUUAAAACACUUCAAAACACAGCGGAAGUCUAUUGUCUCACAUGACCAUCUAAAAACAACAUUCGAAACAAAAGUAGGCUCACGACCCUUUAGAAUGGACUAGUCUAACAAUAGUCUUUUACAUGAAAUGAAAUGAAACUUUAAGUACUUGUCCUCGAUCUAUCAGGACAUACCACUUAGUCUUGGAGAACCUCAAAUCAAAGCAUCAACUAGAGAAAAAGUAACCCACUUGCCGGAACAUACGCUUGUAGUAAAACAUGAAGAAAUAUGGGUUAGCACAAUUAAGUACUAAGUAUGACGGAUAUGCAAAAACAAUGCUUCAAAUGGACAUUUUAUUUGAAAAUCAUGCUUUUAAGCCAUUUUGAUAAAACUUCAUGAACAUAAGUAUAAGAGGCAUAAUUUUCAAACAUACCCAACAUACAGGUCAUUUCAUCACAAUAGAGGUAUAAUCAACAUAUAACCUAUUACCUUCACAUUAGGCCUUCACCUCAAGCAACCCUCAUGCUAUACCUUGUGAAAUGUAUGGAUAGCAUCCAAUACCACCAUCCACACUAAAUUACCACAUUAAGGUCACAAAAAGUGAACUUACCAUUCAACCCUUCCACCUUUACACAAUACUCAUACAUAAGAGACAUAAACAUUUCAUAAGUCAUAUCAUCACAUAAGGACCAUCAUCUAGGGCAACACUAAGUCAUACUUGUGCAAUGUAUGAGUAGCAUCCCAUACUACUACUAACACUAUGUACUCUUUUAGAGCUACCAUAGACAAGGCACAUUCAUAAUAAUUAAUUCAUAACAAGGAAGUAACUCACAAUACAAUCCACGUAUAGCAUGCGUCAUUACAUUUUAAGCAUAUAAGAGUCAACAUUCUUCAUUAGCUUCAUUUAGAGAACUUUCAUACAUUAGUCAUUAAGACCUUAGAAAACUCACUAUGACCCUCUUAAAUCCUAGUCGUGCAAUGCAUGGAUGGUAUCCAUAUUACCACCUACACUUCAUAGAACUCCUCAAGAAACCAUAAUGCACAUCUUACAUGAUGGGAAUAGGCUCUAACCAACAUAGACCAUGGGAGCAUACCCUGGAAUUCAGUGUCAUAUGGUUCCACACCAUAAAGAGGUGGUCUACUUGCCUGAGGUAGGACCAUAACAUUUUAGCUUGGAUGGAAUCCACUAGAUAAUAUCCUAUGUGGUCACAUAGUUAUGGGAUAGGAAGAUGUUCAUUGGAAACCUAGCCUAACAUUGGGAGAUUUUCCAUCUUACCAAAUCCACUCGGUGCUUAGCCUCCAUUCCCAUAGGGUAUUUCAUUUACAUUACAUUAUUGUGCUUGAGAGGAAUGACAUUGGCCUAUCAACCUAAGACACAUCAUUACACAUGAAAGGAAUGCCAUAAGCCUAUCGAUUCAUGGUACAUUGCAUGGAUAGCUCAUUGAAUCCUCAAGAAGGGCCACAAACAUUGGGUCUACCGAUACAAUGUUCAUCAUUUCACACAUGAAAGGGCUACCAACACUACGACUACCGAUUCAAGGUUUAUCAUCACAGUAGUUUCUAGACUCAUCAUGAAGGGCCACCAACGCUAGGUCUACAGGUUCAAGACAUAGCCUAGAAUACUUUAUCAUACAUUUAUCAAAGGAAUGCCAUAAGCCUAUCGAUUCAGAUUGAUCAAGUCAAGACACACGCAUUAGUCAAUUCUGAAAGGAAUGCCAUAAGCCCAUCAUUCAUAUUCAACAAUCAACUAUACUUUAAUUCAUUCAAGAAGAGGAUGCAUAUGCCUACCAAUUCAUGAUAUAUUAUUACAUUACUUUCAUUUAUACAAGAAUAGGAUGCCUAAGCCUACCAAUUCAAAAUAUACAAUACAUAGAAGGAAACCCUUCACAUUCCACCAUCAUCAUUCAUAAGUGUUAAUUGAGAAUAUGCUUUCAAUCAUAACACUAUUACAUUCUAAACAUGAUCAUCCUACUAUCAUUGCAUUCAAAUACCUAUCCUUUACAUCAUAUUCAUACCUUAACCUUCAUACAUUGCCUUUUAAGGCCACGGAUCACAUUCUCCCACACACCUUAGAGAAAUACAAUUAGGCAAGAGUAAAAACAUAAUUUCAACAUUCUAUAUCCAUAUACACCUAAACAAUUCACAUACUUCAUAAUCAAUCAAAUCCCAAUCACAAAUCACAACUUAGGAAUUUGGGGGAAAACAUGGGUUCUAGGAAGUAAUCAUCUUAAUUCAUCUUUGAAUCCACAAUUCAUUCAUAAUUCAAUGUAAUAAAGCCUUUAGAAAACAUUUAGAAUCGAACCCAUGCAUAGAUUAAAAUCUAGGGUUUUUGGGGAAAUAUUGGAGACUUGAAAUCACUUUUGAAAUUGGCUCCUUGAAAGAAACUAAGUCAAGGAUGAAGACAACCAUACCUUUAAUGGAAGAAAUCCACGAAAAUACCUUGAAAAACUUGAAGAUUUGACCUUGAGAGCUUGAAUCCUUCACCUCCAAUGGAGGUUUAUUAGAUAGAGAACCUUUAGAGGGGAGGUUUCUAACUUUGGGGUGAUUUGAAAAAAAAAGAAUUUUAAAAUAGAGUUUAAUACUUUAAAAACUCUUAAAAUGUCUUAAUGAACCAAUAAAAACCGUUCAUUAACUAAACUAGACUUAAAAAUGAAUUUACCAAAACACCCUCACCAUGGUCGAGUCUUGACAGCAAACACAUGUGCCAUCCACGAACCCCCACCAACGGACCGUGGGUUGGACCAUGGGCCGUUCUGUCAAACAGUGGUUUGGUUCAGUAACUCCCACUUUGGGACCUUGACCCAUGAAAGCCAUCCACAGGGAGUGGACGGACCUACGGGGUGUAGGUCCCAUUCGUGGUUCACUAAAUUUUUGGCAGCUUUUUGGUUUAUCGUGGUCUUGGGGGUUAGGCUUUAGAAUCCUCCUUAAGGACCCCUAGGGUGGUCCUUGGGGAGUCAUACCUUAACGUUUAACCACUAAACCCCUCAACCUAAGCUUGGGACAAUAUUUUACCACCUCAAACCUCACUACAACUCAAGCACACACAAGUUAGGCUCUAGUUUCACCUAUUCGUUUUACGGGUCGUUACAUUAUCCCAUCAUUAGGAACAUUCGUCGUCGAAUGAUACUUAAAGCAUAUUAAGGGGUUAACGACUCAAGAAUAGCAGCCCAUCAUGCUUGCAACAUCAUUAACAAUGCAAAAACUAGGAAGAAACAACAACUCACAUCAAUAAGCGCAAUGCAAUACAAGAAAGUAGGAACUACUUCUACAAACUCAUUGUGCACAAAAACAUCACAUUUCUCAUUUCGUUGGAGGAAUUUCCUUCUCCAAAUCACAUCAUGCUCAUUACAACAUCAUAAGGCAACACAUUAAACUCUUUUCGAAAACAUAUUUAAGCAUACUCAACAAGUCAACUCACGAAGCAUUUAGGCAACUCCCUAUUGGUACAUAUUAACAUGAGGAACACAAUCAUGCAAACUUAUUUUCUCAUAAAACAUAAGUUCAUCAAACCAUGCAUAACAUAAAGAGAUCAUGGAAACACAUUUUCACACAUGCCUCCAAAACAUGAAACAAGCUACAAGGAACUCUUGAUCUCAAGCUUGAAUAGGAAUACAAGAAAGUGAUAAAGAAUAUUUGAACUGUCAACAAACAUACUAUUCAAUAUACCAUAUCCCCCUUAAGGGUAAACCCAUUCUAAGGCAAACAUGGAAAUAACAUAGGAACCUUAACAAGACAUUCACAACCAUAAGGAACUCUCACAUAUCGGUGCCUUCAUCUGGAUUACCUAAUUUGUCCUUGUUAGCUUGAAGAACAUAGAAACGGUUUCUCUUUGGGGCAUUGGGAUCCGGCCUAUCAAAGAGAAGCUUAUUUAGCCUCUCUUCCUUUGGACAUAAGAGUAGGGCAAUUUCUCACCUGAUGAUCACUUUUUCUGCACCCAUAGCAUCCACUAGUACCAGUUAGGCACUUCCCAAAAUGUUUCUUUCCACAAGUGGUUGAAGUAGGUUAAGAAAAUUGAGGUCCACCACUUUUCACUUGGUUAACCGUAGGAAUUCUUGAAGAAUCUUGGUUUGGAGCUCUCUUCUUGAACCUAGGUUGACCUUGCUCAUCUGGACUAGACCUCUUCAACUCCCUAUUCUUCCCCUUGAGUUUGGACACCUCACUAGAUUGAGCAUACACCAUAAGUCUAGAAAUGUUCAUAUCAUCAUGGAGCAUCGUCGUACGACACUAUUCCUAUACUAGGUCGGAUACAUUGAUCACAAAAUGACUCAUCUCAUCCCUAGGGUUUGACAGCAAAGAUGGAGCAUAAAUAGACAAUUCGGUAAAUUUCAAGGAGUACUCUUGGACAUUCAUGUUACAUUGCCUAAGGUUGAUAAAAUCCUCCAUCUUAACCUCCCUCUUCUCACGGGGAAAGAACCUACCAGGGAAUGCUUCCUUGAACAAUUCCCAAUCUAUACAUCUCGCUCCUACCGGCCUAUUAUUCUUCCAUUGAGUAAACCAAAUUUGGGCAACAUCUUUCAAUCGGUAGGUGGAAAGUUCCUCUUUCUCAACCGAAGUCACUCCCAUGGCAUUGACUAUCUUAUAUACCUCAUCCAAAAAGUCUUGGGGAUCCUCUCCCACCUUGGAACCUAUAAAAUCCAGAGGGCUCAUCUUCACAUAGUCCCUCAACCUAGAAGCCAUAGUACUCCCAAUAGCAUUCACUCUAGGUCCCACAUCUCUAGUAACGUGGACUGUCAUAGCUUGGGUUAAGGUUAGAAAAGCCGACCUAAUUUCAUCAUUAGUCAUGGCCGGUGCAUCAACCGGGACUUGGUUGUCUUGAGGAACUUGUUCAGCUUGAAGAUCUUGGGGAAUAACUCCCUCAUUCACCACCUCCUCUUCCACUCUCCUUGCGGGAGUCCUUCUUGUAUUCAUAGGCUAUAAACACAAGAGAAUAAUUAGGAAAAGGAUACUAAUAGAAUAAACUCUAAGGCACAACUUCAAGAAUAAUGAGAGAAGUGUAACUUCCUAUAGCCUCUCACUCAUAUAUGUGUCGCGACUCACACGGAUGAACAAGACUCUAUUAGACGUGGCUUGUGAGACAUCAACCUAAAACCUUUUCCAAAAUCUAGUGCUCUGAUACCAUGUUUGUCACGACCCAAGGCUAUCCCCUAGAUGCGACACGGCGUACUUGACCCCGACGAAGUCUCAUACUAGGCUCAUAGCAUUUCAUUGCAUUCGAUAAUAGAAAUAGUAUGAAAUUAAAAAUUAUUUAAAAAUGCUCAUUUAAAACACUUGAAAAGACAGCGGAAGUCUAUUGUCUCACAUAGCCAUUUAAAAAUAACAUUCGAAACAAAAGUAGGGUCACGAUCCUUUACAAUAGAAAAGUCUAACAAUAGUCUUUUACAAGAAAAGAAAUGAAACUUUGAGUACUUGUCCUCGAUCUAUCAGGACAUACCACUUAGUUUUGGAGAACCUCAAAUCCAAGCUUCAACUAGAGAGAAAGUAACUCAGUUGCCGGAACCUACACUUGUAGUAAAACAUGAAAAAAUAUGGGUUAGCACAAUAAAGUACUAAGUAUUAUAGCCAUGCAAAAACCAUACUAAAAACGGACAUUUUAUUUGAAAAUCAUGCUUUUAUGCCAUUUUGAUAAAACUUCAAAAACAUAAGUAUAAGAUGUAUAAUAUUCAAACAUAUCCAACAUAAAAGUCAUUUAAUCACAAUAGAGGCAUAAUAAACAUAUAACCCAUUACCUUCACAUUAAGCCUUCACCUCAAGUAACCCUCAUGCUCUACCUUGUGCAAUGUAUGGAUAGCGUCCCAUACCACCAUCCACACUAAAGUACCACAUUAAGGUCACCAAAAGAGAACUUACCACUCAACCUUUCCACCUUUACACAAUACUCAUACAUUGACAUAAACAUUUCAUAAGUCAUAUCAUCACAUAAGGACCAUCAUCUAGGGUAACUCUAAGUCAUACUUGUGCAAUGUAUGAGUAGCAUCCCAUACUACUACUCACACUAAGUAUUCUUUAGAGUCACCAUAGACAAGACACAUUCAUACUCAUGAAGUCACAACAAGGAAGUAACUCAUAAUACAAUCCAAGUAUAGCAUGCAUCAUUNNNNNNNNNNNNNNNNNNNNNNNNNNNNNNNNNNNNNNNNNNNNNNNNNNNNNNNNNNNNNNNNNNNNNNNNNNNNNNNNNNNNNNNNNNNNNNNNNNNNNNNNNNNNNNNNNNNNNNNNNNNNNNNNNNNNNNNNNNNNNNNNNNNNNNNNNNNNNNNNNNNNGACCACCCACACUUAACAGAACUCCUCAAGAAACCAUAAUGCACAUCUAACAUGAUGGGAAUAGGCAUUAACCGACAUAGACCAUGAGAGAAAACCAUGGAAUCGAGUGUUAAAUAGCCCCACACCAUAAAGAGGUGGUCUACUUGCCUGAGGUUGGACCGAUAACAUUUUAGCUUGGAUGGAAUCCACUAGCUAAUAUCCUAUGUGAGCACAUAGUUAUGGGAUAGGAAGAUGUUCGUUGGAACCCUAGCCUAACAUUGGGAGAGUUUCCAUCUUACAAUAUCAACUCGGCGCUUAGCCUCCAUUCCCAUAGAAUAUUUAAUUUACAUUGCAUUAUUGUGCUUGAGUGGAAUGCCAUUUGCCUAUCAACCCAAGAGACAUCAUUACACAUGAAAGGAAUGUCAUAAGCCUAUCGAUUCAUGGUACAUUACAUGGAUAGCUCAUAAAAUCCUCAAGAAGGGCUACUUACAUUGGGUCUACCGAUACAAGCUUCAUCAUUUCACACAUGAAAGGGCUACCAACACUAGGAGUACCGAUUCAAGGUUUAUCAUCCCAUUAGUUUCUAGACUCAUCAUGAAAGGCCACUAACACUAGGUUUAUCGACAAAGCAUAGAAUACUUCAUCAUUAAUUUAUGAAAGGAAUGCCAUAAGCCUAUCGAUUCAUAUUCAUCAAGUUAAGACACACUCAUUAGUCAUUUAUGAAAGGACUGCCAUAAGCAUAUCGAUUCAUAUUCAACAAUCAAGUAUACUUUCAUUCAUUCAAGAAGAGUAUACAUAUGCUUACCAAUUCAAGAUACAUUUUCACAUUACUUUCAUUUAUACAAGAAUAGGAUGCCUAAGCCUUCCAAUUCAAGAAAUACAAUACAUAGAAGGAAACCCUUCACAUUCCAUCAUCAUCAUUCAUAAGUGUUAAUUGAGAAUGUGCUUUUAAUCAUAACACUAUUACAUUCUAAACAUGACCAUCACACUAUUAUUGAAUUUACAUACAUAUCCUUCACAUCAUAUUUAUACCUAACCUUCAUUCCUUGCCUUUCAAGGUCGUGGAUCAAAUUCACCAACACACCUUAUAUCAAUACAAUUAGGAAAGAGUAAUAAUAUAAUUUCAACAUUCUAUAUUCAUAUACACAGAAACAAUUUACAUGCUUCAUAAUCAAUCAAAUCUCAAUCACAUAUCACAACUUAUGAAUUUGUGGGAAAACAUGGGUUCUUGGAUGAAAUCAUCGUAAUUCAUCUUCAAAUCCAAAAUUCAUUCAUAAUUAAAUGCAAUAAAGCCUUUAGAAAACGUUUAGAAUCGAACCCAUGCAUAGAUUGAAAUCUAGGGUUUUUGGGGAAACAUUGGAGACUUGAAAUCACUAUUGAAAUUGGCUCGUUGAAAGAAAUUAAGUCAAGGAUGAAGACCACCAUACCUUUAAUGGAAGAAAUCCACGAAAAUACCUUGAAAAACUUUAAGAUUUGACCUUGAGAUCUUGAAUCCUUCACCUCCAAUGGAGGUUUCUUAGGGAGAGAACUUUUGGAGGGGAGGUUUCUAACUUUGGGGUUAUUUGAAAAAAUGAAUUCUAAAAUAAAGUUUAAUACUUUCAAAACUCUUAAAAUGUCUUAAUGAACCAAUAAAAACCGUUCAUUAACUAGACUAGACUUAAAAAUGAAUUUAUCAAAACACCCUCACCAUGGUCGAGUCUUGACAGCACACACAUGUGCCAUCCACGAACCCCCACCAACGGACCGUGGGUUGGACCAUGGACCGUUCUGUCAAACAGUGGUUUGGUUCAGCAACUCCCACUUUGGGACCUGAACCCAUGAAAGCCAUCCACGGGGAUUGAACGGACCUACGGGCCGUAGGUCCCAUCCGUGGUUCACUAAAAUUUUGGCAGCUUUUUGGUUUCUCGUGGUCUUGGGGGUUAGGGUUUAGAAUCCUCCUUAAGGACCCCUAAGGUGGUCCUUGGGGAUUCAUACCUUGACGUUUAACCACUAAAUCCCUCAACCUAAGCUUGGGACAAUAUUUUACCACCUCAAACCUCACUCCAACUCUAGCACACACUAGUUAGGCUCUAGUUUCACCUAUUCAUUUUACGGGUCGUUACAUUAUCCCAUAAUUAGGAACAUUCGUCCUCGAAUGACACUUAAAGCAUAUUAAGGGGUUAAUGACUCGAGAAUAGCAGCCCAUCAUGCAUGCAACAUCAUUAACAAUGCAAAAACUAGGAAGAAACAACAACUCCACAUCAAUAAGCGCAAUGCAAUACAAGAAAGUGGGAACUACUUCUACAAAUUCAUUGUGCACAAAAACAUCACAUUUCUCAUUUCGUUGGAGGAAUUUCCUUCUCCAAAUCACAUCAUGCUCAUUACAACAUCAUAAGGUAACAUAUUAAACUCUUUUCGAAAACAUAUUUAAGCAUACUCAACAAGUCAAUUCACGAAGCAUUUAGGCAACUCCAUAUUGGUACAUAUUAACAUGAGGAACACAAUCAUGCAAACUCAUUUUCUCAUAAAACAUAAGUUCAUCAAACCAUGCAUAACAUAAAGAGAUCGUGGAAACACAUUUUCACACAUGCCUCCAAAACAUGAAACAAGCUACAAGGAACUCUUGAUCUAAAGCUUGAAUAGGAAUACAAGAAAGUGAUAAGGAUAUUAGAACUCUCAACAAACAUACUAUUCAAUAUACCAUAUCCCCCUUAAGGGUAAACCCAUUCUAAGGCAAACAUGGAAAUAACAUAGGAACCUUACCAAGACAUUCACAACCAUAAGGAACUCUCACAUAUCGGUGCCUUCAUCUGGAUUACCUAAUUUGUCCUUGUUAGCUUGAAGAACAUAGAAACGGUUUCUCUUUGGGGCAUUGGGAUCCGGCCUAUCAAGAGAAGCUUAUUUGGCCUCUCUUCCUUUGGCCGUAAGAGUAGGGCAAUUUCUCACUUGAUGAUCACUUUUUCCGCACACAUAGCAUCCACUAGUACCGGUUAGGCACUUCCCAAAAUGUUUCUUUCCACAAGGAGUGGAAGUAGGUUUAGAAAAUUGAGAUCUACCACCUUUCACUUGGUUAACCCUAGGAGUUCUUGAAGAAUCUUGGUUUGGAGCUCUCUUCUUAAACCUAGGUUGACCUUGCUCAUCUGGACUAGACCUCUUCAACUCCCUAUUCUUCCCCUUGAGUUUGGACACCUCAAUAGAUUGAGCAUACACCAUAAGUCUAGUAAUGUUCAUAUCAUCAUGGAGAAUCGUAAUACGACACUCUUCUAUACUAGGUCAGAUACAUCGAUCAUAAAAUGACUCAUCUCAUCCCUAGGGUUUGACACCAAAGAUGGAGCAUAAAUAGACAAUUGGGUAAAUUUCAAUGAGUACUCUUGGACAUUCAUGUUAAAUUGCCUAAGGUUGAUAAACUCCUCCAUCCUAAAGUCCCUCUUCUCACGGGGAAAGAACCUACGGGGGAAUACUUCCUUGAACAAUUCCCAAUCUAUACAUCUCGCUCCUACCGGCCUAUUACUCUUCCAUUGAGUAAACGAAAUUUGGGCAACAUCUUUCAAUCGGUAGGUGGCAAGUUCCUCUUUCUCAACAGAAGUCACUCCCAUGGCAUUGACUAUCUUAUAUACCUCAUCCAAAAAGUCUUGGGGAUCCUCUCCCACCUUGGAACCUAUAAAAACCAGAGGGUUCAUCUUCACAAAGUCCCUCAACCUAGAAGCCAUGGUACUCUCAAUAGCAUUCACUCUAGGUCCCACAUCUCUAGUAACCUGGGCUGUCAUAGCUUGGGUUAAGGUUAGAAAAGCCGACAUAAUUUCAUCAUUAGUCAUGGCCGGUGCAUCAACCGGGACUUCGUUGUCUUGAGGAACUUGUUCACCAUGAGGAUCAUGAAGUCAAGACACAUUCAUACUCAUAAAGUCAAGACACAUUCAUACUUAUGAAGUCAUAACAAAGAAGUAACUCAUAAUAAAAUCCAAGUAUAGCAUGCAUCAUUACAUUUUAAGCAUAUAAGAGUCAACAUUCAUCAUUAGCUUCAUUUAAAGCACUUUCAUACAUUAGUCAUUAAGACCUUAAGAGAACUCACUAUGACCCUCUCAAAGCCUACUCGUGCAACGCAUGGAUAGCAUCCCAUACUACCACCCACACUUAACAGAACUCCUCAAGAAACCAUAAUUCACAACUCACAUGAUGGGAAUAGGCAUUAACCGACAUAGACCAUGAGAGAAAACCAUGGAAUCCAGUGUUAUAUAGCCCCACACCAUAAAGAGGUGGUUUACUUGCCUGAGGUUGGACCGAUAACAUUUUAUCUUGGAUGGAAUCCACUAGCUAAUAUCCUAUGUGAGCACAUAGUUAUGGGAUAGGAAGAUGUUCGUUGGAACCCUAGCCUAACAUUGGGAGAGUUUCCAUCUUACAAUAUCAACUCGGUGCUUAGCAUCCAUUCCCAUAGAGUAUUUAAUUUACAUUGCAUUAUUGUGCCUCAGUGGAAUGCCAUUUGCCUAUCAACCCAAGACACAUCAUUACACAUGAAAGGAAUGUCAUAAGCCUAUCGAUUCAUGGUACAUUACAUGGAUAGCUCAUUAAAUCCUCAAUAACGGCUACUUACAUUGGGUCUACCGAUACAAGCUUCAUCAUUUCACACAUGAAAGGGCUACCAACACUAGGAGUACCGAUUCAAGGUUUAUCAUCCCAUUAGUUUCUAGACUCAUAAUGAAAGGCCACUAACACUAGGUUUAUUGGUUCAAGACAAAGCCUAGAAUACUUCAUCAUUAAUUUAUGAAAGGAAUGCCAUAAGCCUAUCGAUUCAUAUUCAUCAAGUUAAGACACACUUAUUAGACAUUUAUGAAAGGACUGCCAUAAGCAUAUCGAUUCAUAUUAAACAAUCAAGUAUACUUUCAUUCAUUCAGGAAGAGGAUGCAUAUGCUUACCAAUUCAUGAUACAUUUUCACAUUACUUUCAUUUAUACAAGAAUAGGAUGCCUAAGCCUUCCAAUUCAAGAUAUACAAUACAUAGAAGGAAACCCUUCACAUUCCAUCAUCAUCAUUCAUAAGUUUUAAUUGAGAAUGUUCUCUUAAUCAUAACACUAUUACAUUCUAAACAUGACCAUCACACUAUCAUUGAAUUUACAUACAUAUCCUUCACAUCAUAUUCAUACCUUAACAUUCAUUUCCUUGCCUUUCAAGGUCGUGGAUCAAAUUCACCCACACACCUUAUAUCAAUACAAUUAGGAAAGAGUAAUAACAUAAUUUCAACAUUCUAUAUUCAUAUACACAGAAACAAUUUACAUACUUCCUAAUCAAUCAAAUCGCAAUCAGAUAUCACAACUUAUGAUUUUGUGGGAAAACAUGGGUUCUAGGAAAAAAUCAUCAUAAUUCCUCUUUAAAUCUAAAAUUCAUUCAUAAUUAAAUGCAAUAAAGCCUUUAGAAAAUGUUUAGAAUCAAACCCAUGCAUAGAUUGAAAUCUAGGGUUUUUGGGGAAACAUUGGAGACUUGAAAUCACUUUUGAAAUUGGCUCCUUGAAAGAAACUAAGUCAAUGGUUAAGACCACCAUACCUUUAAUGGAAUAAAUCCACGAAAAUAUCUUGAAAAACUAGAAGAUUUGACCUUGAGAGAUUGAAUCCUUCACCUCCAAUGGAGGUUUCUUAGGGAGAGAACUUUUGGAGGGGAGGUUUCUGACUUUGGGGUGAUAUGAAAAAAUGAAUUCUAAAAUAGAGUUUAAUACUUUAAACACUCUUAAAAUAUCUUAUUAAACCAAUAAAAACCGUCCAUAUACUAAACUACACUUAAAAUGAAUUCACCAAAAGACCCACACCUUAGUCUAGUCUUGAUAGCACACACAUGUGCCAUCCACGAACCCCCACCCACGGACCAUGGGUAGGUCCACGGGCCUUUCUAGCAAACUGUGGUUUGGUUCAGCAACUCCCUCUUUGGUACCUUGACCCACGAAGUCCAUCCACGGGGAGUGGAUGGACCUACGGGCCGUAGGUCCCAUCCGUGGUUCACUAAAUUUUUUGGCAGCUUUUUGGUUUCUAGGGGUCUUGGGGGUUAGGCUUUAGGGUCCUACUCAAGGACCCCUAGGGUGGUCCUUGGGGAGUCGUACCUUGAUGUUUACCCCUAAAACCCUCAACCUAAGAUAGGGACAACAUUUUACCACCUCAAACAUCACUACAACUCAAGCACACACUAGUUAGGUUCUAGUUUCACCUAUUCGUUUUACGGGUCGUUACAUUUAGACUUUUACUUUGUAAAACUCUUUUAUAAUAUAAGAUUGUUUCACUAAAACAUUUAUUUCCAUUAUCUUGUACAAUGUAUGCUUAAGGGAAUUUGUGUUGCCUUUCCGGGUUCUAUACGCUAGGUUAUGCCUACGAUAUACUUUGGGUCGGGACAGGCUUGGUAUUAAGAACACAUGGUUUAGAAAGAUCAUAGGAUUUCUCACAAGCCACGUCGAUAAGAAUCUUGUUCAUGAGUGUGAAGUGUGCAACAUUUAUGAAUAGGAAAAUAUCUGACGUUUUGGAAAUUUUAUUUGUUUAAUCACUCAAUUCGCGCAAUAGAUUUUAACUCUAUAUGUCUAUCUCCAAAUCCUUAUUUGAUGCUUGCUAGCAUCUUUACCCUCGAAGAGCAUGCAUUAGAAGAAAUGCGCAUGAGAAUGUGGAACAAGAAGCUCCUCAUGUUUUGGCCGACCAUUUGGUCAAACAAGUGACUAAUGCAGAGUUCUGAGCCACUUUCCAAGUGUUGUGUCACGCAAUGACAACUCAUUCCAAUAAGAAGGUUGUGGCCUUCAUGAACCCAAAUAUGGGUACAAUGGCAACUAGAGUGAGGGACUUCACUUGGAUGAAUCCCCCAAAUGUUCAUGGUUUCAUGGUUGACUAAGAUCCUUAGAGUUCAUUAAGAGGUUUAUAAGGUUUUGAGAUUUUUGGAGCAUUUCCGGUGGAAAAUAUGGAAUUGGUCGAUUAUCAAUAUUAGGGUGUUGCUAGAGUUUGGUUCAAUCAAUGGAAGGAAGAGAGAGUGAUUCAUGCGGGUCCCCUUGAUUUGGAGAAGUUAAAAGUUGUUUAUCUUGAUAUGUUCUUUCCCCUUAAUAUGAGGGAGGAAAAAGUACUUGAGCUUAUUAACCUUCAUAAAUGGAAUACGAGUGUGAAGGAAUAUGCUUUGAAAUUCACAUAAUUGUCGAUAUAUGCCCCUACAAUGGUUGCCGAUUCUAAGGGAAAGAUGAAUAAGUUUGUUUUGAGUGUGUCUGAAAUGAUGGUUAAGGAAUGUCGUACCACCAUGCUUAUUAAGAAAAUGGGCAUUUCUCGUUUAAUGUUUCAUGCUCAAUAAAUUGAAGAGGAGAAGCCUAAUGAAAGUUCUAAAUUAUGACAAAGACCAGUGAUGGAGACUUUUCACAUUCAAUGUCCAAUAGACAUAUUCUUUCUAGAUUCUGACAAAGUUUUUCUGGUCAAUGUUCCUCCAAUUCUCCGGCUCCUAAGUUCAACAAAGAAAGGGUGUCUAACCCUAAGCCUCAAGGAAGAAAUGGUAGAGAAAAUGGGUCCUUGGUUCUCGUAUGCCAAAAGUGUGGCAAGAGCCAUUCACGAAAAUGCUUGAUGUGUAUGGAUAACUGUUUUGGUUUUGGUCAGAGUGGUCACUUCUUGAGAGAUUGUCCAUUGAUGAGUGGUAGAUUUGCACUCAUCUAAAGUCCAUUUAACUCAAUAAUUAGUGUCAACAAUUCCUAUUAUUUUCCUAUUCUGAUUAAAUGUUGAUGAUUUGCAUAUAGGAAGGAAAUUCGACAAGGAUGGGAUUGAUAUAUGAAAGGAUGGAAAAAAAUUCAAAAAUAAGUGCACCCCAUACAUUGUGGAUGACCUAACAAGAAGGGAGGAUCACCAACUGAGCAUGACCUUGCCCAGGGUGGGAAUCAGUGAUUCACUGAAUGGAAAAGGUAGAAUCAAUCGAGUUCUCCAACUAAGGUUCAGAACACUAGAGCAUCAAAAGGCAAGUUGAAGAUAAAGAGGUGAUGUGUCGAACGUGUCCGGCGAACCUGACUAAUGUCUUCAAUAGACCUGCCUAGUGGAGUUUUGGGCCUAAUUUUGACAAAUUAUAAAUAGCCCAAAAGAAAGGAUAGAAAAAAAGGUCAGUUUUGUGUGAAGAGUUGAGAGAGAAACCACUUUACUUUUGAAUAACACAUUUCUAGCUUUUGGGGUUUUACAACUUUGUAAUUGAAUUUAAUAAAUUGAAGUUGAAUCCAAAGUGGGAUUACUUGUAAUGGUUUGAUUUCAAAUUACGCAUGGUUGCUUUCAUGAAAGGUGUAGUCUCUUUACUUUUUCUGAUGGGUGGCUAAAACACCAAGAUUUAGUGGGUAUUGUUCUAUGCUUUGUUGUUGUUCUUACAUGAAUUUGGUUUAAUAAUCAUUGGGUUAAUGUGGUAGAUUUGCACUUAUUUAAGGUCUAAUUAGUUCAAUAAUUUGUGUCAUUAAUACUUAAUAGUUUCCUAUUUUGAUUAAAUGUUGAUGAUUUGCAUAUAGGAAGGAAAUUUGACAAGGCAAGGAUUGAUAUUUUAAAGAAUGGCAAAAAUGCAAAAAGAAGUGAAAACUAUACAUUUGUGGAUCACCUAACAAGAAGGGUAGAUCACUAAUUGAGCAUGAACUCGCUCAAAAUUAAAGUGCAUAACCCUUGUGUUUAUCUAAUAAAGUCUGCGAAAUCUAGUGCAGAAAGCGAUGCACCAAAUGAGAAAGGCACCCUAGAAUAAUAUUGCCCAAAACGACAGUGUGAAAAGAAAAGAUUAAAUGCUCGAAAGUCGCACUGAAGUGGUGAUUCACAAUUCUCUGAAUGUGAAAGGCUAGAUCAACCGAGUUCUCCAAAUAGUGUUCCAAACACAUAUAUCCUAGAGAAUCAAGAGGGGAGCUGAAUAGCAAAAGGUGAUGUGCUGAAUGUGUUCGGCAAGCCCGACUAUUGCCGCUAAUUGAUCUGUGUAGUGGAAUUUUGGGCCUAAUUUUGGGAAAUUAUAAGUAUCCCAAAAUAAAGGAUAGAGAAAAAGAUCGGGUCUAUGUGAGGAGUUGAGAGAGAAAACCAUUUACUUUUGAAGAACACUUUUCUAGCUUUUGCGUUAUACAAUUUUCUACACCCUCCUCUACUAUUGGCCCUACUUUUUAUGUUUCUCUAUAUACUGAAGCUAUUGUUGUGAGGCUUCCCUCCUCUCCUAUUGCACAUCCCCCUUUGACCCAAGCUAUAAUAUACCAUAUGGGCCACCUUACCUUGUCAGUAAAUGUUAAAGCCUCCCGGGUUGAGACGGGCCCGACCAAGCUCAUUGAUCAGGCCAUUAAGAAGACCUUAGUUCCUUUGCUAGAGAAGAUGGUCAAGUGCGAUGAUAUUGUUGAGAGUCACAAUGUGAGGUUGGAUGAUGUCACAAUGAGAUUAGAGGCACAGGAAAAGGCUGAGGGUAGCUCUAGUGCACUAGGCACCAUGAUCAAUGAGAUUGCUACCCUGCAGUAUAUUUGUACUCCAAGGAUAUAUCUAUGCUUUGGGGAAUGGUUACCCUAAUGAGCAGUGUGAGAUUGUUGCGCGUAUUGCUGUUGUGGAUAAUGAUGAUGGUGAGAGGGGUGAGGAAGAGUUGGGUGAGGAAACUAAUAACGAGAAGGUGGGGAACAAAGAGCAUGGGAUUGCAGAGAUGAUGACUGAGCAGAAGAAGACCGAGGAGGUCAUUCUUUAAGUAGCCCUAGAGACAUCCCUUCCAUAGAUGUCUGAGGUUUUGAUGUAAUUCUCACCACGAAUAAGAUAAAAUGCGAAAAUAAAAGAAGGAUAGAAGAAGAGAUACAAGAGAAGGAACAAUUGCAAAUAAAGGAUUUAUUAAAUCCUAAAACCUCCAAUUACAAUCCCUAAACAAGCACCUAAUCAAGAUAAAUAGGUUGACACAAGAAAAUGAAAUCAAAAACAACCUAAAAGUAUAUUAAACCUAAAAACUUUAAUCAAUUAUUCUGAAACAAGAACCGAAUCUCUUACAAUGACCUCAAGGAAAUUGAAUAUCCAAGCAACCCUUAUUUCUAAACAAAGUUCAAUAGAAGCUUUACCAAGCUCUCAAAUCUCUCAAAGGAGAUCCAUUUCAUCAAUCAUUCAUGUUCCUAAAAUUCUACCUAAAAUGAACCGCCAAACUACCUAUUUAUAGUCUUAGGUAAUUAUUACAAAAGAGGCCCAAAAGUGGCCCAAAAUGGGGAAAAGGGUGAGUUGGGUCAUGCUCGCCUAAGGAACACGGCGAGUCACCGAUUGACCUCCAGCUCGCCGAAUGUGGAAGCUUCCCUUUAGCUCCUUGGACCUUUAGGCGGUCUUAGAACCCUCGCCGAAUCUGUUUGGUGAGUCGCCGAUUGACCUCCAGCUUGCCAAAUGUGGCAAGUUUCUUCACUUGCUCUUCCUCGCUUCGUUAGACCUCCCACACGCCAAGAUAUCAUCCAAACAUGGUAUUACUCAAUUGGAUGCUCGUUUGAAGCGCAUAUGUUGUUAUUCAAGGCAUGGAAUCCUCUCUUUGUCAUCAACUCAAAUUCAAGAAUGUCCAUCUUUGUGAACAAUUCCCCCAUACUUUAAAGCUCCCAAACUUGGCUUUGAGUGAAUGACAUUCAGGCAAUCUGGAUUGCAUCAUUCUUCCCAUCUUGAAAAGGAUUCGUCCUCGAAUCCAAACCUUGCAAAACCAUAGGGAAAUCAAAUCACAACAAGAUCCUCAUGGCAUGAAGGCUAGCGUUAGCAGUAAUUACUUUGUCACCAUGCCAAGGAUGCACAAAUUAAUUUAACAUAUAACCAAGCAUCAAAAUGAUCAACAAAGGGUUUGUAACCCAUCAAAACAAUGGAUACUUGGCUACUUAAGAAACUUUGACAAAGGGGUACAGAGAAGGAACCAUUACACUUAGGCAACCACGCAUGUACACCUUCAUUGGUUCCACAUUUCAACAAGCAAAAUUCCCGUGUUAAGACACUGAGCACAUGAACACCCUCAUACCUAAGUGCAAAUUCAUAAAUAAGGUUAACCCAAGUUAAGACUCCACCCAAUGCACUAGCUAACUUCAGGAAUGUAAUUAAUCCCCAAUCAUGAGCGGGGUCAAGUAUAGAAGUAUUCCCCACACAAGUUGGCAAACAUACCUCGUUCACAUAAGAUCAAGUAGUGACACCAAGUAAGAAUCAUAUGAAACAAAGAUAGUGUUACUACCAUACUCAUCAUAAUUGAGGCCAACACCGGGGUCAAAUGGGAAGAAAUUGCAUAGCAUCAAGUCAAGGAGACUCCCAUUUGCCCUAUUGAUAAUACUAUCAACAUAAAAUAGGCUACCCACACAAGCAUGAUUAUCAUCAUAAGCGAAUAGAUAAUAGAGAAAGGUGUCAUGCACACUGGGGUAAUCUAGGGUGUUCAUAUAUGCAAGAUCACAACUAGGUUCAAGGAUCCUAGAACUCAUUACAUCACAAGAAAGAACACCCAAAGACAUCAUGGGGAAUUUUAGAUAAACUUCACCUUCUCUUGACAAAUAAAUCCUACCCCCAUAAGAUUCACAAUCAACAAGAUUAAAGAAUGGGGUUUAGGAAACUAACCCUCCCCAUACACUAUGUAGGCCCCUUAAGUGGAUUGUAAACCCUCAAGAAGGACUUUCCAUCUUAGGGAAAGGUAUCAACAGAUUCAUCCAAAGUAUUCUUGUCAUCUCGACCAAGCAUUACUACACAAGUGCCACAGUCCAACUCAUUCUCGGGUCAAAUGGAAGGGAAUUCCAUGAACUGGGAUCAAGUACACCCCUUUUUGCCCGAUUGGCACUCUUAUAUUCAAAAGAAAUAAUACACUGAAGAGUGUGAGCAUCAUCAUAUGAAAACAAGCAAUAGAGAAAGGUGGCACACAAAACAACUUCAUCUAAGGUGUUUUAUAGGUAUGACUACUAUUAGGAUCAAAGUCAUUGAUCAUACCAUCGAGUGUUGGAACAAGCCAAGAAGAAGAGGUAAUGGGAAAACAAAUAUCACCUUCUUUCUCAUUAUAAUCCUUCCCCAGAAGAGUACACUCAUCUUCCAAGAAAAGAGUUCCAUCUUUGGGAGGAAAAUCUUCACACCAUAAUGGGUAACUAUAAAAAGUGUAGCUAUCAAGAGCUACACUACUCUCAUGAUUCACACCACUAGGAACUUCACUAAGAGUGAUAUCCCCAUCUUCAAACAAGAUAUUGUACUUAAAUAUGGAAUGAUCAACCACUAUGGAAGAAUUAAAACAAGAAAAUUCACUCUAAAAAAGACAUCAUUUUUUGAAGCAUUUUUAAGCACAUGAUCUCUAUGAGCAAAACAAGUAAUAGGAUCUUCCAUAAAAAGAUAUGCUCAAAUAGUCACUCCUAUUCAAAUGGCCAACAGUAUUAUCAAUAUCACCAAAUUGAGGUUCCUUAAUCGCAUCACAAGAUUUGUCAAUUAGUGAACUACACUCAAAUGCAGGUUGAUCACCACAAAUAUCACAUGAUAAUGAACUAUCCCUCAAAGCAUGGGUGUCAAGACUAGGUAGAGACAAUUCGAUCUUACUAGAAGAAUCAAUUCGGUCAUCAAUAGGAUUAACUAGUGUAUCAACACUCUCAACAUGUACAUUAUCAACACAUGGUAAAGAAACAUUAGGGUCACAUAAAGACAAGCUAUCAUUUACACUUUGUUCAUUUGCAAUUGUAAAAAUGUUAAGUUUAGCUAAUGUACCUUGACGUUUGCAAGAAAUAUCUACUUUACCUUGGAAUGAAACUCUCUUAGGAAUGUUAGGACAACACAAAAGUACAUCCAUCUCACCUUCAAUGGUGAGCUGUUUUUGGGAACUAGUGUUCCUCCGCUCAUCAUGCUUGUUCCUACAUAAGACCCCUUACAAAGUGACAGAUAAGAAAAAAGUUUAGAUUGAGAUUGUGGCAACCCCCUCAGUUUACUUCACUCAACCUCUCAUUUUUUCACUCUAAGGUUGCCACCUUGCUCUCACUUACUCCUCUCAAUCUUUUGUCUCCCAUUGUGCCUUUUAGGAGGAGGAAAUAGAUGUGUUCCUCAUUGAUCCAAAACAUACUUGGACAAUUUUUGGAAGUUCGGAACCUUAUGUUUGUUAAACCAAUCGGCUCCCAAACACAAAUGACAAAAAUCCAUGGGUAUUACAUCACACCAAACCUCUUUAUAGUAUUCACCACAUGUAAAAGAUUCCUUUACAACUGUGGUAACCUUACAUCCCUCCAUGGUGUAUGGAUAAUGCCUUUAUAUUCAGGAUAGUCUCAAGUAGGCUACCGUAGAUGGAGUGACAUAGUUUAGAUUGCAACAGUCAUCGAGGACAAGAUCAAACCUCAAAGGUCCACAAAUGUCAACCUUUAUCCUAAGAACUUGACUUCUCGGGUCAUCAUUAUAAAGUUUUUUGUACCCCUUUGGCACAUGCUUAAACCUUAUUAGCCCUUUCAAUUAUUCCCAUCUCAAAGGGUUGGCAUUUCCAUUGUGUUUUCGAAGCCAUCGCACAUGUGUCUACCAAAUCAAUGCAAGACCUUUAAAGUGUUCGAGGGCAUACAUGGAUUGCUCAGUGUCUUCCAAGUCAUGGUUUCUUGAAAUUCCGCUCACAUUGCCACUCCCAAUCAAGAUACGCCUCGGGAUCAUAAUUUCUUUCAAAAGUAGGAAGACUAACUCUUUUGGUACCGAGACACCUAAUAUAAUCCCCAUAUCUUCCUUGGUUCCUAUAUCCUGACAAGUGUGCAUUAAAAUAGGAAGUGUAGGAUGUAGUAUACUUCUACACUAGAGAUGCACACUCUUUUCUUCCCAUAGGAUUAGUUUGACUUGAACUAGUGAAACUAUACACCCCGCUUCGUAUAGGGCAAGAUUUACAACAAGACAAAGAAUAUGAAUCUUCACAAGCCUUAGGGGCAUGCUUCUCAUAAUUCAUAUAUAAGAGAGUAUUAUACCUCACCUCAUACUUUCCUCCGGAAUAGUAUUCCUCAUUCUCAUCCGUCUUUUGAUCAUGGCUAUCAUCAUAGCCUGCAUAAUCACCAUCAUCCUCACAUCCAUAGCCUCCAUCACGACAAUCAUAGUCUCCCAUUUUAUAGUCACAUGGGUCCAAGGCUAUUGAUGACAUGAUUCCUUAAAACUCCUUUGUACCUACAAAAUAUGCAAACAAGGUUAGUAGUAAAAGCUCCUCACCAACACUAUCAUUUUCUCACCUUUGAAUACCUCACAAAUUAGCUUGGAUCAUAUUGAACCUUGUUUCAAUCCGGUGGUACACAAGUAUCAAUUAAAGUCUUGGUCGGAAUAGAUUCUUGUUUCAAGAAGGAUGGACGACUCAAUAACAAACAAACGGACUUGAAAUCAAAAAUUUAACUACGAAGUUAAAACUAAAAGCACACAAAGAAAGCACAAGCAAGAAAACGGAUACAAGAGUAUUCAACAACUAACUAAGGACAUUUACUAGUCGGAAAUUAGUUUUAAGAAUCAAACAAGUGAGUAGGAACCAAGGAAAAUGAGACUAGGAAGUUAGAACAUGAGAUAGGUCAUAAAAUCAAGCUUGGGUGUCCAAACUUAAACUAUUUUUCGCCAAAAAUGAAAUUCACAGAAUUUACUCCUUAUAGAUUGCCGAAUAAGUUUGGCGAACUACCGAAGUACCCUCAGCUCGCUGAAUUUUCCUGAGACUCAAUUUCAUUUGGCGAGCUCAGCUCCCAUUUGGAGAAUCGCCAAAUCAGUUUUGUAAGCACGACUUAGCUCACCCAGUUGACUUUCCAGCACAUUUGUAGCCUCCGAUUUUUGACUUCUUGUUGUCCCUUUGUACUUUCUUGACCUAGCACUUGUUCCUUUUGGUAAAUUCCCUUUUGAACCAACACAAGUAAUAUUUCUUUCCACUUCCUUUUGGAUCAAACAGUUCCUUUUGAUAAUUUUACUCCUUGAUGAUUUAAAGAUCCCCAAGAAAACUAUGAACAAGGUGAAGACCCAAAAUAAAACCCUCAACAAUUUUGGCUCGGAAUUUCAUAAAAUUUGAGAUAUAGGAUUCCCUUGAUGUAGGAAACAAACCCCAAUACUUUUUAUCUUUCAAUUCAUGGCCAAAUUCAUAAAAUUUUGAAACCCAUUACCUUCUUUCUUCAAGUCAUGAAGAACACCAUGAACAUCAAGAACACCCAAUUUUCAAACCCAAUGGAUUUCUACUUCGUUUUCACCAAAAUUUCAGAUAUUAACUCCUAAGGAUAUAGAUAUCAAGCCUCAACCCCAAAGAGUCUCCAUUUCCAACUAGAUCUAAAAAUUCACAUGAUGUUCUUCAAGCUUCUUCAACCAACAAUGGUUGAAUCUACAAUAGCCCAAACUUCACCAAAUCUUAGAUUUAGACUCAAAUAAUACUAGGGAAUACUAAUCUAGCCUUAGAAACUUCAAAUAAGACUCAAACUAACAAAUAUUUUUUGGGAUUUUCUUCAAAAAUUAUUUUGACACUUUUUUUGUAACAAAACCACGACUAGAAUCGUAGGAACGAAUCUAAUAGUUGCUCUGAUACAAAAAGAUGUAAUUCUCACCUCUAAUUAUGGAAAAAAUGCCGAAAUAAAAGAAGCACAGAAGAAUAAAUGCAUGAGAACGAACAAUUGGCAACUAAAGAAUGUAUUAAAUCCUAAAACCUCCAAUUACAAUCCCUAAACAAGCACCUAAUCAAGAUAAAUAGAAUGACACAAUAAAAGGAAAUAUAAAGAAACCUUAUGGUAUAUUAAACCUAAAUACCUCAAUCGAUUAAUCUGAAUCAAGCACUGAAUCUCUUAUGAAGACCUUGUGGAAAUUGAAUCUCCAAGCAACCCCCGUUUCUAAACAAAAUUCAAUAGAAGCAUUACCAAGCUCUCAAGUUUCUCAAAGGAGAUCCAAUUCAUCAAUCAGUCAUAUUAAAAAAAUUCUACCCAAAAUGAACCCCCAAACUAGCUAUUUAUAGUUUUAGGUAAUUAUUACAAAAGAGGCCCAAGAGUAGCCCAAAAUGGGGAAAAGGCCGAGCUGGGUCGUUCUCGCCUAAGGGACUCGGCGAGUCCUCACUUGACCUCAAGCUCGCCGAGUAUGGAAGCUUACGUGUACCUCCUUGGAACUCUAGGCGGUCUUGGAACCCUCACCGAAUCAGUUUGGCGAGUCACUGAUUGACAUCCAGCUCAUCGAAUGUGGCAAGCUUCUUCAGUUGCUCUUCUUUGCUUUGUUAGACCUCCCACACUCUAUGCUAUCAUUAAAACAUGGUAUUUAUCAAUUGGAAGAUCCUUUGAAGCCCGUAUGUUGUUAUUCUAGGCAUGGAAUCCCUUCUUUGUCAUCAACUCAAGUUUAAGAACCUCAAUCUUUGUGAACAAUUCUUCCGUACUUUGAAGCUCCCAAACAUGGCCUUGAGUGAAUAACCUUGAGGCAAUCUCUAUGACAUCAGGUUGGUUCUAAUGGAGAUACUCUAGACCCCACCAUACCUCUGAUAGUUGAGACAUGAAUUGAUGCCUCAGUUUAGCCUUCCCUUCCACCUCCAGUAAUCUUGUUGCCGGGCAUUGUUGUCCCUUUUGAGGUUUCCCCACGUGAGACUCCUAACGAGAGUUCUCCAUAAACAUAACCUUUAGGUAAUCUUUUAUCUAGCCUCCUCGUACUUUUAUUACAUUGCAUUGAGGACACUACAUAUUUGUUUUUGGUAGUGUGAGGGCCUUAGUGCCAAUAUUCCCCUUUUGAUUGUAUUUUCUUAUUUUGAUUUUUGAACUAUUGUAGUACUUUGCUUUGUUUUUAUGAUAGUGUUCUUCUGUUAAAAAUGUCUCUCUAGAUUUUAUUUCAUUUGCUCUUUAUUUUGCAACCCCCAAUGAGUUUAAAAUCAUGAAUUUUUUUAAAGUUUCAUUUAUAAUAAUUAGAGGAUCCAUUGUGUUCAAUAUUUGUAACACCCCGGAAAUUCUAUGACUGAAGUUAAAGCCUCACCUUAUGAAUAAUGACUUAAAAUAGUUAAAAUGAUGUUUAUAAACCUAAACUAAUGUAAUUGACUUGGUUUGGAAGAGUAAAAGUCUAAACGUCAAGAAACGACUACGACGUCCGGAAACUAGAGAAGAAUGUGUUCUAGUGUGUCCUUAGGUUUUGGGCAGCUUUAAGAGUGUCGUAUGAUGGUAUAAUCUGGUUAAAAGGUUUAAAAUAGGUAAAUAUAUGUUCCUAGGGUCAAAACGUUUGAAUACGACUCCCCGGGACCACACUAAGGAGCCCUGAGGAGGACCCUAACCUUAGCCAAGCAUGUUGCCAAGGCAGCUUGCAAGUUGUGCAUAGAGGGAAUGAGGGUGCGUCGUGCACUUGCUUCCCCAGGGAUAAAAAUUUCAGUUCGCGAUUCAGUCGUGUGGCGGACUCUACUAUCUUGAAAUUUAUUACCAAGACAUUCACAACCAUAAGGAACUCUCACAUAUCGGUACCUUCAUCUAGAUUACCUAAUUUGUACUUGUUAGCUUGAAGAACAUAGAAAUGGUUUCUCUUUGGGGCAUUGGGAUCCGGCCUAUCAAGAGAAACUUAUUUGGCCUCUCUUCCUUUGGCCGUAAGAGUAGGGAAAUUUCUCACUUGAUGAUCACUUUUUCCGUACCCACAACAUCCACUAGUACCGGUUAGGCACUUCCCAAAAUGUUUCUUUCCACAAGUGGUGGAAGUAGGUUUAGAAAAUUGAGAUCUACCACCUUUUGCUUGGUUAACCCUAGGAGUUCUUGAAGAAUCUUGGUUUGGAGCUCUCUUCUUGAACCUAGGUUGACCUUGCUCAUCUGGACAAGACCUCUUCAACUCCCUAUUCUUCCCCUUGAGGUUGGACACCUCAAUAGAUUGAGCAUACACCAUAAGUCUAGAAAUGUUCAUAUCAUCAUGGAGCAUCGUCGUACGACACUAUUCCUAUACUAGGUCGGAUACAUCGAUUACAAAAUGACUUAUCUCAUCCCUAGGGUUUGACACCAAAGAUGGAGCAUAAAUAGACAAUUGGGUAAAUUUCAAGGAGUACUCUUGGACAUUCAUGUUACAUUGCCUAUGGUUGAUAAACUCCUCCAUCUUAACCUCCCUCUUCUCAUGGGGAAAGAACCUACCUGGGAAUGCUUCCUUGAACAAUUCCCAAUCUAUACAUCUCGCUCCUACCGGCCUAUUACUCUUCCAUUGAGUAAACUAAAUUUGGGCAACAUCUUUCAAUCGGUAGGUGGCAAGUUUCUCUUUCUCAACAGAAGUAACUCCCAUGGCAUUGACUAUCUUAUAUACAUCAUCCAAAAAGUCUUGGGGAUCCUCUCCCACCUUGGAACCUAUAAAAACCAGAGGGUUCAUCUUCACAAAGUCCCUCAACCUAGAAGCCAUAGUACUUUCAAUAGCAUUCACUUUAGGUCCCACAUCUCUAGUAACCUGGGCUGUCAUAGCUUGGGUUAAGGUUAGAAAAGCCGACAUAAUUUCAUCAUUAGUCAUGGCCGGUGCAUCAACCGGGACUUGGUUGUCUUGAGGAAGUUGUUCACCUUGAGGAUCUUGGGGAGGAACUCCCUCAUUCACCACCUCCUCUUCCACUCUCCUUGCGGGAGUCCUUCUUGUAUUCAUAUGCUAUAAACACAAGAGAAUAAUUAGGAAAAGGACACUAAUAGAAUAAACUCUAAGGCACAACUUCAAGAAUAAUGAAAGAAGUGUAACUUCCUAUAGCCUCUCACUCAUAGAUGUGUCAUGACUCACACCAAUGAACAAGACUCUACUAGAUGUGGCUUGUGAGACAUCAACCUAAAAACCUUUUCCAAAAUCUAGUGCUCUGAUACCAUGUUUGUCACGACCCAAGGCUAUCCCCUAGAUGCGACACGGCGUACUUGACCCCGAAGAAGUCUCAUACAAGCCUCAUAGCAUUUCAUUGCAUUCGAUAAUAGAAAUAGUAUGAAAUUAAAACUUAUUUCAUAAUGCUCAUUUAAAACACUUGAAAAGACAACGGAAGUCUAUUGUCUCACAUAGCCAUCUAAAAAUAACUUUCGAAACAAAAGUAGGGUCACGAUCCUUUACAAUAGAAAAGUCUAACAAUAGUCUUUUACAAGAAAAGAAAUGAAACUUUGAGUACCUGUCCUCGAUCUAUCAGGACAUACCACUUAGUUUUGGAGAACCUCAAAUCCAAGCUUCAACUAGUGAGAAAGUAACUCAGUUGCCGGAACCUACACUUGUAGUAAAACAUGAAAAAAUAUGGGUUAGCACAAUAAAGUACUAAGUAUUAUAGCCAUGCAAAAACCAUACUAAAAACGGACAUUUUAUUUGAAAAUCAUGCUUUUAUGCCAUUUUGAUAAAACUUCAAAAACAUAAGUAUAAGAUGUAUAAUAUUCAAACAUAUCCAACAUAAAAGUCAUUUAAUCACAAUAGAGGCAUAAUAAACAUAUAACCCAUUACCUUCACAUUAAACCUUCACCUCAAGUAACCCUCAUGCUAUACCUUGUGCAAUGUAUGGAUAGCGUCCCAUACCACCAUCCACACUAAAGUACCACAUUAAGGUCACCAAAAGAGAACUUACCACUCAACCUUUCCACCUUUACACAAUACUCAUACAUAAGAGACAUAAACAUUUCAUAAGUCAUAUCAUCACAUAAGGACCAUCAUCUAGGGUAACUCUAAGUCAUACUUGUGCAAUGUAUGAGUAGCAUCUCAUACUACUACUCACACUAAGUAUUCCUUUAGAGCCACCAUAGACAAGACACAUUCAUAAUCAUGAAGUCAUAAAAAGGAAGUAACUCAUAAUACAAUCCAAGUAUAGCAUGCAUCAUUACAUUUUAAGCAUAUAAGAGUCAGCAUUCAUCAUUAGCUUCAUUUAGAGCACUUUCAUACAUUAGUCAUUCAGACCUUAAGAGAACUCACUAUGACCCUCUCAAAGCUUACUCAUGCAACGCAUGGAUAGCAUCCCAUACUACCACCCACAGUUAAUAGAACUCCUCAAGAAACCAUAAUGCACAUCUCACAUUAUGGGAAUAGGCAUUAACCGACAUAGACCAUGAGAGAAAACCAUGGAAUCGAGUGUUAUAUAGCCCCACACCAUAAAGAGGUGGUUUACUUGCCUGAGGUUGGACCGAUAACAUUUUAGCUUGGAUGGAAUCCACUAGCUAAUAUCCUAUGUGAGCACAUUGUUAUGGGAUAGGAAGAUGUUCGUUGGAACCCAAGCCUAACAUUGGGAGAGUUUCCAUCUUACAAUAUCAACUCGGUGCUUAGCCUCCAUUCCCAUAGAGUAUUUAAUUUACAUUGCAUUAUUGUGCUUGAGUGGAAUGCCAUUUGCCUAUCAACCCAAGACACAUCAUUACACAUGAAAGGAAUGUCAUAAGCCUAUCGAUUCAUGGUACAUUACAUGGAUAGCUCAUGAAAUCCUCAAGAAGGGCUACUUACCUUGGGUCUACCGAUACAAGCUUCAUCUUUUCACACAUAAAAGGGCUACCAACACUAGGAGUACCGAUUCAAGGUUUAUCAUCCCAUUAGUUUCUAGACUCAUCAUGAAGGCCCACCAACAGUAGGUCUACCGGUUUAGCAAAAUGUUGUCUGGCAAACCAUGAGUUGGGCAUUGUAGCACCUACUUCUUUAAUCGUAGCAAAAACAUGCUUAAAACGAACAUUUUAUUUGAAAGUCAUCAAGUUAAGACACACUCAUUAGUCAUUUAUGAAAGGACUGCCAUAAGCAUAUCGAUUCAUAUUCAACAAUCAAGUAUACUUUCAUUCAUUCAAGAAGAGGAUGCAUAUGCUUACCAAUUCAAGAUACAUUUUCACAUUACUUUCAUUUAUACAAGAAUAGGAUGCCUAAGCCUUCCAAUUCAAGAUAUACAAUACAUAGAAGGAAACCCUUCACAUUCCAUCAUCAUCAUUCAUAAGUGUUAAUUGAGAAUGUUCUUUUAAUCAUAACACUAUUACAUUCUAAACAUGACCAUCACACUAUCAUUGAAUUUACAUACAUAUCCUUCACAUCAUAUUCAUACCUUAACUUUCAUUCCUUGCCUUUCAAGGUCGUGGAUCAAAUUCACCCACACACCUUAUAUCAAUACAAUUAGGAAAGAGUAAUAACAUAAUUUCAACAUUCUAUAUUCAUAUACACAGAAACAAUUUACAUACUUCCUAAUCAAUCAAAUCUCAAUCACAUAUCACAACUUAUGAAUUUGUGGGAAAACAUGGGUUCUAGGAAGAUAUCAUCAUAAUUCCUCUUUAAAUCCAAAAUUCAUUCAUAAUUAAAUGCAAUAAAUCCUUUAGAAAACGUUUAGAAUCGAACCCAUGCAUAGAUUGAAAUCUAGGGUUUUUGGGGAAACAUUGGAGACUUGAAAUCACUUUUGAAAUUGGCUCCUUGAAAGAAACUAAGUCAAGGGUGAAGACCACCAUACCUUUAAUGGAAUAAAUCCACGAAAAUAUCUUGAAAAACUUGAAGAUUUGUCCUUGAGAGAUUGAAUCCUUCACCUCCAAUGGAGGUUUCUCAGGGAGAGAACUUUUGGAGGGGAGGUUUCUGACUUUGGGGUGAUAUGAAAAAAUGAAUUCUAAAAUAGAGUUUAAUACUUUAAAAACUCUUAAAAUAUCUUAUUAAACCAAUAAAAACCGUCCAUUAACUAAACUACACUUAAAAUGAAUUUACCAAAAGACCCACACCUUGGUCUAGUAUUGAUAGAACACACAUGUGCCAUCCACGAACCCCCACCCACGGACCAUGGGUAGGUCCACGGGCCUUUCUAGCAAACUGUGGUUUUGUUCAGCAACUCCCACUUUGGUACCUUGACCCACGAAGUCCAUCAACGGGGACUGGAUGGACCUACAUGGCGUAGGUCCCAUCCGUGGUUAACUAAAUAUUUUGGCAGCUUUUGGUUUCUAUGGGUCUUGGGUGUUAGGCUUUAGGGUCCUCCUCAAGGACCCCUAGGGUGGUCCUUGGGGAGUCGUACCUUGAUGUUUACCCCUAAACCCCUCAACCUAAGAUAGGGACAACAUUUUACCACCUCAAACCUCACUACAACUCAAGCACACACUAGUUAGGUUCUAGUUUCACCUAUUUGUUUUACGGGUCGUUACAUUUAGACUUUUACUUUGUAAAACUCUUUUAUAAUAUAAGAUUGUUUCACUAAAACAUUUAUUUCCAUUAUCUUGUACAAUGUAUGCUUAAGGGAAUUUGUGUUGCCUUUCCGGGUUCUAUACGCUAGGUUAUGCCUACGAUAUACUUUGGGUCGGGACAGGCUUGGUAUUAAGAACACAUGGUUUAGAAAGAUCAUAGGAUUUCUCACAAGCCACGUCGAUAAAAGUCUUGUUCAUGAGUGUGAAGUGUGCCACAUUAAUGAAUAGGAAAAUAUCUGAUGUUUUGGAAAUUUUAUUUGUUUAAUCACUCAAUUCGCGCAAUAGAUUUUAACUCUAUAUGUCUAUCUCCAAAUCCUUAUUUGAUGCUUGCUAGCAUCUUUACCCUCGAAGAGCAUGCAUUAGAAGAAAUGCGCAUGAGAAUGUGGAACAAGAAGCUCCUCAUGUUUUGGCCGACCAUUUGGUCAAACAAGUGACUAAUGCAGAGUUCUGAGCCACUUUCCAAGUGUUGUGUCACGCAAUGACAACUCAUUCCAAUAAGAAGGUUGUGGCCUUCAUGAACCCAAAUAUGGGUACAAUGGCAACUAGAGUGAGGGACUUCACUUGGAUGAAUCCCCCAAAUGUUCAUGGUUUCAUGGUUGACUAAGAUCCUUAGAGUUCAUUAAGAGGUUUAUAAGGUUUUGAGAUUUUUGGAGCAUUUCCGGUGGAAAAUAUGGAAUUGGUCGAUUAUCAAUAUUAGGGUGUUGCUAGAGUUUGGUUCAAUCAAUGGAAGGAAGAGAGAGUGAUUCAUGCGGGUCCCCUUGAUUUGGAGAAGUUAAAAGUUGUUUAUCUUGAUAUGUUCUUUCCCCUUAAUAUGAGGGAGGAAAAAGUACUUGAGCUUAUUAACCUUCAUAAAUGGAAUACGAGUGUGAAGGAAUAUGCUUUGAAAUUCACAUAAUUGUAGAUAUAUGCCCCUACAAUGGUUGUCGAUUCUAAAGGAAAGAUUAAUAAGUUUGUUUUGAGUGUGUCCGAAAUGAUGGUUAAGGAAUGUCGUACCACCAUGCUUAUUAAGAAAAUGGGCAUUUCUCGUUUAAUGUUUCAUGCUCAAUAAAUUGAAGAGGAGAAGCCUAAUGAAAGUUCUAAAUUAUGACAAAGACCAGUGAUGGAGACUUUUCACAUUCAAUGUCCAAUAGACAUAGUCGUUCUAGAUUCUGACAAAGUUUUUCUGGUCAAUGUUCCUCCAAUUCUCCGGCUCCUAAGUUCAACAAAGAAAGGGUGUCUAACCCUAAGCCUCAAGGAAGAAAUGGUAGAGAAAAUGGGUCCUUGGUUCUCGUAUGCCAAAAGUGUGGCAAGAGCCAUUCACGAAAAUGCUUGAUGUGUAUGGAUAACUGUUUUGGUUUUGGUCAGAGUGGUCACUUCUUGAGAGAUUGUCCAUUGAUGAGUGGUAGAUUUGCACUCAUCUAAAGUCCAUUUAACUCAAUAAUUAGUGUCAACAAUUCCUAUUAUUUUCCUAUUCUGAUUAAAUGUUGAUGAUUUGCAUAUAUGAAGGAAAUUCGACAAGGAUGGGAUUGAUAUAUGAAAGGAUGGCAAAAAUUUCAAAAAUAAGUGCACCCCAUACAUUGUGGAUCACCUAACAAGAAGGGAGGAUCACCAAUUGAGCAUGACCUUGCCCAGGGUGGGAAUCAGUGAUUCACUGAAUGGAAAAUGUAGAAUCAAUCGAGUUCUCCAACUGAGGUUUAGAACACUAGAGCAUCAAAAGGCAAGUUGAAGAGAAAGAGGUGAUGUGUCGAACGUGUUCGGCGAACCUGACUAAUGUCUUCAAUAGACCUGCCUAGUGGAGUUUUGGGCCUAAUUUUGACAAAUUAUAAAUAUCCCAAAAGAAAGGAUAGAAAAAAAGGUCAGUUUUGUGUGAAGAGUUGAGAGAGAAAACACUUUACUUUUGAAUAACACAUUUCUAGCUUUUGGGGUUUUACAACUUUGUGAUUGAAUUUAAUAAAUUGAAGUUGAAUCCAAAGUGGGAUUACAUGUAAUGGUUUGAUUUCAAAUUACCCAUGGUUGCUUUCAUGAAAGGUGUAAUCUCUUUACUUUUUCUAAUGGGUGGCUAAAACACCAAGAUUUAGUGGGUAUUGUUCUAUGCUUUGUUGUUGUUCUUACAUGAAUUUGGUUUAAUAAUCAUUGGGUUAAUGUGGUAAAUUUGCACUCAUUUAAGGUCUAAUUAGCUCAAUAAUUUGUGUCAUUAAUACUUAAUAGUUUCCUAUUUUGAUUAAAUGUUGAUGAUUUGCAUAUAGGAAGGAAAUUUGACAAGGCAAGGAUUGAUAUUUUAAAGAAUGGCAAAAAUGCAAAAAGAAGUGAAAACUAUACAUUUGUGGAUCACCUAACAAGAAGGGUGGAUCACUAAUUGAGCACGAACUUGCUCAAAAUUAAAGCGCAUAACCCUUGUGUUUAUCUAAUAAAGUGGGCGAAAUCUAGUGGAGAAAGCGAUGCACCAAAUGAGAAAGGCACCCUAGAAUAAUAUUGCCCAAAAUGACAGUGUGAAAAGAAAAGAUUAAAUGCUCGAAAGGCGCACUGAAGUGAUGAUUCACAAUUCUCUGAAUGUGAAAGGCUAAAUCAACCGAGUUCUCCAAAUAGUGUUCCAAACACAUGUAUCCUAGAGAAUCAAGAGGGGAGCUGAAUAGCAAAAGGUGAUGUGCUGAAUGUGUUCAGCAAGCCCGACUAUUGCCGCUAAUUGAUCUGUGUAGUGGAAUUUUGGGCCUAAUUUUGGGAAAUUAUAAGUAUCCCAAAAGAAAGGACAGAAAAAAAGAUCGGGUUUAUGGGAAGAGUUGAGAGAGAAAACCAUUUACUUUUGAAGAACACUUUUCUAGCUUUUGCGUUAUACACUUUUCUACACCCUCCUCUACUAUUGGCCCUACUUUUUAUGUUUCUCUAUAUACUGAAGCUAUUGUUGUGAGGCUUCCCUCCUCUCCUAUUGCACAUCCCCCUUUGACCCAAGCUAUAAUAUACCAUAUGGGCCACCUUACCUUGUCAGUAAAUGUUAAAGCCUCCCGGGUUGAGACGGGCCCGACCAAGCUCAUUGAUCAGGCCAUUAAGAAGACCUUAGUUCCUUUGCUAGAGAAGGUGGUCAAAUGCGAUGGUAUUGUUGAGAGUCACAGUGUGAGGUUGGAUGAUGUCACAAUGAGAUUAGAGGCACAGGAAAAGGCCGAGGGUAGCUCUAGUGCACUAGGCACCAUGAGCAAUGAGAUUGCUACCCUGCAGUAUAUUUGUACUCCAAGGAUAUAUCUAUGCUUUGGGGAAUGGUUACCCUAAUGAGCAGUGUGAGAUUGUUGCGCGUGUUGCUGUUGUGGAUAAUGAUGAUGGUGAGAUGGGUGAGGAAGAGUUGGGUGAGGAAACUAAUAACGAGAAGGUGGGGAACGAAGAGCAUGGGAUUGCAGAGAUGAUGACUGAGCAGAAGAAGACCAAGGAGGUCAUUCUUUAAGUAGCCCUAGAGAUAUCCCUUCCAUAGAUGUCUGAGGUUUUAAUGUAAUUCUCACCACGAAUAGGAUAAAAUGCGAAAAUAAAAGAAGGAUAGAAGAAGAGAUACAAGAGAAGGAACAAUUGCAAAUAAAUGAUUUAUUAAAUCCUAAAACCUCCAAUUACAAUCCCUAAACAAGCACCUAAUCAAGAUAAAUAGGUUGAAACAAGAAAAUGAAAUCAAAAACAACCUAAAGGUAUAUUAAACCUAAAAACCUUAAUCAAUUAUUCCGAAACAGGAACCGAAUCUCUUACAAUGACCUCAAGGAAAUUGAAUAUCCAAGCAACCCUUAUUUCUAAACAAAUUUCAAUAGAAGCUUUACCAAGCUCUCAAAUCUCUCAAAGGAGAUCCAAUUCAUCAAUCAUUCAUGUUCCUAAAAUUCUACCUAAAAUGAACCGCCAAACUAGCUAUUUAUAGUUUUAGGUAAUUAUUACAAAAGAGGCCCAAAAGUGGCCCAAAAUGGGGAAAAGGAUGAGCUGGGUCAUGCUCGCCUAAGGAACACGGCGAGUCACCGAUUGACCUCCAGCUCGCCGAAUGUGGAAGCUUCCCUUUAGCUCCUUGGACCUUUGGGCGGUCUUAGAACCCUCGCCGAAUCAGUUUGGUGAGUCGCCGAUUGACCUCCAGCUCGCCAAAUGUGGCAAGUUUCUCCACUUGCUCUUCCUCGCUUCGUUAGACCUCCCACACGCCAAGAUAUCCUCCAAACACGGUAUUACUCAAUUGGAUGCUCGUUCGAAGCGCGUAUGUUGUUAUUCAAGGCAUGGAAUCCUCUCUUUGUCAUCAACUCAAAUUCAAGAAUGUCCAUCUUUGUGAACAAUUCCUCCAUACUUUGAAGCUCCCAAACUUGGCUUUGAGUGAAUGACCUUCAGGCAAUCUGGAUUGCAUCAUUCUUCCCAUCUUGAAAAGGAUUCGUCCUCGAAUCCAAACCUUGCAAAACCAUAGGGAAAUCAAAUCACAACAAGAUCCUCAUGGCAUGAAGGCUAGCGUUAGCAGUAACUACUCUGUCACCAUGCCAAGGAUGCACAAAUUAAUUUAACAUAUAACCAAGCAUCAAAAUGAUCAACAAAGGGUUUGUAACCCAUCAAAACAAUGGAUACUUGGCUACUUAAGAAACUUUGACAAAGGGGUACAGAGAAGGAACCAUUACACUUAGGGAACCACGCAUGUACACCUUCAUUGGUUCCACAUUUCAACAAGCAAAAUUCCCGUGUUAAGACACUGAGCACAUGAACACCCUCAUACCUAAGUGCAAAUUCAUAAAUAAGGUUAACCCAAGUUAAGACUCCACCCAAUGCACUAGCUAACUUCUGGAAUGUAAUUAAUCCCCAAACAUGAGUAGGGUCAAGUAUAAAAGUAUUCCCCACACAAGUUGGCAAACAUACCUCGUUCACAUAAGAUCAAGUAGUGACACCAAGUAAGAAUCAUAUGAAACAAAGAUAGUGUUACUACCAUACUCAUCAUAAUUGAGGCCAACACCGGGGUCAAAUGGGAAGAAAUUGCAUAGCAUCAAGUCAAGGAGACUCCCAUUUGCCCUAUUGAUAAUAUUAUAAACAUAAAAUAGGCUACCCACACAAGCAUGAGUAUCAUCAUAAGCGAAUAGAUAAUAGAGAAAGGUGUCAUGCACACUGGGGUAAUCUAGGGUGUUCAUAUAUGCAAGAUCACAACUAGGUUCAAGGAUCCUAGAACUCAUUGCAUCACAAGAAGGAACACCCAAAGACAUCAUGGUGAAUUUUAGAUAAACUUCACCUUCUCUUGACAAAUAAAUCCUACCCCCAUAAGAUUCACAAUCAACAAGAUUAAAGAAUGUGGUUUAGGAAACUAACCCUCCCCAUACACUAUGUAGGCCCCUCAAGUGGAUUGUAAACCCUCAAGAAGGACUUUCCAUCUUAGGGAAAGGUAUCAACAGAUUCAUCCAAAGUAUUCUUGUCAUCUCGACCAAGCAUUACUACACAAGUGCCUCAGUCCAACUCAUUUUCGGGUCAAAUGGAAGGGAAAUCCAUGAACUGGGAUCAAGUACACCCCUUUUUGCCCGAUUAGCACUCUUAUAUUCAAAAGAAAUAAUACACUGAAAAGUGUGAGCAUCAUCAUAUGAAAACAAACAAUAGAGAAAGGUGGCACACAAAACAACUUCAUCUAAGGUGUUUUUAUAGGUAUGACUACUAUUAGGAUCAAAGUCAUUGAUCAUACCAUCGAGUGUUGGAACAAGCCAAGAAGAAGAGGUAAUGGGAAAAUAAAUAUCACCUUCUUUCUCAUCAUAAUCCAUCCCCAGAGGAGUACGCUCAUCUUCCAAGUAAAGAGUUCCAUCUUUGGGAGGAAAAUCUUCACACCAUAAUGGGUUACUAUAAAAAGUAUAGCUAUCAAGAGCUACACUACUCUCAUGAUUCACACCACUAGGAACUUCACUAAGAGUGAUAUCACCAUCUUCAAACAAGAUAUUGUACUUAAAUAGGGAAUGAUCAACCACUAUGGAAGAAUUAAAACAAGAAAAUUCAAUCUCAAAAAGACAUCAUUUUUUGAAGCAUUUUUAAGCACAUGAUCUCUAUGAGCAAAACAAGUAAUAGGAUCUUCCAUAAAAAGAUAUGCUCAAAUAGUCACUCCUAUUCAAAUGACCAACAGUAUUAUCAAUAUCACCAAAUUGAGGUUCCUUAAUCACAUCACAAGAUUUGUCAAUUAUUGAACUACACUCAAAUGCAGGUUGAUCACCACAAUUAUCACAUGAUAAUGAACUAUCCCUCAAAGCACGGGUGUCAAGACUAGGUAGAGACAAUUCGAUCUUAAUACAAGAAUCAAUUCGGUCAUCAAUAGGAUUAACUAGUGUAUCAACACUCUCAAUAUGUACAUUAUCAACACAUGGUAAAGAAACAUUAGGGUCACAUAAAGACAAGCUAUCAUUUACACUUUGUUCAUUUGCAAUUGUAAAAAUGUUAAGUUUAGCUAAUGUACCUUGACGUUUGCAAGAAAGAUCUUCUUUACCUUGGAAUGAAACUCUCUUAAGAAUGUUAGGACAACCCAAAAGUACAUUCAUCUCACCUUCAAUGGUGGGCUAUUUUUGGGAACUAGUGUUCCUCCGCUCAUCAUGCUUGUUCCUACAUAAGACCCCUUACAAAGUGACAGAUAAGAAAAAAGUUUAGAUUGAGAUUGUGGCAACCCCCUCAGUUUACUUCACUCAACCUCUCAUUUUUUCACUCUAAGGUUGCCACCUUGCUCUCACUUACUCCUCUCAAUCUUUUGUCUCCCAUUGUGCCUUUUAGGAGGAGGAAAUAGAUGUGUUCCUCAAUGAUCCACAACACACUUGUACCCAUUCUACUCAUUUUGGACCCUAUGCUCAGUGAACCAAUCGGCCCCCAAACAUAGGUGACAAGAAGCCAUGGGCAUUAUAUCACACCAAACCUCCUCAUAGUACAGGAUAGUCUUAAGUAGGCUACCGUAGAUGGAGUGACAUAGUUUAGAUUGCAACAGUCAUCGAGGACAAGAUCAAACCUCAAAGGUCCACAAAUGUAAACCUUUAUCCUAAGAACUUGUCUUCUCGGGUCAACAUUAUAAUGUUUUUUGUACCCCUUUGGCACAUACUUAAACCUUAUAAGCCCUUUCAAUUAUUCCCAUCUCAAAGGGUUGGCAUUUCCAUUGUGUUUUCGAAGCCAUCGCACAUAAGUCUACCAACUCAAUGCAAGACCUUUAAAGUGUUCAAGGGCAUACACGGAUUGCUUAGUGUCUUCCAAGUCAUGGUUUCUUGAAAUUCCGCUCACAUUGCCACUCCCAAUCAAGAUACGCCUCGGGAUCAUAAUUUCCUUCAAUAAUUUCUUUCAAAAGUAGGAAGACUAACUCUUUUGGUACCGAGACACCUAAUAUAAUCCCCAUAUCUUCCUUGGUUCCUAUAUCCUGACAAGUGUGCAUUAAAAUAGGAAGUGUAGGAUGUAGUAUACUUCUACACUAGAGAUGCACACUCUUUUCUUCCCAUAGGAUUAGUUUGACUUGAACUAGUGAAACUAUACACCCCUCUUCGUAUAGGGCAAGAUUUACAAUAAGACAAGAAUAUGAAUCUUCACAAGCCUUAGGGGCAUGCUUCUCAUAAUUCAUAUAUAAGAGAGUAUUAUACCUCACCUCACCUUCAUCCUUGGGGUGGGAAGUGUAAUAUGUUUUGUCACCAUCAUAGGAACUAGCUUUACUUUCGGAGUAGGAGUAAGAUCUCUCACAUACUCUAUCAUCAUCAUAGGAGUCAUCACAAGGUUCAUCAUUUUCUCCAUCUUCACUAUAAGAGCUAUGAUCACCAUCUUCACUAUAAGAGCUAUGAUCACCAUCUUCCUCAUACUUUCCUCCGGAAUAGUAUUCCUCAUUCUCAUCCGUCUUUUGAUCAUGGCUAUCAUCAUAGCCUGCAUAAUCACCAUCAUCCUCACAUCCAUAGCCUCCAUCACGACAAUCAUAGUCUCCCAUUUCAUAGUCACAUGGGUCCAAGGCUAUUGAUGACAUGAUUCCUUAUAUCUCCUUGGUACCUACAAAAUAUGCAAACAAGGUUAGUAGUAAAAGCUCCUCACCAACACUAUCAUUUUCUCACCUUUGAAUACCUCACAAAUUAGCUUGGAUCAUAUUGAACCUUGUUUCAAUCCGGUGGUACACAAGUAUCAAUUAAAGUCUUGGUCGGAAUAGAUUCUUGUUUCAAGAAGGAUGGACGACUCAAUAACAAACAAACGGACUUGAAAUCAAAAAUUUAACUACGAAGUUAAAACUAAAAGCACACAAAGAAAGCACAAGCAAGAAAACGGAUACAAGAGUAUUCAACAACUAACUAAGGACAUUUACUAGUUGGAAAUUAGUUUUUAAGAAUCAAAGAAGUGAGUAGGAAUCAAGGAAAAUGAGACUAGGAAGUUAGAACAUGAGAUAGGUCAUAAAAUCAAGCUUGGGUGUCCAAACUUAAACUAUUUUUCGCCAAAAAUGAAAUUCACGGAAUUUACUCCUCAUAGCUCGCCGAAUAAGUUUGGCGAACUACCGAAGUACCCUCAGCUCGCUGAAUUUUCCUGAGACUCAAUUUCAUUUGGCGAGCUCAGCUCCCAUUUGGAGAAUCGCCAAAUCAGUUUUGUAAGCACGACUUAGCUCACCCAGUUGACUUUCCAGCACAUUUGUAGCCUCCGAUUUUUGACUUCUUGUUGUCCCUUUGUACUUUCUUGACCUAGCACUUGUUCCUUUUGGUAAAUUCCCUUUUGAACCAACACAAGUAAUAUUUCUUUCCACUUCCUUUUGGAUCAAACAGUUCCUUUUGAUAAUUUUACUCCUUGAUGAUUUGAAGAUCCCCAAGAAAACUAUGAACAAGGUGACGACCCAAAAAAAAACCCUCAACAAUUUUGGCUCGGAAUUUCAUAAAAUUUGAGAUAUAGGAUUCCAUUGAUGUAGGAAACAAACCCCAAUACUUCUUAUCUUUCAAUUCAUGGCCAAAUUCAUAAAAUUUUGAAACCCAUUACCUUCUUUCUUCAAGUCAUGAAGAACACCAUGAACAUCAAGAACACCCAAUUUUCAAACCCAAUGGAUUUCUACUUCGUUUUCACCAAAAUUUCAGAUAUUAACUCCUAAGGAUAUAGAUAUCAAGCCUCAACCCCAAAGAGUCUCCAUUUCCAACUAGAUCUAAAAAUUCACAUGAUGUUCUUCAAGCUUCUUCAACCAACAAUGGUUGAAUCUACAAUAGCCCAAACUUCACCAAAUCGUAGAUUUAACUCAAAUAAUACUAGGGAAUACUAAUCUAGCCUUAGAAACUUCAAAUAAGACUCAAACAAACAAAUAUUUUUUGGGAUUUUCUUCAAAAAUUAUUUUGACACUUUUUUUGUAACAAAACCACGACUAGAAUCGUAGGAAUGAAUCUAAUAUUAGCUCUGAUACAAAAAGAUGUAAUUCUCACCUCUAAUUAUGGAAAAAAUACCGAAAUAAAAGAAGCAAAGAAGAAUAAAUGUAUGAGAACGAACAAUUGGAAACUAAAGAAUGUAUUAAAUCCUAAAACCUCCAAUUACAAUCCCUAAACAAGCACCUAAUCAAGAUAAAUAAAAUGACACAAUAAAAGGAAAUAUAAAGCAACUUUAUGGUAUAUUAAACCUAAAUACCCCAAUGGAUUAAUCUGAAUCAAGCACCGAAUCUCUCAUGAAGACCUUGUGGAAAUUGAAUCUCCAAGCAACCCCCGUUUCUAAAAAAAAUCCAAUAGAAGCAUUACCAAGCUCUCAAGUCUCUCAAAGGAGAUCUAAUUCAUCAAUCAGUCAUAUUCAAAAAAUUCUACCCAAAAUGAACCCCCAAACUAGCUAUUUAUAGUUUUAAGUAAUUAUUACAAAAGAGGCCAAGAGUAGCCCAAAAUGGGGAAAAGGCCGAGCUGGGUCGUUCUCGCCUAAGGGACUCGGCGAGUCCUCACUUGACCUUAAGCUCGCCGAGUAUGGAAGCUUACGUGUACCUCCUUGGAACUUUAGGAGGUCUUGGAACCCUCACCGAAUAAGUUUGGCGAGUCGCUGAUUGACAUCCAGCUCAUCGAAUGUGGCAAGCUUCUUCAGUUGCUCUUCUUUGCUUUGUUAUACCUCCCACACUCUAUGCUAUCAUUAAAACAUGGUAUUUAUCGAUUGGAAGCUCCUUUGAAGCCCGUAUGUUGUUAUUCUAGGCAUGGAAUCCCUUCUUUGUCAUCAACUCAAGUUUAAGAACCUCAAUCUUUGUGAACAAUUCUUCCGUACUUUGAAGCUCCCAAACAUGGCUUUGAGUGAAUAACCUUGAGGCAAUCUCUAUGACAUCAAGUUAGUUCUAGUGGAGAUAUUCUAGACCCCACCAUACCUCUGAUAGUUGAGAUAUGAAUUGAUGCCUCAGUUUAGCCUUCCCUUCCACCUCCAGUAAUCCUGUUGCCGGGCAUUGCUGUCCCUUUUGAGGUUUCCCCACGUGAGACUCCUAACGAGAGUUCUCCAUAAACAUAACCUUUUAGGGUAAUCUUUUUAUCUAGCCUCCUCGUACUUUUAUUACAUUGCAUUGAGGACAGUACAUAUUUUUUUAUGGUAGGGUGAGGGCCUUAGUGCCAAUAUUCCCCUUUUGAUUGUAUUUUCUUAUUUUGAUUUUUGAACUAUUGUAGUACUUUGCUUUGUUUUUAUGAUAGUGUUCUUCUGUUAAAAAUGUCUCUCUAGAUUUUAUUUCAUUUGCUCUUUAUUUUGCAACCCCCAAUGAGUUUAAAAUCAUGAAUUUUUUUAAAGUUUCAUUUAUAAUAAUUAGAGGAUCCAUUGUGUUCAAUAUUUGUAACACCCCGGAAAUUCUAUGACUGAAGUUAAAGCCUCACCAUAUGAAUAAUGACUUAAAAUAGUUAAAAUGAUGUUUAUAAACCUAAACUAAUGUAAUUGACUUGGUUUGGAAGAGUAAAGGUCUAAACGUCAAGAAACGACCACGACGUCCGGAAACUAGAGAAGAAUGUGUUCUAGUGUGUCUUUAGGUUUUGGGCAGCUUUAAGAGUGUCGUAUGAUGGUAUAAUCAGGUUAAAAGGUUUAAAAUAGGUAAAUAUAUGUUCCUAGGGUCAAAACGUUUGAAUACGACUCCCCGGGACCACACUAAGGAUCCCUGAGGAGGACCCUAACCUUGGCCAAGCAUACUGCCAAGGCAGCUUGCAAGUUGUGCAUAGAGGGAAUGAUGGCGCGUCGCGCACUUGCUCCCCCAGCGAUAAAAAUUUCAGUUCGCGAUUCGGUCGUGUGGCGGACUCUACUAUCUUGAAAUUUAUUUCCAAAUAUCUUUAGGGAACAUCUCCGCGUGGCGGGCAUGUUCUGCAACGAAAAUGCAGAAAUUCAGAAAUCUAUUUUUACUUCAUUAAAGAGUCCAUUUAAGUGAGGGGUAUUUAGGGUACUUUAGGGGACGUGUAUAUAAUGAUUUUUAAGUCAAGUUACCUAACUUUUAUCACUCAAACACAAAACCCUAAUGAUCUAAAUCUAAAGUUCCUCCUUUUCUCUACUCUCUCUCUUCUCAAGAACUCCAUUGAAAAUAAUUGGAACAUCAAUAAGAAGACCAACUCUCCAAGGUUCCAACUCAUAUUUUCAUGGUUAAUUCGUUAAUAAGGUGUGGUUGCUUAUCACUCUUGGGAUUCCUUCCCCAAGAGGCCCCUCCAAGAUGAAUUUCAAAAUCUCCAAUUUCUAGGUUUCAAUCCAAAAACGUGGGUCUUCUUUCUAAAGUGAAAUUGAUGUUAUAAACUCUUUGAUUGAUGUUCUAUGAACAAUUAUGGAUGAAUUUAUGUUGUAUUGGUGGUUUCUUGAAGAAUUUUCAUGAGACCCAUAUUUCUCCUUCUUUUCCUAAUUCUAACCCUAGUUUGUGUUGGAUAUUGAUUGAAGGCUAUGAAUUGAAUGUGAUCUUAUAUCAUUCAUGUUUGUAUGAUGAUUCUACCCUAGGUUAUGUAUAAUUUCUAUGAAAUUAGAGUUGAGUCUUUGAAAGAAGCCUUGAAAGGCUAUGAAGGGAAUAUGUAAAUUGCUUAUAUUGAUGUUGAUUAUGUUAUUACUUCAUGAAUUACCUUGUAUUGUGUAUUGGUUAUGAAUUGCUUGGUAAUUGAAGUAUGGAUGUCCCAUGAAGGGCAAGAAGGUAUGAAGGUUGGUUCUUCUUUGAACUAAAGUAUGAAA